rnacentral:lncRNA from 1 species
GUAUGAAAAGAUAAAUUGAAAUUAAGUUAAAAUUUUUUUGUUAACUUCUCAUGUCAAACCACACAUGUGAAAUGAUUGUGGUGUCCUAACCUCCGGGAUGGGUCACAUCAUUGGCUUACAUUUCCAUGAGAAGGGUUAUGAUAAAUUAGCAAUGAUGCUUCAUGCUAACGUGCCUUCAAAUUUUUAGGUUGAUGUUUUUCUUGUUGCACCAUAUCUCAUCAACAAGAUACCUUCCACAACUUUGAACUUUGACACCUACAUUAAAAGUAAAUAUUUCUCAAAAGGUAUAGCAAACACAAAUUCACCCAGAAGACAUACCCUUUUUGUCUUCCUAGCCUAUUGCUCUGUUCAAAAGAGAUAAAUGCUUGCAUGUAUCCCCAAACAAAUAGAGUUUAUCAAGACAUGUUUCUACUUGCUAUGCAUGGAAAUCCAUAGCUCAGUUCCUUUCCUAAAAGGAUGAAUGGCUCACACCACCGGCCGAAAUAAGUAUUCAACAGCACUCGAGCCUUCAAGCCAAAUACAGUGUCAUAUUGCCUACUAUUGACAUAACACCUAUCACUAGUAAUCUCCACCCUCCUACAUUUAGGUUGUAAACUUUUUUAAAGAGAUCCUAAACUAAAUUAAAUUGCUUAAUUCUUAAAAUCCAUGUAGAUUCUGUUUAAUUUACAGCAUGGAUGUAAUAAGUCUAACAGGCUCUUCCUCUUUUGUCAUUCUCUUUAGCUCCUGUUCAAACCUUUCCAUGACUGGCGGAGGCAGGCAUAUAGGUAUAACAUUCCCUUCUUCUCCUUUGCUGUUCCUGAACCGCAUACAGAAGCUAAUAUUAGAUAAAGCCCUAGCAAUCCCACCAUAGACUGGCUUUCCCCACCCGAAGUCGAUCUCUCCAAACCCGGCACGUGUGAGAUCUGAAAUAAGAUAGUUCCCCGGCUGCGUAAAUGAGGGACGGCCCUUGAUGACCAUAAGAUCUGCCACUGAUUUUACAUACUCUUGGCUCAUUUCCGCCUUGGCUUUCUUCAGUAACCUUAUCGCAUAUUCCAAUGGGUUUUUACAUAGCAUUCCAGCCUUAGUAAUUGAAGCUGGAUAAACAAAAGCAUUUCCAUAGUAUCCUGGAGGCAGAUCGAAACCGCGCUUGCCUCGCAUAUUGAUUAAGCAUGAAAUGCGAACAACCUCAUCAGGGUCUACUGCAAAUGCAAUUGUGCGGCAUCUCCAUACAUACGCUAUUAGAACCUCAAACGUCGAGCAGGCACCGAGGCUUGCAGGAAGUCGGUUCCUAAGUGCUCUUAUCUCCUUGAGGCCAAAGAAGAAUGAUCGAUGAACCAAAUUAUUUUCGUCCAUGGUCAUUAGUGUGCCCCUGGUAUUGGUUACCUCCUCGUAUUCAUGAUGUAUACGGGUAAUUCGUGGCGGAUUUCGGGCAUUUAACAGCUCUCUUUGCCAUAUGGGCAGCAGAGAUGGCACAGACAGACCUUGAGCCAUCUCGCUUAUGGCGUCGAGGAAUUGGACCAAGCCAGGACCAUCACUCAUUGUGUGGUUUAGGCGCAAUGCAAAUAUAAAUCCUCCACACCUCAAUCGGGUCACCUGCAUUGUACAAACAUCGGCUUUAUCAAUAUAUGUUUUAGCAACAUCCAAUGAAAUAGACAAUUUUUGCUUAAGUAUUGGGUUAUUUGAUAUCUAUUUUAAAUCAUUAUCAAUUAAUAUUUUUUUUUAUUGAUUUUAACUCAUCUUUGCUUUCAUUAAUUUUAAAUAAUAAAUUUAUUUAUAAAACAAUCAUAAAAUAUUUAUUAUAAAAAAUGGAUGUAAAAUAAUAAUUCUAAAAAAUACUCUCACUAAUGUGGUUUCAAAAAGUUACUUUUAUUAUUUCAAAAAACUAAAUAUUUUUAUUUUUUCAAUUCAAUUAAAAUUUUUAAAAAUAAGUGAAAAAUAAAAAAUAAAGAAAAAGUUAAAAACAAAGUAUGUGACAUAUGAAAGUAAAUUACAUUCAUUAUUAAGUUAAAAAUAAAUACUAUCUAAAAUAAUUAUUUUAAUUUAAUAAUUAAAGUAAAAAUAAUUUAAAUAUAAUAUUAAGUUGUCUAAUCAAAUAUCAUUUUUGGGUAAAGUUGACUUACCAAACAUUUUCUUAUAAUGAAAAAUAUUUACCUGAAUUAAGAUAAGAGGGGAACCAAGAAUUUCCCCGGAGCCAGGGACAUCAUACAGAAUCUCCUCGUAGCAGGGGCACAUUGGUUGAAUUGAAUCACCAAGAUUCUCAAGUGUGGUAUCGGCAUCGGCUUCAAUGAACAAGACCCCUUCACCGGUGCAGUCCACCAUGAGUUUUCUAUUAUCCCCUUCAAUCAGCCUACCUGCAAAUGGGUAGUAGUAUACAAGCGCCUUACCUAGAGCUUCUUUAAUGACCUUUGCAGGGUCUUUUCCUUUCAUUAAAGGAUUGUUUGGGUAAAACAUUAUCACAGGAACUUGAAAGCGAAGGCCUUCUUGAUCAUCUAAAUCAGAAAGCUGCUUCACCUCUCGUGGGGUAGGGUUUGUAGGCCGAACAAACUCUGGAGCACACCGUUUAACGGAGAAUACUAGAGGAGACGAUGAUGAUGCCAUGUCCUUCCAGGCAAGGAGUUUGUUGAUAGAAUAUAGAAAAAAUGAUGAAGAGAAAAUUGAAGGAGUUUAUGUGAUGGUUUGCUUUGAGAAGAAGGUAGCUGAUAUUUAUAGCCUAUUGCUGCACUCCAAUAACGCGGCGGAGCAUCUUGCUCAGCCUACGACACGGUUUAGAUAAGACAUAAGAGGUAGAAUUUUAGAUGUGUUUCACGUGUUUUUUUCUCUCCAGGCCCCAAGAAGCUACACAACGAUAAAAAGGCAGAAUUUUGGGUUGUGUUUCAAAUCCACCCACUGUCUUAAUGCACCUAAAAUAUCAUCACUACUCUUUUCUUCUGCACCACACCCUCCUAUCAUUCUUACUCUACGUGUAUGGUGUCCAUUGUUUCACGACCCCCCUAAAAGCCAUGGUCCUUUCCUCUACGUUAUGUCUCUUUCAAUGUCAGAACGGUCCCCUCCUAUCAUAAAAAAUUAGGGAGAAUUGUGUUUUGGACCCAGCUAGGCACAAAAAUUAAUAAAAUAUCCUCCAAACACCUAUAAUUGAUUGUAAUGAUAUAAGGUUGGAAUAGACAAAAAUACCCCUUUUUACUUACACCCAUCAUUUUGUCUUUAUACCACCACUCUUUAGAUGCCCAUCCAUAAAAUUCUCCUUUAUUUAAUCAUUUUUUUAUUUUUUAUUAUUUUUUAAACUCCUUUAAAAAUAAUUGAAAAAUCAAUAUUAUUUACUAUUUUUAAAUUAUAAAUAAAUAAAAAUUAUAUUAAUGAUUCAAAAAUUAUUUUGGAACAUACUUUUGAAAAAAAUAUUAAUUUAAAUGAAUAAAAAUUACUUUUUACAUUUUACAAGUAAAUAAUUUAAUGAUUAAAACACUAUUUAAAAUAAAUAUAUUUACUAUUUUUUUUCUUUUAUACUAAAAAGUAUUUUAAAGUUUAUUUUUUUAUUAUUAUAAAAUAAAAAGUUUAAAGUUUUUUUUUUUUUAAUCUUUUUCUUUCCAUAGUUUAAUAAUUUUUUGAACAUAGACUUUUGUAAUAAGUUAUAUGAAUGUUCCAAAUUUGUUUAUUAAGGAAUUUUUUUAAUGAUUUGAAUUAAUUGAAAAUUUAUUGAAAUGAGAAAAAAAAAAAAGAGAGAAAGAGGAUAGAUGAAGAGUUUUUAUUUUAAAUAUCCAACUAAAAUGUUUUCGUAUUUAGAAAUGGAUUAUAUCAAUACAUAGCAUAGUAAAGAUUGAUUUUUUUCUCAUACAAAAGAGUUAAAUGAUAUGUUUACUCAUUUUAAAUAAAAACAAGUAGUUAAAAAUUAUAUAGAUUAUGUUUGAGUUUGGUCUUAAAAUAUUUUUUCUAGUUUUUAUUAUUUUUUUAUUUUUAAAAAUUAUUUUUAUUUUCUAUAUUGUCUUUUUUUGAAAAUAGAUUUAAUUAAAAAAAUGAAAAAUAUUUUUUAAAAUGAAAAUUGAAGACCUUGUUUAAUACUAAGAUAAUAAAAAUAAUUAAAUUUCAUUUAUUAAUUAUUCUUUUUUAUUUUUAAAAUAUAAUAUGUUCACAAUUAAAUAAAAGAAUUGGUCAAUUGUAUAUUUUUUUUCACAAAAAUGUAAUAUGUUCAUAAAAAAAUUGGAUUGAAGUUUUUCAUCAUUUUUUUAAUCAAACUACUAGAAUCAUGUUUAAUACAAAUAUAGGCAUAUAUGCACUACGGGAAUAUGAAAUUUGUGUCACUAUAUAAGAGUAUUUACUAACUGUAUAAGAGAAAUGUACUAAGUGUACAAGUAGUGUAUAAGAUUACCAUUUAUAAAAUAUUUCAAUCUAUUUUGAACCACUCCUUUAUUUUCCUUGUCACCCACAAAUUGCAUAUUCAUGUCAUGCACUUUAUUUAACUCCCAUAUGGAAAUUCUGAUACUUUCCCCAAUAAUGAUGUUUGGAAAAAAAAAAAAACUAACCCUAAUUCAUCCAUCCUUUUAUUAGUUAAACCAUUAGAAAUAUGGUUAACACACCUACAUGGACAUAUUACUUAGGAUAGAUAUAUUGUACAAUAGUAUUACACUAAUUGUACAAGGGAAAUGUACUAAGUGUACAAGGGUGUACAAGAUUACCAUCUAUAAAAAAAUUUAAUCGAUUUUGAAUCACUUUUUCAAUUUCCUUGUCACCCAUAGAUUGCAUACCUACGUCAUGCAAUUUAUUUAACUUUCACAUGAAAAUUUCGAUACUUUUCUUAGUAAUAAUGUUUGGGGAAAAAAAAUUUAAUCAUAAUUCAUCCACCAUUUUGUUAGCCAAACCAUUAGAAAUAAGAUUAAUAUAUCUACGUGGACACACAACUUAAGAGGGAUAUAUUGCACCAUUGUACAAUGAUGUUACACUAACUGUACAAGGGAAAUGUACUAAGUGUACAAGGGAAAUAUACUAAGUGUACAAGGGUGUACAAGGUUACCAUUUGUGAAAGAUUUUAGUCGAUUUUGAAUCAUUUCUUUAUUUUUUUUUUGUUACCCAUAAAUUGUUUAUGAAAUUUGCACUAUUAUAUAAGGGUGUUACACUAAUUAUAAAAGAGUAUUCCACUCACUGUGUAAGGCAAUGUACUAACUGUAUGUGGUAAAUGUACUAAUUAUACAAGGGUGUACAAGGUUAUCUUUUAUGCAAGAUUUUAAUCAAUUCUGAACUUUUUUUUUUUUUUUUUGUCACCUAAGGAUUGAACACUUUUCCCCCACACAUUCCUUCACCUAAAAAUUGUUUUAAUUUGAAAUUUGAAAUUUCAUCAUCCAAAAUUUGUAAUUGCAUAUUUCAUUUAAGUAGUUUUAACAAUAUUUUUUCUUACAACAUUUACAUCCUAUAUAAAGGAAAAUUAACCAUAAUAUUUAGGUAUUACCUUUUUUUUUUUUUGUGAAAUCAAAUUAAUAUAAAUGGAUAACACAUUAAUGUCAUUGUUUCAAAUAACUUAAGACAAUAUAAACAACAGAUAAUAACUGUUGAGGCAAAAUUAUGAAUAUUUUUUUUACCAAACUAUGUCAUUUAGAUCUUCUCUACCAAAAUUAAAACAUAGGAAAUAAAAUUAAAAUUAAUCACAUUUAAAAUGUUUAUUACAAGUAAACCGAAUGAAAUAUAUAUUUUUUACUAUUUUACCUUUAUAAACAUAAUGUUAGCAGAUAUUAAAAAAAUUAUAUUUAAAUAGAAUUAAAAAGGAUAAAAAAUUAUCUUUGUAACAUUUGUAAUUUUUUUUAUAAAAAAUCAUUAAUUUAAAUUAUCAAGUUAAUUUAAAAUAAUUUUUUUGUUGUAAUUAUAGUUUUAAAGAUUCUACGAUUUUUAUAUUAUUACUUUUAAUUUAUUUUCUUUGAUUUUUUAUUUUAAAUUUCAUCUAAACUUGUUUUUUCUUACAUUUAUAUGUUUUCUAUUAUAUCCUUAUUUAAAGUGAUUUUCAUCUAAUUUGUAUUCCAUUAUAUUCUCUUUUCAAUUUUAAUGUGUUGUUAUACCUCUUUACAUAACAAAAGAUUUUAUUAUUUUUCAUCUACAAAACUUUAUACAAAAGAUAUCAUGUACGAGGAAAAAAAAUAAAAAAAGAGAAAACUAUGAUAUAAUUUACAUACACAUCUCUUAAUAUGAUACAUUUGCUUGACUUAAUGACAUCAUGCUUUAAUAAUUUAAAUCAUGUCAAGUCCACAUUUAUUUUAAAUUUAAAAAGGCAUUUGAAUAUUUUUCAAAUUAUUAAGUUAUAAUACAUUAUUCAAUUAAAAAUUAAUUAUCACCAUUAGUUAAAAGAUGAUCAUGUUACAAAAUAAUAUAUUAAAACAAUAUCAAUGUAUUGUCCAAAAAUAGAGAAAAUAUUCAAAUAAUUGUCUACAACCUUAAAGAUAUUUAUAUAUAUAUUGGAUAAAAAAGAAAAAUAAUAUUUUUUUAAGGUGUUUAAAAAUUAUUUAUUAUAUAUUUUGUAAGUUUAAAAAAAAAUAUUUUAUGAGGUAUUUAAAAAAAUUUUACUUUAAAAAUAUAGUAAUAAUCCUUUUCAACCAUUGAUUAUCAAUCUUUAAUUUAUUAGGCAUGGUUUUUGGGAGAAAAAUAAUUGAUGAAAAUAGUAGCACCUUUCUAGAAAAGAAUUAAUUUACAUGUCCCACCGAUUAAUAUGUGAGAGAAAAAAAUAAGGUGAAUGAUGAAAAAGAGAGGGAAAAAAAGAAUGAAAGAGAGUGGGAAGUUAGUUGUUUUUUUUUUCUUGUCGACAAUAAAGGGCAUUUUCGGAAAAUUAAAUGUUUCAUAUCCUUCUUUUCAAUUUGUAGACUUUCUUUAGGUGUUGGGUUUAAAUAUGAAACUUAUGAGGAUCUUUUAUCAAUUUUUGGGCCCAGCUGGGCCCAAAACACAAUUCUCCCAAAAAAUUAUUGUAAUCCAUUGUGCAAUACAUCCCUCUCUCUCUCUCUCUCUCUCUCUCUCUCUCUCUCUCUCUCUCUCUCUCUCUCUCUCUCUCUCUCUCUCUCUCUCUCUCUCUGUCUUUGUACACAUACAAAAUUUCAGUUAAUUAAAUUAUUAUUAAAUUCCUCUUUAAAAUUUCUCCCUCUACCUCUUUCUCUCUCUUUGUACACCUACAAAAUUUCAGUUAAUUAAAUUAUUAUUAAAUUCUUCUUUAAAAUUUUGAUUUCUUAGUGAAAUGUCAACAUGUGACAUACCAUUUAAAAGAGGACACUUGGUGAAAUUUGAAAGACUAUAAAAUUAAAUUUUAUAAAACAAAAACAAAAACAAAUAAGUCAAUUGAAGUUCAAAAGAGAAAAUAUUUUUUUAUUGGUAAAUUUCUUGAACAAAAGAAACAAAUCUUUUUAUUAAAAUAAAAAAACUAAAAAUAAAUAAAUAUUCUUUGUUAGCAAAUCUCUUGAAGACAAGUUUCUAAAAUAAAAAUAUCAAAUUCUUUGAAUUAAACAAAUUAAAUCUUGGGAAUUCUUUAACUUCCUUCAAUGGAGGGAAUCAAUAAAAUAAUUUUAUAUGGGAAAAAUGUCUUCACAAGAAGAAAAAUAUUUCUUAAAAUUUAUCCAUAAGUUCGAGAAAUUAUAAAAUAUACAUGUGAUCUUGUCUCUUGACAAAGUCAUUUGGAAAAUAUUUUGAGGUGAUCAGGUUUGAAAAAGUAAAAGAAAAAAAAAAAGGUAAUAGGGUGCCCAGGCCUAAAAGUGUGAUGCUUUUAAUGAUGUUCAAAACUACAAAGUCAAAUACCUUUAAGGAUAUUCAGAGGUAUAAUUUCAUAUAUUUUAAAAGUCAUCCAACCCUAAAAUUACAUAUAUUUUUAUCGAUUCCUCCAUUUUCAAGUGCUAAAAAAUGAAUAUAAUAAUCAAUAAAAAUAUCUGUAAUUUUAUCAAUUUUACAUGCUUUUAAAACAUGUGAUAUUAUACCUUUAGAUAUCUUUAAAAGUGUUCGACUUUGUAAUAUAUAUAUAUACUUCUAGAUUCCUCCAUUAGUGAAAUUUGAAACACUACAAAAUUAAAUCUUACAAAACAAAAAUAAAUAUGUCAAUUGAAGUUCAAAAGAGAAUUAUAAAUAAAUAUUUUUUAAUUGGUAAAUUUCUUGAACAAAAGAAAUAAAUCUUUUUAUUAAAACAAAAAAAGAAUUAAAAAUAAAUAAAUAUUCUUUUGUUAGAAAAUCUCUUUAAUAUGGAAGACAAGUUUCUAAAAUCAAAAUGUCAAAUUCUUUGAAUUAAACAAAUUAAAUCUUGGGGAGUCCAAAUUUAAUUCUCUAACUUCACCAAUAAAUAUUAAUGACUUCCUUCAAUGGAGGGAAUCAAUAAAAUAAUUUCAUACGGGAAAAAUGUCUUCACAAAAAGAAAAAUGUUUCAAAAAAUUUAUCUGUAAGUUUGAGAAAUUAUAAAAGCAUUAUAUAUGUGAUCUUUUUUUUCAACAAAGUCAUUUGAGAAUAAGUCACUUUAAACCCUUAAUUGAUUUUCAAAACAAAGAAACACUUCAUCAUUGUCUAUUAAAUUAUGAUCAAAGUAAAGGACCGAGAGAAAAAAAUAUUCUUUUGUAAAGAAUAUUAUCAAAGAGUUUGUACCCCACAAUUAUUUUAAUAAAAACAAUUGUUAGCAUAUUUUUUCUAUUAUUUUGAUUGUUUCGUAAGACUUCACACAAUUUGUACGUAUAAAUUUAUGGCAAGGAAAGUUGAUAGGAUUUUCUUUUGGUUUAGUUUUUUAGGAAAAUGUUGAGAACUAUUAAAAUUAAAGGCAUGUUUGAUAAGUGUUUUCGAAAACAACUUUGAAAAAUAGUUUUUGAAGAUGACUUUUAAAAAUUAUUCUCUGAUUUUUAUAGAACAAAAGUUUAUUUGAAAACUUAAAAUGUUUUCAACCUGUUCUUAAUAUUUUUAAACAUGUUUUAAAAAUAAUUUUUAUAUUUAGUAUUUUAUUUUUAAUCAUUCUACAUAUUUGUAUAAUUAUUUCUUAAAAUAAUCCUUAAAAAACAAGUUAAAACAAUAGAAAACUACAAAAAGAUGUUAUCUAAAAACACUUUAUUUUCUAUUUUUAAAAAUAAAAAAUAGUUUUUGAUUAUCUAAUAUGUUUUCUGUGUUUUUUUUUUAACAACAAAAUACUAUUCUAAAAAAUAUUUCCAAUUAGGCACUAAAUCUUUUAGAAUACCCUGUCCCCAAACUUUCAUCACCUUUUUUAUAAGAAAAAUGGGAAAGAAAUUCUUUUAACAUUUUCCUUUAUUCUUACAUUUUGUCCACGUUAUCCAUAGAUAAUAAAAUCAUUUCCCAAUCUUUUCUCACUUUCUUUCAUAGGUAAAUGAGGAAAAUUGGUUAUGCAAUGCAUUAAAUUUAGCAGUUUGCAACAAUUAAUCUUGUGUAAUAUAUACAUUUUUUAUUAUAUAAAUUUUAAAAAUAUAUAUGUCAAUUUAUUUAUAUUUUUUCUUAGAAACCAAAUGGUGAUUAUUCUUACUUUAUUUAUUUUUAUAUAUUUUUAAUUGGAGUGUUUUCUGUCACAUGUUGAUCUUGCAAAUCAACAGGUUCUCUUAAAAAGCUCCUCAGAUUGGAAAUCCACACACUGCAAAAAACCCAUUAGAUAUCAAAGUUAUACUCUUCAUGACAUUCUUCAUGGUAAGUUAUAUUCAAAUUCAACAACAUAAAGUUUAUACCAAAUUAGAUAUCAAAUAUUUCUCAGUUUCCAUGAAUGCAGUUUCAUGCUUAGACUUACUUGAAGAGCUCUCUUUACAUGGAUGAGUAGACUGACUUAUCACUAUUGCUUUAUUCUGAUUAGGAUGCUGCUUGAUGUUACAGCCAUGUGAAACCAUGUUUAUUGUUUUAGUUUUGUACUUUGGGCAACUUAAUCCAGCAAAAAUCCAUUUGCACAAUAUCAGGACAUUGUUUGUGUCAUUUUUGUCAAGUAAUGAAGUCCAUGUGUAACUAGACUUCACAUCGUGUGCUUUAUUUGAUCAAAUAUUAUUUCUUGUAUUGAUCGACAACAUAGUCUAGGAGAUUAUUACUAGGCAGAAACAUAGGUAACCAAUCUUUUAUAGAACUGUGGAGGUAUUUAUUUGUCUGCUUCAAUAAAAACAAUAUGUUUGUGUAUGAUUUAAGUGGUUUGUUUUGUAAAUGCAGAGAUGAAGGGUGUUAAAGGAGCACAACCUGUAGAUUACCUCACCUUUGACCUAAGAUUGGUGUUUUCAAUUGAACCACAUUGCAGGGGCAUAAUGGAACAAAUUAUGCGAUUACCACAAACCAUGGGGUACAACUCAAGUCAAUGGUCAAUGACAACUACCCUAAUGAAUCCUCGUACAGUCGUAUAAGCUCGUACAAUUGUAUUCCUUAUACAGCUUAUAUGGACAGUUUGAUAUAUUAAUAGAGCCUUACAAUCAUUCACACAAAAUCUUUAUGGACAGUUGUUCCUAUUGAAAUUUCAAUAAAUUAAACCUACCCUUAUGUAGAUAGAAUUUUUAUUCAUUAGGGUAAUAAUAUCUAAUCAUUUUGAUUUAUGGUUGUGAUUUAUCAGGAUUAAGCAAUAGUUUGCAGCGAGACCAUAAAGAUGAUCUACUAACAAGCUUCCUAAUAACAUGAUCUACUUCAACAAAGAAUAGUGUGCAGUGAGACUCUGCCUGCCCAUUCCCUCCUUGGUGAAGCAAUUUUUGCAUUUUUCCCGGAUCCCUCUUACCUUCACUCUGUUGGUUUUUAAACCAGAUAAUUAAAAGAAAAACGGAAGCCAGAAAAAUUUUCUCUUACAGUUUGUAAUUGAACUGCUGGACUCCAAUAAGGGUUGGGCCAAAAGACAUGUAUUAGUGUCUGAUCCAUGGGGUGGAUCAACCGAGGGUCCGAACAAGUUUUUUAAGUCCACACGAUCUCUGGAGAUACCAAGUAUUGAAUGUUUAAAUGACUUGCAUAUUUCUUAUUCUCAUUAUUUUUGUGACUUCAACUAAUAUGUGUCUUGUUUGCCCAGGCAAAGAUAGGCGUGGCCACUUGGUUGAGUGGGUAGAGAAGUCUUCAUUUGCCCGUCUCAACAAAUUGUUUAAGAUUGACCCAUUCGAGCGGAGUCACAGUGUGCUGCUCACUGAGAAGAACCUGAGGAUCGUUCUUGCUCAAGCCAAGCCAUUUGUAAUCCCUCUUCUUCCAAGGCUAGCACCGCUGACCCUUGUGCUGGGCGAGCACUUCAUGCUAAAGGACUUGCCUUUCUACAAGGUCACCCGACUCGUUGACACUAAGGCAAGACAGGCUCGCCUAAACGCUUGUGAGAAAAAAAUGGCAAGAGGGACUUUACGCCAAGCCCUUGGUUCCACUUCCUGAGUGACUUCAAAUCCUGUCCCCUGACUAGCAAAGAAGAAGACCAUUGUCAAACGCCAAGAAUGGAAUGUUUUCCAUUACGCACAAUCUCCGCAAUAAUGGGUAUGUGAAUACAUAAUGAAUGGUCAAGCCUUAGUCAUGCUGUAUCUGUGUAGGAUUUAUUCUUCUGACCUACUUGGAGAUAGAUCAGUCACUCGGCCCAAGGGCCAUUGAGCCAUUCGACUGAGGACGGUUUCCCAUACAGCUCCUUUAGCUAAACGGCCUUGAGAGAGUGGUGGACUUCAGGACGGCCUUGCAUAGAGGGUCCCACAAUAAUCUCAUGCACACAUUAAGCAACGAGUUUUCUUUCGAGGCCUGGGACAUGUUCAUUACUUUCUCAACUUGGAAGUCCAAAACUUUUAUGGCAGUAUCUUUGUUUCCUAAAGAAAGUAUCUUAGAGACUUACUUAGUGGGAUGAAAAUGCUUGAGUACUCUCACUUAAACAUGCUCAUGGCUAUCAAACCUAUGAGUAACCCAAUUGAUGAUCAUCCAAUUGAUCAAACCCUUUAUAGGCAGCUUAUAGGUUCCUUGCAAUAUCUCACGUUUACAAGACAGGGUAUUGUCUAUGCAAUAAACAAAGUCUAUCAACAAUUUCAAUCUCCCAUAGAAGCUGACAUGCAAGUUGUGAAAGUAUUUUGACCUAUUUAAAGGGAACCAUGGAUUAUGGACUUCGCUUUCUUAAAAAAAGGUCCCUUUAUUUAAUAGGCUAUUGCAAUGUUGAUUAGGCUAGAUGCACCAUUUACAUGUCCUAUGAAUGAAAACUCCAUGAUCCAGUUUUUCAAACAAUGCCACUUCCACUCUGCCAUUUACAUCUAACAAUUGUCACCAACUAUAAAUAUUUAGCAACCAUUGGUGACAUCAAUAUUGGUAAUCUGGUUCUUUGAUAGGCUAGGACUUAAUGAUUUUUAACACAUAAAUUUUCUCAAAUAAGAAAAUUGUUAACAAAAUUGUAAGUUGAUUUGUUUGUACUUUACAAUCAUUAAUAUGCCCCUUGAUUCUUCUAAUAAAUACACAAACACCAUUUUAAACAAUUUAACGUUUAAUUUUGGAUCAAAAGGAUGGGGUUUCAUAAAUAGACACUAGAUAAUAAAUUCUUUCAAUGAAAAAAAUCUUUAAAUCAUCAAAUAUUUCUCUAAGAAAUCUUUGAUAUUCUUUAACUCUUUAAGAGAUCUUCAAAUAUUCAUCUUUUCAAGAAAUCUUGAAUCUUGAAGGAAUUUCUUCAACAACUAUUAAAAUUUUUGUCCAUCUUCAAUGUGUGCUUUCAAAUGAGUGGAACCCUCUACUUAUUAGGUUAGAAAUUUUAUUUUGAUAUUAUCUCUUGCUUUCCUAGACAUAAUCAUCCUUUUUAUUGUGAUAAUUAUUAUUUAUUUUAAUUAUUAUAAUUAAUUAAUUAAGAUAAUUAUAAUAUUCUUUUGCUUCAUCACAAUUAACUGAUUUCUUAUUAUUGUUUUUGCAAGAUUUUCAACAUAUUAUUAGUUAAUUAUUGACACAUGACUUUUAAUGAGUGGACAAAUUUUUUCUUUGUACAUAUUUCUUUCAACAUUGAUCAUUGUUAGUUAGUGGUGACAAUCAACUAAAACCGGUAGGGAGUUCUUUAUACACCUAAUGAUUUCUUGAAAUAUCACAAAUUUCUUUUAAUGUUUAGGUUUAUUUUGCAAUAAUGGUUAAUGCUAAGGUAAGCUUGGGUUAGUUGGGUUAAGAACAAGGUUAUGUUUCAUAGGUUUAUUUCUAUUGUGAUUUUAGAUAGAGAGGUCCUUAUGUUCUUUUGCGAGUUUGAUGUAAAUUUUUAUGUUAGUCCAUUUCACCAUAGUUUUAAAUACAUCUACCUUGUUAUAUUCUAUAUAUAUAUAUAUAUAUAUAUAUAUAUUUGGCUUUUCUUUCAUAUGGGCUCCAUAUUUUUUGCUAUUGUUUUCAUGAUUUCAAUUUCAUUCUUUGUUUCCAUUCCACUUAUGGUGGCAUCUUAUUGUCUAAAGUUUGUGUAAGAAUUUCUAAAUUUCAUCCUUUGCAUAAUUUUCAUCACACUUCUCCAAAAUAAGAGGAGAAUGAUUGGUUACUUUCAUUUUUAAAAAUAUGUAUAGGAAAGAAAAGAAAAAAAUAAGAAAACAUAUAUACUUAGCAAGCUUGAAGGAACAAUCAAGGUAGAUUGCCUUAGCAGAAUGAAACUCAUGGGAGAAGAAAAUGGAGUUGUCAGUAUUAUGUCUAGGAAGGUGGUGCAAUUCUUAUCCAACGAGUGUUAAGGUUGAAUAUGUGAAAGUAGAGCAAGAUGGGGUGUUUACAAAAGGUUAAAGGUGUGUGGGUUUUGUAUUAAGAUAGAUACUAUAAUAUUUUAAAAUCAUUCACACUCAUUGGGAUAUAUUUAACUUGUAUUAAUCCAAUCUCCCUACUUUGGUUAAUUAUAUGGUAAAAACCUAUAAAAACAAAUACAUUUAGAUUGUUGGGAACAUAAAUCAUUCUUUUGAGUUAAAUAGCAUAAUAAUUAAGUUGCCAAAAUUUUCCAUUGUGGAUACAAACACAACUUUUUGGUGAGCCAUAUGUUAUUUUCAAUAAUUAUAAAUUUUAUGUAAUUGGACAUAGAUUGGCCAUUGUUCAACUCUCAUUGCAACCAUGAAAUUACACCUCAACAUUCAAUACUAAAAAUGAGCAAAUUCUUAGCCUCGAAUUCAAGAAACUCCCAGCCAUUGGUUGGGCCUUAAACCAACCAUAGAUUAGACUCCUUGGGUUGUUUUGCUUGCCAUGGUGGUAUGCACCGAAGGCCCCUCCUAUACGCACUUAGAAGUACAUUAUCUCAAUUUCUUUUCCAUAUCUUUAAUCACUCAUUAGGCUAGUAUAUUAAGUUGGAAUGUGACAUUGUUUAGUAUUCAAAAUACUAUAUUUUGUUGUUAAAAAAAGUAAAACUAUUAAUAGUUCAAUAAAUAUAAAAAAUCUUAUUUUUACUUCGAUGUAAAAGAAAAUGAAUUAUUACAAGUUCAUUAAACAUGCAACAUCUUACACAGUUACCUAAAAUAAGGUUUUUUUUUUUGAAUUUUUUUUUAAUAAUUCCUUGUGUGUGAAUAAUCUUUCCAAAGAAAGGAACCCUAAUAUAUAAAUGUAUACACACACACACACACACACACACACACACACAUAUAUAUAUAUAUAUAUAUAUAUAUAUUAAAAUUCAAGUAAAAUCUCUAAAUGUGUGGACACAAUAUGGUGUUAAAUUGCAAAAGACUAAUCACACAUAUUACUUGAGAAUUUUAGUCCCAUUAUAUAUAAUUCUAGCUAAGGUGGGCCUCACUCUUCUUAGAAACCUAAUAGACAUUGAUUCAUUGAACCUUAGCCUUCAAAUAUAUAAAACCUAACACAUAUUGGCUAGUUGAACCUUAGCCGCCAAACAAUGAUCAAUGAAAUUCUUAAUUCUAGCAUAAGAAGAAGAAGAAGAAGAUACCAAGCAUGAGUCUAUCUUUGAUUAAUAGCUUGCGAGAUUGGAUCAAAAGACUUAGCAUAUGGUAAUCUUAUUCAUGUUUAGUUUGUAUUACUUUGGGAUUUCUUUAACUUUUGCUCAUUUGAAAGUAGGUCUAGUCAUAUCUUUAAAUUUUUAUAGUUUCUCUAUUUUCUUAUUGAAAAUUGAAGAAAUUUUAUGCUUAUACAAGGAGCUUCUUUGGAUUUAAUUUUUGGGAAAAUAAAACCCUAGAUUCAAAAGUAUUUUUUUAAUGCCUAAGAAAUUAUUAUAAUAUUAAAUUCUCUUCAAUUUUCUAAAAUUUACACAUAUACAUUUUGUGAACACUAAAUUGAAAGAAUAACAGUCAUAAAAUGGGAGUGUCAUUGUGUCAAACAAGUGGGCCUCAAUGUACUUCAUACUUGAGAGCCAUAAAGUUCUAGUCCCCAUAUGAAUAAAAUCAAAGAUGCUUUGAAUUUUAUGUGAGCAAUGAAAUUUCCUCUAUUUUUUCUAGUUUCUUUAAGUUACUAGUAUAAAGAGAAAUAAGAGGAUGAAGUCUUCAUUAUUAUUAUUAUUAUUAUUAUUAUUUUACUUUUUCUUUAUUUUUUUUCUUUAUUUUUUAUAUAUUUUAAUAUUAUUUGAUGUCAUUCUAAAUCAAUGACAUCCUUGAUCAUUUUCUUACAAUUUUUUAGGUUUUCAUGGUUUAAUAGAUUUGACCUAUGGAAGAAUAUGCAAGCAUAUGUUUCAUGCUUGUUUGAGUAAUAGCAAUGAGAUUCCCUAAUAUCAUUCUAAGAAUAGCUAGGAUUUCUAGAAGAAGAUGUCAUUCGUUUGAUGAGAAAUAAAAAGGAAUAUAAAAAAUUCGAGUGGCUGAAGCUGAAGCAGCUACUUUAAUUCGAAGUAACAAAAAAAAUAAAAUAAAUUAAAAAGCAACUAUUAGAGGGGGAGAGUCAGAGUUGAAAAGAGGAUUCAUCACUUCUCUUUCUCAUUCAAACCGUGCAUGAGAAUUUCAUCUUGCACGACUCUUUAGUUAUAAAAGAAAGAAGAACUCAUCUUCUUUAUUUUUUCAUUACCUUCCUCGCGUAUGUAUAAGACCGAAUCCAUUCAAUUUCUAAAAAGGAUUAGUAAUCCUUAACUUUUUGAUGAAUCCUUCAUCAAUGGUUGUGAAUGAUUGAUUUUUUCAAUCUUUUUGACCUUGGUUCCAUAGGAGCAAGUCAGAAAGAUUGGGAAAUAGAACCAUCUGAUUUGAUUCGUUCUCAAUAGCCAUGAGAUGAUCAUCUUAGGGUGAUCCCUUUGUCGAUGGAUGCUCCUAUUACACUUGUAGUCUCUGAAGGAUGAGAACCAACUAUGUAGCAUCUACAUCAAGAAUUCAAGUAUUGUAUACGCCAUUAGUUUGAUCCUUCGUAGGAACUAUCCAUAAUAACGAACUUGCAAAAUGGAUCUAUUUAUCAUAAAGAGAUUUGUUGUUCCUGACCUUGCUUUAACUUAAUUGUUAUUUGAACAAGUAAAAGUUAUGUCUUGGUCCAAGUGGGGAUAGCAUUUCUCUUCUGCAUGUCCAUAGAGUUUUGAAAAAUCCAAACAUCUCAGAGAUAGAUAGAGGUAGGAAUUUCUUGAAUGAACCACUUAUAUGGGUUUCUUUAGGCAACACACAAGUAAGACGAGUCAUGUCAUGAGUGGAAAAGCCAUAAAGCACAAACCAAGAUCCAUAACAUAAUACUAAAACCAAAAUGAGAAUGAGGUUGGUCUACGAUCAUUGAGGUUGGUCUAUGAUCAUCGUUAUUCGACAUACAUCGACUGAAGACUGUUUCCUGCUGAUCUUAUUCAGACCUAAAGUGGAUUCCCUAUUUAAUUUAUAUAUAUUAAUAUUUUUAUAUAUAAAUUAAUAUUUAUAUAAAAUGGCUGCUUACUAGACAAGGCAUUAGGUUUAUUCAUUCCAUAGAUGCCCCAUUUGUUUCCGAUAUGCACUUCUUUUCCAUCUGACUACAUUGAACUCCUCCUAAAAAAGUGCGUAAGGUGCCACCCACCCUUUCCCCUUACCCCUCUUACUCUCUAAGGAAUGAAAGGUUAGAUCUAACAUGGUCCAAAAAACUUGAAUAGGAAUGAGAUUCACAAUGCCAUCAUUGUAUGACCGAUAGUAGUGCAUGACUGACUUGGAAAAAUGCCCUUUCCAAGUCGUUCAUUAAGCUUUUCUUUUCCUUGUACAAAGCUUCUCUUCUUUCACUAACUCACUGCUCGCCUCUAAAAAAGAAGAUUUUGAACCCCAAUGUAACACUUAAUUAACGGGCAUUUUUGGGGACUAGCCCGCCUCUCCUUUGAGAGAUGCAACCCUCAAUCAGAAUACAAAUAAGAUUAGAAAGGACAUCAUUAAGGCAACAAUGCAAUUGCCUGAUAUGAUAUGCAGUGGACCAUGGGCAUAGUAGAAAAAAAGAACAAAAAUGAAAUUAUAAAACAUAUGAACUAUGAACGGGGAACAAAGGGGCUAUUUAAUUCAGUUAUGGCUGAUAGUAUGGCGUGACAAUAUUUACUUUUGUCUCGACUAUUUGAAAGAUUUUUUAAGAAUUGCUUAAGUUUCCGGUUUCUGGAAAUCGGUUCCAGCUCCAUGGUAUCGGAUAACCAAAUAAUAUGGAUACCUGCACGGAUAUCGUUUGUAUCUUCUAUGUGCACUCCUUUUUCCUUCAAAAUCUCAACCAUAACUUUUAAAAUAUCUUAUUGUAUGAUAAGUUAAUUCCUAAAGGUUAGGUUUAGGGAGAGAUCUUGUUUCAAUUCUUGAAGAAAAUCUUGGUGAGUCCUACCAUGUCCUUCUGAAGCUGCUGUAUUUGUCGGAUCCUGGGACUCUUUUCCCUGAGCUGGAAGAAAGAAAGAGGGCUCCCCGAAAGCACCUGGUGGUGUACAUGAUCCACCAUACAUUCCCCCCGACGUGGAUGGGUAGAAUUGAGCAACGGCUUUAUGGAGCUCAUCCAUGAGGAGAUACCUAAGGGAAAGAACCACCUUUGAUAGAAUAAGAGCAAGGAGGAGGGUUCCAAAAAAAUAAAAAAAAAAUAAAAAGAUUUUAAGUCGUUUUGGAAUUUGAUUUUUUAGUGUUUGAGAAAGAACACAAAUAGAUGAAAUAGCAGCAAAUAGCAUCUUUCUAGCCUGCAUAUUCGUGGAACUCAAUCUCAUUUAUUAGAAAGCUUAUCUCUAUCUUUCAGAAACUGAACAAAAAGUGGUUUAAGAAAGGACUUUAGAAUCGGAUGUGCUUGCCCAAUGAGAAAGGCCCUGCCAGCUAAGUUCAAAUAAAAAAGAAAGAAGAGAACGAAAGGAGAAGAGAACUUCGUAUUUUGGUAAUUCUCUAGGAGUCAUGUUUAACCUUGAAUGCUAUUAAUAGAUUCACCCCUUCAUAUUAGUAUGCCCUUUGAUACAUAACAUUUGUGGGAUGUAAGUCAAAUAUGAGUUUUUGAAUUAAUCCUAAACUUACAUAUAUUGUCCCUAUUCCUUAUAUUUCAUGGUUAAUUGUAAAAUGUGAUCUAUAUUAAUCCUAAACUUACAUAUGGUUCUCCUAUAAUUAAUAGUUGAUUAUGAACUUUGAAAUUUGUUAUUAUUCCAACUCUAAAAUAACUCAUUAAAUAAAUGUACCUAAUUAUUUUAUUUGGGCUAGAUAUUGAUCUCUAUGUCCUUUUACUAUUGUCAUUUUAAAUGUGAUUAAUUAUUAAUUUUGAUUUUCUUGUCUUUUAAUACUUUGUGCAGAUACUAGCACCAUGUUUAACUUUAAGAAGAUUGUGGUCUUGCUAGCCUAAAACUAAGAGAACUAGGAGAUAGAAAUUUCCAUUGCCGAUAUUUUACUGAAGGUAAUUUCCAUCUCUAAGAAGAUUCCAGAUUCACACAUCAUGUUCAGGCAUGGUUAGUCUCCACGGAAGAUUAGACGAAGAUUUAGGGCAGCUUUACACAAUUUGGAUAAUAUAGACUAAUUCAAUACUAGUUCGAAAUGAAACAAUAAAACCAUAAUGUCUAUUGGUGGGUGUUUAAGCAUGGAUAAAAUUGCUUCUAUGCUUACACCAUGUGUACAUAAAGGUAAUGUGGGACCCUCUCUGCAAGGGCAUCCAACAACCAUUCGCACUUGCAGCUGUCUGGGGGAAAUGCACUGGUGGCCGUUUGCCAGAAAGGCCCUAAGGCCGUGUGAUUGGUCUGUCUAUCCCAAAACUAGAAUGCAAACGGACAAUCCUUAGAUAGAAACAACAAGACUAGUGCCCAACUAACCUCUAAGCUUAGAUUGUGCAUCAGGCAUGCUCCAUAAUAAAUGCAGUCGUUACAAGGAGACAUUCCAUUAUUGGCGGCUCAUCAAGGCAAGACAACCAUUAUGCAUCAACAUGCAAUGCCCUAAUACCGCAUAAUUAAGCACAACUAUUCAAAUUUUGUAAAUAGACACUAGAUAACAAAUUUUUCAAUAAAAAAAUCUUCAAAUCAUUAAUUUCUUCAAGAAAUCUUCUCAGAUUCUUUAACUAUUCAAGAUAUCUUCAAAUAUUCAUAUUUUCAAGAAAUCUUGAAUCUUGGAGGAAUUUGUUCAACAGUUGCAAAUUUUUUCAUCGGUAUUCAAUGUGUGCUUUGAAAUGAGAGGCACCCUUUACUUAUUGGGUUGAAAAUUUGAUAUUAUCUCUUGCUUUCCUAGAGAAUCAUCUUAUUUAUUACGAUAAUUAUCAUAGCUAAUUAAUUAAGAUAAUUAUAAAAUUAUUUUUUUUACAAGGCCCAUCUAACAAGUGUCAACAUAUUAUUAGUUAAUUAUUGACAUGCGACGUUUAAUGAGUGGAAAAAAAUUGUCUUCGUACAUAUUUAUUUCAAAAUUGAUCAUUGUUAGUUAGUGGCGACCAUCUACUCAAACUAGUAGGGAGUUCUUUAUACACCUAAUACAUCACAAAUGUAAUUGAAUGUUUAGGAUUAUUUUUUCAACAAUGGCUAAUGUUGACACUAAGGAUGGAUUAGUUACGUUAAGAACAAGGUUAUGAUUUAUAUGUUUAUUUUUAUUGUGAUUUUAGAUAAGGAGGUCCUUAUGUUUUUUUGCGAGUUUGAUGUAAAUUUUUAUGCUAGUCCCAUUUCACCAUAGUUUUAAAUAUCAACUACCUUGUCAUAUUUUAUUUUAUUUUUUUUUAUUUUUGGGUUUCUCUUUCUUAUCGGCUCCAUCUUCUUUAUUGUUGUUUGCAUGAUUUUCAUUUCAUUCUUUGUUUACAUUCCACUUGGCGUUGGCAUCUUAUUGUCUAAGGUUUGUGUAAGAGUUUUUAAAUUUCCAAAGUAGAGUAUGGUACUCAUCCUUUUCAUCAUUUUCAUCCCACUUCUAUAAGAUAAGAGGAGAAUGAUUCGUCAUUUUCAUGGAAAGGUUUUAUUUUAAGUCUUUGCUCUUAUACUAUCUCUCCUUAUUCAUGCUUAUAGAAUUUAAUACAUUAAUGAUACUUUAUUUUCAUUUUAAAAAAAUAUUUAUAGAAAAAGAAAGAGAAAAUAAGAAAACAUACUUAGUAAGCUUGAAGGAACAAUCAAGGUAGAUUGCCUUAGCAAAAUGAAACUCAUGUGAGUAAAAAAUGGAGUUGUCAGUAUAUGCCCCCUAAUAGGGUGGUGCAAUUCUCAACCAGCUGGCUAGUGUUACAGUUGAAUAUGUGAAAGUAGAGCAAGAUGUGGUGUUUACGAAAGGUUAAAGGUACGUGGGUUUGUAUUAAGAUAGAUAAUAUAAUAUUUAAAAUCAUUCACAAUCAUUGAGAUAUGUUUAAUUUAUAUUAAUUCAAUUUUCCCACUUUGGUUAAUUAUAUGGUAAAAACCUAUAAAAACAAAUACAUUUACUAUUGGUAACAUAAAUCAUUCUUUUGAGUUAAAUUAUAUAAUAAUUAAGUUGUCAAAAUUUUCCAUCAUAGUUACAAACUCAACUUUUUGGUGACCCAUAUGUUGUUAUUUUCAAUAAUUAUAUACUCUAUGUAAUUGGACAUAGGUUGGCCAUUGUUCAACUCUCAUUGUAGCCAUGAAAUUACACCUCAACAUUCAAUACUACAAAUGAGCAAAUUCUUAGCCUUGAAUUCAAGUAACUCCCAACCAUUGGUUGGGCCUUAUACCAACCAUAGAUUAGAUUCCUUCCUAGGUUGUUUUGCUUUUCAUGGUGGUGUGCACUGAAGGCCCCUCCUAUAGAUUCUUAGAGGCACAUUAUCUCAAUUUCUUUUCCAUUUCUUUGAUCACUCAUUAGGCUAGUAUAUUAAGUUGGAAUGUGAGAUUAUUUAGUAUUAAAAUACUAUAUUUUGUUGUAAAAAAAGGUACAACUAUUAAUAGCUUCAAUAAAUAUAAAACAUCUUAUUUUUACUUCAAUGUAAAACAAAUUCAAAUUAUUACAAUUUCAUUAAUCAUGAAACAUCUGGUUUUUUUUUUAAAUUGUAAAAGGCUAAUCACACAAAAAACUUGAGAAUAGUAGUCCCAUUAUAUAUAAUUGUAGCUAAUGUGGGCCUCACUCUCCUUAGAAACCUAAUACACAUUGAUUCAUUGAACCCUAACCUUUAAAUAUAUAAAACUCAACAUAUAUUGGCUAGUUGAACCCUAGCCGCCAAACAAUGAUCUAUGAAAUUCUCAAUUCUCACAUAAGAAGAAGAAGAAGAUACCAAACAUGAAUCUAUCUUCGAUUAACAAAUUACAAGAUUGGAUCAAAGAUUUAGCAUAUGGUAAUCUUAUUCAUGUUUAGUUUGUAUUACUUUAGGAUUUCUUUAAUUUUUGCUCAUUUGAAAGUAGAUUGAGUCAUAUCUUUAAAUUUUUAUAGUUUCUCUAUUUUCUUAUUGAAAAUUGAAGAAAUUUUAUGCUUAUACAAGAAGCUUCUUUGGAUUUAAAUUUUUGGAAAACAAAACCCUAGAUUCGGAAGUAUUUUUUUAAUGCCUAAGAAAUUAUUAUAAUAAUAAAUUCUCUUCAAUUCUUUGAAAUUUACACAUACAUUUUAUGAACCCUAAAUUGAAAGAAUAGCAGUCGUAAAAUGGGAGUGUCAUUGUGUCAACCAAGAGGGCCUCCCCGUACUUCAUACUCGAGAGCCAUAAAGUUCUAGUCCCCAUAUGAAUAAAAUUAAAAUUGCUUUUAAUUUUAUGUGAGCAAUGAAAUUUCCUCGAUUUUUUCUAAUUUCUCUAAGCUACUAGUAUAAAGAGAAAUAAGAGGACGAAGUAUUCAUUAUUUUUUACUUUUUCUUUAUUUUUCUUUAUAUUUUAAUAUUAUUUGAUGUCAUUCUAGAUUAAUGACAUCCUUUAUCAUUUUCUUACCCCUUUUUAGGUUUUCAUGGUUUAAUAAUAGUUAGUAUGCCCUUUGAUACAUAACAUUUGUGGGAUGUAAGUCAAAUAUGAGUUUUUGAAUUAAUCCUAAACUUACAUAUAAUUUCUCCAUUUGUUAUAUUUCAUGAUUAAUUGUAAAAUGUGAUUUAUAUUAAUCCUAAACUUACAUAUGGUUCUCCUAUAAUUAAUAUUUGAUUAUGAAUUUUGAAAUUUGUUAUUAUUCCAACUCUAAAAUAACUCAUUAAAUAAAUGUACCUUUGUAUUUUAUUUGGGCUAGAUAUUGAUCACUAUGUCCUUUUACUAUUUUCAUUUUAAAUGUGAUUAGUUAUUUAUUUUCAUUUUCUUGUUUUUUGAUACUUUGAACAGAUACUAGCACCCUGUUUAAUUGUGAUAAGAGUGUGGUCUUGCUAGCCUAAAACUAAGAGAACUAUGAGAUAGGAGUUUCCCUUGCAGAUAUUUUCUUGAAGGUAAUUUCCAUCUCUGAGAAGAUUCCAGAUUCACACAUCAUGUUUAGGCAUGGUCAGUCUCCAUAGAAGAUUAGAGGAAGAUUUGGGGUAAUUUUACACAAUUUGGAUAAUAUGAUUAAUUCUAUACCAGUUUGAAAUGAAGCAAUAAAACCACAAUGUCUAUUGGUGGGUGUUUGAGUAUGGACAAAAUUGCUUCUAUGCUUAGACCAUGUGUACAUGAAGGUAGGACUAUAGAUGGGAUAAAAUAAACAAUGACAACGCUCAAGUUGGCAUGGGUAUUCGAUGACCACUGUAAAAAAAAACAAAUAAUGACUUUAUGCGAGUGUUGAAUAUAAAUUUGUAGUUAUGCUUGUAACAUUGUGUUGACAAUAUUAGCACAUAUAAAGUACUUAUAUAUACCAUCUUAGAUUGUUCAUGGCACCUACUCAUUGAACAUCUUUCACUAGAAUUGAUAAUCAAUAGCAAUAUAGAAUAUUUUCUCUAUGACUGGUUCACAUGUGGUAUGAAGGAAAAUCUUAUGAUCCAUUUUCAUUUCAUCAUUUACAUCUAACAAGUGUCAACAAUUAUAUAUUGACAUUUAGCAACCAUUAGUGACAUCAACAUUGGUAAUUUGGUUCUUUGGUAGGCUAGGCCCUAAUGAUUUUUUACACAUAAAUUUUCUGAAAUAAGAAAAUUGUUGACAAAAUUAUAAGUUGAUUUAUUUAUACUUUACAAUCUUUAAUAUGCCCUUUGAUUAUUCUUAUAAAGAUACAAACACCCUUUCAAAAAAUUUAAUAUAUAAUUUUAGACCAAAAGGUCAGGGUUUUGUAAAUAGACACUAGAUAAUAAAUUUUCCAAUAAAAAAAAUCUUCAAAUCAUUAAUUUCUUCAAGAAAUCUUCUUAUAUUCUUUAACUGUUCAAGACAUCUUCAAAUAUUCAUCUUUUCAAGAAAUCUUGAAUCUUGAAGGAAUUUUUUCACCAACUACAAAAUUUUUUGUUGGUGUUCAAUGUGUGCUUUGAAAUGAGAGGAACCCUUUACUUAUUGGAUUGAAAAUUUUAUUUUGAUAUUAUCUCUUGCUUUCCUAGAGAUAAUCAUCGUAUUUAUUGUGAUAAUUGUCAUUUAUUUUAAUUAUCAUAGCUAGUAAAUUAAGAUAAUUAUAAUAUUUUUUUUCUUUAUCACAAUUAAUUGAUUUCUUAUUAUUUUUAAUUUAUAAAAUUAUUUUUUUACAAGGCUCAUCUGACAAGUGUUAACAUAUUGUUAGUUAAUUAUUGACAGCGACUUUUAAUGAGUGGAAAAAAAUUGUCUUUGUACAUACUUUUUUCAACAUUGAUCAUUGUUAGUUAGUGGCCGCCAUAUACUCAAACCAGUAGGGAGUUCUUUAUACACCUAAUGAUUUCUUGAAACAUUGAUCACAAAUGUAUUUCAAUGUUUAGGUUUAUUUUUUCAACAAUGGCUAAUGUUGUGGCUAACGUUGGAUUAGUUAGGUUAAGAACAAGGUUGUGUUUCAUAUGUUUAUUUUUAUAGUGAUUUUAGAUAGAGAGUUCCUUAUGGUUUUUUUGUGAGUUUGAUGUAAAUUUUUAUGCUAGUUCCAUUUCACCAAAGUUUUAAAUAUCAGCUACCUUGUUAUAUUCUUUUUUCUUUUCUUUUUUUGGCUUCUCUAUCAUAUGGGCUCCAUUUUUUUUUAUUGUUGUUUGAAUGAUUUUCAUUUCAGUCUUUGUUUCCAUUCCACUUGGUGCUAGCAUCUUAUUGUCUAAGGUUUGUGUAAGAGUUUUUAAAUUUUCAAAGUAGAGUAUGGUACUCAUCCUUUGCAUCCUUUUUAUCCCACUUUUCUAAGAUAAGAGAAGAAUGAUUGGUCAUUUUCAUGGAAAGCUUUUUAUUUUAAGUCUUUUCACUUAUACUAUCACUCCUUAUUCAUGCUUAUAGAAUUUAAUACAUUAAUGACAUUUCAUUUUCAUUUUAAAAAAUAUGUAUAGGAAAAAAAAACAUACUUAACAAGCUUGAAAGAACAGUUAAGGUAGAUUGUCUUAGUGGAACGAAAUUCAUGUGAAUAAAAAAUGGAGUUGUCAGUAUUAUGCCUCCUAGUGUUAAGGUUGUGGGAAAGUGGUGCAAUUCUCAACCAACUAGUGUUAAGGUUGAAUGUGUGAAAGUAGAGAAAGAUUUGGUGUUUAUGAAAGGUUAAAGGUAUGUGCAUUUUCUUUUGGGGAACGGGCCAAGCCCAAUAGGGAUAGCACACCCCAAGAGUCGUCUCGUCUACAACACCCUAUUUGAAUUUUCUAGUAUGAUGACAACAUGGUUAAGUGAAAAAAGAUAGCACUAUAACAUCUAAAAUCAUUCACAAUCAUUGAGAUAUAUUUAAUUUAUAUUAAUUCAUCCUUUCUACUUUUUUUAAUUUAUAUAUGUGAAACUUUCAAUCUAGUAAUCAAAUAUACAAGGAUUCUUUGAUCCUCUCACUUGCAGUCUCUUUAAAAUGGACUAUGAGGCAACUAUAUGUCAAUAAUGCCUUUUUACAUGGGUUUCUCAAGGAGUAGGUGUUCAUGGAGUAGCUAGCCCAUAGCUUUGUAAAUGAAGACUUUCCCAAUCAUGUAUGUUGUCUUAAUCAGUCUCUCCAUGGUUUGAAACAAACUCCAAGAGCCUAGUUCAAUAGACUUUCUUAGUUUCCUUCUCCAUAUAGGUUUUCAUUGUGGUAAAGUAGUCCUAUCCUUAUUCAUCUAAACAUAUAGGUCACUCCAUUAUUCUAAUAUUGAUUUACGUGGAUGAUGUUAUAGUCAUCGAAAAUGAUACAACCACCAUUGAUAAUCUCAACUUGGGCAAGUUCAUUACUUUCUUAGGUUGGAAGUUCAAAACUUUUAUGGCGGUAUUUUUGUUUCCUAAACAAAGUAUCUUAGAGACUUACUCAGUGGGAUGAAAUGCUUGAGUACUCUCACUUAAACAUGCUCAUGGCUAUCAAAUCUAUGACUAACCCAGCUAAUGAUCAUCCAGUUGAUCAAACCCUUUUAUAGGCAACUUACUUUGGUUCCUUGCAAUAUCUCAUGUUUACAAGACAAGGUGUUGUCCAUGCAAUAAACAAAGCCUAUCAACAAUUUCAAUCUCCCAUAGAGGCUAACAUGCAAGUUGUGAAAGUAUCUUGAGCUAUUUAAAGGAAACCAUGGAUUAUGGACUUUGCUUUCUUAAAAAAAUUUCCUUUUAUUUAAUAGGCUAUUGCAAUGCUGAUUAGGCUAGAUGCACCAUUUACAUGUCCCAUGAAUGAAAACUCCAUGAUCCAGUUUUUUAAACAAUGACAUUUCCACUCUGCCAUUUACAUCUAACAAUUGUCGCCAACUAUAAAUAUUUAGCAACCACUGGUGACAUCAAUAUUGGUAAUCUGGUUCUUUUCUAGGCUAGGACUUAAUGACUUUUAACACAAAAAAUUUCUCAAAUAAGAAAAUUGUUAAUGAAAUUGUAAGGUGGUUUAUUUAUACUUUACAAUCAUUAAUUUGCCCCUUGAUUCUUCUAAUAAAUACACAAACACCAUUUUAAACAAUUUAAUUUUAAUUUUGGAUCAAAAGGAUGGGGUUUCAUAAAUAGACACUAGAUAAUAAAUUGUUUCAAUGGAAAAAAAUCUUUGAAUCAUCAAAUAUUUCUCCAAGAAAUCUUUGAUAUUCUUUAACUCUUUAAGAGAUCUUCAAAUAUUCAUCUUUUGAAGAAAUCUUGAAUCUUGAAGGAAUUUCUUCAACAACUAUAAAAAUUUUCAUCGGUCUUCAAUGUAUGCUUUCAAAUGAGAGGAGCCCUCUACUUAUUGGGUUAGAAAUUUUAUUUUGAUAUUAUCUCUUGCUUUCCUAGACAUAAUCAUAUUUUUUUUAUUGUGGUAAUUAUUAUUUAUUUUAAUUAUUUAUAAUUAAUUAAUUAAGAUAAUUAUAAUAUUCUUUUGCCCCAUCACAAUUAACUGAUUUCUUUUUUUGUUUUAAUUUAUCAAAUUAUUUUUUUUGCAAGACCCAUCUAGCAAGUGUCAAUAUGUUAUUAGUUAAUUAUUGACAUGUGACUUUUAAUGAGUGGACAAAAUUUUUCUUUGUACAUAUUUCUUUCAACAUUGAUCAUUGCUAGUUAGUGGUGACAAUCUACUCAAACUCGUAAGUUGUUCUUUAUACACCUAAUGAUUUCUUGAAAUAUCACAAGUUUCUUUUAAUGUCUAGGUUUAUUUUUCAAUAAUGGUCAAUGCUAAGGCUAAGGUUGGGUUAGUUAGGUUAAGAAUAAGUUUAUGCUUCAUAUGUUUAUUUUUGUUGUGAUUUUAGAUAAAGGGGGUCCUUAUGUUCUUUCAUGAGUUUGAUGUAAAUUUUUAUGUUUGUUCCAUUUCACCUUAGUUUUAAAUAACAUCUACCUUGUUAUAUUCUUUUUUUUUUUUUGGCUUCUCUUUCGUAUGGGCUCCAUCUUCUUUACUAUUGUUUUCAUGAUUUCAACUUCAUUCUUUGUUUCCAUUCCACUUAUGGUGGCAUCUUAUUGUCUAAGGUUUGUGUAAGAAUUUCUAAAUUUCAUCAUUUGCAUCAUUUUUCAUCCCACUUCUCUAAAAUAAGACUAGAAUGAUUGGUUACUUUCAUGACAAGUUUUUAUUUUAACUCUUUCUACUUAUACUAUCUCUCCUUAUUCAUGCAUCUAGAAUUUAAUACAUUAAUAAUGCUUCAUUUUCAUUUUUAAAAAUAUGUAUAGGAAAAAAAAAAAGAGAAAAUAAGAAAACAUAUAUACUUAGCAAGCUUGAAGGAACAAUCAAGGUAGAUUGCCUUAGCGGAAUGAAACUCACGUGAGAAGAAAAUGGAGUUGUCAGUAUUAUGCUCAGGAAGGUAGUGCAAUUCUCAACCAACUAGUGAUAGGGUUGAAUAUGUUAAAGUAGAGCAAGAUGUGAUGUUUACAAAAGGUUAAAGGUAUGUGGGUUUUGUAUUAAGAUAGAUACUAUAAUAUUUAAAAUCCUUCACAAUCGUUAAGAUAUAUUUAACUUAUAUUAAUCCAAUCUUCCUACUUUGGUUAAUUUUAUGGUAAAAACCUAUAAAAACAAAUACAUUUAGACUAUUGGGAACAUAAAUAAUUAUUUUGAGUUAAAUUGUAUAAUAAUUAAGUUGCAAAAAUUUUCAAUUGUGGCUACAGACACAACUUUUUGGUCAGCCAUAUGUUGUUAUUUUCAAUAAUUAUAAAUUUUAGGUAAUUGGACAUAGAUUGGCCAUUGUUCAACUCUCAUUGAAACCAUGAAAUUACACCUCAACAUUCAAUACUAAAAAUGAGCAAAUUCUUAGCCUCGAAUUCAAGAAACUCCCAGCCAUGGGUUGGGCCUUAAAACAACCAUAGAUUAGACUCUUUCCUAGGUUGUUUUGCUUGCCAUGGUGGUGUGCACUGAAGGCCCCUCCUAUAGGAUCUUAGGAGCACAUUAUCUCAAUUUCUUUUCCAUAUCUUUUAUCACUCAUUAGGCUAGUAUAUUAAGUUGGAAUGUGAGAUUGUUUAGUAUUAAAAUACUAUAUUUUGCUGUAAAAAAAGUGCAGCUAUUAAUAGCUUCAAUAAAUAUAAAACAUCUUAUUUUUACUUUGAAGUAAAAAAAUUCAAAUUAUUACAAUUUCAUUAAACAUGAAAAAUCUUGCACACUAAACUAAAAUAAGGUUUUUUUUUCUAAAAAAAAUUUAUAAUUCCUUGUGUGAGAAAAAUCUUUCCAAAGUGAGAAACUCUAAUAUAUAUAUAUAGUGGACACAAUGUGAUGUUAAAUUGUAAAAGACUAAUCACACAUGGUACUUGAGAAUAGUAGUCCCAUUAUAUAUAAUUGUAGCUAAGGUGGCCCCCACUCUUCUUAGAAAACUAAUACACAUUGAUUCAUUGAGCCCUAACCUUCAAAUAUAUAAAACCAAACACAUAUUGGCUAGUUGAACCGUAGCCACCAAACAAUGAUCUAGGAAAGUCUCAAUUCUUGCAUAAGAAGAAGAAGAAGAUACCAAACAUGAGUCUAUCUUUGAAUAAUAGCUUGUGAGAUUGGAUCAAAGAUUUAGCAUAUGGUAAUCUUAUUCAUGUUUAGUUUGUAUUACUUUGGGAUUUCUUUAACUUUCGCUCAUUUGAAAGUAGAUUGAGUCAUAUCUUUAAAUUUUUAUGGUUUCUCUAUUUUCUUAUUCAAAAUCGAAGAAAUUUUUUGCUUAUACAUGGAGCUUCUUUGGAUUUAAUUUUUGGGAAAACAAAACCUUAGAUUCAAAAGUAUUUUUUUAAUGCCUAUGAAAUUAUUAUAAUCUUAAAUUGUCUUCAAUUUUCCCAAAUUUUCACAUAUACAUUUUGUGAACCCUAAAUUGAAAGAAUAGAAAUAGUAAAAUGGGAGUGUCAUUGUGUCAAACAAGAGGGCAUCCAUGUACUUCAUACUCUGAGAGCCAUAAAGUUUUAGUCCCUAUGAAUAAAAUCAAUUAUGCUUUUAAUUUUAUGUGAGGAAUGAAAUUUCUUGGAUUUUUUUCUAGUUUCUCUAAGUUACUACUAUAAAGAGAAAUAGGAGGAUGAAGUCUUCAUUAUUUUUAUUUUUUNNNNNNNNNNNNNNNNNNNNNNNNNNNNNNNNNNNNNNNNNNNNNNNNNNNNNNNNNNNNNNNNNNNNNNNNNNNNNNNNNNNNNNNNNNNNNNNNNNNNNNNNNNNNNNNNNNNNNNNNNNNNNNNNNNNNNNNNNNNNNNNNNNNNNNNNNNNNNNNNNNNNNNNNNNNNNNNNNNNNNNNNNNNNNNNNNNNNNNNNNNNNNNNNNNNNNNNNNNNNNNNNNNNNNNNNNNNNNNNNNNNNNNNNNNNNNNNNNNNNNNNNNNNNNNNNNNNNNNNNNNNNNNNNNNNNNNNNNNNNNNNNNNNNNNNNNNNNNNNNNNNNNNNNNNNNNNNNNNNNNNNNNNNNNNNNNNNNNNNNNNNNNNNNNNNNNNNNNNNNNNNNNNNNNNNNNNNNNNNNNNNNNNNNNNNNNNNNNNNNNNNNNNNNNNNNNNNNNNNNNNNNNNNNNNNNNNNNNNNNNNNNNNNNNNNNNNNNNNNNNNNNNNNNNNNNNNNNNNNNNNNNNNNNNNNNNNNNNNNNNNNNNNNNNNNNNNNNNNNNNNNNNNNNNNNNNNNNNNNNNNNNNNNNNNNNNNNNNNNNNNNNNNNNNNNNNAUUACACCAUGUGUACAUGAAGGUAGGACUAUAGACGGGACAAAAUAAACAAUGAUAAGGCUUAAGUUGGCCUCGGUAUUCGAGGACUACUAUAAAAAAAAAUGACUAUCUGGGUGACAUAUGAGUGUAAAAAAGAAUUACAUAUAUAUAGAUUUACAUUAUCAUAUAAAUAUCACCUCAAUUUGCCAUCUUAGAUUGUUCAUGGCACUUGCUCAUAGGAUAUCUUUGGCUCAUGGGAUAUCUUUUACCAGAAUUGAUAAUCAAUAGCAGUAUAGAAUCUUUACUCUACUACUGGUUCACAUGUGGUAUGAAGGAAGAUACUAUGAUCAAGUUUUUCAUACAAUGUCAUUUUUAUUCCACCUUUUACAUCUAACAAGUGUCAACAAUUAUAUAUUGACAUUUAACAAUCGUUAGUGACAUGAACAUUGGUAAUUUGGUUCUUUGGUAGGUUAAGCCUAAUGAUUUUUUACACAUAAAUUUUAUGAAAUAAGAAAAUUGUUGACAAAAUUGUAAGUUGAUUUAUUUAUACUUUACAAUCUUUAAUAUGCCCUUUGAUUAUUCUUAUAAAGACACAAACACCCUUCUAAACAAUUUAAUAUAUAAUUUUAGAUCAAAAGGUUAGAGUUUUGUAAAUAGACACUAGACAAUAAAUUUUCCAAUAAAAAAAAAACCUUCAAAUCAUUAAUUUCUUCAAUAAAUCUUCCUAUAUUCUUUAACUAUUCAAUAGAUCUUCAAAUAUUCAUCUUUUCUAGAAAUCUUGAAUCUUGAAGGAAUUUGUUCAACAAUUGCAAAUUUUUUUGUUGGUAUUCAAUGUGUGCUUUGAAAUGAGAGGAACCUUUUUACUUAUUGGGUUGAAAACUUUAUUUUGAUAUUAUCUCUUGCUUUCCAAGAGAAAAUCAUUUUAUUUAUUGUGAUAAUUAUCAUUUAUUUUAAUUAUCAUUGUUAAUUGAUUAAGAUAAUUAUAAUUUUUUUGCUUUAUCAAAAUUAAUUGAUUUCUUAUUAUUUUUAAUUUACAAAAUUAUUUUUUUACAAAGGCCUAACUGACAAGUGUUAACAUAUUGUUAGUGAAUUAUUGACAUGCGACUUUUAAUGAGUGGAAAAAAUUUGUAUUUGUACAUACUUUUUUUAACAUUGAUCAUUAUUGGUUAGUGGCCACCAUCUACUCAAACCAAUAGGGAGUUCUUUAUACACCUAAUAAUUUCUUGAAACAUCACAAAUUUAUUUCAAUGUUUAGGUUUAUUUUUUCAACGAUGGCUAAUGCUAAGGUUGGAUUAGUUAGGUUAAGAACAAGGUUAUGUUUCAUAUGUUUAUUUUUAUAGUGAUUUUAGACAGAGAAUUCUUUUGUUUUGUUUUUUUUUUUGUGAGUUUGAUGUAAAUUUUUAUGCUAGUUCCAUUUCACCAAAGUUUUAAAUAUCAACUACCUUGUCAUAUAUAUAUAUAUAUAUAUAUAUAUUUGUCUUCUCUUUCAUAUGGGCUCCAUCUUCUUUAUUGUUGUUUGCAUGAUUUUCAUUUCAUUCUUUGUUUCCAUUCCACUUGGUGCUAUCAUCUUAUUGUCUAAGGUUUGUGUAAGAGUUUUUAAAUUUUCAAAGUAGAGUAUGGUACUCAUCCUUUACAUCAUUUUUAUCCAACUUCUCUAAGAUAAGAGGAGAAUGAUUGGUCAUUUUCAUGGAAAGGUUUUAUUUUAAGUCUUUUCACUUAUAUGAUCUCUCCUUAUUCAUGCUUAUAGAAUUUAAUACAUUAAUGACAUUUCAUUUUCAUUUUAAAAAAAUAUGUAUAGGAAAAAAAGAAAAAAAGAAAACAUACUUAGCAAGCUUGAAAGAACAGUUAAGGUAGAUUGUCUUAGCGGAACGAAACUCACGUGAGUAAAAAAUGGAGUUGUCAGUAUUAUGCCUCUUAAGAAGGUGGUGCAAUUCUCAACCAACUAGUGUUAAGAUUGACUAUGUGAAAGUAGAGUAAGAUUUGGUGUGUAAGAAAGGUUAAAGGGACAUGGAUUUUCUUAUGGGGAACGGGCCCUGCAAAUAGGAACAACACACGCUAAGAUUCGUCUCGUUUACAACACCCUAUCCGAAUUUUCUAGUAUGAGGACAACAUAGUUAAGUGAACUAAGAUAGUACUAUAAUAUCUAAAUCAUUCACCAUCAUUGAGAUAUAUUUAAUUUAUAUUAAUUUAGCCUUCUGAUGAGUUAAAUUGAAUAAUAAUUAAGUUGCCAAAAUUCUCCAUUGUACAUACAAAAACAACUAUUUAGUGAUCCAUAUGUUGUUAUUUUCAUAGUAUGUGUAAUUGGAAAUAGGUUGCCAUUGUUUAGCUCUCAUUGCAACCAUAGAAUCAUAUGUCAACAUUCAAUACUACAAAUGAGAAUAUUAUCAGCCUUGAAUUCAAACAACACUGGAUUGGGACUUGAACCAACCAUAGAGCAAACUUCUUUUUGUGUUGUUUUGUUGCCCAUGGUGGUGUGCACUGAAGGCCCCUCCCAUAGGUGCUUAGAAGCACAUUAUGUCAAUUUUUUUUCCAUAUCUUUUAUCACACAUUAGGCUAGUUUCUUAAAUUGGAGUGUGAGGCUGUUUGGUAUUAAAAUACUUUAUUUUAAUGUUUUUUUUUAUAAAAAAAGUAGAGCUAUUGAUAGCUUCAAUAAACAUAAAAACAUCUUAUUUUUAUUUUGAUCUUAAAAAAAAAAUUGAAUUAUUUAAAUUUUAUUAAACAUGAAACAUCUUACACACAAAACUAAAAUAAGUUUUUUUUUUUAAAUAGGAUUCCUUGUGUGUGAAAAUUCUUUUCAGAGAGAGAAACCUCUAAAAAAAUUAUUAAAAUUCAAGUAAAAUGUCUUAAUGAGCUGACACAAUCCACUUAAAUUGUAAAAGACUAAUCACACAUACUACUUGAGAAUAGUAGUCCUAUUAUAUAUAAUGGUAAUUGGGCGGGCGGCCCCCACUCUUUUUAAACCUAAUACACAUUGAUUCAUUGAACCUUAGCCUUCAAAUAUAAAACCAAACACAUUGGUUACUGGACCCCUAGUCGUCAAAUAAUGAUCUAUGAAAUUCUCAAUUAUCUCAUAAGAAAAAGAAGAUAUUAAACAUGAGUCUAUCUCCGAUUAAUAGCUUGCGGGCUUGGAUCAAAGAUUUAGCAUAUGGUAAUCUUAUUCUUAUUUGAUUUGUAUUACUUUAGGAAUUAUUUAACUUUCACUCAUUUGAAAGUAGAUCAAGUCAUAUCCUUCAAUUUAUAUGGUUCCUCUAUUUUCUUCUUGAGAGUUGAACAAAUUUUGUGCUUAUACAAAGAGCUUUUCUGGAUUUAAUUUUUGGGAAAACAAAACCAUAGAUUGGGAAAUAUUUUUUUUAGUGCCUAAUAAAUUAUUACAAUCUUAAAUUCUCUUCUAUUUUCCAAACUUUAACCAAUACAUUUUGUGAACUCGAAAUUAAAAGAAUAACAUUAGUAUAAUGGGAGUGUUCAUUGUGUCAAACAAGAAGGCCUUCAUGUACUUCAUAUUUGAGAGCCAUAAAGUUCUAAUCACCAUAUUGAAUAAAAUCAAAGAUGCCUUGAAUUUUAUAUGAGCAAUGAAACUUCCUCAAUUUUUUCUAGUUUCUCUAUGCUAUUAGUAUAAAGAGAAAUAAGAGGAUAGAAUCUUCAUUAUUUUCUUAAUUUUUCUUUAGUUUUUCAUAAUUUAAUAUUAUUUGAUGUCGUUAUAAAUCAAUGACCAUCCUUUAUCAUUUUCUUACAUUUUCUUUAGGCUUUCAUAGUUUAAUACUAGUUAGUAUGCCCUUUGAUACAAAACAUUGUGGGAUCAAUGUAAGUCAAAUGUGAGUUUUUGAAUUGAUCCUAAACAUACAUAUAUUAUCCUUACUCUUUAUAUUUCAUGAUUAAUUGAAAAAUGCGAUAUUAAUCGUAAACUUACAUAUACUUCUCCUACAAUUAAUAUUUGGUUAUGGAUUUUGAAAUUUGUUAUUAUUCCAACUCUAAAAUAAAUCAUCAAAUAAAUGUACCUCAAUAUUUUCUCUGGGCUAGAUAAUGAUCAUUAUGUCAUUUUACGAUUAUCAUUGGUAGUUGUUUAUUUUGUUUUUCUGCGUUUUGAUACUUUGUGCAGACACUAGUACCAGGUUUGAGUCUUAGAAAAUUGUGGCCCUGCCAAUCUAAAACUAAGAGAUGGAAAUUUCCCUUGGAGAUAUUUUUCUUAGGGUAAUUUCCAUCUUUAAGAAGAUUAUAGGUUCUCACACCAAGUUCAAGCAUGGUUAGUGUCUACAAAAGAUUAGAUGAAAAUUUGGGGCAACUUUACACAAUUUGGAUAAUAUGGAUUAAUUCAAUAAUAGUUUGAAAUGAAACAAUAAAACCACAAUGUCUACUAUUGGGUGUUUGAGCAUGGACAAAAUUGCUUCUAUGUUUAGACCAUGUGUACAUGAAGGUAGGGCAUUAGAUGGGAUAAUAUAAACAACCAUAAAGCUCAUGUUGGCAUAGGUGUUCGAGGAUUACUGUCAAAACAAUGACUCUAUUCUUGUAUUAAACAUGAAUAUAUAGUUAUGCUUGUAACAUUGUGUCGACAAUAUUAGCACCUAGAAAGUGCUUAUAUAUAUAUAUAUAUAUAUAUAUAUAUAUAUAUAUAUAAUUAUUAUAUUUUAAAAAAUUACAUUAUUUUAUAUGUAUCCCUUGAAUUUUCCAUCUUACAUUAUUCAUGGCACCUCCUCAUAGGAUAGUUUUUGUACUUUGAUGCUUCGUAUUCCUUUGUAAACUACUAGAAGGAAUAUGAAUGACAUGUCUAUAUUAUAAUUAUAUUUCACCAGUAUUGAUGAUUAAUAGCUAUAUAGAACAUUUACUCUACUAUUGGUUCACAUGUGGCAUGAAGGAAAAUCCUAUAAUCUAAUUUUUUAGAUAAUGUCAUUUCCAUUCCACCAUUUACUACUAACAACUAUCAACAACUAUAGACAUUUAAACAAUUUAAUUUUGGAUCAAAAGGUCGGGGUUUCAUAAAUAGACACUGGAUAAUAUAUUCUUUCAAUGAAAAAAAUGAUCAAUUUCUUCAAGAAAUCUUUAGAUGUUAUGCAACUCUUUAAGAGAUCUUCAAAUAUUCAUUGUUUGAAGAAAUCUUGAAUCUUGAUGGAAUCUCUUCAACAACUAUAAAAUUUUUGGCCGAACCCUCUAUGGUUGGAAAUUUUAUUUUAAUAUUAUCUAUUUAUUUCCUAGAUUUAAUCAUUUUCUUUAUUGUGAUAAUUAUAAUUUAUUUUAAUUAUCAUAAUGAAUUAAUUAAGAUAAUUAUAAUAUUCUUUUGCUUUUUCAUAAUUAAUCGAUUUUUUUAUUAUUUUUAAUUUAUUAAUUUUUUUUAGCAAGAUCCAUCUGACAAGUGUCAACUGUUAUGACAUUGAGUCUUUUUUAUAUGUUAGCAAUUUUGUUCCAAUUUAUGUUUGACCAUAGAAGUCUUUUUAGAUAAUGACUUUCUCUCCAUUGAAGAUCAAGGGUUACUUUUCAUCCGAUUAAGAAAUCACACGUACGUCUAAAAAGGUUUGGUUUGUGGCAUAUAAGACUUCUUUGAUCUAUAAAAAGUUUGGUGUCAAUUUUGGACUCAAACUUUUUUUAAAAUGCUUUUUAAAAAAGAAGGGGAAGCUCAUGUGGUUAAUCCCGAUUAAGCAGUCAACUUGCUCAAGUGGCAUGAAACACUUAAGCGGAGUGCUCAAGUGGUCUAAGCCUCCUCAAGCGGUCAUGUCUGUUGAGUUUAGAAACAUAUUUUGAAUGAAUUUCACUCAAACUUUAAUUUAGAAACUUAAGAUACUUGGACUCUUUGACUUGUGCUUAUAUAUACUUGUCUAAUAACCCUUUGAGGGUUAAAGAUUCGGGCUAAGAGAUUAGAAUUGAAAAUAUCUGAGUUUAGAGACCUCUUAUUCUUUAGAGGGACUCUUUGAGAGAAAGCCUUAUUGCCACACCAUUUUCGAUAUCUUUUUCAAGGAUUUGGAUUUUUGAAUUGUUGGUUGAAGACCUAAAUCCCUUUGAAGGUACUAGAUGAUCUAUUAGGGAGCAAUAGAGUGUUGUUGUGUCACAUAAGUAGAUCAAGUUAUAGGUACUAAAGAGAAAGUCUUUAGGGUUAAACGACUAGUUAAAUCUGUGUAACUUGAUUUCGAAUAGUGGAUUUAGAUUGAUAGGUCUUAGACCUUGUGGUUUUUUUUCUCCAUAAGUUUGUGGGGGUUUUCCACAUAAAAAAUCUUAUGCCUCAUUGUCUAUUUCUUUAUAUUUGUUAUUAUGUUUGAAGUGCCUCGAUUAGGUUAAUUUGAUUAAUCUUAAUAUAUUGCAGGGCUUUCCUAAAAAAUGCAUAUCUAUUUAUUCCUGCUUUUUUUCUAGUUGAUAACUUUGAAUAUCUUAGUUUUAUUGGUUAAUUAGUUAUUGAGUUAGAUGAUUUGUUAUCUUGGUGGUUGUGGUGGUUAUACCCAUAACCAAUUAUUGAUUAAUUUAUUGAGAUUAUUGUAGAGUUUGCUAGGUUGGUUAUUCUAGUAGUUAUUAUUAUUAUUAUCCCCAACAUAUCUGAACAUAUAUCGUUAAUCUUUGGAUAUCAAUUAACCAUAAAAAUUAGUUUUUUAUUUGGAGUGAAAUCUUAAGAUAAAGUUUAGACAUAUUUUAUAAAUAAUUUAUUAAUUUUUUUAAAAAUCACCCAUCUACCCCCAUCUGGGUGUUCCCCUAUCAGACUUUUGAUAAUUAUUCAAGUCGUAUUUGAGCAAUACCCAUUUUUCAUCAACAUAGUAUUUGUUAAUUAUUGACAUUUGACUUUUAAUGAGUAGACAAAAUUUCUCUUUAUACAUAUUUCUUUCAACAUUGAUUAUUGUUAGUUAGCGACAACCAUCUACUCAAACUGGCAAGGAGUUCUUCAUACACUUAAUGAUUUCUUGAAACAUCACAAAUUUCCUUCAAUGUUUAGGUUUAUUUUUCAACAAUGGCCAAUGCUAAGGCUAAAUGCUAUGUUUCAUAUGUUUAGUUGUUGUGUUUUUAGAUAAAAAGGUCCUUAUGUUUUUCUGUGAGUUUGAUGUAAAUUUUCGUGCUUGUUCAAUUUCACCAUAGUUCUAAAUAUCAACUACCUUAUUAGAUUUUUUUUUGCUUCUCUUUUAUAUGGGCCCCAUUUUUUUUAUUGUUGUUUCCAUGAUUUUAAUUUCAUUCUUUGUUUCCAUUCAACUUGGUUUCGACAUUGUAUUAUCUAAGGUUUCUACAAGAAUUUUUAAAUUUCCUUAGUACAGUAUGACAUUCAUCCUUUGCAUCAUUUUUAUCACACUUCUGUAAAAUAAGAGGAGAAUGAUCAGUCAUUUUCAAGGAAAGGUUUUAUUUUAAGUCUUUGUACUUAUGUUAUCUCUCCUUAUUCAUGUAUCUACAAUUUAAUACAUUAAUGACACUACAUUUUCAUUUUACAAAAUGUGUAUAGGAAAAAAAAAGAAAAAGAAAAGAAGAAAACAUACUUAGCAAGCUUGAAGGAACACUCAAGGUAGAUUGCCUAAAUGGAAUGAAACUCGCAUAAGAAAAUGGAGUUCUCACUAUUAUGCCUACUAGGAAGGUGGUGCAAUGCUCAACUAAUUAGUGUUAAGGUUGAAUACGUGAAAGUGGAGUCAGAUGUGAUGUUUACUAAAGGUUAAAGAUAAGUGGGUUUUGUAUUAAGAUAGAUAUCAUAACAUCUAAAAUCAUUCUCAAUCAUUGAGAUACACUAACUUAAUUUAUAUUUAUUCAACCUUCCUACUUUGGUUAAUUUUAUGGUAAAAAUCUAUAAAGACAAAUACAUUUAGAAUAUUGGGAACAUAAAUAAAUCUGAUGAGUUAAAUUGAAUAAUAAUUAAGUUACCAAAAUUCUCCAUUGUACAUACAAACACAACUAUUUAGUGAAUCAUAUGUUGUUAUUUUCAUAGUCUAUGUAAUUGGACAUAGGUUUGCCAUUGUUUAGCUCUCAUUGCAACCUUGAAAGCAUGCCUCAACAUUCAAUACAAGAAAUGAGCAUACUCUCAACCUCGAAUUCAAGCAACACCUAACCAUGGAUUGGGCCUUAAACCAACCAUAGAGUGAACUCCUUCUUGUGUUGUUUUGCUACCCAUGGUGGUGUGCAUCGAAGGCCCUUCCCAUAGGUGCUUAGAGGUGCAUUAUCUCAAUUUCUUUUUCAUAUCUUUGAUCAUACAUUAGGCUAGUUUCUUAAGUUGGAGUGUGAGACUAUGGUACUGAAAAUAUUUUAUUUUAAUGUUAAAAAAAAAAAAAAGUAGAGCUAUUGGUAGCUUCAAUAAACAUAACACAUCUUAUUUUUAUUUUGAUGUAAAAAAAAAAAAAAAAGUGAAUUAUUGCAAUUUUAUUAAAGAUGAAUCAUCUUACACACAAAACUAAAAUAAUAGACACAAUCUGGCAUUCAAUUGUAAAAGACUAGUCACACAUACUAUUUAAGAAUAGUAGUCCCCUUAUAUAUAAUGGUAGCUAGGGUGGAUCCCACUCUUUUAAAAAACCUAAUACACAUGGAUUCAUUGAACCCUAUCCUUCAAAUAUAUAAAACCUAACACAUUGAUUAUUUGAACCCUAGCCAUCAAAUAAUGAUCUAUGAAAUUCUCAAUUCUCUCAUAAGAAGAAGAAAAAUACUAAACAUGAGUCUAUCUUCGAUUAAGAGCUUGCGAGGUUGGAUCAAAGAUUUAGCAAAUGGUGAUCUUAUUCUAAUUUGAUUUGUAUUACUUUGGGAUCAAUUUAACUUUCACUCAUUUGAAAGUAGAUUAAGUCAUAUCUUUCAAGUUUUAUGGUUCCUCUAUUUUCUUGUUGAGAGUUGAAGAAAUUUUGUGCUUAUACAAGGAGCUUUUUUUGGAUUUAUUUUUUGGGAAAGCAAAACCAUAGAUUGGGAGGUAUUUUUUUUAAUGCCUAAGAAAUUAUUACAAUCUUAUAUUCUCUCCUGAUUUCCAAACUUUAACCAAUAUAUUUUGUGAGCCCGAAAUUGAAAGAAUAGCAACCAUAAAAUGGGAGUGUCAUUGUGUCAAACAAGAGGGCAUACAUGUACUUCAUAUUUGAGAACCAUAAAGUUCUAAUCACCAUGUUGAAUAAAAUCAAAGAUGCUUUGAAUUUUAUGUGAGCAAUGAACUUCGUCAAUUUUUUCUUGUUUCUCUAUGUUAUUUGUAUAAAGAGAAAUAGGAGGAUAAAGUCUUCAUUAUUUUCUUACUUUUUCUUUAGUUUUUAAUAGUUUAAUAUUAUUUGCUGUCAUUCUAAAUCGAUGAUAUCAGUUAUCAUUUUCUUACAUUUUCUUUAGGCUUUCAUGGUUUAACACUAGUUAGUAUGCCUUUUGAUCCAAAACAUUUAUGGGAUCGAUGUAAGUCAAAUGUGAAUUUUUGAAUUGAUCCUAAACUUACAGAUGCUUUCCCUACUUUUUAUGUUUCAUGAUCAAUUGAAAAUUUUGAUUUUAUUAAUCUUAAACUUACAUAUACUUCUCCUAAAAUUAAUAUUUGACUAUGGAUUUUGAAAUUUGUUAUUAUUCCAACUCUUAAAUAAAUCAUUAAAUAAAUGUACCUCAAUAUUUUAUCCAGGCUAGAUACUUAUCACUAUGUCAUUUUACUAUUGUCAUUUUAAAUGUUAUUAGUUGUUUAUUUUGUUUUUCUUAUGUUUUGAUACUUUGUGCAAAUACUAGUACCAUGUUUGAGUUUUAGAAAGUUGUGGUUUCUUGCAGAUUGCUAUCUCAGGGUAAUUUCCAUCUUUGAGAAGAUUGCAGGUUCUUGCACCGAGUUGAAGCAUGGUUAGGCUCUACAGAAGAUUAGAGGAAGAUUUGGGACAACUUUAUGCAAUUUUGAUAACAUGGAUUAAUUCAAUAAUAGAAAUAGCGAUACAGCUCAAGUUGGCGUAGGUGUUCGAGGAUUACUAUAAGGAAAAUGACUCUAUUCUUGUGUUAAACAUAAAUACAUGGUUAUAAGGAAAAUGACUCAACUAUCAUGUUAUAUUGUUUUUUUUUUUUUUUCUAUUUUUAAUUUUUUAAUUUUUUAAUUUUUUAAUAUUUUAAUUUUUUAAUUUUUUAAUUUUAAUUUUUUGCUUCUCACUCAUACGAGUUUCAUCUUCUUUGUAGUUUUUUUCCAUGAUUUUAAUUUCAUUCUUUGUUUCCAUUUCGUUUGGUGUUGGCAUCUUUUUGUCUAUGGUUGGUGUAAGAUUUGUAAAUUAAUUUCCAAAGUUGAAGACAAUACUCAUCGUUUGCUUCAUUUUGCAUUCCAAUUCUUAAUGAUAAGAGGAGAAAGAAUGGUCAUUUUCAUAGAAAGGUUUUAUUUCAAGUGUUUGCAAUUAUACUCUCUCUCCAUUCAUGCUUCUAAAGUUUAAUACAUUUGAGACAUUUUAUUUUCAUUUUAAAAGUUAGGUAUAGGAAAAAAAGAGAAAAAUAAGAAAACACACUUCGCAAGAUUGAAGGAACAAUCAAGGUAAAUUGCCUUAGUAGAAAGAAACUCAUGUGAGAAGAAAAUGGUGUUGCCAGUAUUAUGGUUGAAUAUGUGAAAGUAUAGCAAGAUACGAUAUUUAAGAAAGGUUAAAGUUAAGUUGGUUUUGUAUUAAGGUAGAUACUACAAUAUCUAAAAAAUCAUUCAUAAUCAUUGAGAUAUAUUUCAUUUGUAUUAAUUCAGCCUUCCUACCUACUCUAGUUAAUUAUAUCAUAAAAACCUAUCAAAAUAAAUAUAUUUAGAUUGUAAGGAAGAUGAAUAAUUUUGAUGAGUUAAAUUGCAUAAUAAUUAAGUUGCCAAAAUUUUCCACUGUAUAGUGAACCAUAUGUUUUUAUUUUCAGUAGUUAUAUAGCCUAUAAAAUUGGAAAUAAGUUGGCCAUUGUUCAACUUUCAUUGCAACCUUGACAUUAUACCUCGACUUUUAAUACUAUAAAUGAGCAAAUUCUCAUCCUCAAAUUCAAAAAAAAAAAUCCUUUCAUGGAUUAGGCCUUAAGCCAGCCAUAAAGUAGACUAAUUCUUUGGUUGUUUUGCUGCUCAUGGUGGUGUGCACCCAAGGCCCCUCCCAUGGGUGCUUGAAAGCACACUAUCAUAACUUCUUUUCCAUAUCUUUGAUUGCAAAUUAAGCUAGUUUGUUAGGUUAGAUUGUGAGACUGUUUGGUAUUAAGCUACUUUAUUUUGAUGUGAAAAAUAAAAUAGUAGAGUUGCUAAUAACUUCAAUAAACAUAAAACAUCUUAUUUUGAUUGGGAUGUAAAAAAAAAUAAAAAUUGCAUUAUUACAAUUUCAUUAAAUAUGAAACAUGUUACACACUAACAUCAUCAAAGAUGAUUAUUUAAUUAUUCAAAUGCUAAAAAAUAAAAAUAAAAAUAAAAUUUAUAAAGAUAGUAAAUAUGCACUUCUAACAUCAUCAAAGAUGAUUAUUUAAUUAUUCAUUUAUUUAUUUUUUCAAUUAUUUAUUAGGAUUACUAAGGGAUUGAAAAGAAGAAAUGGGGAAAGAAGAACAAGAAGAUGAAUAUGCAUUAAUUUGAAUUGGGUUGGUUUAGUCUUUAACCAAACGGAUACCUCUAUAGUCUUAAAAAAUAAAAAAUCAUAAAUUAGGUAGAUAAUUAAAGAAAUUAAAUUAGGUGGAUACAAAUAUAAUUUUUUCUUUAUAAAAAAUCCCAACAUAUAUGCUGAAAUUAUAACUUGUAAUAUUGAAAUAAAAUCAAAUUAUUAUUUCAACCUUAUAAUUUUAAUUUUGGUUCACAUCUAAGCAUAAGAAUUGGAAUUAUCAAAUUCAUUCAUAUUUCCUUGAAUAGAAAUGAAAACAAAAUAUUCAUUAUCAUUCCUUACUUCGCAAAUCAAACAUGUCCCAAUUGUUUUUUAUUUUUCAAAAAAAUAAUUUUCUUCUGGAUUCUUUAACAAAGUUUUAUCAACUCUUUUUUUCUCACGUGGCACCAAUUUAAAACCCAUCUCAACGAGUCAAUUGGGAAUCUGAUGUUGUAACAUCUGCUCCCAACCGUGUAGAUAUUGUCCACUUUGUACCCAAAGUGACCCUCACGACUUUAAAACACAUCUAUAGGUUUAAGAGAAGUCCAUACUUAUAUAGUGCCAGGAACUUUCCCCCUUAUCUGAUGUGGGAUAUCACAAACACCUCCCCAUGCAGACACAACGUCCUCGUUGUGUCCCAUUGGAUUGUAGGGCCAAAUAGACGAACACCCCUACGGGGCCAAACAAACCCCUACAUCGAGGUCGGAGAUCUGCUUUGAUACCAUUUGUAACAACUCACUCCCAACCGUGUAGAUAUUGUCUGCUUUGGAUCCAAAGUGGCCCUCACGACUUUAAAACGCGUUUAUAGGGUUAAAAGAAGUCUAUACUUAUAUAGCGUCAAGAACUUUCCCCUCUAUCCGAUAUGGGAUAUCAUAAAUGUUCUAGUCCACAUUGACGCUAACAUGACAUGAAAAUUUGAAUGAAGAGGAACCCACAUUAUUGAUAUUUUUUAUUUAUUAAUUUUCUAAAUUAAUAUUAAUAUUAUAAAAAUACGAACAUUUAAAAAUUUUAACAACGAAUUAUAAUAUGUUUAAAACUCACAUACAUUUCAAUUUAUUUUAAAAUAAUAUUAAAUUAUAAAAUAUAAAUAAAAAAUAGUUUUUUGCAUGAAUAUUGUAAUGAUAAUUUUGUUAAGACAUGAAUGUAGAUAGUAUAUUAUAAAAACAAAAUCAUAUAAAACAAUGAUAAUAAUAUUUUAAAAUUUGAUAAUGCUUAAUAAUGUUUUAUUUAAAAUGAAUAAUAAAAAUAAAUAUAUUUCCUUUUCUAAAUAUAUAAAUAAAUUAAGUUUUUCAUUAUAUAAUACAAAAUUUUACCUAAUUACUAACAAGGUGUUUUGUACCACUUUGGUUCAAGAAAUUCUUGUAUCAAUCGAAUCAAUUUUUGAAUUUAAAAUUAUUUUUAAAAAUUACUAAAUCUGUUAACAAAUUUAAAGCAUUAAAUUUCAAUUGAUUUACUUAAUGAAAACUUUUGAAAAAAAAUAGUUGCAUACAUACGAGAUAUAAAAAUAGACAUUCCAAACUAGUUUUAAUUUAUGAUUUUUUUUAUAUUAAUUAAUUUGGUUUUUAAAUUGCAAAUUAUUUUUAAAAAUUACUAUAUUCGUUGCAUAUUGAAAUCUUGGUAGCAUUCCGAGUAACUCCUCAACCUAGAAUUCCAUCCAAAGAAGUAGGGAUCGCGAUAGCUAUUGAAUCUUCUACUGGUACAUGGAUAGGUGUGUGGAUUGAUGGACUUACCGGUCUUGAUCGUUACAAAGGACGAUGCUACCACAUAGAGGUAGUUACUAGAGGAGAAAAUCAAUAUAUUGCUUAGGUAGUUUAUCUUUUAGACCUUUUUGAAGAAAACUCUAUUACUAACAUGUUUACAAGUCUCACUUAAUUUAAAGUUUAUUUUUCUCAGAAAAAAAUUUCAAGAAAUAGGGAAAAUUCAUUGGAAGCUGGGUGCAAGUAAACAUGCUCACAUCAAGGUAAAUGCAUAUAUAAAAUGAAAGUUCAGACGUAUACAAUUGAAAAAUACAUUUAUACUAUUCUUUGUUUAUGCAUGUACUACAUGUUGUUCAGAUAUAUACUAUUCUUUGAGAAUGGGAGUGCCUCCAGUACCAUAGAUUCAUUGCAUGAAAUGUACGUAGGCUGAUAGGACAAAGCGAUGGAUGUUAAAGAGCAAAUAUUCAGUGAUUUUGCAAAUUACAGUAAAUCAGUAGUCACCUUUUGCCGAUUACACGUGUUUUUAAAAAUAAUUUUAAAAUGAUAGUUAUGAAUCUAUUCCUUAAAAUACAGCAUUAUUAUAUUUAUAUUAAAAUUAUAUUUUUAAAAGACAAUUUCAUUAUAAAUUUAUAAAUUCUAUUUAUAUUAAAUAUCUUUUGAAAAGAUAAUGGAGGUUCAUAUUAAGGAUAAAAGUAUCGAGAUAUCUCGUUGGAACCACUAAACCAAAUCUCUUAUUGUGUAAAAUUUUGACAUAAAAAUAAUAUAUACUAUGUAAAUUAAUUAAAAUAAAAUUAUUAUAAAUAAAACAAUUUUAAUUAUCGUACUAUGCCUUCCAUAUAAUAUUUUAAUUUAAAACAAGUAUAAAUUUACAAAUAAAAUUAUCACUAUUUUUAAAUAAAAAAAACUUAUUCCAACUAAAUAUAUUAUAAUUUUAAGUUUAACGUGUUUUUAAAUUUGGUACAUUAGUACAAAAUGUCACAAAAUAUAUUAUACAUACACACACAUAUAUAUUAGAGUUUUUCUGCAUAUUUUCAUGAGUUUUGAUUAAUUUUUUAUCCAUUAAUAUUUCCUGAUAUAUUCAUAAAAUCAAGUUAUCAAUAUGUCUCUCAAAACCGAUAUUUUUAUCCUUGUUCAUAUCUAAUUGAUCUAUAAAGAUAUUCCUUAGGAUCGGCUACAUAGAACCGCCUUGUGGUAUGUCCCUCAUUUAAUUGGAAUGAUCAUUACCUUUUACAACUAUUAAUAUCAAAAUGAUUUUAAAAUAUAAUUAUUUGAUUAAAGGAAAUGGAUAAAUCCUUAAUUUGUAAAUUUACUAAAUUUUUUUUUCUAGGGUAAAAGAUAUUCAUUUUUUACAAGAAUACCUUUACUUCUUUUUGUAGAAAUAAUCUUCAUGAAAUAUUGAAAACCUUAAAUUCAAAUAUGGGAGAUUAGAUACAAAUUUGAGAUCAUUUUAUUCCUUUUAAUUGAUUCAUUCUAUUAAAAUCCCAUUUUAAAAAGGUGAUAUGUAAUUUUUUUUAAAGAUGAUUUUAAAAGUAUUGUAUUUUUUAAAAUAUUGUUUUUGUAACAUUUUUUUAAUAAUAUUAUUAAAAUAAAAAAAUCCCUAAAUUUAAUUAUUUUAGAAAAUAAAAAUAAAUAAAUCUUUUGACACAUACAAUGAAAGAAUAAUUUAUAUAAAAUAUUAAAAAUCAUACUCAUUCUUGUUCGUCCAAAAUUUAUUGUUCGCUAUUUUGAAACAAAUAUUUAAAAUAACCUUUUUGUCAUGUAACUUAUCUUUUAUUUAUUUUUAAUUGUGAUUUGUUAGAAGUAAUAAUUUAAAUUUGCAACUUCAAUAAAUUUAAAAACCACAUUGGCUUUAGUACACAUUUAGAAUUUAAAAAGUUGGUUUUUGAAAACAUGGUUUCAAACCAAUUUAAAGAAAAUAAAAAUAAGUUACUUUGAAUAAUAGUUUCAUAAGAUCCUAUAACCUAUAUUUUUGUUUGGUUAGUGGGCCAUUUAGUUUCUUCAAUCCAAUAUAAUGAUAGUGGGCUAUAUAUGUAAUAAGGAAUGCACUAUGACACCUAGCAUAAAUGUAUCAAUUGAAGCAAUGGUGGAUGCAGCUUGUUAGGGAUAGCAAUGCAUAAUGUGUUAACUAAAUCAUGCACAUAUGAACAAAAGAUUUUUAACAUGUGUAGACCCUCAAUUUUGUCCCUUUAGCACAUGUCUUUAAAUUCACUUCCAGUGCUCCACGGCAGUUCCUUGGUGGCCCAUGACUACUCAUACCACUUACCUUUUUCUGAGUCACCUCGGAGAUUUUGGUUGAGGGAUUAUUUGAUCCUUUCUCGUGACCCUUGGCAACCCUAAUUUAGACUUAGGCUUUUGUUAUUCUUUUUAGGAUAACUUUUUUUUUUUAGACACACUUGACCCAUUAGGCACCACCCUAGGCCCACUUAGAUUCACCUAGGCUCAUUUAGGCACAUCUAGGUCCAUUUAGGCACCCUAGGCCCACCUAGAUUCACCUUGACUCGCACUGAGGCACCUUACAGUUUACACACACUCACUUUAGGUCCACGUAGGCAUCCUAGCCCACCUAUGUUACCUUUUAGGUAAUUCCUACGUGACUUGUAUAAUUUGCAUGAUCUGCAUUUUUAACGUUGGCAUGUACUUGAUGUCUUAUUUCUACUUAUUUUAUUUAUUCAUUUACUUAUUUAUUUAUAAUUAUUUGGCUAGUUAUUUGCUUUUAUUUAUUUAUUUUAUAGAAUAUUGCAUGAAAUUGAUGAUUAAUUUUGUAAACUAAUGUCUUAAUUAUUUUUUGUAUACCUAUGAUAGACAUAAUGUUUUUAAUUGCAUAAUUUUAGUUGGUUUUAAUUUUCAAUUUCAUGACUUUUACUGAUUUUAAUUCGUAUUUUAUUUUGGCAUGAGAUUUGAACGCACACAUUGGAGAGGAUCCAUAGGCACGGCUACAAUCUUCCAUGGGCUGCAGUUUUGGAGAUCACAUAGUUGCAUAUCUGGAAGACGGAACAGACUUCCGUGGCAAGAUGCACAGGAAGGAAAGGUGAUGUCCAGAGAAUGAGGAGAAGAAUGCAUAAUCACACUUCCAACAAUGUAUUACUGUCAUAUGGUGUAUUCCUCGAACCCAAAACCCUCUCUCAAUUCCAAACGCGUUCGAGAUUCACUGUUUCUGCAAGUCUCGGUGCAUUUCGUUUUAUUAAAGGUCAUCCUUCCGCACAAUUGCACCCUGAGAUUGACCGACAGUGGAGUGCACGUUUUGGAGCCCUUGGAAUCAGAAGAUAGAUGGGAUCCUUGCCACUUAAAGAUGGCGCACUUCGGAUUGGACCCCAAGCCCACUCUCACAUGGCUUGCAUGGCCACCCCUUUUGUACAUUAUUUUAAAGCCAGCAUGUCUCAGCCCUUAAUUCCUCUUGCAUGUUUUCCAAAAUGGAUUUUUAAAGAUCCAUUCUUUUUUUAAUUUUCUGGGGAAAUGUUGGACAGUUGCAGUGAGGAUUAUCUCCCAGAUUUUUACCAUGUUAGUGAAAGAUCCCACGCACAGCCCACAAUGGAAGAUUCCACGCACAGCCCGCAAUGAAAGAUCUCCAACAGCACACAUCCAAGGAAGGAAGCCUAUAUAGGAGAUAUGGAACCAUGAUCAGUCCACACCAACCAUGAUUCUUAAGGAAAUCAGCCACAAUUGAGGGGCCCACAAAACAUCCAGAUUUUGAUUCCCACAGGCCGCACCAUCCCGAGGGGAUCUCCUCCACGCACCACUCAAUUUUUUUGGAAGGCAUGGCUGCAUCUUAAGCAUGCAUCACGUGGAAAAUAGCAUGAAAAUAGGAAAGAAGAUGGCCACUUUGUGCACAGCACGCAUAUGAUGGGCUGUAAAGGGAGAUUCCUUUUGGUUUUUUUUUAGAAAGAAAAGUCCACUCAUCUAAUCACUUACCAAACAGGGUACAGGGCAGCAUCUUUGAAAAAGUCUCCAAUAUGAACCACACGUAAGCACUUUCCAUAUGUCUAAAUGCACUGAAAAAAAGAAACAAAAUAUUCCAUACAAUGUGCGGCUGCCAUACAAAAAAGGAACGAGCAGAGAGGAAGUGAUCGACACCGAGAGAUAUUAUUUUUUGAGGGAACGAAGAGAGGCCUGAAAGGAAGGAGGAGGCAGCCACCACACAUUCUCCAUUGAUCAUCAGCCCGCGCCACCAGUAACAGCAGGAUAACACCUUGGUUUGCGUAUUGAAGGUUCGGUUUAUGAUUAUUUUUUUUAUUUUAUUGAAAAUUGAUAAUUUCAUGUGUAUUUUAGUUUAUGACUUAUUUUUUUCAUUCUAUGAUUCCAAGUUUCGAUAUUCAUUUACUUGUGUGACGAUAUGAUAGAAUUGAGAAUUCUUGAUUGAUUAAUUUUGAUUCCAAGUUUUGAUUUUCAUUGAGAACUUUGACUAAAUAUAUUAAUUAUUAUAUUCGAUUCGAAGUUUCUUUUUUUCUUAGUUGAUUGAGUUAAAUUUAAGAAUUUGUUUAAUUGUAUGGAUUAUCAUUGUCUUGAUUCCAAGUUUUGAUUUUUCUAGGUUGUUAUGUUUUUAGAAUUAUAGUUUAUUAUUCCUAUUGAACCACUUGAUUAAAUCCAUGUUUUACUUUUUUAACUUUAGUUUUGAUUGAUCUUGUUUAGCUUAUGUGUUUUUAGAAUUUUAGUUUAUUAUUCCUAUUGAACCCGUGUGAUUAACUCCAUGUUUAAAAUUGUUAACUUUAGUCUUUGAUUGACCCUAUUUAGUUUAUGUGUUUUAGAUUUUUAGUUGAUGAGUCUAUUACUUUCUCAUGUCAUUAUAUCCACAUUUUGAGCUUGUUCGUUUUAAUCCUCGAUUGAUCCAAUUUUAUUUUGUGUGUUUUUUAGAGUUUUAGAUAUUUAAUUUAAAAGUUACUUUUCUCAUGUUGUAAGCUUGUUAAUUUUAAUUCUUGAUUGACCUAAUUUUAGUACGUGUGUUUUUUUAGAGUUUUAGUUAAUUAGUUUAAUCAAUGCUCAUGUUUUAAAAAGUUUGUUAAUUUUGGUUUUUGACUGAUCUUGUCCUAGUUUAUAGUUUUUCAAAAUUUUAGUUAAUUAGUUUUAUCCCAUGUUAUUAUACUCAUGAAUUAAAAAUAGUUAAAUUUAGCUUUUCUACUUAGCUGAUGUGUCCUUUUUUAAAUUUUUGGUUAUCAUUUUGCUUAAUCCCUUGUUACUUAGUUUUGUUUUUGUUUUGGAAGUUAUUAAUGUCUAGUUGUUGAUUGAUAUUACCCUAGUUUAUGUGCUUCUAGAAUUCUGAUGGUUAGUUUUUUUAUUAAUAUCUUGUUAAUUUGUUUGAUCUAGAACCCAUUAGUUAGUUGCUUUGAUGAAAUCCCUACAAAAAACCUAUUUUUCAAAAACCCUUUAUUGUUAGUUUGUUCGAUUAUUUGACUUAUAAUUUUUCUAAAAAUUUUCCAAGUGUUCCAUGGUAGUUUAGACUUCUUGAACUUGAAUUUAAGACUUUGUUUGAGUUAAAAAUCACUUUUAAAAUGGAAGAUAUGAAUGAGUCUUUUGGGUGGUUCUGUUUUCACCCAGUUUUGGACACUUAAAAUUUUUUUAUAAACAUAAAUUACUAGAUGACUCUUGAAAAGUAAAUUUUUGUUUGCUUAAUUUUGAUUCAUUACUUUGGUUUAAAAGGUGAGAAUUUUUUGUUUUAUUUUAAUUUUGAUUCAUUAUAUUACAUUGAAAAAUUAAAAUCUUUGUGUAGUUUGGACUUGAUUCCUUGCUUAGUUCGAAAAGUUAGAAUUUUGCUUAGAUCGGUUUUAAUAGAUUUAAUUUUAAAAGUCAGUUUUUUUUAGGAGUCAGCUUUUUAUUUAGUUCAAGUAUUUUAUAAUUUUUAGUCUAUUAUUCUAAUUGAUCCUAUGUAAUAAAGUUUAUGUUUUUAAGUUUAUUUUGAUCAUGUUUUGGUUCAUCUUAUUUAGUUUAGGUACUAAUCUUAUGUUAUUUUGCUCACGUUCUAAAAUUGAUGAUUCUAGUUUUUGAUUAGUUAAUAUGUUUUAGAAUUCUAUGUGCUUGUGUUACUAUAUUCACAUUAUUAUAAUUACAUGUUUAGGUGUUUGGUUGAUUUUAAAUUAGUUCUAGAGUGUUUAUCUCAAUUUAUGUGUUUGAUUGAUCCUUAUAAAUUCCCGAUUAAUAUUUCAUUAGUUUUAUUUGAUCUAAAGUCGUUUGGUUUGUUGCUUUGGUGAAUAUUUAUUAAAUUUGAUUUUUAGAGGCCAUUGGAAAAUCAUGAAGAUUGGCCUCUACCAUCACCAUUAUCAUUUUUGUUAAUUACUAAAAAAAAUUUUACUUUGAGGUUUCAUUUUUGUUUUGUUUGGUGUUUUAUUUUUUCCCAAAUUAAUCCCUUUUAUUUUAAAAUAAAAUACUUUUAUCAAAAAAUCAUUUUAAAAAAAAUCUAUUUCAAAAACUCAUUAGAUUCCUCAGGAUCAAAAUCUUUUUUUUUAUUUUUAAAAAAUAAUAUGCAACCAUAUUUUGUUCGGUUUGCAUCCUUCUCGGUUUCUAACAAAAGGUUUGGUUUUGAACAAAAACACGAAUCAAAGCUUAUGGUCCCAAAUAAUGGGAUAAUUCUGGGCUAAAUUUGUGUAUAUUAAUUUGGGGAAUUGGCGAAACCCCUACAUAAGAAAAUCUUUUCAAAAAUUAUUUUUGUUGCCAUUUUUGUCACUUUUUGAAAUUAUAUCUAUCUUUUUUUUUAGAAAUUGUAUACAAGAUGAGUGUGAUAAUUAUUGUUUUCAUAUAUUUUGACAAUUUCUGCUAUGAUAAUUAGAUAACGAGCAUGCUAGGACUUCUUAUUUUAUUGUUUGUUAUCUAACCUCUCAUGUUUUGUGGAAGCGCAUUAGGAGUUAAAUAUGCUAUCCAGGUACGUUCCCUAAUACCCACUUUCUAAACCCUAUGAAUAUGUAUGCCCAUGCUUGCUAUCCUCUUUAAUUGCCUUGAUAUACAUUUGAUGAUUGUUUGAUUAUCUUUGAUAAAACAAAUGUUGUGUGAUGUAUCUCCAAACUAAUCUCUUAUGUUUUAUGAUAGCGCUUGGGAAGCCGUCCAGGUACGCAUUUUUAACUCUCCUUAAUUGUGAUUUGAUUUUGUUUGAUAUGUUAUAUUUUUUUUGGAAUCACCUAGCCUACUUAGGUAUCCGAGAUCAACCAUUUAAUUGCCACGCUUCCCUUAACUUAGUCAGUAGAGACCUCUUUAGGGCUUAGAGGGGUGCUACCUCCUAGAGGUACCUUCCCAAUAAGUAACCUGAUCCCCGGACCAAGACUUGGGUUUUCAAAGACACGCUUUUCCAAAAAUUAUGGAGUCAUUUUUUUUAGGGUUUUAUUUCUUGUUUUAUUUUCCCUUCAAAAAUAAAAAUAAAAUAAGUGGCGACUCCAACUUUUUUUUAAAAAAAAUCAAUUUUUCACAAAUAAAUAAAAAGCGAGUCUCGCCGAUCGAGUGGGGACGCACGUGAAAAAUGCGGGUCCACAACAUGGUUCAGUGAUUAAUGUGAUCCCUAUGUUCAGGUGAAGUGCAUCAAUACUCAACAAUUAAUCCAUUAAUCAAAAGGAAUAAGAAGAGUUACAAUAGUAAAACUUUCAAAAAAACAUAUUUCAAUUGCAAUCUCACUCUCUAAAAAACAAAACCCUAAAACAUAAAAGGAUUACCAAAACGAGUCUUGAGCCCUAAUCCAUAAGGGAGCAUUUAUAGGGUUGUCCACUAGGCUUAACUAACUUGAGCCAAUCAAGGCUUGGGUCACUUAAUCUAGCACAAAACGAGUUCUAAUUGAUUAAUUAACCACAUAGGGCAUCUAAUUAAUCAAUUAGCUCAACCAAGGACUUUGUUCAUUAUCGCUUGUGUAGUCUUGCAUGAUAACCAAAACACCCUUAUGCAUAAGAAUGAACCUAAAGCCAAUUCAACCCUCAUAAACCAUAUCAUCAUGGUAUAAAAGUUCAAAACGGGGACCACUAGGACCCAUAGGAGUACUAGCUCCCUCAGAAUCCAAUUCUAAAGUUGAUUCAACAUUCUACUAAACAGAAUCAACUACACUCCAAUAUCUUAAAUAAAUAACAAUGUGAUAAAGGUUAGGUCAUUAACCUUAUCCACUGCAUGCAAACUCCUCAUGAACUGGUGUUUGUAAUCUAACAAGGUAGACUAUCACCUAUUAAGAUUACCUCUCAAAUACUUGAGUUACAAAUCUUACUUAUUAUGUGAUUAACAAACAUACUCCAAUUCCAAGGAGCAUAUGUCAAAUUCCACUAAAUGAAUUAUUGUAGUCAUAGAUUUUAUGAUCAUGUGUCCUUUGGAUUACCCAAGGAGACACACCAUCUCAUUACUUCUAUGAGAUAUCAUGGUGCCUCUAUCAAGAAUACUCAUUGCCAUCAACCAUCUUCAAUAGUAACCUAAUAUAUUAGGAUAUAUGACCACUUUAAGGUCUUACCCAUAGGUCAAGGCCUCCCAUUGAUGUUGGCAUAGACUCAAUAUCCUAUCAAGGUUGAGAGUUCAUGUAGUAUGGUAGCUUAGUGAAUCAUGACAAUUGAUUGCCUUACAUCAUGAUUCAUCGUGGGUCUUGUCUAGUGCGCAUCAUAUACACUAGUGGACUUACCAAGGAAAAACCAUCUUGAUGGCCAAGACAAGUCAUCCCUCCAAUUAGGAGGUGGUUUUCAAAUUUGAUUUGAUAAUCAAUUACCGAACCAGUUUUUUGAAGUUGAAUGAGCUUGUUAAACAUAUUUUCGAAUUGGUUAGUAUUAAAAUGAGAGAAAAUUCCUUGCUUGAGAUCUUCCUAAGUAACAUACAUAAGUUCUUCUAAUAUUUGGGACCAAAGUUGGGCUUCACCCUCUAAAUAAAAUGAGGCUAGAGUAACCUUAUAAAAUUCAAUGAUUUCCUGGAAUGAAAAGUACUUUUCUACCUUGCUUACCUAAGUUGUAGGAUCAUCUUGACUAUCAUAAUGGGGAAAAUCAAUCUUAAAGGUCUUAGGAACGUAGUUGUUAAGAGAACCCCAUAUGUCAAAAUUAACACCAUUUCGACCAUUGCCCUUACUUGUAGAAUGCUUUCUAUCAUCCUUACUUUUACCAAAAAUGUGUUGGAUGAAUUGCUCCAUUCUCUUAGUGAUAUGACCCAGUAUCUCCUAUUGACUAAAGGCAAGAGCUGCCAUGGUCUCUUCCAUCUUUUUCAAACGAUCUUGUAGAUCCAUUCCUGGCUCUUAUAAAAAAUUUACGUUGAGGAACUAAAGCAACAAAAAGAAAAAGAAAAAUCAUUAGCUUAUAUGAGGAACUAAUGCCCUUCCCAGGCAGCUCAAAGAUUUGAUAUAAUUGUUCAAUGCCUUUAUUUAGAAUCAUUCAAGUCUUUUACAAUGACUUGCUUCACAUUUACAUGCAUAAAAGUAGGAAACAAUAACUUAAAAUAAACAUGUUCUAACAUGAACAAACACAUCCUCACAUUUACAACUAAUUCAAAUAUUAAAUAGAGAAAAAUAAGGAAUAAAAUAACAACUAGUUCUAAGGCAGCGUAAUAGCUUCCAUGAUUUUAAUUUCAUUCUUUGUUUCCAUUCCUUCUGGUGUUGGCAUCUUAUUGUCUAAGGUUUGUGUAAGAAUUUUACAUUUCCAAAGUAGAGCACGGUGCUCAUUCUUUACAUCAUUCAUCAUUUCCAUCCUAGUUCUCUAAGAUAAGAGGAGAAUGAAACCAUUUUCGUGGAAAGGUUUUUUUUUUUUUUUUUUAAUUUUAAUUUUUAUGUCUUUGCAAUUGGACCAUCUCUACUUUGUCAUGCUUCUAGAAUUCUAUACAUUAACUAAUGACCCUUCAGUAUCAUGUUAAAAAAACGUGUAAAAAAAUAAAAAGAAAACAUAGUUAGCAAGCUUAAAGGAAGAGUAAAGAUAGAUUGCCUCAAUGGAAAGAAACUCAUGUGAUAAGAGAAUAGGCUUCUAGGUAUUUUCCCACUAGCAACCAUGUUGCCUUAAGUGUUGAGUUUGAACAUGUGAAAGGAGACCAAGAUGUGGUCUUUGAGAAAGGUUAAAGAUAAGUUGGUUUUAUUAGUUAAAUUGUAUAAUAAUUAAGUUCCCAAAAAUUUUCAUUGUAGAUACAAACACAACUUUUAAGUGAACCAUAUGUUGUUGUUUUCCAUAGUUAUAUAGAUCUUUUGUCUAUUUAAUUUUGAGACCGUUCACUAGAAUGCCUAUUGAGCUACAUGCUCAAUGAACCAUAUACACAAACCAAUCCUACAAUUACGAUAAAAAAAGAAAAAAAUAUUCAAGUUUAUAAAUGAAUGGGGAUAGAGAUAUAUAAAAUAUACAACUUGAUUACAUGGCAGCUAGUUUACCUUUUGUUGUGUAAGAAUUUCCUUAUUUAGGCAUUUUAGAUUCUAUGACCAAUAUUUUGGAAGCCAUAUAUAAAAAUUCAUGGUAAAAGAAUAAAAAUAGAGUCAAUUUCAUUCAUACAAUACAAGAAACUAAGUUAUAGUGACAUGAUUUUAGUAGGGAUAAAAAAAAAAUUGCAACUAUAUAGUUUAUAUAGUUGCAGUUCCAAAAGGAUCUGUUUCUAUAGUUUUUUUAUGCCAAAAUUUGGUGGAAAAUAAUUUCCCUCUAAUGUUUAUAGGCACAGACGAUAUAUUCCAGCAUCAUUAUAGACUAUAAUGUUGUAGCCAGACAAGUGAGGCAGCCAUAGGAGUUCCACACAUUAGAGAUGGCUGCGGGGUACUUUUAUUCUGCUACCAUAAACCGGUUUUGCAUGGGGAUUCUGCUACCAAAAAUAGAUGGCUCGCAGAAAUAAAAGACCCUAAAAAUACCAUCUCGCUCUUCACAAUCUGAAACCUUUGCCUCCACACUGACAUUCUUUGUUGCUUCACGUUUGAAAUCCCCUCAAAAUCUUCUACUUCCUCUACUUCAACAAAACCAUUAUUGGAUCCUCUUCAUCCACUUCACUGGAAUAAAACACCAUCAAAUCUAGCUUUGAAACCGGUAAUCAAGGUACCUUCUCUUCACAUCAUCUCUGGUCGAUCUCUUUUUUCACUUUUUUCAAAGAGAAUGAUAUAAAACCCUAGCCUAGUCUUCAUCUUAAGCUGGAUUCUCUGAACUUUUGCUUUAGAAGUUGGUUCACUGUGUUAUUUUUUCAUUUAUCCAGAGGUUUUGAAAUUGAAAGUAGUUUGCUACUUGUUUGAAUAUGAUAUUUAAUUUGAAAUUAUUGAUUAUGAAUUGAAAUGGAAGGUUUGGGUUUGUUUAGGUUGCAGGUGUUGAAAUGAUGCAUAGGAAAAAAAUUGCAUAAACUAAUUUCAGUUUACCAAUCAUCUGUUUAAAUGAAAUGGAUGUGGUAUUUGCAUCUUUUUUUUUUUUUAAUCAUUAAUGUGUUCUCAUCGAAGUGUAGUUAAUUGCUAGAUCAGAAAUUCCUGUUUACUUCUAAGGAUGACAACUCAUGACUAAAGGCCAUAGAUUUUGGCUUGUUUGAUUUUGUGAAACAAGGCAUGUUCUUAGCCCUUCAAUCCAUAGAUAUAUGUAUAUUAAACCAGGAAUGUUCUUAGCCCUUCAAUCCAUAGAUAUAUAAGAUUCAUAAGAAAGUUUCUAAUAGAUUCUGUUUUCUCAUGCAUUAAAGGUAUUUCAAGCACCAUUCUUUGGAUCAACUUUGAACUUUUUCCAUCAAACUAAACACAUUUCCUUUUUGUUAUGAAAGACUGCUCAAAAUUGAUGGAGAUAAUUAUCCUGAGGUACAGAGUUUUAAUGUAACACCCUUAGAUUAGUUUAUGAUGAUUGCACAUUUGUUUGACCCCUAAACUGAAUUAUUCAGAUUUCUGAUUAAAUCCAAAUUGUGUACUUGAAUGUCAUACUCCCUUAUCAUAUUUAAACAUCAAUUCUGCAGACACUUUGCAGAAUGUUUAUCAUUAAUGUUGGACCUGGUUUUGAGCUGCCCUGGAACAUGUACAGUGACGAUUUAUGUUUAUCUAAGAACAACUUCCAAGAUUCAUGUGAGUUAAAAGAAGUUAUUUUAAUCUAAUAAAACUAUGACCUCUCUUUGCUACGAACAAAAGUUUUGAGUGAUUGCUUUUUGAAAAUUUUCUUAUGUUCUUGUUUCAAUGGUAUUGUAAUCGGAUUCAUUAGUUGUUAGCAGAUUGAACUCAUAACAUUAGCCAUUGGAUCUCUACUAUCCCAUAAGAAAGAAAAAUAAAGAAUAAAAUUAGCCACCAGACCAUCCAUUGUUUCUGUUGGAGGAAUAUCUAACAUAUUUUUGCACAAACUUGCUGAAAAUAUUCAAGAUGCAUAUGCAGAGGCAACAAAUAUUGCUUAGUAGGUUAAGUGUACCUGCUAAUAUUCCUUAAAUUCAACAAAAAUUUCUGAAAUUCUUUUCAUGAGUGGGUUUUACUUGACCAUACUAACUAGAAAAAUUGUAGCUCUUGUUGGUAGAAAUGGUUGAGGAAAAAGUAGUAUAAUUCCACUCAUGGAAUGGUUUGAUGAUCCUAUAUUAUGUAUUAGAUACACACUAGUUUCCUAUCUUUUGCUUACCUAUUUUCUUUUGCUUUAUAUGACUGUCAUUGGAAUCCUUUUAAAAAAACUUCUCAAAUUUUAAUGUUCCAAUAUCUUCUAGUAUAGGAGAGGUACUUUUGGAUGGAAAAAAUAUUAAAAACCUGAACCUGCCUUACUAUGUUUGAGCAUAAGAGAUGACAUUGCUUAUGGGUGGUCCAAUGCUACUUCUGUUCUUAUUGAAGAAACUGCUAAAAUAGGCAUGCACAUUCAUUUAUCAGCUCUCUUGAGAAAGGAUAUGAAAUAUAGGUAGAAAGUAAACUACACUGGACAUCUUAAGCACACAUUAUGGUCUUAACAAUCAUUUUUUGAUAUUCAUCUAGUUCAAUGCAAUGUAGGUGGGUUAAGUUGGUAUAACAUUGACAAAAGAGCAAAAAAUAAAUCUAUCUGUGUUAGGGUAGUGGUUUCAAAUCCAUCCAUGCUUCUACUUGAUGAAAUCGUUGGUGUCCUUGACUUUGAAGCAGAUAGUGUUGUUUAGGAGGCCAUAGAUAUCCUCAAGUAGGGACGAUCAACAUUAAUCAUUGCUCGACUAAUAAGUCUGGUAAGGAAUGUUGAUUACAUUACAGUGAUGGAGAAGGGCCACUUUGUUGAAAUGGGUACACAUGAUGAAUCGUUAAUAUGCAUAGCUUCUCUAGUGUGCAGAAGCUAUGAAACCUCCUAAAAGAUAUAUUCUUAUCAUAAACUUGUGCUUCUGUAGGACCUAGUGCAGUAUCUUGUACGCUUAUGUAAUGUGUUGAAUUUAGCAGUUUGCAACAAUUAAUCUCGUGUAACAAUUUUUUAUAAAUUGCAAAAAUACAUAUAUGUCAAUUUAUUUAUGUUUUUAAUUAUAAAUGGUGGUUAUUUUUACUUAUUUUUAAUUGGAGUGUUUUCUAUGUCACACGUUGAUCUUGCAAAUAAACAGGUUCUCUUAAAAAGCUCCUAAGAGUGGAAAUUCACACAAUGCAAAAAACCCAUUAGAUAUCAAAGUUAUAUCCUUCAUGACAUUCUUCAUGGUAUGUUAUAUUCAAGUUCUUCAACAAUGCAAAGUUUAUACCAAAUUAGAUAUCAAUUAUUUCUCAGUUUCCAUGAAUGCAGUUUCAUGCUUAGACUUACUUGAAGAGCUCUCUUUACACUAUGAGUAGACGGUUAUAACUAUUGCUUUCUUCUGAUUAGGAUGCAGCUUGAUGUUACAGUCAGGUGAAACCGUAAUUAUUGUUUUAGUUUUGUACUUUACGUAACUUAAUCCAGCAAAAAUCUAUUUGCACAAUAUCAGGAUAUUGUUUGUGUAAUUUUUGUCAAGUAAUAAAGUCCAUGUAUAACUGGACUUCACAUCGUGUGCUUUAAUUGAUCAAAUGUUAUUUCUUCUGUUGAUCAACAACAUAGUCUAGGAGAUUAUCACUAGGCAGAAACAUAGGUAACCACUCUUUUAUAGAACUGUGGAGAUAAUUUUUUUUUGUUCACUUUAAUGCAAACGAUAUGUUUGUGUAUGAUUUAAGUGGUUUGUUUUCUAAAUGCAGAGAGGAAGGGUGUUAAAGUAUGACAACCUGUACAUUACGGAAGAAAUCAUGCAAUUACUACAAACCAUGUGGGGGGGGGGGUAUAACUGAAGUCCAUAGUCAAUGACCACUACCCUAAUGAAUCCUUGUACAGUUGUAUAAGCUCGUGCAGUUGUAUUCCUUAAACAGCUUAUAGUCAUUGACUCUCUUCCUUGAUUUCACUCAUAGUUGUUUUAUCUCUUGUAUAUAUAUGAACAGUUUCAUAUAUUAAUAGAGCAUUACAAUCAUUCACACAAAGUCUUGUAUAUAUAUGGACCGUUGUUCCUAUUGAAAUUUCAAUAAAUUAAACCUACCCUUAUGUAGAUAAUGGAUGACGUUCUAGAUAUAUUAGAAGUAGAGUAAUACUUCUAUCUUUGAUAUUUGAUAGAAAAAUGCUUUCUUUGGAAUUCUUAUACAUUUAGUCAAAAUAUUUCCAUUUUGAUUUAUGGUUGUGAUUUAUCAGGAUUUUGUAUACAUAUAUAUAUAUAUAUAUAUUGAUAUCUAUCUUUAGCUGAGAUUUUGAGUCUCGCAUGUCUACCAUUUCACCACCAAGGCAUCUUGAGAGUGAAUGGUGUUCCAUGAAUAUGAUAUCCAUCUAGUGUGAUGUAUGGAAUAUAUGACAAAGGUGGAGUGUUAGAGUAUUUCUAUUAAUCGGUCAUGUCAUAUAGGCCCAAAUUGGACAUCCAAUUGCUUCGAUUUGAAUUAUUAGGAGGAUGCCUUAUAUACAUUAUAUAAAAAAGAUGGACAAUCAAACCUAUUUCUCAAUUCAAUAGAAGCCCAAAAGGGUGAAUAGGGUCCUAAAUAACGAGAGAUAUGUAAAAAACAGGUCCGAUUAUGCCUAUUCCUAAUCCUAAAUGAAAUGUAACGAUGUAAGGAUUCAUAUGUAAACGUAGUAUCUAUUUAGAUAAGCUCGAAUGACCCCUUCUCAUAAUGAGAAUUUAUAUAACCCUAUUCUGGUCUGAUUUGUUAUGGAAUGAACUUAUAAUCAUGGAACUAACUCAAUCAUCAGAUUAUAGAUUAUAAGUUCAUAACCCUAACCCAUUCCCAUUUUGGGAGAAAUAGAUCUAGUAAUUAUUUGAUUCUAGUUAGUAAGAGGGAUCUUAAACUAAGAAAUAGAUCAUAGAAACUAAAAAAAAGGUAUCUUGAGCAAUUGCAAUUAUCGGGUUCAUUGAUAUUCUUGGUAUAGUAGAUGUUUUCACACAUACAAUCAUACUCAAUUCGAUGGAAUUGUUUGAUCUUAAAAGAGAUCUUAUAUAAUUUCGCACAUGAGGGGUUAUUUCUUGGUUUCAUCCAGUCAUUAAUAACUUGAUUAUUUUUAGAUAAAAGUAGAUAGAAACAACAGAGUAAGGAGUCCUAUUGAAACCAAGAAAUAUAGGUCUUCCUGCCAUCCACACCAAAAUAAAUGGAGUUUUUAAAAAACAACCUGCUAGUGGAGGAAGACCUCCUAGGGAUAAGAGACAUAGGGCUAAAAAGAAAGCCGAAAAAGGAUAUUUCAUGUAUAAUCCUACAUAAUCUCGAAUGUUAUCAGUUCUGGUACAUAGACCAAAUGAUACAAUGCAAGCAAAAGUUCCUAGAUUCAUGUAGAUAUAGAACAACAUAUAAGUUAUCAUGCUUGCAUAUCCACCAUUUGAGUCUCCAACAAUUAUUUCAAUAAUUACAUAUUCGAUUUGACCUAUGGACAAAUAUGCAAGCAUACGUUUCAUGCUUAUUUGAGUAAUAGCAAUGAGAUUCCCCUAUAUCAUGCUAAGAAUAGCUAGGAUUUCCAAAAGAUGUCAUUCAUUUGAUGGGAAAUAAAAAGGAAUAUCGAAAAUUCAAGUGUCUAAAGCAACUGCUUUCGAAGUAAUAGAAAGAAAAGCAAUGACUAGAGUGGGAGAGUCAGAGUCAAAAAGAGGAUUCCUCACUUCUUUCUCUCAUUCAAAACCGUGCAUAAGACUUUUAUCUUGCACAACUCCUAAGUGAUAAAAGAAAGAAGAACUCAUCUUUCUUUUUUUAUUACCUUCCUCGCGUAUGUAUAAGACUGAAUCCCUUUGAUUUCUAAAAAGGAUUACUAAUCCUUAACUUUUAGAGGAAUCCUUCAUCAAUGGUUGUGAAUGACUGAUUUUUUCAAACUUUUCGACCUUGGUUAUGUAGCAGCAAGUAGCAAGAUUGAGAAAUAAAACCAUUUAAUUUGAUUCGUUCUCAAUAACCAUGAGAUGAUCAUCUUAGGGUGAUCCUUACGUUGGCAAGUGCUCCUAUCACACUCGUAGUCUCUAAAGGAUGAGAACCAACUAUGUAGCACCUACAUCAAGAAUUCAAGUAUUGUAUAUGCCAUUAGUAUGAUCCUUUGUAGGAACUACCCAUAAUAACAAACUUACAAAAUGGAUAUGUUUAUCAUAAAGAGAUUUGUUGUUCCUGACCCUGCUUCACCUUGAUUUUUAUUUGAAUAAAAGUUAUGUAUUGGUCCGAGUGGGGAUAACAUUUCUCUUCUACAUGUCCAUGAAGUUUUGAAAAAUCUAAACAUCUCAAAGAUAGAUAGAGAGGUAGGAAUUUAUCGAACGAACCACACUCCUUUGUAUAAGUCAAGAGUCCAUUGAUGAGAAGGGGAUGGGUAAAGCUUAAACCCUAUUCCUACAAUGAUGAAUAUAAGUGCAAUUGAAAUUCCUGGGGAGUUAUACAUUUGUGUAUUGAUAAGACCAUUCACUAUUUCUUGAUGCUCGAUCUCUCCCCCGAAUGAACCAUAUAGCCAAGAGAAACCAUGAAUCAGAAUAGAAGAACUUGCCCCACCUAUGAGUAAAUAUUUCGUAGUAGCCUCACUAGAUCGUACAUCUCUCUUGGUAUAUCCAAAUAAUAGGUAAGAACAUAAACUGAAACAUUCUAGAGCUACAAAAAUAGUUAUUAAAUUGUUAGCAUAGCAUAAAAACAUUCCUCUUAAACUAGUUGUUAAUACGAAUAAGAGAAACUCUAUAAUAGCCAUUUUUGUACAUUCAUUGUACUCUACGGAUAGAGGAAUACAUAGAGUUGAGCAUAGUAAAAUAAGAAAUUGUUCGUUUGGAAAUUUCUCGAAAAGCUAAUCAUAGGUUCUUCUCUCCAUCGGACCAAUAGGGUCAUUAUGCUCAUUACUAAACUUGUUGAAGAGAUGAAAUAUAACCAAGCUAUAUCUUUUUUAUCAGAGGUUGAAUCAAUCAUCAGAAGAAGAAUUAGGCCAAAAAUUAUGAUACAUUUUGGGAAAAUAAAACUUCCAUCGAAGAGAAGAAAAUGAAAGGCUUUCAAAAAAAUUCUCAUAGAAUCAAGAAUGAUGUUUUCAUGCUAUAUAUGCCAGAUCAUAAAUUAGUAAUUGCAUUCAAUCUCCAAAAAAAUCCCAAUUGUUUCUAUUUUUGGAAUGGAAUAUUUAAGGAAUCACCAUGAAUAGGAUCAAACCUUAUUCAAUGUUAUUUACAUGAGAUUCCUCUUUCUUAUUCUUAAGCAAGUCCCUGAGAGGACUUGGUGGAUCCAUGAUUUAUGUUGCAUCUCUUGUUUCCUUUUCGUUUGUUUCGAGAAAUAUAUCGAUCAAUUCCAAUUCUUUUGUUUUCUAUUGAUUCUUUUCUGAUCGAGAUGUAUUGACUGGAUCCUUGGAUCUAUGUGUCUAUAUAGAUUCUGUUCAUGGAUUAAUGAAAAUGUGCAAAAGCUUUAUUUGCCUCUGCCAUUCUAUGAGUCUCUUCCUUUUGGCAUAUGGCAUCGCCACUCCCUUUGGCAACAUCCACUAAUUUAGAACUUAAUUUGAAAGUCAUAUUUUGACCCGAACGUUUUUGGGAUGCUCCUAAUAAUCAAUGAAUGGAAAGUGCUUUUCCUUGUGUGGAUCCUAUUUCAAUGGGAACUUGAUGAGUCAAUCCACCUACACGUCUUGCUUUUAGUCCUAUAUCAAGAGUUACUCCACGUAUUGCUUGAUGUAAAACAUAUAGUGGAUUUGUUUGUCUUUUGUUGAAUUUUUUUCACGGAUCGAUAGAUAAUUUGAUAAGCCAAUGAUUUAUUUUCAUGUUUCGGAAUACAAUUAACCAACACGUUAACUAAUCGAUUAGGAUAAAUUGAAUUGGAUUUCACUUUUUUUUUCUGUAGCACCUCGACAUGACAUGAGCGUGAAAGGGGUUUAAGAAUUAGUUUUCUUUUUAUAAGGUCUAAAAUCAUUUAUUUUGGCUUUUUGACCCCAUAUUGUAGGGUGGAUCUUGAAAGAUAUGAAAGAUCUCCCUCCAAGCCGUACAUACGACUUUCAUCGAAUAUAGCAUUCCAUAGAAUUCUAUAUGUAUCCAUGAGAUCAAGUAUGGAAUUUUGUUUACUCAUUUUACAUUGAGUAUUUGUUUCCCUCCUUUUCCUGCUAGGAUUGGAAAUCCUGUGUUUUACAUAUCCAUACAAUUGAGUCAUUGGGUUUUUGAAAUAGUGUAAAAAGAAGUGCUUCGAAUCAUUGCUAUUUGACUCAAACCUAUUCUAAAAAAGUCGAGGCAUUUCAAAUUGUUUAUUGACAUGGAUAAAAUCAGGGAAAACCUCUGAAAUUAUUUCAAUAUUGGACCUUAGACAUAUAAUAGUUUCUAAUCGAAUCCCUUUAAAAAGAUCUUUUGUCUCAUGGUAGCCUACUUCAGUCCCCUUACGAAACAUUUGUUAUUGGGUUAGUCAUACACUUCACAUGUUUGUUUCUAGCGAUUCACAUGGUAUCAUCAAAUGAUCAAGUCUUGGAUAAGAAUCUACAAUGCACUAGAACACCCUUGUUGACAAUCCUUUACAGCGUUUAGAGUUCCUCGAACAAUGUGAUAUCUCACACCAGGUAUUUUAAUGCCAGAGAUCUAUCUUAUGUCACUGUCAUUUCAAUAGGGUAUUUUCGAAAACUAUGAACAGCAGCCGUAUGCAGUGGCAUAUAUUGGAACCUCCAUGUUGGUAGUAUACAUCCAAAUAGUAUUCAUAAAGGAGUGGCUUCUGAAUACUAUGAAAUCUGGCUCUUCUAAAAAUGAAAAUGAUGAAGGAAUGGUAUAUGAGCUUGAUCUGCCAGUGGAACACAAGGGUGAGCCUGACACUUUUGAACUAGAAAAUCAAACAUCCAUAGUAAAAAAUAUACACAGAGGAGUUAGCAUGAGGGGAUUUGUUAAAUUGGGCUCUUAGCUCGCUCCUAUCUGGCUCAUGACAGAGGUCAGCCAUUAUAUCAUUGUUGGCACUGAAUGUUAUUUUGCAUGUAACUGAAAUCUCAAGCAUAUAUAUCUAUAUAUGUAUGACACAUUUUCUUUUAUCCUUGCAUACAUAUUUGUUUCUCUUCAGUCUCCAUUUCUAGUUGUGGUCAAUUUACAUUAUUUUUACAAUAAUGGAUGCAUGUAGUACUUUACCCAUGCUGCACUUGCAAGAACAAGCAUUGCAACCACAACAUUACUGUCUUCAUCAGCUUCAGUACUUUUCACUCUUCUGCUUGGUGUCCCUUUGGGCCAAGAAUCCAUAAAUGCAGUCACAAUAGUUUAUGUCGUCAUCAGUUUGGCUGGUGUUGCAUUGACCACCCUUGGGCAGACUUGGGCUUCAUAUGAUACCCAGUAAGCAGAUCAUUUAUAUACACACCCAGAAUUAUUUAUUAACCCAAGAGCUUUAUCUAGUUAUAUAAUUGAUAGUUGUUUUUCGAGCAGCUGAUAGCUAAAAUUUGAUGUUUUAGAAAUGGGAAGCAUUCUCUUGUUGGAGAUCUUUUCAGUGCUCUCAGCUUUGACUUAUAUAUGAACUAUGUACCAGUGAAAAUAUUCUCUAACUGUUAUUAAUGAAUAUUUAGUUCAGCUAUGAUGGAUCUUGCUCAUAGCUCAUAUGCAAUAACAACAACAAUAAUAAUAAUACAGUGUUGUUUUAAAAAAUUGUUGGAGAAAGUGGGAGAUAAGAUAGAAGUGUAGAAGAAUACAUAGGAUUAUUCACACUCGUUGGCCUUUGGUGGCUAGGUUCUAGCCGAAGUAAUUAACAAAGGAGGUCUGUAUGCACUAGGUGAUGAUGGUAUCCAAGCCAUGGAAGCCACUCCAUCACGCUUCUGAGGUUUGGCAUCAAUGCAUUGGACGUCCACAAACAAAGUCCUUGAAUUUUUUACAAGAUAAGAAUUUUAUUAAUUUGUGCUAGUUGUUAAUUAGGCAAUAGCUAUUAACUUUUUUUUAGUUUAACAAGAAAGACUUCAAUGAAUCAUCUUGAUAAAAUACAUUAUGAUUUAUGGGGACCUAGACCAAAUAAUUCCACUCAAGGAUACAAGUAUUAUGUUUUGUUUAUUGAUGAUUAUACUUGUUAUACAUGGAUUUAUCCUUUGAAGAAAAAUCAGACUUCUUUGAAUGUUUCUUGAAAUUUCAAAGACUUGUUGAAAAUCAACUCGAGAGGAGCAUUAAAAUUUUUCACAACAAUGGAAGGGGUGAGUUCCAACUUGUUGAGUUUCAAAAUCACUCGAGUCAAUGUGGAAUUUUACAAUAAUUUUCCUAACCAGGAACUCCAAAAUAGAAUAGUAUUGUAGAGAGAAAGCAUAGACAUGUUGUAGAGAUGGGCCUAAUAAGGAUAUAUCAUGCAAACCUACCCGUUAGUCUAUGGGUGGAUGCAUUUUUUAUAGCCACCUAUCUUAUAAAUGGAUUGCCUUCUACAGUUGAAAAUAUGAGAAGUCCUUUUUAUAUGUUAUUCAAACAACAUCCAGAAUACAACGACUUGAGAGAUUUUGGAUCAGUGUUUUCCAUACCUUAGAGAAUAUGAGGAAAACAAAUUCCCACCAAAAACAUAUCCAUGUGUUUUCAUUGAAUAUAACUCUCUACACAAGGGAAAUUGAUACCUGCACCUCUCAACAAAGAGUAUAUAUAUCACGUCAUGUUAUUUUUCAUGAGAAAUUUUUUUUUUAUUCUAAUUCCUCUGAAAACAAAAAAAUCCAUGCAUAUUCUGUUAGAGAUUUUUCAUUCCCAACUUAUGAUGCUCCACUUAAAAUAUUAAAGCUUGUGCAACCUACCAAUACUUCUGAGUCGACAACAACCUUUAAUAAUGGUUGCAAUUCCACAACUUGUCUUGGUAAUGCUCUUGCUAGCCUCUAGAAUGUCACUCCAUGUGGUGACCGAGAAGCUAAUCAUUAUUACUAGACUAUUGCAAGUGCUGAUGUAUGUGCUGAUUCCCCUCGACAUCAUACCCAAUUUGAUGCCUAUGCAAAUUGCUCUCCAUCUUCUGAUUGUGUUGUUUCCCUUCAACAUAAUUCUCAGCUUGAUACUCAUGUAGCCUGCUCUACACAUCCUACCUGUCCUCAAGCUAAUCAUCUUAUAGAGACCUUAAGUGAUUUGUCAUAUUCAAGUAAAUCUUGCAACAACAAUGAGGAUUGUAGUGAUAAAUUUUUUAAUGUGUUUCCUUAUAUCAACAAGAAUCAAGGAGUUGAUCUCUUUCUUCGUGCAAAAUAGAAAAGGACUGACCAAGGAUUUACAAUGAUCACUAGAAACAGACUUAAAAAUGAACCAAGUCUAAAAUCUCAAAUGAUCAUCCUUACUACUACAAGAGGUCACAUUUGCGAGCUAAAAACCUAUCGUGGUGCACUUAAAAUUCCUGACUAAUAUGCUGCAAUGCAGAAGAAUUCACAACAUUAGAUUAGUACCACACCUAGGAUCUUGUUCCUAGGACUUCGGUACAAUUAUAGUGAUGUCCAAAUGGGUUUUUGAGACAAAACUUAAGGAGGAUGGCAUAGUGGACAGAUUAAAGGCUUGGCUUUUGCUCGCGGCUUUACUCAAAUACCAGGUUUGGAUUUCUGUGAAACUUUCAAUCUAGUAAUUAAACAUUCAAGGAUUCAUUUGAACCUCUCACUUUGCAGUCUCUUUAAAAUGGAUUAUCAGGCAGCUAGAUGUCAAUAAUGCCUUUUUACAUGGGUUUCUCAAGGAGUAUGUGGUCAUGGAGUAGCCCAUAGCUUUGAAAAUGAAGACUUUCCCAAUCAUGUAUGUUGUCUUAAUGAUUCUCUCUAUGGUUUGAAACAAACUCUGAGAGCCUAGUUCAAUAAACUCUCUUAGUUCCUUCUCCAUAUGGGUUUUCAUUGUGGUAAAGUAGUCCCAUCCUUAUUCAUCUGAACAUACAGGUCACUCCAUUAUUCUAAUAUUGAUUUACGUGGACGAUGUUAUAGUCAUUGGAAAUGAUACAACCACCAUCAAUAAUCUCAUGCAUACAUUAAGCAAAGAGUUUUCUUUGGAGAACUUGGUGUAAGUUCAUUACUUUCUCAGCUUGGAAGUUCGAAACUUUUAUGGUGGUAUCUUUGUUUCCCAAGCAAAGUUUCUUAGAGACUUACUCAGUGGGAUGAGAAUGCUUGAGUACUUUCACUUAAGCAUGCUCACGGCUAUCAAACCUACGAGUAACCCAGUUGAUGAUCAUCCAGUUGAUCAAACCCUUUAUAGGCAACUUACUGGUUCCUUGCAAUAUACCACGUUUACAAGACAAGGUACUGUCCAUGCAAAAAACAAAGCCUAUCAACAAUUUCAAUCUCCCAUAGAGGCUGACAUGCAAGUUGUGAAAGUAUCUUGAGCUAUCUAAAGGGAACCAUGGAUUAUGGAUUUCACUUUCUUAAAAAACAGUUCCCUUUAUCUAACAGGCUACCAAUGCUGAUUGGGCCAAAUGCACCAUUUACAUGUCCCAUGAAUGAAAACUCCGUGAUCCAGUUUUUCAAACAAUGCCACUUCCACUCUGCCAUUUACAUCUAACAAUUGUCACCAACUAUAAAUAUUUAGCAACCACUGGUGACAUCAAUAUUGGUAAUCUGGUUCUUUGUUAGGCUAGGACUCAAUGAUUUUUAACACAUAAAUUUUCUCAAAUAAGAAAAUUGUUGAUGAAAAUGUAAGUUGAUUUAUUAUACUUAACAAUCAUUAAUAUGCCCCUUGAUUCUUCUAAUAAAAACAAAAACACCAUUUUAAACAAUUUAAUGUUUAAUUUUCAAUCAAAAGGAUGGGAUUUCAUAAAUAGACACUAGAUAAUAAAUUCUUUCAAUGAAAAAACUUUGAAUCAUCAAAUAUUUCUCCUAGAAAUCUUUGAUAUUCUUUAACUCUUUAAGAGAUCUUCAAAUAUUCAUCUUUUCAAGAAAUCUUGAAUCUUGAAGGAAUUUCUUCAACAACUAUAAAAAUUUUUGUCGGUCUUCAAUGUGUGCUUUCAAAUGAGAGGAACCCUCUACUUAUUGGGUUAGAAAUUUUAUUUUGAUGUUAUAUCUUGCUUUCCUAGACAUAAUCAUCCUUUUUAUUGUGAUAAUUGUUAUUUAUUUUAAUUAUUAUAAUUAAUUAAUUAAGAUAAUUAUAAUAUUCUUUUGCAUCAUCACAAUUAACUGAUUUCUUAUUAUUUUUUACACAUUAUUAGUUAAUUAUUGACACGUGACUAUUAAUGAGUGGACAAAAAUUUUCUUUGCACAUAUUUCUUUAAACAUUGAUCAUUGUUAGUUGGUGGUGACAAUCUACUCAAACUAGUAGGGAGUUCUUUAUACACCUAAUGAUUUCUUGAAAUAUCACAAAUUUCUUUUAAUGUUUAGGUUUAUUUUUCAAUAAUGGUCAAUGCUAAGGCUAAGGUUGGGUUAGUUAGGUUAAGAAUAAGUUUAUGUUUCAUAUGUUUAUUUUUGUUGUGAUUUUAGAUAGAGAGGUCCUUAUGUUCUUUUUCUGUGAGUUUGAUGUAAAUUUCUAUGUUUGUUCCAUUUCAUCAUAGUUUUAAAUAUCAUCUACCUUGUUAUAUUCUAUAUAUAUAUUUGGCUUCUCUUUCAUAUGGGCUCCAUCUUCUUUACUAUUGUUUCCAUGAUUUCAAUUUCAUUCUUUGUUUCCAUUUCACUUGUGGUGGCAUCUUAUUGUCUAAGGUUUGUGUAAGAAUUUUUAAAUUUCAUCCUUUGCAUCAUGUUCAUCCUACUUCUCUACAAUAAGAGCAGAAUGAUUGGUUAUUUUCAUGGAAAGGUUUUAUUUUAAGUCUUUGCACUUAUACCAUCUCUCAUUAUUCAUGCUUAUAGAAUUUAAUACAUUACUAGUACUUCAUUUUCAUUUAAAAAAAUAUGUAUAGGAAAAAAAAAGGAAAUAAGAAAAAUACUUAGUAAGAUAGAAGGAACAAUCAAGGUAGACGGUGUUAGCAGAAUGAAAUUCAUGUGAGUAAAAAAUGGAGUUGUCAAUAUUAUGCCCCCUUGGAAGGUGGUGCAAUUCUCAACCAACAAGUGUUAAGGUUGAAUAUGUGAAAGUAGAGCAAGAUGUGGUGUUUAUAAAAGGUUGAAGGUAUGUGGGUUUUGUAUUAAGAUAGAUACUAUAAUAUCUAAAAUCAUUCACAAUCAUUGAGAUAUAUUUAAUUUAUAUUAAUUCAGUCUUCCUACUUUGGUAAAUUAUAUGGUAAAAACCUAUAAAAACAAAUACAUUUAGACUGUUGGGAACAUAAAUCAUUCUUUUGAGUUAAAUUGCAUAAUAAUUAAGUUGCCAAAAUUUUCCAUUGUAGAUACAAACACAAUUGUGGACCCGCAUUUUUCACGUGUGUCCCCACUUAAUGGGCGAGACUCACUUUUAUUGGUGAAAAAUUUAUGUUAAACAUGCUCUAAAAAUAAUUUUUAUUCUCUAAAAAAUAAAUUUAAUAGAUUGAAUAUAUCCAUAAGGGUGUUAACUGAAGAAAUUUGAAACGAAUGAUGGCUUACUGUAUUUACCCUAAAUCUCAAUGGGUGAGAGUGAAAUUAACUCAUAAAAUUAUUGUUCCCAUAAAUAUUUUUAUAUGUUUAACCACAACUCAUUUUCAAUUAGCAUAGAAGGUUUUGGCAUGUUAUACUUGCUAAUCUCAAGGGUGGUUAUGACUUAUCUACAAAGUUUUUCACUUUUGAGUCACCAUGCUAUUAAGGCUGCCAUAUAUUUCAUACAAUCGGUUCAUUUUGGCUUUACAAGGGCAUGAACAAUUGUUGAUUAGUGCAAGUGAAGAAAACAAAGAAUUCGUUAAUCAUGAACAAGCAUUUUCUUCCUAGUGUGGAUGAGGAAGAAAAUGUGGUGCAAAAUUCCAUUUGUAGGUUCACUCCAAUUAAUCACUUCAAUAACCAUGGACCUUGGGAUCAGAAACAAGUUUUUGGUAUUAGAAGCAAGCCAUCUAAGAACAGUCCUAAUGAACAACCAGUCCCACAAUAGAAGUAACAACCUAAAAAAUCAAGUGGUACUCUCAUUUACCAAAUAUGUAAUAAGGCUAAUCACUUUGCUUUGGAUUAUUGGAACAAAAUUUGAUUACUCAUAUCAAUAAGAUAAAAUUCCCCAAACUUUGGCGACUAUGACAUUGAAUAAAGAAAGGGGUGAUCUCAACUUCUAUGUUGAUUCUGGAGUCACAACCCACAUAACAAUCAAUCCUACUAAGAUGUCCCAAGUUGUUCCAUAUAAAGGAAAUGGUGUAAUUUUUGUUAGAAAUGAAGAACCCCUAAGGAUUUCAAUUUUUUUUUUUUUUUGAUAACCGUGGAUGUCCGGGCCAACUUACGCACACCUUGUCUAAUCCCAUGGGGCCCUGAAGUUAACGUCCAGGUAAACCUCUAAUGGCCCUAAGGAUUUCAAAUAUUACAGAGGCUAAAUUAAGAACAAGACAUGGAAACUUGAAUCUUAAUGGUCUUAGUUGUUUUAGAAAUUAACAAAAUGUUUCUAUCCAUUGGAUAACUUAUGAUAAUUCAUGUUCCAUAGAAUUCUCAUCUAGUGGUUUUGUUAUAAAGGACUAACAUCAACAAGUUCUAGCCAAAGGAAUUAACAAAUGAGGUCUGUAUGUACUAGGAAAAUAUGUUAUCCAAGCCAUGGCAGCCACUCACUCCAACAAGGCAUCAUGAGAGGUUUGGCAUCAAUGCAUUGGACAUCCACAAACAAAGCCCUUGAAAUUUUUACAAGAUAAGAAUUUAAUUCAUAUGUCUAGUUGGACUAAAUCUCCUUCGGCUUGUGCUAGUUGUCAAUUAGGCAAGAGGUAUAAACUUUCUUUUGGUUCAACAAGAAAGACUUCUAUGAAUCCUCUUGGUAAAAUACAUUAUGGUUUAUAGGGGCUUGGACCAAAUAAUUCCACUCAAGGACAUAAGUAUUAUUUUGUGUUUAUUGAAGAUUAUGCUUGUUAUACAUGGAUUUAUCCUUUGAAAAAAAAAUAGACUUCUUUGAAUGUUUCUUGAAAUUUCAAAGACUUGUUGAAACUCAACUUGAGAGAAACAUUAAAACUUUUCAAAGUGAUGGAGGGGGUGAGUUCCAACUUGUUGAGUUUUAGUAUCGAUUGAGUGAAUGUGGAAUUUCAAAACAAUUUUCCUAUCUAGGAGCUCCAAAAUAGAAUGGUAUUGCAUAGAGAAAGCAUAGACAUGUUGUAGAGAUGGGCCUAACAAUGAUAUUUCAUGCAAACCUACCCCUCAGACUAUGGGUGGAUGCAUUUUUUACAACCACCUAUCUUAUAAAUCGAUUGUCUUCUACAAUUUAAAAUAUGAGAAGUCCAUUUUAUAUGUUAUUCAAACAACAUCUAGAAUACAACAACUUGAGAAUUUUUGGAUACUAGUGUUUUCCAUACCUUAGAGACUAUAGGAAAAACAAAUUCUCACCAAAGGCAUAUCCAUGUGCUUUCAUUGGAUAUAACUCCCCACACAAGGGAAAUCAAUGCCUACACCUCUUGAUAAAGAGAGUAUACAUAACACGUCUUGUUGUUUUUUAUGAGAAAUUUUUUUUUUGCAUGAUUAUUCCUUUGAAAACAAAAACUCCAUGCAGAUUCUAUUAGAGAUGGAUUCAUUCCCAACUUAUGAUGCUCCACUUAAAAUUUUAAAGGUUGUGCAACCUACCAAUACUUCGGAGUCAACAACAACCCUUAAUAAUGGUUGCAAUUCCAUAACCUAUCUUGGUAAUACUUUUGCUAGCCUCUAGAAUGUCACUCCAUGUGGUGACCCAGAAGUUGAUCACUAUUCCUAGACUAUUGCAAGUGCUGAUGUGUGGGUUAAUUCUCCUCAACAUCAUACCUAGUUUGAUGCUUAUGCAAAUUGUUCUCCAUCUUUUCUUUGUGUUAUUUCCCCUUAACAUAAUUCUCAGCUUGAUACUCAUGCAACUUGCUCUACACCUCCUACUAGUCCUCAAGUUGAUCAUAUUAUAGAGACCUUAAGCGAUUUGUCAUCUUCAAGCAUAUCUUGUAGCUACAAUGAGGAUUGUAAUGACAAACUUUUUAAUGUGUUUCCUCAUAUCAACAAGAAUCGGGGAGUUGAUAUCUUUCUUCCUACAAAAGAGAAAAGAACUAACCAAGGAUGUACAAUGAUCAUUAGAAACAGAUUUAAAAAUGACCCAAGUCUAAAUCUCAAAUUAUCAUCCUUGCUACUACAAGAGGUCACAUAUGCGAGCUAAAAACCUAUUGUGUUGCACUUAAAAUUCCUCACUAAUAUGAUGCAAUGCAAGAGGAAGCCACAGAAUUAGAUCAGAAUCACACCUAGGAUCUUGUUCCUAGGCUUUCCAAUGCAAAUAUAGUGGAGUCCAAAUGGAUUUUUAAGACAAAAUUUAAGGAGGAUGGAAUAGUAGAUUGAUUAAAGGCUUAACGGAUUGCUCAUGACUUUACUCAAGCACCAAGUUUGGAUUUCUAUGAAACUUUCAAUUCAAUUAUCAAACAUACAAUGAUUUGCUUGAUCCCUCACUUGCAGUGACUUUGAAAUGGACUAUGAGGCAACUAGACGUCAAUAAUGACUUUUUACAUGGUUUCUCAAGGUGUUCAUGGAGCACCCCCUCGGCUUUGUUAAUGAAGACUUUCUCAAUCAUGUAUGUUGGCUUAAUCAUUCUCUUUAUGGUUUGAAACAAACUCCGAGAGCCUGGUUCGAUACAGUUUCUCAGUUCCUUCUCUAUAUGGGUUUUUGUUGUGGCAAAGUAGAGCUAUCGUUAUUCAUCCAAACACAUAUGUCACUUUAUUAUUCUAAUAUUAUUUACGUGGAUGAUGUUAUAAUCACCAAAAAUGAUACAACCACCAUUGAUAAUCUCAUUCAUGCAUUAAGCAAAGAGUUCUCUUUGAAGGACUUGGGAUAACUUCAUUACUUUCUCAACUUGGAAGUUUGAAACUUUUCAAGUGGUAUGUUUGUUUCCCAGACAAAGUAUCUUAGAGACUUAGUGUGGGAUGAAAAUGAUUGAGUGCUCUCACUUAAACAUGAUCAUGGCUAUCAAACCUACAGCUACCCAAAUUGAUGAUUAUCCAGUUGAUCGAACCCUUUAUAGACAACUUGUUAGUUCCUUGCAAUUUCUCACAUUUACAAGACUAGGUAUUGUCCAUGAAGUAAACAAAGCUUGUCAAUAAUUUCAAGUUCCCACAGAGGUUGACAUGCAAGUUGUGAAAAGUAUCUUGAGAUAUCUAAAGGGAACCAUGGACUAUGGACUUUGCUUUCUCCAACAAGUUCCCUUUGUUUAAUAGGCUAUUACAAUGCUGAUUGGGUUGGAUGCCCCAUGAAGGAAAACUCUAUGAUCCAAUUUUUUAGACAAUGCCACUUCCACUAUGCCAUUUACAUUUAACAACUAUUAACAACUAUAGACAUUUAGCAGCCAUUGGUGACAUCAACACUGGUAAUCUCGUUCUUUAGUAGGGUAUGACUUAAUGAUUUUUAACACAAAAAAUUUCUCAACUAAGAAAAUUAUUGACAAAAUUCUAAGUUGAUUUAUUUAAACUUUACAAUCUUUAAUAUGCACUUUGAUUUUUCUAAUAAAGACACAAACAUCGUUUUAGACAAUUUAAUGUUUGAUUUUGGAUCAAAAAGUCAUGAUUUCAUAGAUAAUAAAUUCUUUCAAUGAAAAAAAAUAUCCGAAUCAUCAAUUUCUUCAAGAAAUCUUCAUAUAUUUUUUAACUUUCUAAGAGAUCUUCAAAUAUUCAUAUUGUCAAGAAAUCUUGAAUCUUGAAGGAGUUUCUUCAACAACUGUAAAAAAUGUUGUCGACGUUCAAUGAGUGCUUUGAAAUGAGAGGAACCCUCUACUUAUUGGGUUGGAAUUUUAUUUUGAUAUUAUCUCUUGUUUUCCUAGAGAUAAUCAUCUUAUUUAUUACAAUAAUUAUUAUUUAUUUUAAUUAUCAUAAUUAAUUAAUUAAGAUAAUUAUAAUGUUGUUUUGCUUUAUCAUAAUUAAUUGUUUUUUAUUAUUUUUAAAUUAUCAAAUCAUUUUUUUUUGCAAGACCCAUAUGACAAGUGUCAACAUGUUAUUAGUUAAUUAUUGACAUGUGACUUUUAAUGAAUGGACAAAAUUUAUCUUUGUGCAUAUUUUUUUCGACAUUGAUCAUUGUUAGUUACUGGCAACCACUUACUCAAAUCGGUAGAAAGUUCUUUAUACACCUAAUGACAAGGUAUAUAAGCUCAAAGUGGGAACCACUAGGGCCCAUAGGAAUACUGGCUCCCUUGGAAUCUAAUUCUAAAGUUGAUUCAACACCCCACUACAAAGAAUCAACUAAACUCAAUAUCCUAUGUAAAUAACAAUGAGACACCAAGUGCUCAGGUUCGUGACUUGCUAUCUAUUGUGUUCAGUCUCCCCAUGAACUGGUGUUUGUAGUCUAACAAGGUGAAAGUUAUUAGCCUUUCAGGACUACCUCUACCAUCCUUAAGUUACAAAUCCUCCUAUUGUGUGUUUAAUUGACAUAUCUUAGCUCUUAAAGGGCUUAUGUCAAGUUCCACUUAAGGAACUACUAUGACCAUAGUUUACAUAAACAUAUCUCCUUAGGAUCACCUAAAAUAACACACUAUCUCAAUCCUAAGAGAUAUCAAGGUACCUUUAUUGAGAAUACCUAUUGUUAGUGGCUUCUAUCAAUAGUGACCCAAUCCAUAGGGAAUAUAUGAUCAACUUACGAUCUCACCCGUAACUCAAAGUCAUUGCUAACUUCAACAUAAGUUCAAUAUUCUCUUAAGGUUGAGAAACAACACAAUGAAGCAGCUUGGUGGAUUCAUGACUACUUGAUAGCCUUAAGUCAUAACUCACCAUAGGUCUUGUCCAAUGUGCAACCAUACACACUAGUGUACUCACCAUGGGAAACCCAUCCCAAUAGCCAAGACUAGUCAUCCCUUCAAUUUGGAGAUGGUGCACUAUAGUCUCUAAUGGGUUGCCUAAGCCCAUGAACCGACUGUGAACAAGUCAUCUAUUUGCAAGGAACCCAUGACUUAGAUUUUCUGUGCAACUCUUAAUGCACCUAAAUAACGUACAAUGAAAAAGAUGUAGACAUUCGCUCAUAAAGUAUAACACAUGGAAUAAGAAUAGAUAAAAGUGAAACUAGAAUAUCAUUAAAUAAAUAAUAAAUUCCAAAUUCAUUACAUCAUGUCAUGCUUCUAAGGGCUCUAUUCUAACACCAAAAUGCUCGUAAAGUAUAAUGCAUGGAAUAAGGACAGAUAAAAGUAAACUUGGAACAUCAUUAAAUAAAUAAUGCAUUCCUAAUUUAUUACAUUAAGUCAUGCUUUUAAGGGCUUUAUCUUAACAUUCUCUCACUAGCCCUUAAAACAUCAUGUUAUCAAAGCAGACAGAUACUCAUCUGAAACCUAUGUUAUCCCUGUGAUCAUCAAAGACUCUCCCAAUCAAUGUCAAGGUAAAAGGAUUUGUUAGGUUCUCUACAAAAGGUAUCUAUCGAACUGUCACAUCACCCCUCUAAUAGAUCUCAAGAGUCUAAAACACAAGCACAUAAUCCCUCAUUCUCCAAAGAUACUUGAGUAUAUGCUUUACAAUUGUCUAGUGUUUUAGACUUAGAUUUGACUGAUAUCUACUUAUAAUAUCCACAACAAAGAAAAUAUCCGGUUAGCACAUAGCAUCGCAUACAUAAGGCUACCCAUUAGAAAGACAUAAGGUACCCCUUAAGUGCAAUCUUUCUCCUUUGAUGUCUAAGGACAUUGAUUUUGAGAAAGGCUAACUCCAAACCUAAAGGGCAACAACCCUUCUUAGAGUCCUGCAUUAUACACUUAACCAAAUGCUUAUCGAUGUAGAUGAUAUAGUGUAAUUUCAUUAUUCUUGCAGUCCAAAAGAACCUUAAACCCAAGAAUAUAUUGUGUUCCAUCUAGAUUUCCAUCUAUAAUUGAGUAGACAAAUUGAUCUUGAUUGCUGAUAAUAUCUCUACUUCAUUCCCGAUGAGUAGAUUGUCAUCCAUCUACAAGAUCUUAGAGCACCACUAUGCUUUCCUAAACCUUCUUGUACACAUAAGGCCCUUUGCGAUGAAAAUGUCUAGUUGCAUAAAAAAAUGCUAAAAUCAAGACAAUCGUUCAAGAACGCUAUCUCAACAUCCUAUUGUCAUAUCUCAUAAAUGAGAUAAACUACAAUGGAUAGGAGUACUUUAAUGGAUUUUAGUAUGGCUACUAGUGAAAAGGUAUCCUAUAGUCAAAACAAUGUUUCAAACUAUAACCUUUAGCUACAACCUAGCCACAUAAAACUCAACCUUUCCUUCUACUUCUUUGUUUCUCUUAUAGACUAACUCACACCUAUGGGUUUUAUCAUUUCUGGAGUUUCUAUAGAAAUCCAAACUAUGUUAUAAUACAAAGAUUCUAAUUAUAGCUUCAAAGCUCCUUGCUAAGUUAUGAGCACCAACACGCUCAUUGCUUCAUAAUACAUGGUGUAUAAACCUCCCACUAUGAUGAGUCACUCAUAUACUAGAAGUAAUGGGAAUGAUAUCUCACUGGAUCCAUAGUAUCUUGUGUAAAACUAGGACUAUCCUUUAAGUUUCAGUUGUGUGUCAGUGUAUGAAUUAGUGGAGAAAUGCCAGUCAUGCAAUGCUUAGGUUAGUGGAGAUUUAAUGGUCAUAUUAUGAAAAUUUCCAUGGCUACAUACAGUGAAGAACAUAUGUUGCACAAGGUAAAGUGAACCUUCCUUUUACUUGCUAAAAAUGGAGAUCUAAUAUGGUUAAAUUUUUAAUUGUCGAAAGUGGAGAACUCAUGUGGCUGCAAUGCAUGAGAAUUCAAGUCGUGUAGUGUAUGCAAUUUAGUGAUAUGUAAUGGAAUUCAAUUGUGGUUGAGUUAUGGCUUUUUAGGGCUGAAAAUUUACAAUGAUAUGGACUGAAAUUCGGUGAAGUAUUAUGGAGAAAUGAGCUGAAUAUUGUGGUUGAAUUAAGGAGAAAUGUGGUUGAAUUUGUUAGAACAUUAAGUCUUGUUUAUUUGUUGCCAAUUUUGUUUCAAUUAAUAUUUGGUCAUAGAAAUCUUUUUAGAUAGAAACUUGCUCUCCAUUGAAGAUCAAUGGUUGUUGUUCGUCCAAUUGAGAAGUCACAAGUACAUCUAAAAAGGUUUGGCUUGUGGCAUAUAAGACUUGUUUGAGAUAUAAAAGGAUUCUAUAUCAUUUUUUGACUUAAAAUGUUUUUAAAAUAUUUUUAAAAUAUUUUUUCAAGAAGUAGGGAUUGAUUACUACUCAAAAAGUACUUUUUUAUAGUUUGAAACUAACUAUUUAAAACACUUUUGAGUAGUAGUUAAUACCUUUUAACUCAAUUGGCACAUUAAGGAACCUAGCAAGGGUUACUAAUCAGUUUUUGGCAAGUUUUGGUGUUUUUGGUAGCUAUUAAUCAUUGAAACAACCCAAGAAUGAGGGAGAAUUUUGUGAAAUCCAUGGCAACGCAAGUUAAAGCUCAAAUACAUGAAGAAUCCAAGCUUUGGAGCACUUCAUAGCCCUUUGCCAAGCCAAUCAGAGAUGCAAGGAAGAAAACUAGAGGAAAAAAUCCAACAACCAGCAUUUUCGCAUGGUUGUGUGAAAUUUCGCACACCAUGCGAAACCACUUAAGGCAGCCAAAGAAUUUCACACACCAUGCGAAAUUUCGCAUGGUAUGCGAAAUUUCGCAUGGUAUGCGAAAUCUUCCUGUGCACUGACUCCGUUAGAUUUUUAUCUCCAGAUAUUUUGUGUAAUUUCCUAUUUUCUCCUUGUAAUCAACUUAGAUAUUUUUUAUAAUAUUUUUUUUUAUAUAUUUGGUGUGUGUAGCAUAUUUUGAUAUAGACACACAAGGAUGUAAUCAAAGAACACUUGUAAAUUCCCUGUAGUAAGAAAUUUACAGAGCUUUUGCUCUACAUUUCCUUCUCAUUUUGUAUUCACUCUUCUUUCUAGCCAAACAACCUCUGAGGAUGAUUUCUCAGGGGAUGAGUGGCUAGGUUUUAUGUUUCUUGGAGUAAUGGAAGCUAGGUGAAGGACCGAAAUGCAAAGAUGGGAGUUGUCCUUGCUUUAAAUGAAAGUAGUUGUUAACCAUUAAUGGUUUUUAUUUUAGGGUUUAGCUUUAUAUCCCUUAAAAGCACCUUGAAUGGCCAAUACUUCGUAAGCUUUUCAGAUUCUAUGGAUGCUUAUUAAUAGAUCCAUGGAUGUCUAUUAGUUAUCAUUUACGAGCCAUUGGAAGGUGGUUCAAGGUGAGAGUCUUUAGUGUUUGAAGCCAUUAAUGGGAAGCAACUAUUAUUUUUCAUGAACCCUUUGGAUCAAAUCUUAAUUGCUAAAUAUAAAACUGGUUCGGGAGAUAACCAUCCUUUAUGUUAUUGUCCCCAACGCGAGGAGAAGAUCCGGAAUCUCCCCCUUUGUCUAAGGGACCCGAUCCUAGUGAGCUAAAGCUCCAAGAGACCUUUUCUUUGUAGUUAACUUCACUUAUUAUUUUUGCUUAACUUAAAAUCAAUCUUUGCAAUCACAAUUCCAUUUUCUUUAAAAGCUAAUUUUCAUAAGGAUAAACACCAUUUUAUUUCCUUCACUAAAGUCAACUGUACGAUGAAAACCCAUCCCUGUGGAUGAUCCUAGAGCCACUAUACUAUGUUAGCUAUGCUACCCUAGUGUGGGGAGAUUUAGGUUUUAUAAAUUUUGUUGAUAACACCCGUAUGAGCCAGAAUCAAAUGGCAUGACUAUAAUGGGGACGAAUUAGGGACUGCUCAAGCAGUUAUCCCACUCAAAUGAUCAGCCCACUCAAAUGGUCAUGUCAGUCCUGUCAAGUUUAGAAAUGUAUUUUGAAUAAAUUUCACUCAAACUCUAAUUUAGAAACUUGAGAUACCUAAACUCUUAUGGAUUUUGCCUAUCAAUACCUCUCUUGUAACCCUUUAUGGGUUAAAGAUUCAGGCUAAGAGAUCGUAGAGAUCUUAGAUAUUAGAGACCUCUCAUUCUUAAGAGAAGGACUCCUUGUGAAGAAAACCUAAUUGCCACCAUAUUCAUGAUCUCUCAUUCAAGGAUUUGAAUCUUUGAAUCACGGGUUAAAGACUUUAAUCCCUUUGGUGUUACCAAAAGAUCUACUAGGAAGCAAUAAGGAGUUGCUAGGUAGCAGACGUGGAUCAAGUUGUAGGUUCUGGAAAGUAAGUCUUUAAGUUAAAGCAGCCACAUAAAUUUGUGUAACUUGAUUUUGAAUAAUGGAUUUGGAUCGAUAGGUCUUAGACCUCAUGUUUUUUUAUCUCCACUGUUUGUAAGGGUUUUCCAUGUAAAAUCUUGUACCUCUUACAUAUCAUUUUAUUACUACUUAUAUUUUGGUUGAUAAUAUUAAUUAUAUUGAAUUGAUUGGAUAGUUUGCUUUUGAGUUUGUUGGGUUAGUAAUCUUGGUGGUUGUAGUGGUUAAACCUAUAACCAAUUACUGUUAUCCCUAACUUCUCUUCGAAUGUCUUUUGAUUAAUUUGUUGGGUUGUUACUGAGUUUGUUAGGUUGGUUAUUUUGGAUAAUUUUAUUAUUCCUCACAUAUCUCAAUAGAUAUUUUUGAUAUUGACAAUUAUAUUAUCCCUAACAAAUUGCAAGGUAUCCCUAAAAGUUAAAAAUCAUAUUUGUAUAUACCUAAAGUUCUAAGUAUAAUCAUUUAUUUAUUUGUGAUAUCCCCAAUAUCUCUCAAGGUAAAAAGUUGGUUAUAAUUUAUAAAUAUUUAUUUAAAUUUUUAAAUCACCCAUUCACCCCCUCCUCCGUGUUCCCUAUUGGACUUCUGGUCUUCAUUUUAAUGGUAUUAUGGACCCGCAUUUCUCACGUGUGCCCUCACUUGAUCGGCGAGACUUGCUUUUAUAGUAUGAAAAUUUUAGUUUUGGAAAAGUCAGAGUCGCCACUUAUUUUAUUUUAUUUAAUUUUAAAAGGGCAAAUAAAACAAGAAAGAAAACCCUAAAGAAACGACUCCAUAGUUUUUGGAAAAUCGUGUCUUUGAAAAACCCAAGUCUAGGUCCGAUGAUCAGGUUACCUAUUGGGAAGGUACCUUUAAAAGGUAGCGCCCUUCUAAGCCCUACAAAGAUCUCUACUGACUAAGCUGAGGGAAAUGUGGCAAUUAAUUGAUUAACUGAAGAUACCUAGGUAGACUAAGGUGAUUUUAAAAAAUAGCAUGCCAAACAAGAUCAAAUCACAAUAAAGGAGAGUUAGGAUGCAUACUCGAAUUGCUUCUCAAGCGCUAUCAUAAAACAUCAUAGUUAAUAUAGAAAUAUAGCACACAACAUGUAUUUACUUAUAGUGAAUCAAGCAUACAUCUAAGCACCUAAGGAUCACAUCAAUCAUAAAUAAGGCUCACAACAACAUGCAUAUUCAUGGAAUCCCGAAAAGUAGUGAUAAAGAGCAUACUUGGAUAACAUGCAUAAUUUAUAAGAUUCCUCAAAAAAAAAAAAAAGGCUAGAGUGGUUAGGACAAGUAUAUAUAUUAUAUAACACCUUUAUUAUGUCUAAUAUACAGUGCCAAAGCCAAAAUUCAGCUAAGAUAAAUCAAAUGACUCCAAAAAUAAUAACAAUUCAAGCAAGUACUGAGUCAUUAACAUGCAUAUAGUAAAGGGAGCAUCACAAAAAUAAUUUCUAAAAAAUGUCUUGGAGUGGAUUUUAAUCACAAAAAAAUUUCUAGAAACAACUCCUACACGUCUAGAACAAGAUACCAAAAUCCAAACACUCAUUCAAAUGUCAAAUUGCAGCAAAGACGCCCAAAAGUUCCAAAAGGUCCAGAUUAGGUAAAAAAAAAUAGGGGCAUGCAUAAUUUUUUUUUUAAAAAAAUAAUAAAACAUCAGAUAAAAUCAUACAAAAAAUCACACACAUUUUUCAAGGUGUCUAUAUCAUAGGAAAAAUAAAUUCAGGGUUUGAUAGUAUUCAAAAAUAUUUUUAAAAUGCUCCAACUAAUCAUAUAUCUAGAUUCCAUCAUGCAUAGUAGGUACGGAUUUAAAAAAAUCACAUCUCCCUCAAAAAGGCACAUUUUUCAAUAUUUCAUGUAUCUAAUAUAAAUUUCAAGAAGCCUAGAAUUUAGAAAAAAAAAUUUUAAAAGUCGUAUGGUAUUUUAUUUUUGCAAAAAGAUCUCGGUUGUCCAAAACUGGGUGAAAAUGGAGCCCCCCUAAAGACUCAUUUAUAUCUUCUAUUCUAGAAUUGCUUUCUAACUCAAACGAAAUUUUAAAUUCAAGUUCAAGAAGUGAGGAAAAUCAUACAAGUUUCAUAAAAUUUUUAAAACAUUCUAAAGUUAAAACAAAUUUUAAAUCUAAAGGGUCAGUGGUUGAGUGAAAACUGGCAACAAGGAAGAGUUUUGAAAAAAUUUCUUAUGUAGGGGUUCCAUCAAGUCCCCAUUCAAUUUCCAUAAGUUUUACCUGUGUAUCCCCAUUAGUUUGGGAGCACAAGUCCAAACCUAUGUGUAUAAAAACCAAAUUUCUGAAAAACCAACAAAGGAGAAAUGCAACUUAAAUGAAAUUAGUUACAUUAUUUUAAUAGAAAGGGUGUUCUUUGCCUAAAGCUAGAAUGAAUGUUUUCUAAAACCUUUUAUUGGUGAUUUAAAUGCUUUUGAAAAUGACUUUAAGGGAAGUAAAAAAAAGGACCCAAUGGUUUGUUAAAUCCCAUACAAUAGGCACAAAAUAGAGAUUUUUGAUUUCUAACUUGAGAGGGUUUUGAAAAUAAAAGAAAAGCUAAAUUGGAUCCUCUUUUUAGCUACCUUUUAUUUGGGAUCAAGGAGCCAAACUUAUGAUGGAAAAAUUCAUUUUUGGAAAAAGAAAAUUUGAUUCAACUCAAAAUGUCAAUUUAAUAAAGAAAACAUUUUCUAAAAGAAGGUUCAAACUCAAGAAUUCCCUAAGGUGCCUAUAAAAUAAGUGUCAAAGAUAAAAAAACUAACAAUUGAAUCAAAUAUAAGGAAGCCAACAUCAACAAUUAUGUAUUAAACUUUGGAAAGUAAAGAAUUAAAUGAGAACCAAUCAAACUAAAUAAAAUUAUCAACUUGAACAUGCAAGGAUUUUUGGUUAAAAUUAAAAUUAUAGACAACCUUAACAACUGGCAAGAAUCAAUCAAACUAAUAAAUUAAUCCUAAAGACAUCACAUGAAUUUAAAAAAUAAGAACAUAAGAUAUUAAAGACAUGAGACCAAUUAAGAACAUUAACAACUAAGGCAAUUGUGUGGAUUAAAUUCAGAACAGAAUAAUCUAAAACUCAGGGAUUAAAUAAAAUUAUCCGAACUAACAAAAAAAAAAAAAAAACAAUUGAGAACAUGGCAUGGAUUUUAUCUAAAACCAAUAAUUAUAAUUUAGUAAUUAAUAGGAACCAAUCGGAUCAACAAUUUAUCAAUUUAAUGACAUGACAAGGAUUUUACAAAAAUGAAAUUUUAAAAUUCCAAAAUUAUUAAGAAUUAGAUGGAAGCACCCAAAAUAAAAUUUAUCAACAUUCUAAAUAACACAUGUACAUGGAUAGGGCAAAAAUCGAAACUAAACUAGACCCAAAAUUUUUCGAUUUAAACUCAAACCUCCCUAAUUUAAUCUAAAAAGUUCGAAACUGAAACUAAGUAAGCCAAACUCUAUCAAACUGACACAAUAAAUCAAAGCCUCAACCAAUGACGAUCAACACAUUUUUUUUAUGUAAUAAAUCAAGAUUUAAAUAGAACAGAAUUCCAACUUACCUUUCCAAGCAAUGGCGUGGAUUGUGUAUUUCUUAAAAUGGCAGUUGUGCAGAUGAAGAUUGGAUGAGUGGCAAUCUAGAUGGAUUGUCUGUGGCUUUGUAACAUGGAGAAAGAGAAACCCAACAACCUAAAUCUCUUCCAAAACAUGGACUGAUUUCACCCCGAACACUAGCCUGAAUCUCUUCGAAAACACGGACUGAUUUCACCCCGAACAGCAACCUGAAUCUCUUCCAAAACACGGACUAAUUUCACCCCGAACACUAGCCUGAAUCUCUUCGAAAACACGGAUUGAUUUCACCCCGAAUAGCAGUCUGAAUAUCUUCUAAAACACGGACUGAUUUUUACCCUGAACAACAUCUUGAAUCUCCUCCAAAAACAGACUGAUUUCACCUCGAACAGUAGCCCGAAUCUUUUCCAAAAAUCGGACCGAUUUCACCCCGAACAACAGCCUGAAUCUCCUCCAAAAAAUGGAUUGAUUUCACUCCAAACAGCAGACCGAUCUAUUCCAAAAACUAGACUGAUUUCACCCCGAAUAGCAGCCUGAACCUCCUCUAAAAACCGGAUUGAUUUCACCCCGAAUAGUAGCCCGAAUCUCUUCCCAAAAUCAAACUAAUUUUUACCCUGAAGAGCAGCCAGAAUCACCUCCAAAAUCAGACUGAUUUUACCCCAAUGGCAGCCCGAAUCUCUUCAAAAAAUCAAACUGAUUUUUACCCCGAACAACAGCCUAAAUCGUCUCCAAAAAUCGGACUGAUUUCACCCUGAACAUCAGCCCGAAUCUCUUCCAAAAACUGGACUGAUUUUUACCCCGAACAACAACUUGAAUCACCUCUAAAAACUGGACUGAUUUUACCCCGAACGGUAGCCUCAAUCUCUUCCAAAAUCGGACUGAUUUUUACCCCAAACAGCAGCUUUAAUCACCUCAAAAAAACCAGAUAGAUUUUACCCCGAAUAGUAGCCUGAAUCUCUUCCAAAAUCGGACUAAUUUUUACCCCUAAUAGCAACCUAAAUUGCCUCUAAAACACAGACUAAUUUUUCCGCGAACAGCAGUCUGAAUCUCUUCCAAAAACCGGAUUGAUUUCUACCCCAAACAACAGCCUGCAUCGCCUCCAUAAACCGAACUGAUUUUACCCGGAACAGUAGUCCGAAUCUCUUCUAAAACUGGACUAAUUUUUAUCCGGAACAGCAGCCUGAAUUGCCUUCAAAACAUGGACUGAUUUUUCUUGAAUAGCAGCCUGAAUCUCUAUCUAAAAAACGUAGCCUCACCUCUCAAAAAAAUCUUCUAUGCCUCCUCUUUCACAUGGACUCAUUCUCUUUUUUUCUUUUCUUUAAUUUUUUUUUUCCAGACCAACGUGAUUCCCCCCUCCCAAAAAAAACUAGUCAACCCUCUUACCUUUUUCUCUCAUCUCUUUCAUUUUUUUCUCAUUUCCUUCCUUUCAUGCAACUGACCUUUUUUUUUUUUUUUUUUUGCUGUCAAUCUUCUUCUUGUUUUGGUGCUGCCCCCUACUUCCUUUCUGGAUGCGUGUUUGUUAAUGUUUCCUUACGUGCAGCUGCAAACCCUCCCUUAAUGGUGUGUUUUUCUCUUUUCUUUCAGACCACCAUUUUCCUUUUCAAAUCAAUCCCACUCACUCAGGCUCCAUCUUCCUUUUCUGGUGAGUUUUUCUUUUCUCUCUUCCUCUCUCUCUCCAAUUACUAGCGGGCUGUCACAAUUUUCUUUUCCAAAAUGAUCCAUUCCUUUCCCAUGCAUGCUCCAUUUCUUUCCCAUAUGGAGCACGUGGAAUCCUAUGCAAAACCAAUAAUAAAAAUAAUAAAAGGGAAAUAAAAAUACAAAUAAAAGAAAACUAAGGGUUAAAAUAAUAAUAAAAAAACGUGUAACUAAGAAUUAAAAAAAAAUCCAAAAUAUGCAAUUUUAAACGAAAUUUAAAAUAUAGAUCACAUGCAAAACUAAAAUGAAUUACCAACUUAAACAACUUUCUAUCAAAAUAAAUUAAUAAAUAGAUAAAUAAGAAUGAAAUCAAUAUAAUCAUUAAGCUCAUGCAAUUUUCUAAAAAUAAGUAAAUAAAUGAAUAAAACUAAUAAAUUGAGAGAUAAAAAAAAUAAAAAAUCAAACACAUGCAAGCCAUACGAGCUAUGCAACCAUGCAAGCCAUGCAAACCAUGCAUCCAUGUAAAAAAUAAUCUAAAUGGGUCAAGGGUGCCUAAGUGGGCCUAAGGUGAUGCCUAAUGGGCCAAGUGUGCCUAAAUGGGCCUAGGGUGCCUAAGUAGGCCUAGGGUGCUUAAAUGGGCCUAGGGUGCUUAAAUGGGUCUAGGGUACUUAAGUGGGCCUAGGGUGCCUAAAUAGGCCUAAGGUGCCUAAAUGGACCUAGGAUGCCUAAUUGGGCCUAAGGUGCCUAAAUGGGCCUAGGGUGUCCAAAUGGGCCUAGGAUGCCUAUGUGGGCCUAGGAUGGUGCCUAAUGGUCCAAGUGUGCCUAAAUGGGCUUAGGGUACCUAAAUGGGCCUAGGGUGCCUAAAUGGGCGUAGGAUGCCUAUGUGGGCCUAGGAUGGUACCUGAUGGGCCAAGGGUGCCUAAAUGGGCCUAGGGUCCUAAGUGGGCCUAGGGUCCUAAGUGGGCCUAAUGUCAUAGGAUGCUUCAAAUGAGCCUCCUCAUGGGUUUAUAUAAAGCCCAGGAAGCUUCUGGAGACUCCUGGAGCCAUCUACACUAAGCCAUUGGAGGGAAAAGUGUGGAAGGUUCUAGUGAUGCCUAGAAAUGUCCAUACAACUCUAAACUAUGGUGGAAGGCAUGAGAGGAGUCCAAGGCUUUCUAGAGAAUUCUAGAAAUCUCUUGUACAUAGGGUUGUACAUAGAAUUGUGUAGGGUAUUCUAGAAUCUUCUUGAUUUGUAAGGAACCCUCCAAGGUUCCAGAGAGUUCCAUUGGUGCCUAUAAAUAGGUGAGGGCCUCAUUUGGCCAAGGCACCACCCAAAUCACUUCCUAACCAAGCAAGUGAGCUUCCAAGCACUUGUAAAGGCUUCUUUGAGUUAAUAAGAGCUUCCAUUAUUUAAAGAGUUGCCUACUAAGCUUCUUAAGCCUUUGAGUCGUGAGCGCCUUAGCCUAGCAAGCUAAGCAUUGGGGAGCAAGGCUGACUUAGCAAGAUCAAGAGUCUUGACUUGCCUAAGUGCCGCACGAGCUUAGUGAACGACUAAGUCUGUGACACUAAGGUGCCUAAGUGGGCCUAAGGUGCCUAAGUAGGCCUAGGGUGCCUAAAUGGACCUAGGAUGCCUAAUUGGGCCAAAGGUGCCUAAAUGGGCCUAAGAUGCCUAUGUGGGCCUAGGAUGGUGCCUAAUGGGCCAAGUGUGCCUAAAUGGGCCCAAUGUACCUAAAUGGGCCUAGGGUGCCUAAAUGGGCCUAGGGUAUUUAAAUUUGCCUAGGAUGCCUAUGUCAGCCUAGGAUGGUGCCUAAUAGGCCAAAUGUGCCUAAAUGAGCCUAGGGUGCCUAAAUGGGCCUAGGUGCCGAAAUGGGCCUAAGGUGGUGCCAAGAGUAUCUAAGUGAGCCUAAGUCUAAAUUAAGGAUGCCAAGGGUCAAAACGGGGUUAGAUAGAUCCCUCAACCAAAGUCCCUAAGGUGACUUAGAAAAUAUAGACUACACGAGUAGUAAUGAGCCACCAGAGAAUUGUUGUAAAGUACUAAACGAACACACAAUAGGGCAUGUGCUAGUAGGACAAAAUGGAGGGUCUACAGGUAUUUAAGCAAUACCCAUUUUUUUCAGAAUUUGUGGAAGAAAAUGUGAGAAAUGUGUAUGCAUAUGAAGACUUGUAAUGGCUGAAUUUCAAGGGAGAAAUGAGCUGAAUAUGGUGGUUGUGCAUGCAUAAUUAAUGGCUGAAUUUUAUGGUAAAAGAAUGGUGUUUCGGUGGCUGCAUGUGCAUGAAUAUGGAGGCUGAAUUUUAUGGAAAAAAGAAUGGUGUUUUGGUGGUUGAUAUGAGCAUGAAUUUGGAGGCUGGUUUUGCGGUAAAAUAAUUGGGUUUCAGUGGCUUUAAUGGGAAGGCUUGAGGUUCAAUUCCUUAAUGUUGUUUAAUGUGAAUAUUAUGACUGCAUAUAGAGACUUCUCAUGGCUUGUGGCAUAAAAGACUUGUUUGAGAUAUAAAAGGAUUCUAUAUCAUUUUUUGACUUAAAAUGUUUUUAAAAUAUUUUUAAAAUAUUUUUUCAAGAAGUAGGGAUUGAUUACUACUCAAAAAGUACUUUUUUAUAAUUUGAAACUAACUGUUUAAAACACUUUUGAGUAGUAGUUAAUACCUUUUAACUCAAUUGGCACAUUAAGGAACUUAGCAAGGGUUACUAAUCAGUUUUUGGCAAGUUUUGGUGUUUUUGGUAGCUAUUAAUCAUUGAAACAACCCAAGAAUGAGGGAGAAUUUUGUGAAAUCCAUGGCAACGCAAGUUAAAGCUCAAAUACAUGAAGAAUCCAAGCUUUGGAGCACUUCAUAGCCCUUUGCCAAGCCAAUCAGAGAUGCAAGGAAGAAAACUGGAGGAAAAAAUCCAACAACCAGCAUUUUCGCAUGGUUGUGUGAAAUUUCGCACACCAUGCGAAACCACUUAAGGCAGCCAAAGAAUUUCGCACACCAUGCGAAAUUUCGCAUGGUAUGCGAAAUCUUCAUGUGCACCGACUCCGUUAGAUUUUUAUCUCCAGAUAUUUUGUGUAAUUUCCUAUUUUCUCCUUGUAAUCAAUUUAGAUAUUUUUUAUAAUAUUUUUUUUUAUAUAUUUGGUGUGUGUAACAUAUUUUGAUAUAGACACACAAGGAUGUAAUCAAAGAACACUUGUAAAUUCCCUGUAGUAAGAAAUAUACAGAGCUUUUGCUCUACAUUUCCUUCUUAUUUUGUUUUCACUCUUCUUUCUAGCCAAACAACCUUGAGGAUGAUUUCUCAGGGGAUGAGUGGCUAGGUUUUAUGUUUCUUGGAGUAAUGGAAGCUAGGUGAAGGACCCAAAUGCAAAGAUGGGAGUUGUCCUUGCUUUAAAUGAAAGUAGUUGUUAACCAUUAAUGGUUUUUAUUUUAGGGUUUAGCUUUAAAUCCCUUAAAAGCACCUUGAAUGGCCAAUACUUCGUAAGCUUUUCAGAUUCUAUGGAUGCUUAUUAAUAGAUCCAUGGAUGUCUAUUAGUUAUCAUUUACGAGCCAUUGGAAGGUGGUUCAAGGUGAGAGUCUUUAGUGUUUGAAGCCAUUAAUGGGAAGCAACUAUUAUUUUUCAUGAACCCUUUAGAUCAAAUCUUAAUUGCUAAAUAUAAAACUGGUUCGGGAGAUAACCAUCCUUUAUGUUAUUGUCCCUAACGCGAGGAGAAGAUCCGGAAUCUCCCCCUUUGUCUAAGGGACCCGAUCCUAGUGAGCUAAAGCUCCAAGAGACCUUUUCUUUGUAGUUAACUUCACUUAUUAUUUUUGCUUAACUUAAAAUCAAUCUUUGCAAUCACAAUUCCAUUUUCUUUAAAAGCUAAUUUUCAUAAGGAAAAACACCAUUUUAUUUCCUUCACUAAAGUCAACUGUACGAUGAAAACCCAUCCCUGUGGAUGAUCCUAGAGCCACUAUACUAUGUUAGCUAUGCUACCCUAGUGUGGGGUGAUUUAGGUUUUAUAAAUUUUGUUGAUAACACCCGUAUGAGCCAGAAUCAAAUGGCAUGACUAUAAUGGGGACGAAUUAGGGACUGCUCAAGCAGUUAUCCCACUCAAAUGAUCAGCCCACUCAAAUGGUCAUGUCAGUCAUGUCAAGUUUAGAAAUGUAUUUUGAAAAUUUCACUCAAACUCUAAUUUAGAAACUUGAAAUACCUAAACUCUUAUGGAUUUUGCCUAUCAAUACCUCUCUUGUAACCCUUUGUGGGUUAAAGAUUCAGGCUAAGAGAUCGUAGAGAUCUUAGAUAUUAGAGACCUCUCAUUCUUAAGAGAAGGACUCCUUGUGAAGAAAACCUAAUUGCCACCAUAUUCAUGAUCUCUCAUUCAAGGAUUUGAAUCUUUGAAUCACGGGUUAAAGACUUUAAUCCCUUUGGUGUUACCAAAAGAUCUACUAGGAAGCAAUAAGGAGUUGCUAGGUAGCAGACGUGGAUCAAGUUGUAGGUUCUGGAGAGUAAGUCUUUAGGUUAAAGCGGCCACAUAAAUUUGUGUAACUUGAUUUUGAAUAAUGGAUUUGGAUCGAUAGGUCUUAGACCUCAUGUUUUUUUAUCUCCACUGUUUGUAAGGGUUUUCCAUGUAAAAUCUUGUACCUCUUACAUAUCAUUUUAUUACUACUUAUAUUUUGGUUGAUAAUAUUAAUUAUAUUGAAUUGAUUGGAUAGUUUGCUUUUGAGUUUGUUGGGUUAGUAAUCUUGGUGGUUGUAGUGGUUAAACCUAUAACCAAUUACUGUUAUCCCUAACUUCUCUUCGAAUGUCUUUUGAUUGAUUUGUUGGGUUGUUACUGAGUUUGUUAGGUUGGUUAUUUUGGAUAAUUUUAUUAUUCCUAACAUAUCUCAAUAGAUAUUUUUGAUAUUGACAAUUAUAUUAUCCCUAACAAAUUGCAAGGUAUCCCUAAAAGUUAAAAAUCAUAUUUGUAUAUACCUAAAGUUCUAAGUAUAAUCAUUUAUUUAUUUGUGACAUCCCCAAUAUCUCUCAAGGAAAAAAGUUGGUUAUAAUUUAUAAAUAUUUAUUUAAAUUUUUAAAUCACCCAUUCACCCCCUCCUCCGUGUUCCCUAUUGGACUUCUGGUCUUAAUUUUAGUGGUAUUAUGGACCCGCAUUUCUCACGUGUGCCCUCACUUGAUCGGCGAGACUCGCUUUUAUAGUAUGAAAAUUUUAGUUUUGGAAAAGUCGGAGUCGCCACUUAUUUUAUUUUAUUUAAUUUUAAAAGGGCAAAUAAAACAAGAAAGAAAACCCUAAAGAAACGACUCCAUAGUUUUUGGAAAAUCGUGUCUUUGAAAAACCCAAGUCUAGGUCCGAUGAUCAGGUUACCUAUUGGGAAGGUACCUCUAAAAGGUAGCGCCCUUCUAAGCCCUACAAAGGUCUCUACUGACUAAGCUGGGGGAAAUGUGGCAAUUAAUUGAUUAACUGAAGAUACCUAGGUAGACUAAGGUGAUUUUAAAAAAUAGCAUGCCAAACAAGAUCAAAUCACAAUAAAGGAGAGUUAGGAUGCAUACUCGAAUUGCUUCUCAAGCGCUAUCAUAAAACAUCAUAGUUAAUAUAGAAAUAUAGCACACAACAUGUAUUUACUUAUAGUGAAUCAAGCAUACAUCUAAGCACCUAAGGAUCACAUCAAUCAUAAAUAAGGCUCACAACAACAUGCAUGUUCAUGGAAUCCCGAAAAGUAGUGAUAGAGAGCAUACUUGGAUAACAUGCAUAAUUUAUAAGAUUCCUCAAAAAAAAAAAAAAGGCUAGAGUGGUUAGGACAAGUAUAUAUAUUAUAUAACACCUUUAUUAUGUCUAAUAUACAGUGCCAAAGCCAAAAUUCAGCUAAGAUAAAUCAAAUGACUCCAAAAAUAAUAACAAUUCAAGCAAGUACUGAGUCAUUAACAUGCAUAUAGUAAAGGGAGCAUCACAAAAAUAAUUUCUAAAAAAUGUCUUGGAGUGGAUUUUAAUCACAAAAAAAUUUCUAGAAACAACUCCUACACGUCUAGAACAAGAUACCAAAAUCCAAACACUCAUUCAAAUGUCAAAUUGCAGCAAAGACGCCCAAAAGUUCCAAAAGGUCCAGAUUAGGUAAAAAAAAUAGGGGCAUGCAUAAUUUUUUUUUUAAAAAAAUAAUAAAACAUCAGAUAAAAUCAUACAAAAAAUCACACACAUUUUUCAAGGUGUCUAUAUCAUAGGAAAAAUAAAUUCAGGGUUGGAUAGUAUUCAAAAAUAUUUUUAAAAUGCUCCAACUAAUCAUAUAUCUAGAUUCCAUCAUGCAUAGUAGGUACGGAUUUAAAAAAAUCACAUCUCCCUCAAAAAGGCACAUUUUUCAAUAUUUCAUGUAUCUAAUAUAAAUUUCAAGAAGCCUAGAAUUUAGAAAAAAAAUUUUAAAAGUCGUAUGGUAUUUUAUUUUUGCAAAAAGAUAUCAGUUGUCCAAAACUGGGUGAAAAUGGAGCCCCCCUAAAGACUCAUUUAUAUCUUCUAUUCUAGAAUUGCUUUCUAACUCAAACGAAAUUUUAAAUUCAAGUUCAAGAAGUGAGGAAAAUCAUACAAGUUUCAUAAAAUUUUUAAAACAUUCUAAAGUUAAAACAAAUUUUAAAUCUAAAGGGUCAGUGGUUGAGUGAAAACUGGCAACAAGGAAGAGUUUUGAAAAAAUUUCUUGUGUAGGGGUUCCAUCAAGUCCCCAUUCAAUUUCCAUAAGUUUUACCUGUGUAUCCCCAUUAGUUUGGGAGCACAAGUCCAAACCUAUGUGUAUAAAAACCAAAUUUCUGAAAAACCAACAAAGGAGAAAUGCAACUUAAAUGAAAUUAGUUACAUUAUUUUAAUAGAAAGGGUGUUCUUUGCCUAAAGCUAGAAUGAAUGUUUUCUAAAACCUUUUAUUGGUGAUUUAAAUGCUUUUGAAAAUGACUUUAAGGGAAGUAAAAAAAAAGGACCCAAUGGUUUGUUAAAUACCAUACAAUAGGCACAAAAUAGAGAUUUUUGAUUUCUAACUUGAGAGGGUUUUGAAAAUAAAAGAAAAGCUAAAUUGGAUCCUCUUUUUAGCUACCUUUUAUUUGGGAUCAAGGAGCCAAACUUAUGAUGGAAAAAUUCAUUUUUGGAAAAAGAAAAUUUGAUUCAACUCAAAAUUUCAAUUUAAUAAAGAAAACAUUUUCUAAAAGAAGGUUCAAACUCAAGAAUUCCCUAAGGUGCCUAUAAAAUAAGUGUCAAAGAUAAAAAAAACUAACAAUUGAAUCAAAUAUAAGGAAGCCAACAUCAACAAUUAUGUAUUAAACUUUGGAAAGUAAGGAAUUAAAUGAGAACCAAUCAAACUAAAUAAAAUUAUCAACUUGAACAUGAAAGGAUUUUUGGUUAAAAUUAAAAUUAUAGACAACCUUAACAACUGGCAAGAAUCAAUCAAACUAAUAAAUUAAUCCUAAAGACAUCACAUGAAUUUAAAAAAUAAGAACAUAAGAUACUAAAGACAUGAGACCAAUUAAGAACAUUAACAACUAAGGCAAUUGUGUGGAUUAAAUUAAGAACAAAAUAAUCUAAAACUCAGGGAUUAAAUAAAAUUAUCCGAACUAACAAAAAAAAAAAAAACAAUUGAGAACAUGGCAUGGAUUUUAUCUAAAACCAAUAAUUAUAAUUUAGUAAUUAAUAGGAACCAAUCGGAUCAACAAUUUAUCAAUUUAAUGACAUGACAAGGAUUUUACAAAAAUGAAAAUUUAAAAUUCCAAAAAUAUUAAGAAUUAGAUGGAAGCACCCAAAAUAAAAUUUAUCAACAUUCUAAAUAACACAUGUACAUGGAUAGGGCCAAAAUCGAAACUAAACUAGACCCAAACUUUUUCGAUUUAAACUCAAACCUCUCUAAUUUAAUCUAAGAAGUUCGAAACUGAAACUAAGUAAGCCAUACUCUAUCAAACUGACACAAUAAAUCAAAGCCUCAACCCAAUGACGAUCAACACAUUUUUUUUGUUAUGUAAUAAACAAGAUUUAAAUAGAACAGAAUUCCAACUUACCUUUCCAAGCAAUGGCGUGGAUUGUGUCUUUCUUAAAAUGGCAGUUGUGCAGAUGAAGAUUGAAUGAGUGGCAAUCUAGAUGGAUUGUCUGUGGCUUUGUAACAUGGAGAAAGAGAAACCCAACAGCCUAAAUCUCUUCCAAAACAUGGACUGAUUUCACCCCGAACACUAGCCUGAAUCUCUUCGAAAACACGGACUGAUUUCAUCCCGAACAACAACCUGAAUCUCUUCCAAAACAUGGACUAAUUUCACCUCGAACACUAGCCUGAAUCUCUUAGAAAACACGGAUUGAUUUCACCCCGAAUAGCAAUCUGAAUCUCUUCCAAAACACGGACUGAUUUUUACCCUGAACAACAUCUUGAAUCUCCUCCAAAAACCAGACUGAUUUCACCUCGAAUAGUAGCCCGAAUCUCUUCCAAAAAUCGGACCGAUUUCACCCCGAACAACAGCCUGAAUCUCCUCCAAAAAAUGGAUUGAUUUCACCCCAAACAACAGAUCGAUCUAUUCCAAAAACUAGACUGAUUUCACCCCGAAUAGCAGCCCGAAUCUCUUCCAAAAAUCAAACUAAUUUUUACCCUGAAGAGCAGCCUGAAUCGCCUCCAAAAUCGGACUGAUUUUACCUCGAAUGGCAGCCUGAAUCUCUUCAAAAAAUCAGAUUGAUUUUUACCCCGAACAACAGCCUAAAUCGUCUCCAAAAAUCGGACUGAUUUCACCCUGAACAUCAGCCCGAAUCUCUUCCAAAAACUGGACUGAUUUUUACCCCGAACAGCAACUUGAAUCGCCUCUAAAAACUGGAUUGAUUUUACCCCGAAUGGCAGCCUCAAUCUCUUCCAAAAUUGGACUAAUUUUUACCCCAAACAGCAACUUGAAUCACCUCAAAAAAACCAGAUAGAUUUUACCCUGAAUAGCAGCCUGAAUCUCUUCCAAAACCGGACUAAUUUUUACCCCUAAUAGCAACCUAAAUUGCCUCCAAAACACAGACUAAUUUUUCCGCGAACAGUAGUCUGAAUCUCUUCCAAAAAUCGGAUUGAUUUCUACCCCGAACAACAGCCUGAAUCGCCUCCAUAAACCGAACUGAUUUUACCCAAAACAGUAGUCCGAAUCUCUUCCAAAACUGGACUAAUUUUUAUCAGGAACAACAGCCUAAAUUGCCUCCAAAACAUGGACUGGUUUUUCUUGAACAGCAGCCUGAAUCUCUCUCUAAAAAACGCAGCCUCACCUCUCAAAAAAAUCUUCUAUGCCUCCUCUUUCACAUGGACUCAUUCUCUUUUUUUCUUUUCUUUAAUUUUUUUUUUUUCCAGACCAACGUGAUUCCCCCCUCCCAAAAAAAAACUAGUCAACCCUCUUACCUUUUUCUCUCAUCUCUUUCAUUUUCUUCUCAUUUCCUUCCUUUCAUGCAACUGACCUUUUUUUUUUUUUUUGGUGUCAAUCUUCUUCUUGUUUUGGUGCUGCCCCCUACUUCCUUUCUGGAUGCGUGUUUGUCAAUGUUUCCUUACGUGCAGCUGCAAACCCUCCCUUAAUGGUGUGUUUUUCCCUUUUCUUUCAGACCACCAUUUUCCUUUUCAAAUCAAUCCCACUCACUCAAGCUCCAUCUUCCUUUUCUGGUUGAUUACUACCCAAAAAGUGUUAUUUUACACCUUUAAUUCAUUAUGUUUUAAGCACUUUUGUGUAGUAGUUCUCCAUCUUUAUUCCAAUUGGCAUGUUAAGGACCUAGCAAUGACUUCUAAUCAUAUUUGUGGCUAGUUUUAGUGUUUUGACAGCUUUUUGAAUCAUUAAGACAAGCCAAGUAAAGGAGAGAAGCAAAGAGGAAAAACAAGCAAAGUGAAGAAAAUAGAGGACAGCAGCUGUAGUCUUCCUUCACGCUUUUUGAGCACUUCCCGAAGUCCAUUUUCUACAUGCUAUAUACCAUUUCAAAGCUCAGGAAGUCAAGAAUCCAAUGCUUCAAACUGUGUACGAUUUGAAGCUGAAAUGAGGAAGAUAUGGCCUUUGGAAGACAACUGCAUCACCUUGAGAAAAUUUCGCAAGGAGAUUUUCUUCAUGGUGCGAAAUUUGGACCCUUCAUCUUUCCCAUUUCGAAAAUGCCUUUGAAAUCCUCUAUUUCUCCACGCACGCACCACCGACUUCCCAGAUAUUUUUAGCUUGAUAUUUUCUCAUGUAAAUUCCUUUUGUAACCUUAUAUUCAGCCGACAUAAGGCUUUAUCUUGUAAUUUUGCUAUAUAUAGAGGUGCACAACACCUCCACAAUAUAUUGGGGGAUCGAUCCUCUGUACAUUAACUUAGAAAUAUAUAAAGCUCUGUUUUUCUCUCUUCUCCUGUUCUUCCCCAUUUCUAUUUUCUUAGUAGUCAAACAGCCUCUGAGGGCUUUUCCUCAGAGGAUGAUUGGCUAAAACUUUUAGUUUCUCAAAGUAUGGAUGUUAUGUGAUGGCUUGGAUGCAAUCCCAUGGAAAUUUCUCGCACCUGGAAGGUAAGGUAGUCGUUUUUCAUUAAUGGUUCAUUAAUGCAAAGUUUGGUUUUUAUUUCCUUUGGACAACUUCCAACGGCCAAUACUUGAUAAGCUUUUGGAUUUCUAUCCAUUAGUUAUCUCCUACGAUCUAUUGGAAGGUGAGGUUUUCAAUUCCAAGUUUUGCAUUAAUCCGUUAGAACCAAUUUCAAUGGCCAUUGAAAGGUGAGUUUAUCACUUGGAAUGACUUUGAGUUGCCAAUAUUUGGUAAGCUUUUGGCUUUAGACCAUUAGUUAUCUCUUACGAGCCAUUCAAAGGAAGUCUAAGGUGAAUAACCAUUGAUGAAAUUCACUACCAUUUGUUUUGCCAUUUUAAAGGAUUAAAACUUGAUUUGCUAAAUCCAUACCGGUUCGGGAAGCAAGCAUCACCAUAGUUGCAACCCCAACGCGAGGAGCCUAUCCUGAGAUUUCCAAUUUGCAUAAGAGCUAGAGCAUAGCUAUCCUAUCUUUGAGAAACUUGUUUUUACACCCUUUCAUUUUAGUCUUUAAUGUUAGCUUAGAUUAGUUUAAAUCUUAAACAUUUAUAUCUUCUUUUAAAGCUAACAUCCAUAAGAAAAUCACCUAUUUUCCUAAUUUGAAUAUCACUAGUGUUUGCAAAAACCCUUCCUAGUGAACGAUCCUAGAACCACUAUGCUAUAGUAGCUUGGCUACUUUAGUAAUAGUAUUUAAGGUAUAAAUUUUGUUGAUACGCCUUUAAAGCUAAGCUACCAUGAGUCGCAUCACUGGUGAGUUUUUCUUUUCUCUCUUCCUCUCUCUCUCCAAUCACCAGUGGGCUGUCACAAUUUUCUUUUCCAAAAUGAUCCAUUCCUUUCCCAUGCAUGCUCCAUUUCUUUCCCAUAUGGAGCACGUGGAAUCCUAUGCAAAACCAAUAAUAAAAAUAAUAAAAGGGAAAUAAAAAUACAAAUAAAAGAAAACUAAGGGUUAAAAUAAUAAUAAAAAAACGUGUAACUAAGAAUUAAAAAAAAAUCCAAAAUAUGCAAUUUUAAACGAAAUUUAAAAUAUAGAUCACAUGCAAAACUAAAAUGAAUUACCAACUUAAACAACUUUCUAUAAAAAUAAAUUAAUAAAUAGAUAAAUAAGAAUGAAAUCAAUAUAAUCAUUAAGCUCAUGCAAUUUUCUAAAAAUAAGUAAAUAAAUGAAUAAAACUAAUAAAUUGAGAGAUAAAAAAAAUAAAAAAUCAAACACAUGCAAGCCAUACGAGCUAUGCAACCAUGCAAGCCAUGCAAACCAUGCAUCCAUGUAAAAAAUAAUCUAAAUGGGUCUAGGGUGCCUAAGUGGGCCUAAGGUGAUGCCUAAUGGGCCAAGUGUGCCUAAAUGGGCCUAGGGUGCCUAAGUAGGCCUAGGGUGCUGAAAUGGGCCUAGGGUGCCUAAAUGGGUCUAAGGUACUUAAGUGGGCCUAGGGUGCCUAAAUAGGCCUAAGGUGCCUAAAUGGACCUAGGAUGCCUAAUUGGGCCUAAGGUGCCUAAAUGGGCCUAGGGUGUCUAAAUGGGCCUAGGAUGCCUAUGUGGGCCUAGGAUAGUGCCUAAUGGUCCAAGUGUGCCUAAAUGGGCUUAGGGUACGUAAAUGGGCCUAGGGUGCCUAAAUGGGCGUAGGAUGCCUAUGUGGGCCUAGGAUGGUGCCUGAUGGGCCAAGGGUGCCUGAUGGGCCAAGGGUGCCUAAAUGGGCCAAGGGGGCCUAAGUGGGCUUAGGGUUCCUAAGUGGGCCUAGGGUGCCUAAAUGGGCGUAAGGUGCCUAAAUGGGCCUAGGGUGCCUAAGUGGGCCUAGGGUCCUAAGUGGGCCUAAUGUCAUAGGAUGCUUCAAAUGAGCCUCCUCAUGGGUUUAUAUAAAGCCCAAGAAGCUUCUGGAGACUCCUAGAGCCAUCUACACUAAGCCAUUGGAGGGAAGAGUGUGGAAGGUUCUAGUGAUGCCUAGAAAUGUCCAUACAUCUCUAAACUAUGGUGGAAGGCAUGAGAGGAGUCCAAGGCUUUCUAGAGAAUUCUAGAAAUCUCUUGUACAUAGGGUUGUACAUAGAAUUGUGUAGGGUAUUCUAGAAUCUUCUUGAUUUGUAAGGAACCCUCCAAGGUUCCAGAGAGUUCCAUUGGUGCCUAUAAAUAGGUGAGGGCCUCAUUUGGCCAAGGCACCACCAAAAUCACUUCCUAACCAAACAAGUGAGCUUCCAAGCACUUGUAAAGGCUUCUUUGAGUUAAUAAGAGCUUCCAUUAUUUAAAGAGUUGUCUACUAAGCUUCUUAAGCCUUUGAGUCGUGAGCGCCUUAGCCUAGCAAGCUAAGCAUUGGGGAGCAAGGCUGACUUAGCAAGAUCAAGAGUCUUGACUUGCCUAAGUGCCGCACGAGCUUAGUGAACGACUAAGUCUAUGACACUAAGGUGCUUAAGUGGGCCUAAGGUGCCUAAGUGGGCCUAGGGUGCCUAAAUGGACCUAGGAUGCCUAAUUGGGCCUAAGGUGCCUAAAUGGGCCUAAGAUGUCUAUGUAGGCCUAGGAUGGUGCCUAAUGGGCCAAGUGUGCCUAAAUGGGCCCAAGGUGCCUAAAUGGGCCUAGGGUACCUAAAUGGGCCUAGGAUGCCUAUGUCGGCCUAGGAUGGUGCCUAAUAGGCCAAAUGUGCCUAAAUGAGCCUAGGGUGCCUAAAUGGGCCUAGGUGCUGAAAUGGGCCUAAGGUGGUGCCAAGAGUAUCUAAGUGAGCCUAAGUCUAAAUUAAGGAUGCCAAGGGUCAAAACGGGGUUAGAUAGAUCCCUCAACUAAAGUCCCUAAGGUGACUUAGAAAAUAUAGACUACACGAGUAGUAAUGGGCCACCAGAGAAUUGUUGUAAAGUACUAAACGAACACACAAUAGGGCAUGUGCUAGUAGGACAAAAUGGAGGGUCUACAGGUAUUUAAGCAAUACCCAUUUUUUUUUCAGAAUUUGUGGAAGAAAAUGUGAGAAAUGUGUAUGGAUAUGAAGACUUGUAAUGGCUGAAUUUCAAGGGAGAAAUGAGCUGAAUAUGGUGGUUGUGCAUGCAUAAUUAAUGGCUGAAUUUUAUGGUAAAAGAAUGGUGUUUCGGUGGCUGCAUGUGCAUGAAUAUGGAGGCUGAAUUUUAUGGAAAAAAGAAUGGUGUUUUGGUGGUUGAUAUGAGCAUGAAUUUGGAGGCUGGUUUUGCAGUAAAAUAAUUGGGUUUCGGUGGCUUUAAUGGGAAGGCUUGAGGUUCAAUUCCUUAAUGUUGUUUAAUGUGAAUAUUAUGAUUGCAUAUAGAGACUUCUCAUGGCUUGAUUUUCAAUGGAGAAGACAAUAGUAACUAGCAAUUUGGAUAUCACUUUGCAUCAUCGGAAUUGGAGGUAAGUGUUUAAGACUUUGUUUUUUAUUAUUAUUCUCAAUCUCCAUCUUCUUCUUCUCUUAUUUUGCAUCAUUUGGAUAUGAAACUUUGUCAUGAUAUGUGUGGAUGUAUAGGUCGCACAGAUUGUUGAUCAAUUGAUGAUGAUGAUAUAUUGAUUUUAUGUUGAUGCUUGUUAAGUGAUAAUUGUAUGAUUAGAACUGAUUCUUCUUUAAUUUUUUAUUUUUUUAUUUUACCUAAGUAAGUCAUUGGAUAAACACAUGAAAAUUGGCUUUUAUAUGAAUGUAAAUCCAUUCUCUUUGAUUUUGUGUUUUUGGCUAAUGGAUGCUUAUAGCUCACCUUUCAUGAUACACACACUUGACAUUAAUAGAUGAUCACAAGUUUAGGCUUGAUUAGGCACUUUCUAAGGAUAUUUUUGUAUCAUAACUUGGCACCUAAAAUAGAUCACUAAUGGUCUUGUAUACAACUACACUUUAGGUUAACCUUUGGAUUCACAUUAGUUCACAAGUAAGUUCACAUUCACAUGCUUUCACUUCUUUUGAUUAUUUGGUGUUUGAUAUCUCAUGGGUUUUAAUGCUUUUAAAAAAAAUUUCAACCCUUUCCAUAAAUAAAUCAAUCCUUCAACCUCAUUCAAAAUUCAUGAUUAUGUCAUUAGGUGUGAAAAUGUAUUUUUCAAAAGUCAUGCUACCAAUUUCAAUCGGUACGCAUCUUUCCAUUAAUUUUUAAAUGAAUUUCAAUUUUGAAAUACAUGAAAUAAAUUCAUGACUCCACAUAAAUGGGGUAAUUCCUUACCUUGGUGAGCUUAUCCAUGAUUAGAUGAGGUUAAGAAAGUAUGGAUAAUUUUCAUGGACAUUAAUUUGGGAAGUGGUAAAUCCCUACAUUCAAGUUCUUCAAAAACAAAUAUUUUACUCUCUUUGGGUAUUUUGUUGAACCUUUGGAUGAAAAAUUAAAUUCAGAUUAUUUAAGUCCUUCCUAAAAUUUUUCUAAUAACUAAAUGAUGUUAUAGACUUUCUAAAUGUGCUAAUAUAAUUUUUUUUGAGUUCAAAAUUGUUUUCAAUUUAUAGAUAUAAAUCAAUCUUUCCACAUAUUCAUUUUCACUAUGUUAUGGACACUAGGAAUUUUUUUCUAAAAUUAAAUUAUUUAAUGACUUCCUUAAUUCCUUUUGAUAUUUUUCCUUUAAUCUAGACUUCUUGAAUUUAAUCUUAGGUACCUAAAACACUCAAAACGGAUUUCCCAAGUAGGAGAUAUAAUUUUUUUUUUCUCCUAAUGGUUCUUUUCAAGAGUUAAGGGGGUGUUUAUUUAAUUUAAAUAUGUUAUGUGUGUGAUCAUACUUUAUGCCUAUUUUUCAUGAAAAUUAGACAUAUUGAAUAGGUUGUACAAAAUUGUUUAGGAUUUUCAAGCAUCUCUGAGUCAGUAAAAUAAUUUAACUUUUGCAUGUCAUGGAAAUACGCUUUGUUCUGGACCAAUUGGGAGUUUAUAAAAACUAGUAUUAAAAAAAACAUAAUUAAAUAAUUUUACCUUUUAGGUUGUAAUCUAGACACAUAGAAGAGAUUGCCUAAUUUUUUUCAUAAUGAAAUUACACUUCUAGAUAAUUAGUAGAGACCUAUUUUAGGACUUAGAGGGUUGCUACUUUAUAGUACCUUCUUGAUAUGUAACCAAACCCCUAGACUUGGAUUCAAUUUUUAAAGACAUGUUUUUCCAAAUAAGGAGUCAUUUUUAGUAUUUUAUUUCUUAUUUUGUUUUUCCUUUAAAAUAUAGAAAAAAAUAAGUGGUAACUCCAAUUUUUACAAAAUAAGUUUUGCAUUAAAAAGCAAAUCUCACCAUUGAACAAGAAUGUACGUGACAAAUGCAAGUCUGCACUAUGGUAUACCAUUAGAUUAGUUUUGGUUCCACCCACAAAUAUGUAAGGAACAUCUAAGGCUACCUGCUUCCGUAAGUUUCACUAUGUUGGGCAUUGUAUUAACAAUGUAACAAUUUUUAUUUAUUUAUAAUAUAUGCACAUUUAUUGAAAAAUAUAUAUGCUUUAAGACUUUAUGAAAAAUAACACAUGUGAUACAAGUUUAUUCACUCCUUUUAUUAAAUAUUUUUAGGUAUACUUAGAUUUUGGGAAUAAGUGACAUGUGUAUGAAAGGUGCAAAAGCCUCUUUAUUUCUUUAGCUAAGAGACUAAUUUAAUUAGAUAUUUUUUGUAUUAAUGGUUCACUUUACUACGUACUACUUUUUAGGGGAUUUGUCAUAAUUUAAUUUAUGGAUUUUUGUAUGAAAAGAUAAAUUGCAAUUAAGUUAGAACUUUUUUGUUAGCUUAAUUACUACUUCUCAUGUCAAACCACACAUGUGAAAUGAUUGUGGCGUCCUAACCUCCGGGAUGGGUCACAUCAUUGGCUUACAUUUCCAUGAGAAGGGUUAUGAUAAAUUAGCAAUGAUGCUUCAUGCUAACGUGCCUUCAAAUUUUUAGGUUGAUGUUUUCCUUGUUGCACCAUAUCUCAUCAACAAGAUACCUUCCACAACUUUGAACUUCGACACCUACAUUAAAAGUAAAUAUUUCUCAAAAGGUAUAGCAAACACAAAUUCACCCAGAAGACAUACCCUUUUUGUCUUCCUAGCCUAUUGCUCUGUUCAAAAGAGAUAAAUGCUUGCAUGUAUCCCCAAACAAAUAGAGUUUAUGAAGACAUGUUUCUACUUGCAAACACUAAUGCUGUGCAUGGAAAUCCAUAGCUCAGUUCCUUUCCUAAAAGGAUGAAUGGCUCACACCACCGGGCGAAAUAAGUAUUCAACAGCACUCGAGCCUUCAAGCCAAAUACAGUGUCAUAUUGCCUACUAUUGACAUAACACCUAUCACUAGUAAUCUCCACCCUCCUACAUUUAGGUUGUAAACUUUUUUAAAGAGAUCCUAAACUAAAUUAAAUUGCUUAAUUCUUAAAAUCCAUGUAGAUUCUCUUUAAUUUACAGCAUGGAUGUAAUAAGUCUAACAGGCCCUUCCUCUUUUGUCAUUCUCUUUAGCUCCUGUUCAAACCUUUCCAUGACUGGCGGAGGCAGGCAUAUAGGUAUAACAUUCCCUUCUUCUCCUUUGCUGUUCCUGAACCGCAUACAGAAGCUAAUAUUAGAUAAAGCCCUAGCAACCCCACCAUAGACUGGCUUCCCCCACCCGAAGUCGAUCUCUCCAAUCCCGGCACGUGUGACAUCUGAAAUAAGAUAGUUCCCCGGCUGCGUAAAUGAGGGACGGCCCUUGAUGACCAUAUGAUCUGCCACUGAUUUCACAUACUCUUGGCUCAUUUCCGCCUUGGCUUUCUUCAGUAACCUUAUCGCAUAUUCCAAUGGGUUUUUACAUAGCAUUCCAGCCUUAGUAAUUGAAGCUGGAUACACAAAAGCAUUUCCGUAGUAUCCUGGAGGCAGAUCGAAACCGCGCUUGCCUCGCAUAUUGAUUAAGCAUGAAAUGCGAACAACUUCAUCAGGGUCUACUGCAAAUGCAAUUGUGCGGCAUCUCCAUACAUACGCUAUUAGAACCUCAAACGUCGAGCAGGCACCGAGGCUUGCAGGAAGUCGGUUCCUAAGUGCUCUUAUCUCCUUGGGGCCAAAGAAGAAUGAUCGAUGAACCAAAUUAUUUUCGUCCAUGGUCAUUAGUGUGCCCUUGGUAUUGGUUACCUCCUCGUAUUCAUGAUGUAUACGGGUAAUUCGUGGCGGAUUUCGGGCAUUUAACAGCUCUCUUUGCCAUAUGGGCAGCAGAGAUGGCACAGACAGACCUUGAGCCAUCUCGCUUAUGGCGUCGAGGAAUUGGACCAAGCCAGGACCAUCACUCAUUGUGUGGUUUAGGCGCAAUGCAAAUAUAAAUCCUCCACACCUCAAUCGGGUCACCUACGUUGUACCAAGAUUUAUUUAUAAAUGUAUGCUUUAGCAACAUCCAAUGAUUUGUCUUAUUAAACUUAACAUUUAUUACUUAAUAACUUAAGUUUAUUAAUUUAAAUUGUUAACUUAAAUCUUAUUAUCUAAAUAUUAGGUUAUUUGAUAAAAUUUAUUUCAAAUCAUCAAAUUGACAUAUUUACCCUCCUUAAUUUUGAUUAAUAUUUAUUCUAAUUGACUUUAAUUUAUAUUUAUUUUCAUUAAUUUUAAGUAAUAAAUAUAUUUAUAAAACAUUCAUAUUUAUAUUAUUGUAGAUAUCUAAAAAUAACUAUAAAAUAUUUAUUAUAAAAAGUGGUUUCAAAAAGUUAUUUUUAGUAUUCCAGAAAACUAAAUGUUUUGACUUUUUCUAUUCCAUUAAAAAUUAAAAAAUAAGUAAUAAGUAAAAAAAAAUUAAAAACAAAUCAUCUAAAAUGUGAAAGUAAAUUACAUUUAACAUUAAGUUAAAUAAAUAAAUAAAAACAAAUACCACUUUAGUUAAAUAAGUUAUUUUAUCAAAUAUCAUUGAUGAUGGAGAAUAUUUACCUGAAUUAAGAUAAGAGGAGAACCAAGAAUUCCCCCAGAGCCAGGGACAUCAUACAGAAGCUCCUCGAAGCAGGGACACAUUGGUUGAAUUGCAUCACCAAGAUUCUCAAGUGUGGUAUCGGCAUCGGCUUCAAUGAACAAGACCCCUUCACCGGUGCAGUCCACCAUGAGUUUUCUAUUAUCCCCUUCAAUCAGCCUGCCUGCAAAUGGGUAGUAGUAAACAAGCGCCUUGCCUAGAGCUUCUUUAAUGACCUUUGCAGGGUCUUUUCCUUUCAUUAAAGGAUUGUUCGGGUAAAACAUUAUCACAGGAAUUUGAAAGCGAAGGCCUUCUUGAUCAUCUAAAUCAGAAAGCUGCUUCACCUCUCGUGGGGUAGGGUUUGUAGGCCGAACAAACUCUGGAGCACGCCGUUUAACCGAGAAUACUAGAGGAGACGAUGAUGAUGCCAUGUCCUUCCAGGCUAGGAGUUUGUUGAUAGAAUAUAGAAAAAAUGAUAAAGAGAAAAUUGAAGGAGUUUAUGUGAUGGUCUGCUUUGAGAAGAAGGUAGCUGAUAUUUAUAGCCUAUUGCUGCACUCCAAUAACGCGGCGGAGCAUCUUUCUCAGCCUACGACACGGUUCAGAUAAGAGGUAGACUUUUAGUUGUGUUUCACCUGUUUUUUUUCUCUCCAGGCCCCACUAUCUUAAUGCACCUAAAAUAUCAUUACUACUCUUUUCUUCUGCACCACACCUUUUUUUGUCUUCUUUUCUCAUAUUUUUUUUUCAUCUCUUCAACAAAAGUCUAAAUUCAAAGCUUAUUCUCCCAGGUUUGUUUGUGAUCCAAAAAGUGUUUAAAUUAAGUUCAAAGUACAUUUCAACCUCUUUUGUAGAUUUUAGUUUAUGUUCAUAUACAUUAUAAUAAUGUUUGUUUUAUAUAAAUGUAUUUUAAAGGCUAUUAAUUAUUUAUAAAACUAUUAACAAAUGUUUAUUAUAAAAAUAGUUAGGGAAGAUUUAGGAAUUAUUUAGAAAAUAUUUAUUAUAAGGGCUAUCCAUUGGCUUAAUUAUGUGUUUGUUUCACGACCCCCUUAAAAGCCAUGGUCCUUUCCUCUACGUUAUGUCUCUUUCAAUGUCAGCACGAAAAUAGUUAGGGAAGAUUUAGGAAUUAUUUAGAAAAUAUUUAUUAUAAGGGCUAUCCAUUGGCUUAAUUAUGUGUUUGUUUCACGACCCCCUUAAAAGCCAUGGUCCUUUCCUCUACGUUAUGUCUCUUUCAAUGUCAGCACGGUCCCCUCCUAUCAUAAAAUCACUAGAAAUUAUUGUACUCCAUUGUGCAAUACAUGUCCUUCUCUCUCUCUCUCCCCCUCUCUCUCUCUCUCUUUCUCUUUGUACACAUACAAAAUUUCAGUUAAUUAAAUUAUUAUUAAAUUCCUCUUUAAAAUUUUGAUUUCUUGGUGAAAUUUGAAAGACUACAAAAUUAAAUUUUACAAAACAAAAACAAAUAUGUCAAUUGAAGUUCAAAAGAGAAUUAUAAAUAAAUAUUUUUUUAUAGGUAAAUUUCUUGAACAAAAGAAACAAAUAUUUUUAUUAAAAUAAAAAAAAGAAUUAAAAAUAAAUAAAUAUUCUUUUGUUAGCAAAUCUCUUUAAUAUGGAAGAUAAGUUUCUAAAAUCAAAAUGUCAAAUUCUUUGAAUUAAACAAAUUCAAUCUUGGGAAGUCCAAAUUUAAUUCUCUAACUUCACCAAUAAAUAAUAAUGACUUCCUUCAAUGGAGGGAAUCAAUAAAAUAAUUUCAUACAAGGAAAAAUGUCUUCACAAAAAAAAAAAAUGUUUCAUAAAAUUUCUUUGUAAGUUCGAGAAAUUAUAAAAGCAUUAUAAAUGUGAUCUUGUCUUUUGACAAAGUCAUUUGGGAAUAAGUCAUUUUAAACCCUAAAUUGAUUUUCAAAGCAAAGAAACACUUCAUCAUUGUCUAUUAAAUUAUGAUCAAAGUAAAGGAAUGAGAGAAAAAAAAUAUUCUUUUGUAAAGAAUAUUAUCUAAGAGUUUGUACCCCACAAUUAUUUUAAUAAAAACAAUUGUUAGCAUAUUUUUUCUAUUAUUUUAAUUGUUUCACAAGACUUCAAACAAUUUGUACGUAUAAAUUUAUGGCAAGGAAAGUUGAUAGAAUUUUCUUUUGGUUUAGUUUUUUAGGAAAAUGUUGAGAACUAUAAAAAUUAAAGGCAUGUUUGAUAAGUGUUUUCAAAAACAAUUUUGAAAAAUGGUUUUUGAGAAUGAUUUUUAAAAAUUAUUCUUUGAUUUUUAUAGAACAAAAGUUUAUUUGAAAACUUAAAAUGUUUUCAACCUGUUCUUAAUAUUUUUAAACAUGUUUUAAAAAUAAUUUUUAUAUUUAGUAUUUUAUUUUUAAUCAUUCUACAUAUUUGUAUAAUUAUUUCUUAAAAUAAUCCUUAAAAAACAAGUUAAAACAAUAGAAAACUACAAAAAAAUGUUAUCUAAAAAUACUUUAUUUUCUAUUUUUUUUAAAAAAAAAAUUUGAUUAUCUAAUAUGUUUUCUGUGUUUUUUUUUUAACAACAAAAUACUAUUCUAAAAAAUAUUUCCAAUUAAGCACUAAAUCUUUUAGAAUACCCUGUCCCCAAACUUUCAUCACCCUUUUUAUAAGAAAAAUGGGAAGAAAUUCUUUUAACAUUUUCCUUUAUUCUUACAUUUUUUUCCACGUUAUCCAUAGAUAAUAAAAUCAUUUCCCUUACCAUUUUUAGCUUCUUAAAAGAAUAAAUAGUACAUAUAACAAAUGCUCGCUCAAUGGUUCCCAAUCUUUUCUCACUUUCUUUCAUUGGUAAAUGAGGAAAAUUGGUUAUGCAAUGCAUUAAAUUUAGCAGUUUGCAACAAUAUAUUAAUCUUGUAUAAUAUAUAUUUUUUUUUAUAAAUUGCAAAAAUAUAUAUGUCAAUUUAUUUAUAUUUUUUCUUAGAAACCAAAUGGUGAUUAUUCUUACUUUAUUUAUUUUUAUAUAUUUUUAAUUGGAGUGUUUUCUAUGUCACAUGUUGAUCUUGCAAAUCAUCAGGUUCUCUUAAAAAGCUCCUCAUAUUUGGAAAUCCACACACUGCAAAAAACCAUUAGAUAUCAAAGUUAUACUCUUCAUGACAUUCUUCAUGGUAAGUUAUAUUCAAAUUCAACAACAUAAAGUUUAUACCAAAUUAGAUAUGAAAGUAAAUUACAUUCGGUAUUAAGUUAAAAAUAAAUAAAUACUAUCUAAAUUAAUUAUUUUAACUUGAUAAUUAAAGUCAAAAAUAAUUUUAAGUUAUAAUAGUAAGUUAUUUAAUCAAAUAUCAUUUUUCGGUUAUUUAUUACAAAUGUUUUAAAAUAUUUAUUACGAUUACUAAGACAUUGAAAAGAAAAAAUGGGGGAAGAAAACCAAGAAGAUGAGUAUGCAUUAAUUUGAAAUGGGGUGUUUAGUCUUUCUAAUGGAUAUUUGUAUUAAAAAAAAUGAUACCUAAAGAAAUUAAAUUAGGUGGAUACAAAUAUAAAUUAAAAAAAAAAGGAAAAUCCCAAGAUAUAUGCUGAAAUUAUAACUUGUAAUAAAUGUCAAAAUCACCCUUAUGCUCAUUUUGUUCAAAAGUCUAUAAAGUAAUCUAAUUAUCUAUUUUACCUAAAAUUAGUUAGUGAGUUGUACCCAUCAAAAUUGUAAACAAACCUCGAUUUGUUUCAUGAUAUUCAAGUAUAAAAAUAUCAUUUUCUUUAAUAUUAUUUUUCUUCUUUGAAUAUUUUUUAAAAAAUCAAAAUUAUUUUUUUAUAUUUGAACUUCAUUGAAAAUGUGAAGAAAUAAUAAUAAUAAUAAAAAUGAAGAAAAAUUCUAAAAAUUGUCUUCCUCAUUUUUCUUAUACUCAAACGUGGAAUCCGAGUGUCAUAUCAUAUUGAGUUUGUGGAAGCUAACCCACUUACACAGCCCGAGAACCCAUCAGUAGUUGUCAUACCCAUUAAAAGCCAUGGUCCUUGCCUCUACGUUAUGUCUCUUCCAAUGUCAACAUUGUCCCCUCCUAUCAUAAAAUCACCAGAAAUUAUUGUACUCCAUCGUGCAAUAAAUUCCCUCUUGAUGGUCCAUAUAUAUUCAACAUGUGACAUACAAUUCAAAUGUACACAUACAAAAUUUUAUUUAAUUAAAUUAUUAUUAAAUUCCUCUUUAAAAUUAUGAUUUCUUAAUUCAACAAAAUUCAAGUUUAAUAAGUGAUGGUCCAUAUAUAUUGAACAUGUGACAUAUAAUUCAAAAAAGGAUACUUAGUGAAAUUUGAAAGACUGGAAAAUUAAGUCUUACAAAAAGAAACAAAUAUGUCAAUUGAAGUUCUAAAGAGAAUUAUAAUUAAAUAUUUUCCUGUUGAUAAAUUUUUUGAACAAAUUAAAAGAAACAAAUCUUCUAAUUAAAAUAAAAAGAAUUAAAAAUAAAUAAAUAUUCUCUUAUUAGCAAAUCUCUUUAAUAUAGAUAUCAAGUUUCUAAAAUCAAAAAGUCAAAUUCUUUGAAUUAAACAAAUUAAAUUUUGAGGAGUCUAAAUUUAAUUCUCUAACUUCACCAAUAAAUAAUAAUGACUUUCUUCAAUGAAGGGGAUCGGCAAAACAAUUUCAUACAGGAAAAAAGUCUUCGCAAAAAGAAAAAGGUUUCAUAAAAUUUCUUUGUAAGUUUGAGAAAUUAUAAAAGCACUAUACAUGUGAUCUUUGCCUUUCAACAAAGUAAUUUGGGAAUAAGUCACUCUAAGCCCUUAAUUGAUUUUCAAAACAAAUAAAACACUUCGUCAUUGUCUAUUAGAUUGUGAUGAAAGUAAAGGAAUGAGAAGAAAAAUAUUCUUUUGUAAAUAAUAUUAUCAAUGAGUUUGUACCCCACAACUAUUUUAAUAAAAAUAAUUGUUAGCAUAUUUUUUCCAUUAUUUUACUUGUUUAGCAAGACUUCACACAAUUUGUACUUAUAAAUUUAUGGCAUGCUCGAUGGGACAUCUUUGUCUCUCAUCCCUUUUGCUAAAAAAAUUGAUCAUUAUUAAUGCUAUGACAUCCAAAAAGAUUCAAAUUGUGCAUGUCAAUAAAGAGUAAUGACAAGAUUGUCAUUGCUUAAUCAACACACAACACUACUACAAGCCUUAUGACUCAUAACAAAGCAAAAUCAACUACUGUAGUUUCAGCAAAGUAAGCAAGUGAAAAUAUUUGUUUGUUAAGUACUAAUGCCAUUCAAUAUGUUAUAUAAGUGACCAAGCAUUGGUCUCACUACCUUUAUUAUCAAUUUGUCCCAGUCAAGAUUGGGUUUGCAUUCCCUAGUAGAUCUUCCAUAAACAACUAAUUUCAAUGGGGGUCCCCAUCAAAAUUCCACUUAGUUCUAAACUCUUUCACCUUACAUUUUUUGAAAAAAUUACAUUCAAGCCUUCUAGUGUGGAUAGUUACUCUCAUCAAAACAUGAUGGAUUAUUAAUGUAAGAACCCACCUUUGUUUAUUCCAUACUGGUUUAGCAGGAUUGAGAGAAAAAAAUCAAAAUUGUUAUUUAAUAGCUUACUCUAAUACUAAUUAAAAAACCGCUUAUCUAGUAGGGUAACACUAGAAGAGGGUGAAUGGAUGAUUUCUAAAGAUUGUUGUAUAGGAAUUGAAAUCUUAACCCAAUUUAAAUAAUGAGUGGGAAUUAAGCCAAAUUAAAGCAAUUGAGUCCUGUAGGAGAUUAUGAGUAGGGAAUAGAACAUACACAAAACAGACAAAUGAUUUUACAUGGGAAACGUCUACACCAAUUGUGGAGAUAAAAACCAUAGUGUUGAGGACCUCCAAUCUAACAAUCCACCAUAUGAGAUCAAGAUACAAAAAUUUACCUUGUUACUUAUUCUAAAGACUUACUCUCUAGUACCUAUAUCGUGAUCCAUGUCCCCGGCAUAACACCUCCAAUGCUCUAGUGGAUUCACCUUAGCCUCCUUCCAACAACCCGAAAAAUGAAUCAACUAACCUUGAGAGUUUAGUGCCAAGAAUGAUAGGGCAAUAAUAUAUAUAUAUAUAUAUAUAUAUAGAUUAUGAAACCUAAAGGAUUGAAAUAGGAUUAUUGAUUAAAAAAUAAACCAUGAAUUUCCAACAAGAAACACUACUAAAGCAUGGCAAAAUCAAAACAACAGCUCAAGUGGACCUAACCAUCGCUCAAGCACCUUGAGCAUUCAAGCACUUAUUUAAACAUUUGAGCGGUGGCUCCAGCACUCGAGCAAUUUAGCUAGUGUUUGAGUGGUCCUGUUUUAUCAAAAGUAAAAAAUAAAAAAUUUUAAACCAAUUUUGAGAAACUAAUCCAAUUCAUGCCUUAACCUAACUUGUCUCUAACAAACAUUUUCAAACUUACCUAUGACAGUCUAGUUGAAUGAUCAACAACCUCGAGUCUUCAAUGGAGAGUAAGUCACAUCUAAAAGGAUUCCUAUGCCAUAAUGAAAAGGAAUAAAAUUGUCAAUAUAUAAAACUGUCAUAGCAUACGCAUUAAGAACUUGAGUUUUCAAGUAUAAAAUAGACAAGGGUGAAAUUCUAGUGGACUUGGAUUAUUUCCAAAAUAUCAAAUUUUAGGUACACUAGAGUGCUUCCAACACUAGAAAAAAUUAGAAACUUUACCGAACACAAUUUUGGAAACUCGACCUUGGAACGUUUAAGCAUUGGAUAAGUGCACUUGAGCACUUCCAACACUUGAAUGCCUCUUGCUAAUGUUCAACCACAACAAUUGAGUGCCCAAUGCAUUAAGUGUUACAUCUGAGUGCUCGAGGCAUUGAGUGUCAGAUCUAGCCUAUCUAGGUGCUUGAGCACUCAAUCUCAAGUCCGUUUUUAAUUAACGUUUAAAAGCAUUCAAUCUAUUAUUCCCUAGAGUCUAUUUUAUGUCGGAUGUUAAAAGUCAUCAUCCUUUCAUAGCUCUCUAUACUUACCCUAUGUUAUUCCUUGUUGACUCUAUAGGCUCCUCGAAUCUUCAACGGAAUGUAAGAGGAAAAUAUAAAAAGUCCUAAACUGGAAUGAAUAGAAAAAAAAAUCCCAAUCUAAUGCACUAACAAAAUGCAAAAAUGCUAAGGAAAAACAAUUUUGUUAUAUUGGUUUACUAUAAAAUAAAAUUUAAAAAAAAACAUAAAAGAAAAUUAAAUAUAAUUAAAACGAGUUAAAAACUUUUGCCUUUUUAAAUUAUUUAAUCUUUGUAUAAAAAGAGUAAAAAUAAGUUAAAUGAGUUUAAAGUAGUAUAUAAAAAUAAUAUAUUUAAUUUUAAAUUUAUUUAUUAUUUUCCUUCACUGUUUUUUCUUCUUUUUUUUUUUCCCUCUAUUUUCUUUCUCUUAAAUUUUCUAACAACUAAACAUAGUCUAAUAGUAUCUAUGGAAUUUCUAUACCUUUCUUUUUCUUAAUCACUUAGUAGCACAAUUAUUAUCUCGAUCACAGGAAUAAUGGCAGCCGCUGAUGAGGUCUUUUUAUGUUUUGAAUUUGCAAUCCAUUUUAAUUAUCUUGUUUUCUUCGUUCCUUUGGGGAAGAAAAUUGUAGGAGAAAUAUAAAAACAAGAAGGUAAGGAAAAUUUAUAAAUUUUUCUUUUAUUUGGUUAGAUACGAAAAAGAAAAUUAAAUUAUUGACCGAUAUAUUUACCCUUGAAUUUCAUCUUUUGUUAAAGAAAAAGGCAGGGAGGAAAAUCUUUUAACAUCAUUCCUUCUCUUUUCCUUAACAUUUUUUUCACUUUUUUUUUACCAUAAUUGCUCAAGGAAAAUUAUUUGGCAAAAGUGUGUUUCCAUGCAUUUAAAUUAAAAAAAAAUCAUAAAUAGGAACCCAACUUUAUAAAGUACAAAUUUCAAGCAGUUGUCUAAAAAUAAUUAGCAUUUCAUGGUCUUGGUCAAAGGUACUACCUAUAACCAUUAAAGUAUACUACCUUUUAAUGAUAUAUAUGUAUAUAUAUAUAUAUACACUAUCUUUGACCAUUCAGAUAUACUAAGCUUUAAUGAUAGAUGUACUAUUUGUUGAGAUAUUAGGAAUGUUUAGACAUUAGGAAAGUUGAGAUAUUAGGAAUGUUGAGAUAUUAGGAUAUUAGUUGUUCUUUCCUUAUAUAAUUCAUUCCUUGUAUCAUUCUUUCCCAUUCUUAGAAUGAUGAUUACCCUUUAUAUAUACUCUGUACAUGAACGAAUGAAAUAAUUAAUGAAAAACUAUCAUUCAUCCAUUUGAAGACUAUCUUUUAUCAUCUUAAGCAUUACCUUUGACCAUCUUAGGUACUACCUUUGAUUGGUGAAUAUAUAAAAUUUGAAUUUUUUUUAAAAGGUUCCUAUUUUAUGAUUAUUUUCAUACAAGUGCAUGGAAAUCCAGGAGAUUCCUUCCAUUAGUGGAAACUUAUGGGACAAGUCACUACCUUCUAACAAUUUUAUGGUUGUUGUAUUGUGAAGGCAAGCAAAAUAUGCCCAAGUAGUCUUGGUAUUGGUUGGUUAGAGUUGGUGUAAAAAUAAAAAGAGUUCUUUACUAUCAAUAAAGCUUGUUUUCUCUUUAGGCCCAUCUAAUUCCUUUAUCCCUUUCUUGAAUUGUUUCUCGAUUUGUUUAGAAAAGAAACGAGAGAGUAUUUCCCAUUGUUAAACUAGUACCAUAUAAGAUUAAGUUAGUUCCGCUUUGGUUGUGAAGUGCUGCCUCACUUUUUCCAAAUUUUUUUCCUCAUUUUUUCCUUAAUAUCCUUAAUACUUUAUAGGAAGUAUGAUAGAUAAUUUAAACCACUUAGUGGUAAGUCAAAAGGAAACAAAACAACCGCUCAAGUUCAGGCACAAGUCAAUAACCCUGGAUUAGAAAUAAGAUGUGUAUGAAACACUGUACAAAGUCUGUUGACUUUUUGUUCCUAAUUUCUAUAAAUACAAGAAAUGACUGAAAAAGAUAGCUCAUCUAGGGACUUCUAUGACGGAAGAGUCAAAUUUUAAUAGACUUAUACAAAGUUCUAAUUUUAUAGUAUUUUAUCAUUAUACAAUUAUAAUUGAAAUAGAAUAUUUCUUUUAAAAUUAUUUAAUCUUUAUAUAAAAGCGUUAAAUAAGUGAAAAAACUUUGAAGUAAUAAUUAAAAUAAUUUAUUGACUUUAAAAUUAUUUUUUAUUUUUCUUAACUUUUUCUUUCUUUUACUUUUCCUUAUUAUUUUCUUUUAUUUGCAUAUUUUUUUCUAACUUUUCAAGAAUUAAAUAUGGCCUAAGUUUCCAUAGAUAAAAUGCAUUAAUCAAAUAUAGGUAAAUAAAAAACAAAAAGAUACACUUCACUUGAUUUUUUUAAGACUCAAUUAAGUUGUUGAUUGAAAGGGUGUAUGGUAAAACUUAAUACUUACAACUUAAAGACUUUGAUUUUAAGUUACGUUAUACUUAAGUGGUUGACUUAAAGCUUAUUAUCUAAUUUUUAUUUUAAGUAUUAAAGAUGUUUGAUAAAAUUAAUUUAAAACUUAUUUUAAAGCAUCAAAAUGACAUAUUUUUCAUCAUAAAUUAUAACUAGGGCAUAGGAGGUCGAGUAACAAUGGAGGUCAUGGAAUAGCAAAAGAGAUCAUGAAGGUAUUAAGGACAAAUGGUCGGGAUAAAAAAAAAAAAAAAAAAAAAAGUAAAAUGAAGAUGUGGCCUUCUGAAAAAAUGAAUUAUUUUUAUUUAUUACUUAAAGUUAUUUUUUACUUAAGUCAUAUUAUUAAGUUAUUUUACAACAUAUACUUAAUAUAGUUAACGACUUAAAUUAAGUUAUUAAGUCAUUUUAAAUUAUUAAAUUGAUUUACCAAACACUCAUUAAGUUAAAAUAGUUUUAAAAUAUUUUUUAAUAUUAGUUAGAAAGUUAUCAAUAUUUUAGAUCAUUUUUUAUAUUCAUUUUAUCUUCUUUAUUUUUAUCAAAAAGUACUUUUUGGAAGCCAAACGUAACCUUUAUCUAUCUAUUAACAAACAAUAUUCAAAUGAAAUCUUUAAAUGUGAUGUUUUUUAACCCCUUCUCAAUAAUAUUCACAUGCUGCAUAGUGGUGUAAAGGAGGACAAAAAGUGUACCAGUUGUAUCUUGUGGCCUGAAUCACUUUACUUUCUUAAAAGAACAUGUGAAACACAACAAAAAAUUUGUCCUUCGUCCGGGCUGAAACCAAAUAUUAUACCUAAUCUAAAAGUAGUAUUAUUUGUAGAAUAUUUACAUAAUCACAUAAAGUAAUCAUACAUGAUUAAAGGAUACUAACAUAGAAAAUCACUAUAAAGAACAUACCUGUUUGAGCCAUCAUAAUAAAACAAGUGAUUGAUUGUUGCAACCAAGUCUUCCCCUCUAUGAUCUUGAUAACAACUAUUAUGGCUUUAUGGGAAAACAGAAAGACCCUUUAUCUAGAUUAGAGAGGGGACUUAGCAUAACUCAAUAUUGGGUUCUCAUUGGGCCCUCCCAUAAUGGGCUUCAAUGAGAUCCAUAGCCUACACUUGCCACUCAACUGAGCUUCUACUCAAAAGACGCAAAACCCAAUCCAAAUAUGAUCACUAGUUAAUUGGGCUCAUUAUAUAAUAGACUAUCCAUUAACCCAUUUUUUUCAAAUACAAAUUAUUCAAUUAGUGUUAGCCCAUAUAAAAAUUUUCCAACAUUCUCCCACUUGGGCUACAUUAAUUGUUUUUUGAGGAUUCAUUAAAUUCAUUUUGAAAAUAAGACUCUCGGGUUAGGUACAGAAAAGUUUAUUUUGUGUGGCCAUACUUUUUUUAAAGAAAUGAUAGUCUCUAAGUAACAUCUUGAUAAACUUAUCUAGUCCAACAUGGUCUUAAUAUUUGACUAUGAUGGUCUAUAUGUUAAUCUCAACAAACAUAAUGACCCUUAUAGUCACGAAUAUUUAUAACCAUAUCGACAUGGAUCGUAAACCCAAUAGUGUAGUAAGAAAUCAAUGGCAACAUGUGAUCAUCAUCUAUAUGCAUUGUUUCUUAUCAGUCCUCAUUACAAUUUAUCGGCAAAAUGAAAUUGUAAUUGCAAUUUCUCAACAAAAUGAAAUUGCUGCAAUUUCUAAACAAUAUGAAAUUGCUUGACUUUAACAAGUCAUAUGUCACCAACAGUGCACCACAAGAUCUUAAAAUAGUGGUAUUUGUGACAUCCAAUAGUAUACAACUAUAAUUCUUAAGGUUCAAUAUCUUAAGAUACCAUGUUGUAUGAAAUUCAAUUACGACAUGCUAUAAUAUAAUACUUAAUAAUGAUGAUCAUAAUAAAAAGAUUUUAAUUUUGCAAGUCGCAUAACAAUAAUGAUUAAUGUUUACACAAAACAAUAAUUGAAAUAAGGGAAAUCACAAAAGCUCCCACUAAACCAAAGAAUCAAAAGAUUUAAUGACACCCAUAUUCACAACAUGUUCCUUGAACGUUAUAGGCUUUAAACCUUUGGUUAGAGGAUCAGCUAGCAUGGACUCAGUUCUUAUGUGCUCAAUUACAAUAUCUCCUUUCUUCACUAAGUCCUUAACUGUAAGGUACUUGAUUUCUAUAUCCUUAGAACUCGUAUUGAUCUUAUUGUUCUUGGAGUAGAACACAACUGCAUUAUUGUCUCAAUAAAUCACAAUGGGUCGAAAGAUGGAAUCAACAACUUGCAACUUUGAAAUCAGAUUUCUUAGCCAAACAACUUGAGAUGAUGCACCAUAACAAGCUACAAACUCAGCAUAAAUGAUUGAGGAUGCAAUUAGGCUCUAUUUGACAAUUUUCCAUGAAAUGGCUCUACCAACUAACAUAAAAAUGUAUCCUAAAGUAGAUUUGUGAUCAUCAGAACAACUGCCCAAAUAAGAAUCUGAGCAUACAACUACCUCAAGAUUAUCCACCCUCCUAUACACAAGCAUAAAAUCCUUCGUUCUUUAUAGAUAUCUCAUGACUUUCUUUGCAGCAACCCAAUGAUCAUGUCUAGGGUUCGAUAAAUAUCUACCAAGAACAUUAACAAUGAAGGUGAUAUAAGGUCUCAUACAUACUUGUGCAUACAUCAAGCUACCAACAACACUAGCAUAAGGAAUAGUCUUUAUGGCAUCCUUUUCCAAAUCAAUCUUUGGACACUGUUCAUUACUGAGUUUAUCUUCCUUCACAAUAGGUACAUCACCAAUUUUGCAUGUCUGCAUAUUUAAUCUUUUAAGCACACGAUUGAUAUAGGCUCUCUGAGAUAGCCUAAGAAGGUUUUGAGAUCUAUCACGAUAAAUCUCAAUACCCAACAUAAAAUAUGCUUCUCUGAGAUCUUUCAUGUUAAAAUUAGUAGACAAAAUACGCUUGGUAUCAUUCAAGAGAUUCACAUCGCUACUAGUAAGUAGAAUAUCAUCGAUAUAGAGAACCAUGAAAAUGUACUUGCUCCCACUGACUUUCAUGUAAAGGCCCUAAUCAAACUUGUUCUCUAUAAAACCAAAAGACGUCACAAUUUUGUCAAAUUUCAAGUACCACUAAUGAGAAGCUUGCUUGAGACCAUAAAUUGACCUUUUCAAUCUGCAUACCAUGUUCUCUUUCCCAUUUGCCUUAAAUUCUUUAGGUUGUGACAUGUAGACUUCCUCACUCAAAUCACCAUUGAGAAAAGUUGUCUUAACAUCCAUGUGAUGAAGCUCUAAGUCAAAAUGAGCUACUAACGCCAUAAUUAGCCUAAAGGAAUCUUUGGUAGAGACUAGUGAGAAAGUCUUUGUGAAAUCAAUGCCCUCUCACCGUGUAUACCCUUUAGCAACCAAUCCAGCCUUGUAUCUUUCAACAUUUCCUUUGUUGUCUCUUUUGGUCUUGAAUACCCAUUUGCAUCCAAUGAGUUUAUAUCAUUUGGGAAGAUCAACAAGUUCCCAAACAUCAUUUGUUUGACAUAGACUGCAUCUCAUCUCUCAUGGCAAUCAACCAUUCAUUUGCCUUAUCACUAUUGAGAGCUUCACGAUAAGUAGUAGGGUUCACUUUUUUUCCAAUGUCAUAGUCUCCCUCUUCGAGGCAAACAUAAUAAUCAUUCAAAAAGGCAGACCUUCUAGUUCUUUGCGAUUUCCUCAUUUCCACAGGAGGAAUCUCAUUUACAAUAGGGGUUAUUUCGACAGUGGGGAAAUUGACAAUAGCAACUCCUUGCUGAAUCCCAGAAUCAAAAGCUCCAACAUCAAGGUUGAUGUCUGAGACUGACAAAGGUAAAGAAAUAACAUCCAUGGGUUCCACUCUUUCAUUGGAUUGAGAGGGUAUACUAUCAACAACAUCUAACUCUAAAAACUUUGCCACUUGAGGCUCAACAACUCUAGUGCCAUGAGUUGAACAAUAAAACUUGUAUCCUUUUAAGUGACUAAGAUACGUAAUAAAGUAGUACCUAGUAGUUCUUGAAUUUGUCUUCUUUAAAGAAGGAUAAUAGAUUUUCACCUUAGUUGGACAUCCCCGUACUUUAAAAGGAUUCAAACUAGGUUUUCUGCCUGUCCAUAGUUCAAAUAGUGUUUUAGGCACAGACUUACUAGGAACACGGUUCAGAAUGUAGGUUGUUGUUUUAAUGGCUUCACCCCAUAAGUAUUCUGGCAAAUUUGAUUUACUCAUCAUGCUCAUUUUCAUUUCCAUAAGAGUGCGGUUACACUUUUCUGCCAUGCCAUUUUGUUCAGGACUACCAGGCAUAGUAUACUAAGCAACAAUACCAUUAUCUUGUAAGUACCUUGCAAAAAGUCCCUUUUGUUGUCCAGCGUCACUAUGCUUCCCAUAAUACUCACCACCUUGAUCAGAUCUUACAAUCUUGAUGACUUUUCCUAGUUGUUUCUCAACUUCAGUUCGGAAGACUUUGAACAUUUCAAGAGCAUCUGCCUUUUCUUUUAUCAAAUAUACAUAGUCAUAUCAGGAGAAAUCAUCAAUGAAUGUAAUGAAGUACUUGUUGCCACACAAGGUAGUAGAGUAAGGCCCACUAAUGUCUGUAUGAACAAUCUCCAACAAAUUUUGACUACGAGUUAUACCCUUUUUCUUAGUCUUUGUCAAUUUUCCUUUCACACAAUCAGCACAAAUUUCUAAGUCAUCAGAAUCAAGGCGAGGAAGAAUCCCAUAACUAAUUAAGCGUUCUACUCGUUCUUUAGAUAUGUGCCUCAAACACUUAUGCCAUAACAAUGAAGAUCUUUUCUUAGUCAAAGGUCUUUUAGCAACACUGUUUUCAACAUUGUAAGAACAAGCAGAUAACAACGACAAUCUAUAAAGCCCGUCAGACAAAACACCAUUGCCAAUCACUUUAGAGUCAUAAAUCACCUCAACUCUUUUAUUUGCAAAAGUGAAACUAUAUCCAGCUUUGUCGAGUACUGAAAGGGAAAUUAAAUUCCUUCUAAACCAAGGUACACAAAAAACAUUGUCCAAAACAAGUUGAAAACCAGAAUCUAAUUCUAAAACAACAAUCCGAAUAUGCUCAACAUCAAUCUCGAUGUCACUUCCAACUUUAAACUUUGACUCUUUUUCACUUGGCUUCCUCAAAUUUCUUAUCCCCUAUAAAAAAGUUGCAACAUGAACAAUAGCACCACUGUCAAGCCACCAUGAAUCUAAAGGAAUAUUAACUAAAUUAGAUUCAAAACAGACAUAGGCAGAUAACAUACCCUGUUCCUUCUUUUUCUUCUCUAGCCAAUUCUUAAACUUAAAGCAAUCGACCCUCUUGUGACCUUUUUUGUUGCAGUGAUAACACUUCAGGUUUGUGUUAUUGGCAUUUCCAUUUCCAUUUUUCUGUUUCUCACUCCCACUCUUCUUGAAAUUCUUGCUUUUCUUAUGACUAUGGAAAUUGGGCUUUCUAGCCUUUUCAACUCUCUUAUGAUUAUUUGGUUUUCCAAGAGCAACAAGAUGAGCAUAUUCAUUCUUUUCUCUUUUUAGCUUUUCUUCCUCGGCCACACACUUAGUGAUCAGGUCAUUCACACCCUAAGACUAAUUUAGGGUGUUGUAUGUAGUCUUGAUUUGGCUUAAAGAAGAUGGUAGAGUAUUGAGGGCUUGAUGAAUAAUAAACUUAUGGGGAAUGGGAAUGUCUAGUGCUUUCAAUUUAGUUUGAAGAUGCACCAUUUUUAGGAUAUACUCACGAACCCCUUUCAUAUCAUUAUACCUCAUAUUCAUCAAUUCAUCCAUAAAAUACCCAGCUUCGACAUUGUUAGAUGUCUGGUAUCUAUUUCUCACAUCAACGAGAAAUUCCUUAGCAUUGUUGUUCUCAGGUAUUCCUCCAAGGAGAUGCUUAGCAAUGGACCUCUUGAUUGAAAUGAGACUCAAACGGUUCGAUCUUUCCCAUUUCGUAUAAUGAGCUCUCAUAGCUUCAGUGCUUUCAUUAGUAGGCUUAAGAGGUUCAUCUUCACAGAGAGCCAUGUUCAAGUCCAUCAUUCCUAAAAAAAACUCUAUGUUUGAUCUCGAUCUCUUAUAGUUUGACCCACUUAGAAUUUCAAUUGUAGCAUUAUUGUUGUUCACAACAAAGGAAACUGAUUGACAAAAAUUUGCAACUAGAUCAAUUAUGGGCAAUAGGUAAAAUGCUUAAAUAAGCAUAAGAAAUACAAUAUAAGAAUCAAUUGUAUUAUCAUAAACUCCCCUUUGGGCAGAGUCCAUAAUAAACAACUAUUCUCUAAGUAUGAUGAUCAACAAAUAAUUCAUUAAAGUUUAUUUUCUUUGGGCAAACAAAUUUAUCAAAUUAUUUAUCUCAUUCAAUAUCCUCAUGUUGUUAAAUUAAUUUGCACAAUAACCCCAUUUGGGGAGGCGAUUGUACAAAUUAAUCUAAAAUUUUCCCCAUCAACAAAAUAGGAACUCAUAAACUUGCAAAUUUUGAUGGUUAAAUCACUUUGGUGAAAUAACCUCAACAAUUCACAUGCAACGUUCCAAAAUUGGGUAAAUUUAAAAACAAUAAUGCCUAACAACAAUAGUGCAUAUUAGUGAUAUAUAUGCAUAUGAUCAAACAAGAUGAAGUACGUCACAAAAUGUACUUUCAAUGAUCAAUGAUCAAUUAUAGUUGCAAGAAUUUGAACAACAAUUUUUAUUUUUUUAUUACACUUUAAACUAAUUAUUUAACUAGUUUAUGUGAUUUAGACCAAGUAGGAGAGUAUGCUUGAAAGAGUUUCACUCUAGAGAGAGUGAGUACUACACUCCUAUUCCAUAUAUAUUAGCAUAAUUUCUGAUAAAUUCUCAACAAAAAAUUAUACCAAAGAAUAAAUUUAAGCUAAUUAAAUCACAUAAAUAAAUAAUAAUUAUUUAAUAAAUAUUUUUGACCCCCCAAAAAUAAAAUAAUAUAACCAAAAAAUAGAUGAUAAAAAAACAAGCGCAUAGGAAAAAACGGGGCUCAAAACAGACAUCGGAUGAGGUUACACGCGUCUCACACACUUGACCCGCAAGUGGGGAAUGUGCGGCACAUGUGGCACGUUUGGCAUGUGCUAGAGGUUAUCUUCAACCUCCAGCAGCGGGUCAAAAAACCUGCUCGGGUUAAAUGACCCGGUUGCUACCCAGCUUACAAACAAUUGUAAAAAGAAUGUUUUUCGAUCGGGAUCUCGAGGGGUUUUAAACUUUAGGUUGUUUCUAACACUCUAAGUCAUUUAAUCAUCAGAAAACAACUUAAAGAUCUCCAUAAUUGAUUAACAAAAUUCAGUUUUUAUACCUCCAUAGACAAGAUCGAAAAAUUCUAUUUCAAAACCUAUUUCGACCUCAUUUUACAUGUAUUUUUACCUUAACAAUAUAAGAAAUCUCUCUACAACAAUUAAUUAAACAAAAAACUUCUCAAUCUUGCUCAAUUUAAAAAAAAUAUAAAACGAAUUUUCUAGGGUUCAUACCCAUAUUUUCGAAUUUUCAAUUUUCAUCAAAUUGAGCCAAAAAAACCGAAAUUGAUGCUACAUAUCAACUAUAAUAUAUGUAAACAACAAAAUCCAAGAGUUUAAUUCGAGUAAAACACAAUAAUUUGAACAAAUAAAUUUUUUCUUGAAUCUUUAAACAAGAAAAUUCAGAAAAUUUAAAAACUUAAUUACUGCCAAUUUAAACAACGAAAUUGCAAAUAUAAUAUACCAUAUUGAAGUUUGUGACAAGAGGAACAAAAGGCCUAAAGUUUCACAAUCAAAAUAAACCAAAAAACCAUACACAGUCAUGGAUCACAGAUUCGGCUCCAAAAAUAAAAUAAAAUAAGAAACUAAAAAUUUUAUUUUCAAUUUCCAAUUGUAGAUCCUAAAUCAUGUAAAUCUAGCUUUGAUACCACAUGUAGAAUAUUUACAUAAUCACAUAAAUUAAUCAUACAUGAUUAAAGGAUACUAACAAUAGAAAAUCACUAUAAAGAACAUACCUAUUUGAGCCAUCACAAUAAAACAAGUGAUUGAUUGUUGCAACCAAGUAUUCCUUUCUAUGAUCUUGAUAACAACUAUGGUGGUUUUAUGGGAAAACAAAAAGACCCUUUAUCUAGAUUAGAGAUGGGACUUAGUAUAACUCAAUAUUGGGUUCUCAUUGGGUCCUCCCAUAAUGGGCUUCAAUGAGACCCAUAUGCUACACUUGCCACUCAACUGAGCUUCUACUUAAAAGAAGUAAAACCCAAUCCAAAUAUGAUCACUAGUUAAUUAGGCUCAUUAUAUGAUAGAAUAUCCAUUAACCCAUUUUUUUGCAAAUACAAAUUAUUCAAUCAAUGUUAGCCAAUAUAAAAAUUUUCCAACAUUAUUCACUAGGAACGUGUUGUUCAUUUGUACAUGUAUGUGUGGAUGUCAUGGGAAAUGUGUUGUUCAUCCUAAUAUGUACAGGUGCAUGCAUAUUCAAAAGAUUUAGCAAAGAACAAAUAAUCUUUCAUUUUGCUCAAAAUUAAAAGAGUUUCUACCAUUUAGUUCAUUUUUAUCCAAAUAUUUAAAUCUUUUUGUAAGGAAAAAUGUGAAGAAAAGAAAAUAAGGAGAAAAUUAGAAAAACAAAAAAAUCAAAGUUAAUAAAUUAUUUUUUAUAUACUGAUUGACAUUCAUUUAAUUAUAUAAAGAUUAAAUAAUUUAAAAGCGUAUAAGUUAUCGGGAGCCAAAUUUGACAAAAAUGCAGUAGCUUUUAAAUUAUUGUUUUUUUGUCAAAACCCUUGGCGUGCCCUUAUAUAAACAAUAGGGACUUGUAGCUAGGUCAAUCUUUAUCGUAAAUUAAGCAAUACUUAAUGUUCUAAGAUAAAGGAAAAAAUAAAUAAAUGUGAAAACAAACCCUUCUAACCAUAAAUGUUCCAUAAUAGCAAUUCUCCAUAGCUUGUAAUUGCCAAUUAGAAUCAAAUAACAACUCUCAAUUGCCAAAAAGAUGAAUACAAAUAAACUCAUUACAAGAGUAUAGAUCAUCUCAAGCCUUUUGAUGAUAGAAUAUAUGUGUCAUGCCCCAAGUUCUUUUUAAGGACGUGAUGGUCAUCUUAUAACUAAAAAAAUCACCAAUUACCAAAUUCUUAUUCAGAAUAGUAAAAUAUAUUAUAAUCCUCAAAAUUUAACUUUAAAAAAACUAAUACAUCAACCACUUUGCUAUUGUCCUAACAACUUCAAACCCAAAUGGUUCAAACAGUAAUUAAUUUCUAACAUUUAAACACUUGCCAAAAAUAAAGCUUAAACUAAAAUCCUAAUAAAAAAACAAAUUUCCAAUCUAACCAUCACUCUUUACCCAAACCGAGAGUACCUGGAAAAAAAUAUCAAUGGAAGAGCAUGAGUUCAAGCCCAAUAAGAAAUAUUAAUACAGUUUCAUGAAUCAAACAUUUUUUAUUAUGAUAACAAAUAGGAAAUAUAGUGUACAAUCUUUUUUAUAAAAACUUUGAAUUCAAACAUGCUAAAGCAUCCAAAACUUUUCAAUUAAACAUUUUCAUAUUUAUAUCAAUAGCAAUUUCAUAUCAAAUCCAAAUGAAAUGCAUUCAAAAUAUUUUUACUCUAGUUAUCAAAUAACAAAUAGUAUCUAAUUAGGUAGGACUUUAUUGCCCAAUUAGGUGAAACUUUACAAAUAGGAUACUAUCCUCAAAUUUGUUCUUUUUAAGGUGGAUGGAACCAAACACUACUAGUAACCUCUAACCAAACCCCUAGAGACUAGGGUUUAAAACAAUUACAUUCUCCACCAAGAAAUGUAAAGGUUAAUUAGCAAUUAUAGCUCAUUAACUAAAGUGAAAAAGGUCAACAAUUAUAACUCAUUAACUAGGGCAAAAAAUGUCAACAAUAUAACCCUUUGACUAGGGCAAAAUAAACCAAAGUCAAACACUUUGUUUCAUUUAUUUAAACGUAUAAAAACAUAAUAUCUUCAUUUUUUUAUUAUAAACAAAAGAAAAUAUUCUUACAUAUUUUCAUGCAAAAUAUAAUUGAUCCUUGCAUAAAAACAAAAAUAACAUUUUACAUAAUUCAAAAUAACAUAUAAAAAUAAAUUAUUUUAUUUUAGAAAAUCUAUAUUAAUUUCUCCUACCUCAAAAAGCACUCAAAACCCUUAAAGAAUUUAUUGUUGAAGAAUCUAAUUUUCACCUGAAAAUAACAUAAGAAAUAACAACUAUUACUAUUAGCUAUUUAUCUAAAAUUAAAGGUUUGACAAUCUAUAGACCCCAAAAUUUGUCCAAAUUUUAUUUUUACAUUAAUUUUGAGCUCAAUUUUGUCUUUAGAUUUUAAAUCCUGAUUACAUAUGAUAUUUUUGACCCACUCACUAUCUAAUUAUUAUUAUUAUUAUUAUUAUUAUUAUCAUUUUUCUUUUUCUUUUCUCUCUUCUCUCUCCUCUCUCUUCCUACCUUCCCCCAACUACCCCACCCACUCUCUCUCUCCUCCCAUACCCCUCAUUCCCAUGACCCAUACCUCCUCUCUCAUCUCUUCCCAAUUCUCUCUCCUCUCAUGUUUGUUUUUUCUUUUGAUUUUUGGUUCCCAUUUUAUUUUUUUUUGGCAAUGGUCGGCUCCCCAUCUAGGUUUUUCUCUUCAUCUUCUUUCUGACAUCACUCCACUCACAACCCAACUCCCCCACAUGGUAGUGGUGGGCCCCUUGAUUCUCUCAAUUUCUCUUCUUUUUCCCUUAUUUUCUCCAUUUUUUGCUCCACACGGUCAAUCAGGACCCCCCCCCCCCCUCCCCAGAUUUUUUUCUUCCCCAUUUUUUUUUCUUCUAGGUUUUUCUCCCUCCAAAGACCCAUGACCACUUUCCUCAGGUCCUCCGCUCUCUUCUCUCUUCUUUCUUCUUUUUUCUUUUCCUUUCAUUUUGUUCCACAUUUUUUUUUCUUUUCGAAUUUUUUUCCUUCCAUUUUCUUUUUCUCAUUUUUUUUCCUCCCUCUCUCUCUCCAUCCGCCACCCUCAUUGCCAUUGUUGACCACCACCAGCCUCUGCCGGCUAGCAAUCCAACCAUCCAUAGUUCUUAAAAACAAAAUGGGUAAAUUUCAUUUUUACUUUAUUCUCAUUUUCACUUUUUCAUCUUUAUUUAUUUUAUUUUUUUGGUUUGCAUAGUAAUUGAUUUGGACUUAGGCCUAUUGCUUAUUGGUUAUUUGUUUGGGUUUAUUGGAUUGGGUUUGAGAUAUUAUUUCCUUUGGCCAUGUGUAUUAUUAAUGUGAGUUUGUUAAUUGAUAUGAAUUUUGGGCUCACAAUGUUGGUGAGAUUUGUUGGAUGACUUGAAUAUUUGAUAUGGGCUUGGCCAAUUUGAACUAUUUAAUUUGGACAUGGGACAAUUGUAGGCUUGAAUAUUAAAUUAGGCUUGAAUUAUGGGAUAUUAAGUUUAGGCCUAGUGGAAUUUAUUUUAAUUUAUCAUGUUUUGGAUUUGAUUAAUUGAGCAUAUAUUUUGGCUAUUAAUUUGGAAAUUUUGGAUUAGGGCUUAUGGCAUGUGAGAUAUUUUUGUUGGGCUAUAUUUUCUAAUUUAGGUCCAUUUUUAUUGGCAAAAAUUUAUUGGACCAAUUUGAAGUUUGAAUUUGGGAUUGAAUAAUUAUUUUGGACUCUACAUAUUUUUGGAUAUUUACAUUUGGGUUAUUUUUGUUUUUGCAUGUCUACAAUUUUGUUGGUUGAAUACGAAUUUAUGACAUGUGGAGUACAAAAUUUCAUGGAAGAAAGUGAGACUCGAAAAGUUGUAGGAAGACAUUGAACUUGUUGUAAGCUUGUUUGGGUACACAUUUUAUUUCCCACUUUUAUUUUAUUUUAUUUUUAUUAGUUUUUGUAAAUAUUUAUUAAUAUAUAUUUACUUGUUGUGUACAGAAUUAGAUGUCGAACAAACCAGAAAUUUUGUUUAAAUAAGAUGAAUACUUCAGUAAAUAUGUUUUAAUUAAAUAAUAAUUUUAAAAUAUUUUUCUUAAUAAAAGAAAGUUUUUUUAUUAAUAAAAAUUCAGAAAAAUGCUUUUAGAAAAAUAAAAAUAAAAACUUUAAUAGAAUUUGAAAAUUUAUUUUUAAUAAUAAUUGUCCAAAAAUUUCUUUGUUUAAUAAAAAUUUGCCAAAAAUUAUUUUGUAAAUAAAGUUGUCCCAAAAAUUAUUUUUUAAUAAAAUUGUCCAAAAAAUGUCUUUUUUUAAAUGAAUUAUUUUUCCUUAAUUAAAAUGGGAUUAAAAGUAUUUUUUUAGAAAUAUAGGAUUUAAAUAUUUUUUUCUUUUUAAUUAAAAUUCCUUUUGCAAAUAAAGUUGUCUUUUUAAAUAAUUUUUAUAAAUCACUUUUCUUAAAUGAAAACAAAUUGAAAUAUUUUUGUAAAUAAAAUUGUAAAAAUUCAUUCAUUUUUUUUUUUUUUUGUAAAAGCAAGUAAAAAUAAUUUUUGUUGCCAAAUUGAAAGUUUGUAAUAAAUUCUUUUGAUACAAUAAGUGUAAAUAACAUUUUUUGAAAAUUAAAUACAAAUGAAAUUGAAUCAAAUCACUUGAAGAAAAUGUUUUGUAAAUAAAUAAAUUGAAAUCACUUAUUCAAAAUUGUUUUUAAUAAAAUCCUUUGAAAUUCUUGAAAAUUAUUUUUUUAUAUCUUUUUUUAUUUAGUUCAAUAAAUCAUUUUGCAUAAUUCUCUUAUUAUUUAUUUUGUAUAUUCUUGUGAUUAGAUUUCAUCUUUAUUUGUGUAUAUAUUGAUUUUCAUUAUGACUUGUACAUACUCAUUUGCAUGAUUAUUUUUCUCGAUAUCCAUAAUUAAUUAACUAAUUGCCACAAUUUUCUUAAUUCGUUUAGUAGAGGUCAUACAUAUACGGGCUUAGAGGGAUGCUACGACUCACCACCGUACCUUACCAAUAGGUAACCUAACCCUUGGAUCCAGAUUAUGUUUUUGCAUACAUGUCUUUUCCUAAUAAGGAGUCAUACAUGAUUUUCUUUCUUAUUUUGUUUUCCCUUUAAAAAAAUUAAAUAAGUGGCGACUCCAGGUCUUUUUCUAAAAGUCAAUUUUUUUUCACAAAUAAAUGAAAAGUAAGUUUCGCCAUUCGAGUGGGGACGCACAUGAAAAACAUAGGUUCACAAAAUGGUGACUCUACUAGGGAAUUUGAGGGUCAAACUUAAACUCGAGUUAAGAAAAAUGUGGCAUUUGAUUGGUCGAUCAAUGGAUACCCUUCUCUACAUGUCUUUGUAUGAUUGGGUGUUGAUUACACAUUGAGAGCUUUGAUAUAUUUAUUUGUGAUGCAUGUUUGGUUAUUAUUGUUCAUUGGAGAUGUUCACGUGUUGAUUAUAUCGAUUGAUUCUCUUACCUACUUUUGCAUAGUGACUCUUCUUAUUGUAUGAUUAUCUUACUUUCCUUGACAUGUAUAUUCUCAUUUUUGUAUAUCUCGUUCACAUUGGUGUGAUUGAUUCUCUUUAUUUUAGAUUGAUUACUACUCAAAAAGUGCUAUUUGAUAGCUUGUAAUUAACUCUUUUAAACACUUUUGAGUAGUAGUUAUCACCUUUUAACUCAAUUAACAUAUUAAGGACCCUUGCAAUCAAUUCUAAUCAAAUUGUGUUAAGUUUUGGUGUUUUGAUAGCUUUUUGAUCACCAAAGCAAUCCGAGAUUGAGGAGAGUUCUUUGGAAUCCAUGACAAAAGAUGUCCGGACAGGGCGUCCGGACACACCAUCGGAGGGUGGCGGGAAGUGAGCUGUGGCAGGCUGUCGGAAUGACGUAGUAAGGCUUGUGCACUUUAGCCAAUGAUCCGGACAACAUAUCCAGAUAGGAUAUGCUAUCGUCCGGGGUGUGAUGAUCGCGAGUGCCGUGUGCUUAUCCUUGAGGGAGUCCGGAUAGGGGAGCGCGCCGACAUUCCACUCGGAUGUCUCACAUCUGGAAAUCUGCUCCGCCGACAUUCCACCCGAAUGUCUUACAUCAGGAAAUCUACUCCACCGACAUUCCACCCGGAUGUCUUACAUCCUGAAAUCUGCUCCGCCGACAUUCCACCCGGAUGUCUCACAUCCGGAAAUCUACUCUGCCGACAUUCCACCCGGAUGUCUCACAUCCGGAAUUCUUCUCCGCCGCCAUUCCAUCCGGAUAUUUCGCAUCCGGCGCUUGACGCCGGAUAGGAGAGGAGGGCGUUUCAACUUCCCCGGUCAAACAUAUCCGAAUCCUUUGAUAGCGCUUACCCGGAGAGUUUUGCAGCCAUUUUGCACAGUGCCGCGGUGUUCUCCUGAAGCUUCCCGAUAUGUCUGACCGACAUUUUAAGAUAUUUUUCUGCACAAUGCCGCGGUGUUCUCCUGAAGCUUCCAGAUAUGUGCGACCGACAUUUUGAGAUAUUUUGCUUUAGAUAUUUGAUGUCUAAAUCCCCAAACUCUCAUUGUAACCCACCAAUUAUAGGAUUCCUUAGUCUUUAAGUAAGAACAAAGGGUAAAUAACCCCUUAUAUAUAGUUUGUAAUUUCCUUUACAAAAGACAUCGAUCAUAAAUCGAUCAAAUAGAGAUUAAUCCUUUGUACAGUUUUGGAAGGAAGUAAAAUACAGAGCACUUGCUCUACUUUUCAUAUAUAUUUUUGUUUUCUCGUUCUUUUUAUUUCUAGCCAAUCAAACUCUGAGGAUUUUUCCUCAGAGGACGAGAGGCUAGACUUUUUGUCUCUUGGAGUGAAGAAAGCCAGGUAAGUUUCCAAACACAAGAAUUGGAAGUUUUGUUGUUUUAGUUUUUAAUGAAGAGAAAGUGUAACCCGUUAAUGGUUUUUAUCUUUUUAGUUAACUUAAAACGCCUUUAAAUCACCUGGGUCAACACUUGAUAAGGCAAGUGAUCUCCAUCCAUUGAGAUGCACUAGUUUAUCUCUUGUGAGCCUUUGGGAGGUGGUUUAAAGGUAGGAUUUUCUAGAAUAGACAACACUUGGUAAGCUUUUGGACUCCAAGGAGACAUCCAUUAGUUAUCUCUUGCGAGCUUUUGACGGGUAAUCCAAGGUUAAAGAUCACCUUGAAUGGCAAGUGCUAGGUGAGAGGUAUGAGCCAUCGCAAGAUGCAUCAGUGAGAGGGAUUUAGUGUUUGAACCCAUUAAAGGGAAGCAUCUGUACCACACCGGUUCGAGAAAUAACUAUAUGUUAAAUCCCUAAUGCGAGGAAAAGAAACAAGUGACCGGAACUUCCUUUUUGUACAAGGAACCUGAGUCUAGUGAUCUAAACUCCAAGAAACACUUUUCUUUGUAAGUAAAAUUAGUUACUAUUUUUGGUUAGUUUAAAACCAACCUUUUCCACCAUAGAUUAUGUUUUCUUUUACAGCUAACCUUGAAAUGAAAAGGCACCAAGUCAGCUUUGAAUUAAUAUCAAUUGUGAAGUGAAAACCCAUCCCAGUGAAUGAUCCUAGAGCCACUAUGCUAUAGUAGCUUUGUCUUUGCUACCCUAGUUAAUGGUGUAAUAGGUUAUAAAUUUUGUUGAUUACUCCCUCAAUCAAGGAGCACUAGCUGGACACGAAUCAGCUGAGACACCAAUUGGGCACGAAUCAAAUGGCGUCGUUGCCGGGGACGAAUCAAAUGGCGCCGUUGCCGGGGAUCAAACGAAUCAUAUAUUAUCUUGUUUAUCUCAACAUAUUGUUUAUUCUUGUUAUAUAUCUUACUUGCUUAUCAUAAUCUUGCCUAGCUUGUGUGUAGAUAUGAGUGAUAUACUUGUUAUUUGCAUGACUGCUUGGUGCAUGACUAUUAUUCUUCUAUGCGAUGCAUGUAUUGCUUGUCUGUGUGGGAUACACAUCUAUUCCCUUACCUCUAACUCCCUAGUCUCGGUCAACCUUGUUUCCCUUGAUCUCGUAUUUGAUAUGAGACUUGUUACUUUGUUUACUCUUCAACCGAGCUAGUGAUUCAAAAUAGGGUUUAGUGAUGGGCAAUAUCUAUGUUUGGAAGCAUUCUAGAGGAGGUCAACACAUUGAUGCUGAUUGGAGUUCGAUCUUUGAAGACGUGUAUAGCUCAGAGCUAGAUUUUAGGAUAUUUGUGUGACCAGUUUGUUUUCUCUGUGUUUAGUUUGAUAAGAUUUUCGGAUGUGCCCACACCAUUCACUAUGAACCUUAGAUUACCACUAAGUGUUGAGAAUUAUGAGAGCUUUCACCAUAGGAAACAUCCCUUGGGAUGUCGAGUAGUGCAUGUGUGGAGGUGAUGACCACCUUGCAUGGAAGCGUCCCAUCUUUUCAGAGAUGUGUAGAGGGUUGUGUACUGCCAAAGGGUAUGAUCGUUUCUGUUAGGGCUCCUUUAAAAUCCACUUUUUCUUUUUAGAGCCGCCUUGACCUUGUGGGUUGAGCCUUAGAUCAUUUGAUUAGGAUUUUCUUUCCUACACAUGGGCGCAUUUGAGAGCCUUCAGGGUUGCUUUAGUCACAACAUGGAUCUAGUACUCCAUCUUUUAGUCUCCAAUCGAGAGUGCUUAUAUAUUGGUGCUAGUUUGAGUAUCAGUUGGACCACCCCUUGUUGUAUGGUUUUGGUUUCUUCUUAUCGCUCGGUGAGUCUAGCACACUUUCUCCCUAGGACUUUAGAUACUUUUUUUUUUCUUAAGUUGACACAUUCUUUCAUUUUGUUGUCACUUUCUGCUUGACAUUUUAGGAUAUGCUCAUUGAUUAUGCUCACAUUUUUACAUUCUUCACGUUUCAUGAGCUUGGUACUUCAUUCUUUGGUCGAUUUACCUAUUUUUAUUUUCAACCCGAUAUUUUCAUUACAGAAAGGUGAAAGAUAUGUUUUCACAUUCACACCAUUUUUAAGAGGUUUGCCUUUAUCACCUAAUCAUUUUUCUUUAUUGAGCUUGGGUUGAAAGUGAAUCAGAGAUAUUUUGUUAUAGAUGGAGUAUCGAUCUCAUGGUAGUGUUGUUUUUCACGCCUCAUUCAUUUUCUGGAUUAUUGAUAAAGAUUCUUUAGUCACAUUGUAGCCAUCUCACAGUGGACACCUUUAUGACCUUAGAGUUUAUGUCAUUUAUCCGGUUUUAGAUUGUCAUCAUAGAACCAUAUAUCAUAUGAUGUGUUGUACUUUUGACUUGGGACAUGUAUUCAUUUGCACAUUGUGGUCUUGAGGCCUAACCUAUCAUGGAGGAUAUUGAACUUAUUAGUCUAGGAUCGGAGAUUUGACCAAGGGAAUUUGAGACUAUGACCCAUCUUCUUAUCAUCAGAGCAAUACCUUACUCACUCCCACACCUAGACUUUGCUUCAACCUACAUCUACCUAUUGUGAAUUUUACACAACAUCACCCUUGACACCAUUACAUGACCUUUCCAUCCCUAGUUGUUCUAGCUUUGCAUAUCCUUUCUUUGAUUCGACCAAGUAGAGUGUGAGGAGUUUGAGCCCAGGGUUGAUCUUUCAUGGUAAGGGAUGACUUAUGAUCUUUGGGUGGCUUACGACGUGAGGAUUGGUCGAUUGUCUGAUGGGAUUGUCACUUAUUCUUCCAUCAGUAUAGAGAUUGAUUUUGUAUGAUGAGAGUUGGCUUGUGAUGAACAGUUGUGCCUUAUGAGAUCUUCAUUUACUUUGCUUUGAGAUGAUUAUCUUUUAGAUUAUUAUGGAGCAUUUGGAGUAAGGUUUGGUACACGAUUCCAGAGGGUUGAUGUGGUUAUAUCAAAUGGACAUUGAUCUUCAGUAUCGAUCAUUUAAGGGUUUGAGAACAUGAUGUUUGAGACCGUGGUUGUAGGAUGGGUGACCUUCAUUUCGGUUAGCUCACACCCUAUUACCUUUAUUGACAUCUAGACCAUUGCUAGCCCUUUGAGUCUCGCAUGAGCAUCAUAACCUUUUCUUUCUUAUAGCCUUACUUACCUUUUACACCGGGGUAGGGGCCCUCUGGUGUAUAUAUGCUUUAUUCGGAAGUCUCAUGAGCCAUGGACUUAUUGACUCAUCUUCUUCACUAUUUUUUUGUUAUCCUACCAUCAUUUUUCAUCAUACCUCUUUGUUUAUAUCCUUUGUCUUUGUCAUCGCAUUUCUCUCUAUGCCAUGAGUGAUGAUCUUUCACAUUUCAGUGCAUGGAUGACGGUCAUGUCCCCUUCCGUUCCUAUGUCAUGGACACUGGUUUGGAGAUCUUUAGUUGAGAAGGUCAUCUUAUCAAAGAGAGUUCAUGUACAUUAUUGUUUGAGAGUAUAUUCAUUUCAUUAUGUAUUCUCAGAGGAUCAUUGUCUUCUCCAUUAUUACAUACAUUAGUGAUUUGACUAUUCUCCAUGAUUUGAUUUGAGUGGAUUAGUGCUCAUUCAUUUUCCUUCGAUCUGUUUGUUCUUCUAAUGAUAUUUCAUUCGCCUUGCUUACAUUGUUCUCUGUUCAUAGUGAUUUACAUUCUAUGUUCGAUAUUUUUCAUACAUCAUUCUUGUACAUCCCAUUAGCAAUUCAAUAUAUUCCUUUCUUCUCUUUCAUCAUUGAUAUAUUCAUCUUUGAUUCUUUCUUCAUCAUUGAUAUAUUCAUAUUGGACAUCCUCAAAUCCAUGAUUUAUGAGACUCUCUGUACAUAUUGCAUUUUACACAUGAGGGUAUAAGGUUUUAUCAUUGGGAUUAUUGAGCCUAGUUUCCCUUCAUUUCUUCACCUUAUUACCCUAGCCUGUCACAUCUUGAGUCUUAAGACCACCCUAAGGCCAUGACAUCACACAUUGCGUUUAAUAGCUCUCACAUGGGCGAUACUUAGGAUCGGUUGGAGAGCAUUUUGAUUAUGAUGGUUCGGGAGUUGUGGUAUGACCCCACACUGGGGCAUAGCCACUUCAGAGAGUUUUUAUCGGGUAUGCGUCCAUUUUGCUUAAUACAUUCUAUUAGGACACACCUUUCUUGGUUCGGGGUUGAUUUUUUAGAUGACCAUUAUGUCGAGGCAUACUCUUCUUAGCUGAUGAUGGAUUUUGAGUCCUGGUCAUCCCUUUUAGGAUAUCAGAUGUCCUUUUUCACAUUGGAGCAUGAGACAUGAUUGGUAUAUUUCAUUUGGUGUACUUUACACAAGGGUAUAUUUCUUAGUUGAUGAUGGUUAGAACUAAUUCUUCUUUAAUCUAUUUUUUUUACCUAAGUAAGUCAUUGGAUAAACAUGUGAAAAUUGGCUUUUACAUGAAUAUAUGAAUGUGAAUCUAUGUCUCUUUGAUUUUGUAUUUUUGGUUAAUGGAUGCUUAUAGCUCACCUUUCACAAUACACACACUUACACUAAUAGAUGAUCACAUGUUUAGGCUUAAUUAGACACUUGCUUAGGACACUUUUGUAUCAUAAUUUGGCACCUAAAAUAGAUCACUAAUAGUUUUGUAUACAGCCGCACUUUAGGUUCACCUUUAGAUUCACAUUAGUUCACAUUCACACACUUUCACUUCUUUUUAUUAUUUGUUGUUUGAUAUCUCAUGUGUUUUAAUGAUUUUAAAAUUGUUUUCAACUCUUUCCAUAAAUAAAUCAAUCCUUCAACCUCAUUCAAAAUUCAUCAUUUGGUUAUUAGGUAUGAAAAUCUAUUUUUCAACAGUCAUGCUACAAAUUUCAAUCGAUAUGCAUUUUUCCAUUAUUUUUUAAAUGAAUUUCGAUUUUGAAAUACAUGAAAUAAAUUCAUGGCUCCACAUCAAUGGGGUAAUUCCUUACCUUGGUGGGCUUAUCUAUGAUCACAUGAGAUUAAGGAAGUAUGGAUAAUUUUCAUGGGCAUUACUUUGGCAAGUGGUAAAUCCCUACAUUCAAGUUUUUCAAGAACAAAUAUUCAAUUGUCUCUUGGGGUAAUUUGUUCAACCUUUGAAAUAAAAAAUUAAAUUAAGAUUAUUUAAAGCCUUCCUAAAAGUUUUAUAAUAAUUGAAUGAUGUUGUAGACUUCCUAAAUGUGUUAAUAUAGUUUUGUUUGAGUUCAAAAUCAUUUUUCAAUUAAUAGAUAUAAAUCAAUCUUUCUAUUGGUUCAUUUUCACUCUAUUCUAAACACUUGGAAUUUUUUUCUAAAAUUAAAUUAUUUAAUUCAUUAAUUCCUUUUUAUAUUUUUCCUUUAAUCUAGACUUCUUAAAUUUAAUCUUAGGCACCUAAAACACUCAAAACUGAUCCCCUAAGUAGGAAUUGUGUUUUUUGUUUUUUUGCUCCUAUUGUACAAGUUCUUUUCUAUAGUUAAGGGGAUGGUUUAUUAAUUCUAAAGAUGUUAUGUGUGUGAUCAUGCUUUGUGACUAUUUUUCAUGUAAACUAGUCAUAUUAAAUAGGUUGUAAAAUUUUUUUUUAAGACUUUCAAGCAUCUCUAAAUUAGUCAAAUAAAUUAACUUUUGCAUGUCAUUGAAAUAUGCUCUAUUCUAAACCAAUUGAAGUUUAUGAAAACUAGUAUUAAACAAAAUAUAAUUAAAUAAUUUGACCUUUUGGAUUGUAAUCUAGACACAUAGGAGAGGUUGCCUAAUUUUUUUCAUGACGAAAUCCCACUUCUAGAUAAUGUUUUAGGAUUUAUUUUAUAAACUCCUAUGUUCUGAUCACAUGAUGAUUAUUUUGUGUAGAAACCCAAUUGUGAUUUAAUUUGGUACUAAUUGGCAUAUAAUUAAUUAAUUUGAACUUGGGGAUUGUGAUAUAGACAUGUUAAAGAUGUUGCACAAUUUUUAUUUUGAUGAAAUAACACCUCCAGAUAUUUACUUGGAAUUUAUUUUGUAAAAACCUCUAUUCUACUUUGUUAAUGGUAUUUUGUAUAUUUUGAUAAUUUGAUCACUUUUGUGCAUUCUUGUGAGCUCUUUUGAUUAUUGAUUCACAUUGUAGAUAUAUUAUACACACUAGCUGAACCUUCCUUUAGAUCAAAAUUCUUUAUUUAAUAUUUUAUACAAACUAAUUUUUGAAAGUGAACACAUGAUUAACUAAUUCUAAAAUUUUAAGCAUGAUUACUAUAUCUUGUUUCCUUGUCAUCUUUUACUUCAUGAUUUGAGAUAUGUUAUAUAUUAUGUUGUGGGAUUUGAUUCAUGCCUAAUUGGUGUGCCAGCUGAUUCGUGUCCAGCUGGUGCUCCUUGUUUGAGGGAGUAAUCAACAAAAUUUAUAACCUAUAACACCAUAUACUAGGGUAGCAAAGAAAAAGCUACUAUAGUAUAGUGACUCUAGGAUCGUUCACUGGGAAGGAUUAACAAGCUAUCAAUGAUACCAAUUCAAAGUGAAUUGGUCUUGUUUCAUUUCAAGGUUAGCUUAAGAAAUAAAACACAAACUUUGAUUGGUAAAGAUUUAGACUUAAACUAACUAACACAACAAGUAAUGGGAAUAACUUAGGAAGAAAAACAUUCCUUGGAGAGUUAGGUUUACUGGGGUGGUUCCUCAUGCAAAAGACAUAGCUCCGGUCAGAUGGUUCAUUUCCUCGCGUUAGAGAUUCAACAUAUAGUCACUUCUCUAACCGGUUUUGUACAGAUACAUCCUUUAAUUAGAUUUCAACUUUAAUUCUCUCACUGAUGCAACUUGCAAUGGUUCAAGCCUCUCACUAAGCCUUAACCAUUCAAGGUGAUCUUUAACCUUGGAAUUCCCUUCUCAAGCUCGCAAGAGAUAACUAAUGGAUGUCUCCUUGGAGUCCAAAAGCUUACCAAGUGUUGGAAAUUCCAAAAAAUCCUACCUUAAAGUCACCUCCCAGAUGCUCGCAAGGGGUAAACUAGUGCAUUUCCAUGGUUGGAAAUCACUUGCCUUACCAAGUGUUGGCCCAGGUGACUCUAAGGUGUUUUAAGUUAACUAAAAACAUAGAAAUCCCUAAAGGAUUUCACUUCCUCUUCAUUACUGGCUGAAACCACAAAGUUUGCAUUCUUGCACUUGGAACCUUCCCCGGCAACCUUAGCUCCAAGGAAUUAGAGGUUUAGUUACUCAUUCUCUUGGGAAAACUCCUCAGAGAGUUCAUAACUUAGUAAGAAAAUAAAAAUACAAAGUGAGAAGGUAAGGCAAUACAAAGAACUGAACUUUACUUGCUUACCCAAAACUUUACAAAAGGAUCUCCUCUCUGAGAACAGGCUCCCGAGAGGUACUUAUAUGAACAUAAUAUAAAACUAAUUAUUACAUAGAUAUUUUCUCUUUUUACUAACUUAAAAGCUAAGGAAUCUUGUAAUUGGUGGCUUACAAGGAGUAUUUUGGGAUUUAGACAACAAAAAUCUGAUGUAAAAUAUCUCCCAAUGUCGGUAGCAAAUAUCGGGAUGCUCCAGGAACCAUUUCGCAAGAGAAAAUGGUGUCUGCGAGAUUUCGCAGACACUCAAGAAGGGCUGCGAAAUCACUUCGCAACAAAAAGCUAUUCUCGCAGGGCUGCGAAGUUGGCUUCCACCUUGAGGUUCUCAGCUCCCAGCUUGCGGCAUAUAUCGGGCAACUUCAGAGGGAAAUACACCCUACUGUACAAAAAGGCUGCGAAAUCACUUCGCAACAAAAGGUUGAUUUCGCAGCACUUUGCAAAAUGCUUCCUUCAGCUUGGAGUGAUUGGCUUCCACUGGCUGCAACUUCUUCGUUUCAACUCUGAAUUGCACACUGUUUGAAGCAUUGGAUUGUUGACUUCUUGAGCUUUGAAAUGGUAUAUAGCAUGUAUCAAUUGGACUCCAAAAAAUGCUCCAAAAGUGGCUGCUACGACUGUCAUCAAGAAUAUGCUUCAUGGCAGAUUCUCUUUACUUUUUCUCCUUGCAUUCUGGAUUCACUCUUGGCAAAUGACUUCCAAGCUUUGCCCAAGAUUCCUCAUAAUUCUCCUCAAUCUUGAAUUGCUUUGGUGAUCAAAAUACUAACAAAAACACCAAAACUUACAUAAAGUGAUUAAAAUUGCUUUCAAGGGUCUUUAACAUGCCAAUUGAGUUAAAAGGCCAAAACUACUACUCAAAAGUGUUUAAAAGGAUUAAUUGUAGGCUAUCAAAUGGCACUUUUUGAGUAGUAAUCACUCCCCCCAACCGACAUAUUGCUAGUCCCUUAGCAAUAUAGGAGAGAAAAAUUGAAAAUAAAAAACAAACUAACCUAUAAUGUACAACAUCAUGCUGAUCAAAAACAAUUCUCAAGUGGCAUGAUGAUCUAAUUCUCUCAUGAAACAUUAAAGAAAUAUAAAAGCAAAUUUCAACAAGAGUUAUAACAAACUAUGCUAAACACUAUCAAACAAGGGAAUGCAUUAUGCAAACUGAAGUUUUAAAAUCAUUUCCACUUUCAAAGAACCAAACGUUAUUCUUCCUCAAAAAUCUAUGUGUAUUGGUUCCUUAGCUUCUGAGAAUAAUAUGCUAAACUAAUCUCUCCCCCCAACCUAUCUCUUUUCAACACUUAGCAAACUGACCAAAAUCAAUAAAGAAAGAACACACUUUCUCUUUUUUUUUUUUUUUAGAAGGGGCUUAAUGGGGUACUCUUUCUGAAUUGUCCAUGUAAUGGGGGUCCAUUGAUGACUCCCAACCAAUUAAGGUUUAGGGCACCAAGCUUUAAGGAUCUUUCAACCACUAACUCCUCGGAUUUUUCCCCGGACUUUUGAGAAUGAAUUUCUAAUACCCAAGCACCUACCACAUGCUAACUCCACCUAUCCACCCUUGUAACGAGCAUUGAGGUCGGUGACUCCCAACCAAUUAAGGCUUAGGGCACCAGGCUUCAAAGAUUUUCACCAUAUACCCCUCAGACCUUGCUCGGGUUUUAAGGCAAGAAAACAACUUUCUUUAUUUCAAAGGCUCAUUGGCCUUUUGCAGGGUGUUUCAAUUUUAUCAAAUGAGGUCAAAUAUACCAAGUCCCAAAAUUAUCCUAAGUCGAGAGGGAAAUAGCUUUUCAUGUUAUAAUCGGAAUCUAAUGUGCACAGUGUGUGAAUAGCUUAAAGUGGAAGAACUAAAUUCAAUUUCAAUAGAAGCUUCAACAAUUGAACCACUUUAGUGAGCAUAAUCCAUACUCUAAGUCAAGUGAAAAGCAACAGUUCAAUUUCUCCUGUUUUAAUUUGAAAAUUUUUCCUCAAGAUUCAUGGAGAAUAGAGUAAAAAGAUUAAAAAGCAAAAACUACAACUAAUUUACCAAAAUAAUUGCAUUACUAAAAAGGCUUAGCAUACUUCCUUUAAUUUAGCAUAACUUCCUUCCUCAUUCCCCCCCAACUGAACUGAGCAUUGUCCUCAAUGUGAUAUGAGUGAUUGUAAUUAAAGAGAGGAAGGGGUACCUCCUGAGUGAUAUCAAAUUCGAAUACUGAUUGGAGAAACCACAUGUUUCAAAAAGAAUAGAAUAUGUGAGAAAAGGAAAUAAGGAUAACUUAAUGCUAAAGGUUAACAAGAAAUAUUAAACUUGUAUUACUUUGAAUCCAUUUAAGUACAAUGUAAAAGAAAAGCAAUACAAGCAAUCCCAAAUAUAGUACCAAAAUAAUGGGAUUUCUUUCCAACUAAAAAAAAAACGAAAUACAUAAAAGAAUAUAUAUAUAUAUAUAUAUAUAUAUAUUCUGAUGAGUGGGUGGUGCUGGGGCUAGGCAGAUGGGUCUGCCUCUUCAGCUGGUGCUUCAGAUGGGGCCUGAGGCUCUGCUGGAUGAGAGUGUGGCACUGCUGUGGUAGAUGUGGAGGGCUCAACAGCUGGUGACAGGUCGAAAUGAAGCUGGAGCUGCCUUAAGAUGGCAGUGUGUUGAGCCUGAGUGGCCAACAUCUGCUCUUGGCAUGCUCUAAUGGCUGCCAUCUCUUGAGCAAGACUGCUCUGAGAUGCUGUGAGGGUCUCCAAUGAAUGGCACAACUCUCUGUAUUCAGAAAUGGGAAUGACCAUCCUCGGUUCAACUGAAGUGGAUGGCUGAGAUGAAGCUGGAGCAGCUGGUGGAGCUCUGGGAAUGGCAGGAGCAGCAACUGUUAUACCCUCAGGUAUGUGUCAUGGGGAUGCUCUCCUAGCAGCUGGCUGUGGCCGCUCAGGCUGGUCAACUCUAUAAGCUGUCAUGUUGUUCCAUUUGUCGAGAGUAAAUAGCUCACGACAAAUGCGUUUGUGCUCCAACUGAGGCUCAAAAGGAUACCCCAAGUGCUCCAGAAUUUGGUAUAGCAGCCUUGGAAAGAGGAGGGGAAUGGUAUCAGCCCUCUGAAGCUUCUUUUUGUGUACUUUCUCUUCGAAAUAGAGAAGGGCUGUCAGAAUUAGAUGAUGAGGCCCAAAGAAAAAUCCCUCAGACAUCUUGUACAGGGCUUCUAAGAGGACUCCUCUUCUUUGAGUCCAAUGCUGCAAUGGAUAGAGGUUAUGACGCAAAAAUGCAUCAAUCAGAAACAUGAUUGGAGGAAGCUCCCCCUCAACAGAUGUGAUCGCGUAGCAGCUCCUCUGGACAGGGUGUGCACCAUCUCUAGUUCAGUAUGACUGGUCCAAGCUUUAAAAUUAUCGAAUUGGCUUGGCUCGUAGGGAAUUUGCAAGGCUUCAGCUAUAUGGCGAGCUCCCAGCAUGCCAUGCCUCCCAUCAAUAGUGAAAUGAAUUAAAGUUGGAUCCCUGACCUGUUUGGUUGUCAUGGAUUGAUAGAAAUCCAUGGCUAUCCUGGGGUAGAAAAAGUCUCUUGGAGUCAGUAGGUGCUCCAUGUGGUAUCUCCUCAGCAAGUUGAAUGACUGUGCAAGCUCCGACUGAAAUCGGAAUGUGGCUAUGUCAAAGCAUAGCUCGGAGUGGAAUAACCGACCUCUACAAUCCAAAUUUCCCUCAAUUGGGGGCUGAGUUAGCAUUGGCCGCCUGAUUACUUCUUCCAGAGCUAUUUCAGAUGGAAUUUGGGGCUCGGGAAGUGGCGGCUGAGGCUCCUGUGGUUCUGCUUGCGGCGCCGGAGAUGGCACCGGAGGCUGAAUUGGCGAGGGAAUCGGCGAGAGAAUUGGAGUUGGAACCGGCGAGGGCUCUGGAGAUUGCUCAGUCAAGUCAAUGGGUUAUGAGCUUUCAACCCUGGGUCUCUUUUGCAGUGGCCGACCCCCUGACUUGGUAAGGUAACGCCUUGCCGGAGGCUUUGGCGGCGCGGACUUCACCGGAGGAGGAACUGCUCUUGGCUGCGAAGGCUCAGAAAUUGGCUCCUUUCGCAAGCUUUUCUUGCGGCUUGAAGGAGAGGAAGACUUGGCCCCUCUGGUUCAGGCCAUUUCGGGUUGCCGAAAUUUGGCCGGAACGGAUGAUCGGGGAAGAUGACUGGAGGCUUGCGCGGUGAGGCUCAAGGAAGGAGAUGAACAGCCUGCGAGAAUGGCGCGCUCUAUUUUGAAACCCUUUUCGCAGCUCAAAUGACCGGUAUAUAUAGUAAUAACGGAAGACUAAGGGUCAGUUUGAGUUUCGCAGAAAAAUGUCAAUUUCGCAGCAAAACGCCAUUUUCGCAGCCACUUCGCAAUGCGUUUCGCAGCUGCGAAAUGAAUGUAACUGUGCUGCGAAGUGGCACACGUGUGCCAAAAUCGCUUUCGCAAUUGCGAAAUACCCUAUGGAAUGGGACUUUUGUUGCGAAAUCUGGGCUUUACCGCUUCGCAACUGCAAAAUGGGGGCUCCUGUGCUGCGAAGUGGCACUCGUGUGCCAAACUCGCCUUUGCAGCUGCGAAAAUUCUCGCAGAGAAUCCCAAAGUGUUGCGGAAUGGUUUGGCAACAAAAUGCUCAAUUCGCAGAAUAUUUCUUUAGGUUGCGAAAUCUCGCAGAGCUCUGUUUUUGCUCUGUUUUUACUCUGUUUUUGCUCCGAUUUCGCUCCGAUUUUUUUCUUUCAAUUUCUUUGCAUUUUCUUCCACCUGGGAUCAUUCAAAAAGAUUAAAACACACAUAAAAACAUGAUUUAAGAUCAAAAACUAAGAUCAAAAGUAUGGAAAAAAACUUGGAAAUUUACAAAAUUUACAAAAAUUUUGGACUGUGGUAAAACCACGUCCACCAAAACCUUCUUUGCUUAGGCUUUUUGUGGUUCAAGGAGGUUUAUUUCCUCCUUUUCUGGUUUGAAUGGCUCCAUGAAUGGCUUGAGACAAUAUCCAUUGACUCUAAAGGUGUCUUUGCCAUUGGAAUUCAAUAAUUCCACCACUCCAUUAGCAAAUAUUCGGUGAAUAAUGAACGGGCCUAUCCACCUUGACUUGAGCUUCCCAGGAAAGAUAUGGAGUCUUGUGUCAUACAGUAAAACUCUUUGCCCUUUCUGAAAUUCCUUGUUGGAGAUUAGUUGAUCAUGCCACUUCUUCAUCCUCUGUUUUGCAACUUUGGAAUUGAUAUAAGCAUUAUUUCUUAAUUCCUCCAUCUCAUUAAGGUCUAGAUAUCUCUUUUCUCCGGCUCUGAUCAAGUCCAUGUUCAGCUUCUUUAUUGCCCACCAAGCUUUGUAUUCAACUUCCAUAGGGAGAUGACACGCUUUGCCAUAGACAAGACGAUAGGGAGACAUGCCAAGAAUAGUCUUAUAAGCUGUUCUAUAUGCCCACAAUGAAUCAUGAAGCUUAAUAGACCAAUCCUUUCUGCUGGAGUUCACUACUUUCAUCAAUAUAUUCUUUAUUUCCCUGUUAGCUAGCUCAACUUGCCCGGAAGUCUGAGGAUGAUAAGGUGUAGCCACCUUAUGCUUCACUCCAUACUUGGAUAACAGAGCUUCAAAAGGUUUGUUGCAAAAAUGAGCACCUCCAUCACUGAUUAUGGCUUUGGGCACCCCAAAUCUUGAGAAAAUGUUCUCUUUAAGAAACUUGAGAACCACCCUGUGAUCAUUUUGUUUACAGGGGAUUGCCUCAACCCAUUUAGAAACAUAAUCCACCCCCACCAAGAUGUAAGAAUUACCAAAAGACAUUGGGAAAGGUCCCAUGAAGUCAAUGCCCCAUACAUCAAAUAACUCAACUAUUAGAAUGGGGUUCAUAGGCAUUUGAUUUCUUUUUGUUAACUUUCCAAGCCGUUGGCAUCUAUCACAACUCCUACACAUGAUGUGGGCAUCUUUAAAAAGAGAUGGCCAAGUAAACCUUGAUUGCAAUACCUUCAUGGCUGUUUUCUGAGAGGCAAAGUGGCCUCCACAUGCAUUCUCAUGACAAUGAGAUAGAAUCCCUUGCUGCUCAUCUUCAGGGACACACUUCCUUAUUAUCUGAUCUGCACAAUACUUAAAAAGAAAGGGCUCUUCCCAAUAAUAAGCAUGAAUUUUGGCAAAGAAGUGUUUCCUGUCCUGUGCAUUCCACUCACUUGGAAUUUCACCAGUUACUAAAUAAUUAGUAAUAUGAGCAUACCAAGGAGUUUUCACUAGGAACAUGAGUGAUUCUUCAGGAAAAUCAUCAUUAAUAGGCAAAGGAUGGGAAUUAUGUGUUAUAACUAACCUCGAAAGGUGGUCAGCUACCACAUUCUCCACUCCUUUCUUAUCUUUGAUUUGGAGAUCGAAUUCUUGUAACAGAAGAAUCUAUCUAAUCAACCUUGCUUUUGCAUCUUGCUUUGUCAAUAAAUACUUCAAGGCUGAAUGGUCAGUGAAGACAAUGAUGAAAGACCCCACUAAAUAAGCACGAAAUUUGUCCAAAGCAAAUACCACAGCUAACAAUUCUUUCUUUGUAGUUGUGUAGUUCCUUUGAGCUUCAUUCAAUGUUUUACUUGCAUAGUAAAUCACAUAGGGCUUCCCGUCUUCUCUUUGGCCAAGCACAGCUCCUAUAGCAAAGUCACUGGCAUCACACAUCAGUUCAAAAGGUAAUUGCCAGUUAGGGGCUCUCACUAUUGGAGUUGUUGUUAAAAAUUUCUUCAAUUGAUCAAAGCUAACAACUCACAAAGAGGUUUUGAAAGACUUGAAAAACCUUUAAUAAAUCUCCUAUAGAACCCUGCAUGGCCAAGGAACUGCCUUACUCCUUUUACAGUUGUUGGGGAUGGUAAUUUGACAAUAAGCUCCACCUUUGAUUUAUCAACUUCAAUGCCUUUUUCAGAGAUGAUAUGGCCAAGGACAAUUCCUUGACGUACCAUAAAAUGACAUUUCUCCCAGUUGAGCACCAGGUCUUUUUCAAUGCAACUGUGAAGAACUGCUUCCAAAUUAACUAAGCAUUCCUCAAAUGUACCUCCAUAUACGAUGAUGUCAUCCAUGAAAACCUCCAUAAUUCGCUCCACCAUAUCACUGAAAAUACUCAACAUACAUCUUUGAAAUGUAGCAGGUGCAUUGCAUAAACCAAAAGGCAUUCUCCUGUAAGCAUAUGUUCCAAAUGGACAUGUAAAAGUGGUCUUUUCCUGAUCUGCCACAUCAAUUUCAAUCUGAAAAUACCCUGAAUACCCAUCCAAGAAGCAAUAGAACGGAUGUCCAGAGACUCUCUCCAGCACUUGGUCAAUAAAUGGCAAUGGAAAAUGAUCUUUCCUGGUUACAACAUUCAACUUUCUAUAAUCAAUACACACCCUCCAACCUGAAGUGAGGCGUGUAGUAAUUUCUUCUCCUUUUUCAUUUUGAACCACUGUGAUCCCUGACUUCUUUGGUACCACUUGAGUAGGACUCACCCAAGGGCUAUCAGAUAUAGGGUAAAUGAUUCCUGCUUGAAGUAGCUUCAGCACCUCAGCUCGCACCACCUCUUGUAGAUGAGGAUUCAAUCUUCUUUGAAGUUGACGAAUUGGCUUUACUUCCUCCUCCAUAUAUAUAUGAUGAGUAAAACUAAAGGACUAAUGCCUUUCAAGUCGGAUAUUUGCCAUCCUAUUGCCUUCUUACACCUCUUGAGAACUUCUAUUAAACAAUUCUCUUGAUGAUUGGUCAGAGAUGAAGAUAUCACAACAGGACAUUGAUUAUUUUCUUCAAGAUAUUUAUAUUUCAGCUCCACAGGUAGAGGCUUCAGAUUGAGUUUUGGAAUUUCUUUUUCAGCAGCUGCCUCUUCUUCUUUAUUGAACAAAGGUAGAAUCUCUUCUAUCUUUCUCCAACUUUGUAGAGUAGCAAGCACAGUAGGAGAUUUAGACAAACCUUCCUCAAAAUCUACAAGACUUUCGUUCAACUUGUCUUGCAUAUUUUGAUUACAGUGCUCCUCCACCAAAGUAUCAAUAAUGAAUAGCUCUUCUGGACCUUCUUCUUCUUCUGGAGUGAUUUGCUUUUUAGACAUAUAGAAAAUAUUGAGAUCCAGUGUCAUGUUGCCAAAAGUGAGUUGCAUCAGCCCAUUCCUGCAAUUGAUGAUUGCAUUUGAGGUAGCAAGAAAUGGCCUUCCAAGGAUGAUAGGAACUAAAUUAGCUUCCUUUACAGUAGGAUCUGUAUCAAGAACAAUAAAAUCUACUGGAUAGUAGAAAUUAUCCACUUGAACCAAGACAUCCUCAAUUACCCCCCUUGGAAUUUUUACUGAUCUAUCUGCUAGAGAUAGAGUGAUUGCUAUUGGCUUCAAUUCCCCAAGUCCCAAUUGCUUAUAGACGGAAUAUGGAAGCAAAUUCACACUUGCCCCCAAAUCUAACAAGGCUUUUUCCACUAUCUUUCUUCCAAUCAUGACUGAAAUGGUAGGACUUCCCAGGUCUUUGUACUUCAAAGGAGACUUACAUUGUAAGAUUGCACUUACUUGCUCAGUCAAGAAGGCUUUCUUGUUUACAGUCAACCCUCUUUUGAUAGUACAUAAGUCCUUAAGGAAUUUUGCAUACGUUGGAACUUGUUUAAUCAUAUCUAGCAGUGGAAUAUUGACUUUCACUUGUCUCAAUACUUCAAGGAUUUCAGCUGCAUUUCUAAUUUCCUUUUUCCCAUGUAAUGCUUGAGGAAAAGGUGGAGAGGUUGAUUUCUUCAGCAUUUCUUCCUUCAGAAGUUCCUUCUCUGGAAUUGCAUUCAUUGUUGAAUCAGAGUCCUUCGUUUCUUCACUAAUCUCAUUCUCUUUAUCUUCCAUUUCCUUCCAUUUCUUUAUCUCUUCCUCUUUCUCCACAUAUGGCUCGGGUGUUGGCUUCUCAAUUUUUUUACCACUCCUUAGAGUGAUCAAGGCUUUGACAUCUUUCGUCUGCGAUGAUUCUCCCUCUUGGAUUUCCACUUCAUAGACACCUUUGGGGUUCUGGUGGGGUUGAGAAGGAAAUCUUCCCUUUUCUUGCAGUGUAUUCAAAUUUGUAAGCCUUGAAAUUGAAUAUUGGAUGUUAUCAAACUUUUGGUUCAUAUCAUUUUGCAUUCCAUCCAUCCUUUUAUUCAACAUACUCUCCACUCUGUCAAUUCUUUGAUAGAUUUGAGCAUUGGUGGCUUCUUGGUUUCCAAUAAAAUCUCCCACUACCUUGCUGAGAUUAGUCAUUGCUUGUUCAAGACUUGAAGAUUGUUGAGAUGGUGGAUCCGACUGUUGGUAUUGAGUUGCUCUGGCCUUCCAUGAGAAAUUUGGAUGAUUCCUCCAACUUGAGUUGUAGGUAUUUCCAUAAGGCGCAUUGUUAUUGGGUCUGAAUUGUCCAACAACAUUUGCUUGAUCUCUAAACAUUUCCCUUUCAGCUGAAAUUGCAGGGCAUUCCUCCACCAAAUGUUCAUAUGAUUGACAAUUAGGACACAACUUCACUUGCACUGAUGCUUCAGCAACAGCUUGCACUUCAUGAAUUCUUUUCAGCUCCAGCUCCUCCAAUCUUCUUGUCAUAGCUGCCAACUUUGCUUUCAUAUCAUCAUCUUCUUUCAAGGUAUACAUCCCAGCCUUUGCAUUGAAAGCACUUAGUUGAGACUUCAUCUUACCCACUUCUCCUUUGGUUGGUUCAUCCCAUCCCCUUGAAACAUCAGCUACAUAGCUCAAGAAAUCCAUAGCUUCCUCUGGAUUUUUGCUCAUGAAAUCUCCUCCACACAUUGUCUCGAGGAGUUGCUUCAUUGAGGAGGACAUACCAUCAUAAAAAUAGCUCACCAGUAACCAAGUAUCAAAGCCAUGGUGAGGGCAAGCAUUUAUAGCUUCCAUAUAUCUUUCCCAACACUCAUAGAAUUUUUCAUUCUCUUUAGCUGAGAAGUUUGAAAUUUGCCUUUUCAAGCCAUUUGUUCUAUGAGUGGGAAAAAAUUUCUUGAGGAAUUCAACUUGUAAGUCAGUCCAAGAACGGAUACUCCUUGGCCUUAAAGAAUUAAGCCAAAUUUUGGCUUUAUCCUUUAAAGUAAAAGGAAAUACAUCAAAUCAAUUGAAGCUCCUCCCUCUUGGAAUGUAUUACAAACAUCUUCAAAUUCCUUGAUGUGUGCAUACGGAUUCUCACUUUCCAUCCCAUGGAAAGUUGGUAGAAGUGGAACAAGAUACGGUCUGAUCACUAGCUGCUCUGUAGGGGGCACUAUACAUGAUGGUGCACUCAUACGAGGUGGAUGCAUGCGGUCCCUCAUUGAUCUGAAUUCAUUGAGAUUGUCUUGAUGACCUUGGUGACUAUGCUGAUCUUCAGGUGUAGCUUCCACGAUAUUCAAGCUCAAUUCGAAUUCGUUGUUAUGAGGUGUAUCACACUUAAAAAGCCUUCCUCCAUUGUCUCGUAUCCACUUUGGCAUACACAACUAGUAUCUAUCUACAACUUAAAUGAAAAUAAAGGACAACAACAGAAACAGGGCUACAACAACAAAAUUAAAAUAGGCUAAAUUUAAAAGAUAAACUUGGAUUAUGAAUAAAUAAAGAAAGAAUGAGAAUUAGUAAAGUGAAAGAAACGUUACCAAACUUGUGAUGGAAAUCACAAGUGCUCAAAAAUGGUAUCACUAUAAAAUUGACACCUUCCUCGGCAACGGCGCCAUUUGAUUCAUGCCUAAUUGGUGUGCCAGCUGAUUCGUGUCCAGCUGGUGCUCCUUGUUUGAGGGAGUAAUCAACAAAAUUUAUAACCUAUAACACCAUAUACUAGGGUAGCAAAGAAAAAGCUACUAUAGUAUAGUGGCUCUGGGAUCGUUCACUGGGAAGGAUUAACAAGCUAUCAAUGUUACCAAUUCAAAGUGAAUUGGUCUUGUUUCAUUUCAAGGUUAGCUUAAGAAAUAAAACACAAACUUUGAUUGGUAAAGAUUUAGACUUAAACUAACUAACACAACAAGUAAUGGGAAUAACUUAGGAAGAAAAACAUUCCUUGGAGAGUUAGGUUUACUGGGGUGGUUCCUCAUGCAAAAGACAUAACUCCGGGCAGAUGGUUCAUUUCCUCGCGUUAGAGAUUCAACAUAUAGUCACUUCUCUAACCGGUUUUGUACAGAUACAUCCUUUAAUUAGAUUUCAACUUUAAUUCUCUCACUGAUGCAACUUGCAAUGGUUCAAGCCUCUCACUAAGCCUUAACCAUUCAAGGUGAUCUUUAACCUUGGACUUCCCUUCUCAAGCUCGCAAGAGAUAACUAAUGGAUGUCUCCUUGGAGUCCAAAAGCUUACCAAGUGUUGGAAAUUCCAGAAAAUCCUACCUUAAAGUCACCUCCCAGAGGCUCGCAAGGGGUAAACUAGUGCAUUUCCAUGGUUGGAAAUCACUUGCCUUACCAAGUGUUGGCCCAGGUGACUCUAAGGUGUUUUAAGUUAACUAAAAACAUAGAAAUCACUAAAGGAUUUCACUUCCUCUUCAUUACUGGCUGAAACCACAAAGUUUGCAUUCUUGCACUUGGAACCUUCCCCGGCAACCUUAGCUCCAAGGAAUUAGAGGUUUAGUUACUCAUUCUCUGGGAAAACUCCUCAGAGAGUUCAUAACUUAGUAAGAAAAUAAAAAUACAAAGUGAGAAGGUAAGGCAAUACAAAGAAUUGAACUUUACUUGCUUACCCAAAACUUUACAAAAGGAUCUCUUCUCUGAGAACAGGCUCCCGAGAGGUACUUAUAUGAGCAUAAUAUAAAACUAAUUAUUACAUAGAUAUUUUCUCUUUUUACUAACUUAAAAGCUAAGGAAUCUUGUAAUUGGUGGCUUACAAGGAGUAUUUUGGGAUUUAGACAACAAAAAUCUGAUGUAAAAUAUCUCCCAAUGUCGGUAGCAAAUAUCGGGAUGCUCCAGGAACCAUUUCGCAAGAGAAAAUGGCGUCUGCUAGAUUUCGCAGACACUCAAGAAGGGCUGCGAAAUCACUUCGCAACAAAAAGCUAUUCUCGCAGGGCUGCGAAGUUGGCUUCCACCUUGAGGUUCUCAGCUCCCAGCUUGCGGCAUAUAUCGGGCAACUUCAGAGGGAAAUACACCCUACUGUACAAAAAGGCUACGAAAUCACUUCGCAACAAAAGGGUGAUUUCGCAGCACUUUGCAAAAUGCUUCCUUCAGCUUUGAGUGAUUGGCUUCCACUAGCUGCAACUUCUUCGUUUCAACUCCGAAUUGUGUACCGUUUGAAGCAUUGGAUUGUUGACUUCUUGAGCUUUGAAAUGGUAUAUAGCAUGCAUCAAUUGGAAUCCAGAAAAUGCUCCAAAAGUGGCUGCUACGACUGUCAUCAAGAAUAUGCUUCAUGGCAGAUUCUCUUUACUUUUUCUCGCAUUCCGGAUUCACUCUUGGCAAAUGACUUCCAAGCUUUGCCCAAGAUUCCUCAUAAUUCUCCUCAAUCUUGAAUUGCUUUGGUGAUCAAAAUACUAACAAAACACCAAAACCUACACAAAGUGAUUAAAAUUGCUUUCAAGGGUCCUUAACAUGCCAAUUGAGUUAAAAGGCCAAAACUACUACUCAAAAGUGUUUAAAAGGAUUAAUUAUAGGCUAUCAAAUAGCACUUUUUGAGUAGUAAUCAGGAUUUAGCCUAUGUUUUUAUAUUCAUUAUCAUUAUUUGUGAAUUAACUCAAUCUUCUUAUGAAAGCGUUUUAUAUGCUAUCAAGGUAUGCUUCCUCUUUUCCCUAUCUCCUUGUUUCUAUUAGUGUGUAUAUUCUAUUCUCGUGAUUGAUCUAUCUUGUCUCACUACUACAAAAAUAAUUUAUGAUGUCACUAUUUAUGGUGUCGCAUUUAUAAAUAAUGACACCAUUGAGCUUAAAAUUUAUAAAGGUGACACAUCAUAUAAAAAAUCUUCAAUUAGGGUAGUUAGAUGAUGCUAAUUUCAUAUUUAUGGUGUCAUUUUUUGGAAGUGACACCAUAUGAAAUAAAAAAAUUUUAAAUUUUAUAACUCAAUGAGCCCUUUUUUAAAAUAGUGAAUAGGAAUAAUUUAUGAAAAGUCCAUUGUUUCCAUAUAUACAUUAACUAAUAUAAAAGAUCUUAUUGCUUAACCCUAACCAUUGUUUUCUUCUCCUUCUUAUCACACCCAUGGUCGGCACACCCAUAAUUGAUAUUCUUUGCUUCGUAAAAUCUCGGGUAAGUCAAAACCCUUAUCUAUCAUCUUCAUUUUUUUUUAUUAAUGCAAAAAUCUUUGUUAAUAUAAUUGUUUUAUAUCUCUUGAUUUAGUAUAUAUAUGAUGUGGGUUUUGUAAAUGGUGUUUUUAUCGAGUUCCAGGGAAGUAAAAACUAGGUUUAACAUUCUAACAUAUUUUUCGUUUCAUUGCUAAUAAGCCCCAAAACAAAUGAAAACAAGAAAAAUGAAUGAUUUUUAAAAUUUUUGUCUAAUUGAGAAUGAGAGAUACACUAGUUUGUAGUAAUUUUUCACAUGAAAUAAUAUUUUAUUGAAGACUUGACUAUAUAGUGUAUUGGUUGUAAUUUUUCACAUGUGAAAAUAUUUUAUUGAAGACUUGACUAUAUUUGAUACCUUUUUCCAUCGUGCUAGGAGCUUUAUGGUGAAGUCUAACAACAGAGAUUGACAUCUACUACAAGAUGAUGCUCAAUUAAUCCAAAAGCACUUAAGCUAUUUAGGGUUUUCUUCGGUUAACCUAAGAAAACAUUCCCACUUUCUUUGUAUUGAGUCACCUAAAUGGAAUAGAAUAUUGAGUAUCAGAGUGGUAAAGGGUAUUAUAAAUAUGACUUUUUUUUUAGAGUCACCUACAUGGAAUGAAUUAUUGGUAGGUGAACAAAAUAUUGGGAUGAUUGUAAUAGUUGAAUUAGUAAAUGGAAGAGAAGUGUAUGUUGCUUUGUUUAUUCUAUAAAAACAAUAAUUUUAGUAGUUGAAAUUUACAUGCUUUGUUGUUUUAUAAAAACAAUAAUUUUAGUAUUUGAAAUUUUAAAAUGUGAAUGAAAUGCCUGAAAAUAUGUUUUGAAAAAUAGGAUAGUAAUAAAUGGAAAAUAGCUCAUUUCCUAAAAAUAUUUUGAUAAAUUAAAAUAAUCUGUGGUUAAAAUAUAUUUUUGUGAAAGUAUUUAAAAAUGAAUCAAAAUAUUAAUAAUUGUUAUUUUGUUUGAAAGUAAUUUAGGAAUAUAAAAUAAUAUUGGGGAUAACUUUUAAGUUUAAAUUGGGUUAUAAAUGGUUAAUUUUUUUAGGACUAUCUUUUUUGAAAAUAAUCCAGUGAUAAUUUUUUAAAAUAAGAAUGUUGAAAAUAAUUUUAAAAAUAAAAUUUUGUUAGCAAUGAUUUUUCUAAAAGUAUUUUAGGCAUAAAUGGAAAUUUCUUGUAUGAAAAUAAGAGAAUUUAUAUAUAUAUAUAUAUAUAUAUAAUAGACAUAAAAAUAUGCAAAUGCGACUCGGAGGUGAACAAGACUCAACUCAAUCUGACAAAACAAUGACCGAUCGAUAUAGGUGUGGUCCCGACUCAAAUUGAACACAAACGGAUAGAAAGAUGGUCGAUCAAUAUGGGUGCGGCCCCAACUCAAACUGACACGACGAAUGACCAAUCGAUAUAGGUGCGGUCCCAACUCAAACUAAAUCGAAACUGACAAGAUGAAUGACCGAUCGAUAUAGGUGUGGUCCCAGAAACUGAACUAACAUGACAAGGAGAUGACCGAUUGAUAUAGGUGUGGCCCCAAACUCAGACUAACACGGAAAAUGACCGAUCGAUAUAGGUGCGGCCCUAAACGCAAACUGACAAGACAGUGACCGAUCGAUAUAGGUGCGGUCCCGACUCGAACUGAACAUAAACUGAUAGAAAGAUAGCCGAUCGAUAUAGGUGCGGCCCCGAAAACUCAAACUGACACGACGAAUGACCGAUUGUUAUAGGUGCGGUCCCAACUCAAACUAAAUUGAAACUGACAAGAUGAAUGACCGAUCGAUAUAGGUGCAGUCCCGACUCAAACUAAACACGAAAAGUGAUAGGAACAUGGCCAAUCGAUAUAGGUGCGGCCCCGAAACUCAAACUGACAUGAAAAUUGACCGAUCGAUAUAGGUGCGGUCCCGACUCAAACUGAACAUGAAAAGUGAUAGGAACAUGGCCGAUCGAUAUAGAUGCGGCCCCAAAACACAAACUGACAUGGAAAAUGACCGAUCGAUAUAGGUGCGGUCCCGACUCAAACCGAACACGAAAAAUGAUAGGAACAUGGCCGAUUGAUAUAGGUGCAGCCUCGAAAUGCAAACUGACAUGGAAAAUGACUGGUCGAUAUAGGUGUGGUCCCGACUCAAACUAAAUACUAAAAGUGAUAGGAACAUGGCCGAUCGAUAUAGGUGCGGCCCUGAAACGCAAACUGGCAUGGAAAAUGACCGAUCGAUAUAGGUGCGGUCUUGACUCAAACUAAACAUGAAAAGUGAUAGGAACAUGGCCAAUCGAUAUAGGUGCGGCCCCGAAAUGCAAACUGACAUGGAAAAUGACCGAUCGAUAUAGGUGCAGUCCCGACUCAAACUGAACACGAAAAGUGAUAAGAACAUGGCUGAUUGAUAUAGGUGUGACCCCGAAAUGCAAACUGUCAUGGAAAAUGACCGAUCGAUAUAGGUGCGGUCCCGACUCAAACUAAACACGAAAAGUAAUAGGAACAUGGUCGAUCGAUAUAGGUGCGGCUCCGAAACGCAAACUGACACGACGAAUGACCAAUCGAUAUAAGUGCAAUCCCAACUUGAAAAUUCAAACAGACAAGAUGAUGAAUGACCUAAUCAAAUGGCCCAAAGCCAAAGGAUAACCUAGAUAACGAUGCAAGAAAACUCGGCCAGAGGGGAUAUGCCCUAGUCUGACAACUCAUGAGGAUCAACAACUAGGUCAAAAGAUAAUGAAGCAUGUGAAAGGUCCUAUGAUCUUAGGGAAGGAGGGUAUGCCCCAGUAUGCAACUCGUGGGGGUCAACAACUAGAUCAGAAGGUGAAUGAAAGUCUACUGAAAGGUCCGAUGCUCUCAGAGAAGGGGGUAUGCCCCAGUAUGACCACUCGGAGGGGUCAACAACUAGAUCGAAAAGUGAAUGAAACCUGUGGAAGGUCCGAUGCUCUUGGAGAGGGGGUAUGCCCUAAUAUGAUGACUCGAAGGAGUCAACAACUAGAUCAGAAGGUGAAUGCAGCCUGUGGAAGGCCCGAUGCUCUUAGGGAAGGAGGAUAUGCCCUAGUAUGCAAUGAUGAACAGACAGAUAUGCAAAAUGCCUCAAAACUAUUGUACUCUGAAAUAUGCUCAUCCAUCAUGUAAUGAAAAUGUCCAAUCUCAGAUAGGUAAUGCCAAACAAGACCAUGUAUCGUGACACCAUGCUGACAAAACAAAACUAAUUAGUGAAUAACAAUAAUAAUGAUCAGUGCUCAAAAUGCAAAAAGCAAGCAAAUCAAUACUUAACAUGCCAACUGUCAAAGUGAAAACAUCGUCACUAAUAAGUCAACAAUCUAUCAGGCCCUGCCAUCAUGGAAGAUAUUGAACCUAAAGUCUGAAAGAUGUAUGAAAACAACACCAAGAUGAUUGAGGAUUGAUCUACAUCUCCUCCUAAUCAAGAGAGGGGUGAGGUCAUGUGUCACGAUGGGAUGUGUAGGAUAAAAGAAGGUGAUGAUCAAGCUCUGGUAUGAUAGAAGGCAUGAGAGUAUCUAGGGUGAAAUGUCUGAGUACGAGAUGAAAGGUAUGUAAGUAUUCGAGAUCAUCCAAGUAUGCCGAGAAGACUAGCCCAAGGCGUCAAUAUCUCCAUAAUCCAUCGAAAGCUGCAGUCACGAACAGAAAAUCAAGUGUCGAUGUCAAAACCUCCAACAAGGUGGCUAUGCCCCAAUAUGCAAUGAGGACAACAUGAAAUAAUCCAAUGAUCUCCAUAUCACUUGUUAGAUACUCCAAUGUCAAGAAUCAAUCUGAUCUCCCUCCAAAAGAUGGAUAUGCCCUAGUGUACAAGAUUCGAUAGGGUGAUUAUGCUCCAAUAAAAAAUACUCUCCAUCUCGUCUAUACCCCAGUGUAAAGUAGUGUAUCCGAACUGCUGAGGAAUACCAUGCCUAGUACGGGUCAACGAAUCAAUCAAUCUCUACUCCUGGUGCUAACAAUGGAAACAUCUCAACAUAAUCCAUAUGAAUCAAAAUCUCCGGGCUCUAUGAAUGUGAAUGAGGUGGCUAUGCCCCAGUAUAAACCAGCUGAAGUGACUAUGCUCUAAUGAAAAAUCAAAGUCCAUCACCAAUGAGAGGGAUACGCCUCAAAAUAAAUCGUCAUCUAAAAAAUCAACCAUCAAUGAGUAGAGUGUGGCCCAAUGCAAAGUAUCGAGUAGAGUGACUGUAUCUCCAAUAAAAGUGCUCUCUGAAAUGGUUGUGCCCCAGUGUAGGGUCAUCCCACAACUCCUGAUCCAUUAUAAUCCAAGUGAAAAAGUGAACUAUCUAUACCUCAGUGCAAGGCAUCAUCCCAAAAGAAAACGUCAUCAAUGAGCGGGGUAUGCCCCAGUGUAGAUAACGUCGCCUAUGAAAAUCCAUCACUAAUAAGAGGGGUAUGCCCCAAUGUAAAUCAUCAUCUCAAUUCCCCAUCCAUCACACUCUAAGAAAUAAUCUCCAACCAAACUAGAGUAUUGCCCACGUGGGAGCUGUCAAACAUAAGGUGAAGUAUUAGCCUUAGGGUGGUCUUCAAACACGGGACAUAACGUAGGCUAAGGUAAUAGGGUGAAAGAAAUGAAAAGAAACUAGGCUCAAAGAUCCCAAUGAUAUAAUCCCCAUACCCCUCGUGCAUGAGAUGCAAUGCGUAGAAAAUGUCAUGAGUCCCGGACCUAGGGGUCCCCACUUAAAAAGUGAUGAUGAAUGAAUGGUCACAUCGAAUAAGCAAGAAUAAAGUGUGGAUGUUAAACCCAUGUCAAACAUCAAACAGGAUGAGAAAAGAAAGAUAAAAGAUGAGGUAGAGUGAAACGAAGGAAUAAAAUAAAGAUAGAAGAAGGCGAAGAGAUAGAAAAAUGAGUGAUGGUCAACCUACAUCAAAGCAUGGAAAGUAGUCACAUCUAAAAUAGAUAGAAUGAUGGAUAGAGCAAGGAUUCGAAGAUACUAAAGAAAAUGUUGCUCGUCUCUCUCACAAAAAUCGAAUGAGCGACUCAUACUAUCACCCAAAACAUAUACCAAGAUAGAAUCUCAGAAAGAAGCUCUCAUAUGAACUCUCUCUAACACAUGAACUCAAUGAAGCAAACUGGCACAUCCAUACACAUGCCCAAUGAAGAAUGAUAAAAUGAACAAUGCGCUAUCCUUUUUUUUUUUUUUUUUUGCGCAUACUCUGAUCAAUAGUGAAUGAUCUCCCAUGAAAUACAUAGCCAAAUGAAUAAACUCUCCCCAUGUACUGAUGUAACAUGAAUCCUCACUAACAAGACAACCACUCAAAAUAAGAUAUCUGAACCACUGCUUAUAAGGCGAACAGAGGGGAAGAACGUGACAAUCUUCCAUGCAGUGACGUGUGAGAAACCACCACUCAAGGUGAAACAAGGAUAAUGUCGAGUAAGUAAUGAUGAAAGAAAAGACAAAGAAUGAAUAUCACAAGUGGUGAUAUGUGAUAUCGGGAAAUAGUGAUGAAAUGAUGUCCAAGUGGAAAAUAUCACAAUGAAGAGUGAGGAAUGAGACAUGAAUAUGUAUGUCAGGUCUAGAACUCAUGACGUAUCCAAUCAUAGCAUGCAAGCACUAUAGGGUCCCCAACCCAGUGUAAUAGGCAAAUGAGGUGAUGAAAGAAAAGGCUACAAUGCUCGUGUAAAGCUCAAAGGGCUAGCAACAGGUAACUCUAUAUGUGAGGGUGAUAUGGUAAACAAGCUCCUGAAAUGAUGGCCACCCAUCCUACGACCACAACCUCGAACAUCGUGCUUUCAAGAUCUCACAUGGUAAAUACUAAAGACUAGCACUCGUCCAACAUAGUCAUGGCGACUCCUCUGAAAUCGUGUGAAAGCUCUCACUGAUGCUCUAUGAUAACCAUCAAUGUCCUCUGAUAAUCAUCUCACUAUAUCAUUAUAUGCCACUCGCCAUCGUCUCGUAAAAUAACUCUCUCUGAUCAUACCAAAACACUUGAAGUCAUGUGUAACGACUCAAAUCUGGAUACUCCCUGAUGAUCCCUCUGCCUCAGCAAUAUCAUCAAGAAUUCAAACCACUCUCUCAUCGUGAUCCAUCCAUCAUCAUGCAAAGCUCACCUCAGGUCUAACCAUCUCGGACUCUACCUGGUCAGAUCAAGGAAAUGAUGGAAAGAAUAGGCAAUGGUACUAUAGUAUACAAAGACGAAUAUGAAUGGUAAGGUCGUAUAAUGGUAUCAAGGGGUGGUGUCAUGUCGAGCUCAAAAUGGGUAGUUCAUCAAGUCCACAAAGUCAGGGUAUGGAUAUGGAUAUGGUACUGCUCUGAUCAGAAAGUGAAAUGAGUCAUAGUCUUGAACUCCCUAGGUCGAUCUCCUGAUCCUAGGUCAAAAGGCUCAAUAUCAUCCAUGAUAGGUCAAGCCAGAGUGAUCAUGAUGUAUAAGUGAAAAGAUGUCUCAUAUUGAAAUCAUAACACACAUCAACACAAGAUAUGUAAAGCACACUCACGAGAAAAAUGUCACAUACUCAGAUAAAAGAUCAUAUCACUAAAUGAACCAAUGAGUACAUCAUGUGUGAAACGAAAAAGGACUACAAACGACUGGACUCUCAACAUGAAAAUAUAAACAAUGACCCUAAACCAAAACCACACUUAACAAAACAAAAACAACUCUGAUGAACCAAAAACUGGACUCGACAAAAUGGAAAUGACUCUGAUGAUGACCAUAAUAAAAAAUGAAAAGUGCUCUGAGUUGAACUGCUACCAAAUGAUGUACCCAAUGUCGACUGAUCCAAGUCCUUAACCCGGGAUGUCCCAAAAUACCAUGCGACAAUCAAUACCAUCAACAUCCAAAUCAAUCUACUGAAGACUAAGAGGAGGAGGAACUACAUGUGUAGAAUGCGUAGGCAGAGGAUUGGUGGUCACACUUGGCCCAGCCAAGUUGACCAACCCUGAAUCGAUCAAGUCCUGUAUCGCAUGCUGGAGUGCCGAACAACGCUCAGUAUCAUGUCCCUGAGUCUGAUGAUACAAGCAAUGCUCAUGGGAGCAAAAAUGUGGAGGAAUAGGAUGUGGCAAAGGGCGUGGCGCCAAAGCAACGAUCAAACCACCAUCUCUGAGCUUCUCAAAAGCUCUAGUCAAAGUCAUGCCCAAUGGGACAAACUGUCUCGCGGGCCUCUGUGCAUAUGGUCUAGGCGGUGGGUGAGUAGCGGCUCUCGGAUGUGAUGGUCGUGGUUGCAUAGUUGAGUCUUGUUGAUUUUGAGUCACCAUCUUUACGUUUUUUUUACGUUCAGAGUCAUUUCUCCUCAACUGUAUCAUUUAGGGUCACAGUUCUUGGUAUUCAUAUUCACUGGCAUUGCACAUCUAACCUUCAUGGUUUUGCACUUGUCCUCAUUCUCCUCACCUCAUUACCCUGUGCUUAUCGCUUAUUCAUCAUUGUUCUUCCAUAUUUUCCCUUCCACUACACAUGACGCAAUCCUUUGAGUUCAGGGCACAUAUUUUGGUCAUGUUGAUGGGCACCCUACGCCUAGCAUUCUCAUGUGAUACACGUAUAAGAGUCUCCUUUGGACGCAUUCUUUCUUGUAUUUCAGGGUGGUUUGACUGUUACUCAUCUUUGAUAUUGAUCCUCGAGUCACUUUUGGAGACGUCUUAGAGGGAGUUUGGGUCUUUAGUGUGGCUUUAGAGGCAUUUUGAGACAUCAUUUUCUCUUAGGAUUAGAGCCUUUUUGUCCAUCUGUUGGCCUGAGUGAAUUCAUGUCUCACUAACAUACUUUUGAGGGUCUCCUUUGUUCUUCGGUAAAGUCCACUUCAUUCCACUCAUUAUUCAUACUUUCUUUUCACUUCAGUGUUCAUAUUCCUUGUACUCAUGAGCUCUACCGAAGAUGGGUAUUUUAGGGAGCAUUCUUUACCACCUUUCCUAUUUUUGGCAACACGUGCAUGAGAGGGUGGAUAGGCAGUGUUAUUUUUUGGAGACAAUCAGCGGAUGACGUGUGGCAUGAGAAUCUUCAAGGCAUUGUGGUGGAGCGGGUCUGUUAUGCAAAAGCUGCAGGGGAGAUAUUGGGAGGGAGGAGGUUUUGCUUGAGAAGGAAGCUACCAGAGGGAAGCUGAGGGGGGUUUUGGUUAGAGAGAGAGAGGUUUUUCUGGAGAGAAACCAGAGGAGAGAGUGGCUUGAGAGAGGAAGAAAGAGUUUGAAAAGCAAGUCUGCUUAAGGAGAAGGACUGGAGAAAACAAGCUAGGUGUCUGAAAAGGGUUGGAGCAGAAAGUAAGUCGUAUCAUCUUCGCUUAAGGGCUCAGGAAUGGCCAUUAUGAGCAUUUUCACUUUGCAUAUCUUAAUUUUCCUCCCUUGACAUUGUUGAUCUUAAGCAUAAUUUGUUGGGUUUUUGUUGACCUGAAGCUCAUAUUAUACUUGCUCUACUUUGUCCUUUCUCGGGUUUCUCUGUUUUCUCUCUUAGAUGACUGAGGUAUGGUUUACUUUCUUUAAGCUUGAUGUUUGAUUAAAUACACAAAAGGUUACUGCGUGUCCCACCAGUUGGCAUCCCGUUCAUCAUUCAUGAAAUGUGGCUUUGCCUGAAUAUUCCUUAGGUUUUAUGAUUUUCAUUUUUUUUUCUUUUAAACAAAUUCAUCCUUCACACCUCUCUGCUCUCAUGAAACUAAUUGUGGAAUGCCUUGAUUUCUGUUUCGUCAUCUGAGAGAAUAUUGGAUGCUUCAGACUUGGUGUAUGAUUAUUGCUUGAAGUCACUUGGCUGGGAUAUUAGAAAUGCCCUGGCUGCCACGAAUGAAGACAUUGGUGAAUUCAAGCGUAUUGACGUUCUAUUAGACAGUGUUCACAGCGGCGGUGCUGGAGUUUUCAGGGGCGUUGCUGUUGGGAAUCCAUGUAACCAUAUAUAUCACUCAGGCUGUACUGUUCUUUGGUUGAUUCAGCACAGUUCAUGCCUUGUUUGUCGUCAGGAGUUGCCUUCAUAAGGUCAACAAAGUUUAGAUGGUGGGUCAUUAACCACUAAUCUACAGUUUUAUGAUCCGCGACACGGAGAUCCUUGCCAAGCACACCGGAAUUUGCAUGGUCCAGCUGCUGGUGCAGCACUUGCAGGCUGUAUGUAUAUAGGCAUGCUUGCUUUCAUUAGGGCAACUGGCACAAGGGACGGUGUUUCUGUGUUAGGUCAUGUAGUGUGUGAGAUUUUUCCACCUCUAGGAUCAGCUAGCAUGGUCUUGCUAAGUGCCACGUCGGGAUUGACGGCUUCCAUGGGAAAAUCUUUAAAAUGCUAUUCCAUUGUUUGUGAUGUUCUUCCUGUCAGCCUUACUAAUUACCAAUUGAUUAAUCAUUUUCUGAGGUGUAUUUGUUGGUUCGCUAGCUGAAAACGGUGAUGCAAAGGGUGAUUUAAGGCUCGCAAACGACGCCGAUAUGCUGACCAGGAUCUGUGAUAGUUGCUGAGGCAGAAGCUGCCAUGAAGCGAACUACACUCGUAGACAACACUUCAAAUAUGCCUGUGGCUGCUCGUGAGGCUUUAAUUUAUACUGGUCACUAUAAGUGAAUACUUCGGAGAUAUGGGCUACAAUGUCAGUAUGAUGGCAGAUUCAACAUCUCGCUGGGCAGAAGCAUUGCGAGCAAUAUUGUGACGGCUGGCUGAGAUGCUUGCGAAUGGCAGAUAUCCUGCUCAUUUGGCAGCGCGUUGAGCUAUCUUUCUAUGAGAGUGUUGGCAAAGACAUGAGAGUCAAAAGGUACAUUUCCCAGAAGGAAUUCAGGCUUGGAAGCACCAGCAACCAGGAUCAGGAUGAUUCUCUACUGUUUACCCUUCUAUGGGAUCUAGUUAUCAGCAAGAAGAAAAGAAAAUAUAGUGAGAAAUCAGCAGUAAAGCCGCGAUCAGGGUCAUUUGGGCCUGUGUCAUCCAUGAGUAUGGGUCGUAGUAUUAGAAGCCCAGGUUCAUGUUCAAUGUAGAAGGAUUGAAUAUCAAUUUAACACGCUACACAUCAAGAAGCAUGGGAUAGAUAACUUACUCAAUAGGCCAAUGGCGGCGUCAGUGGAGGUGGCAUGAUUGAUUGAGCAAAUCUGGCGAAGAGGAUGAGAACAGAUGUCAAUGUUAUCAUCAAAAAGCUUAACAAAGGUUCAUCAACUAUGUUCUAGAGUUUCUUCUGGCAUCAUUAAACUGGCGUGACGGCAAUUUGAGGGAAAUGCUAUAGUUCCCAUGAUGAUUUGGUAUUGAUCUAGACAUAACAUAUCAUGAUGAGGUCAUAUGGAUCUUGCUACUUCAGUUUACCCUGUUGACUGCAUCAGUGGCAUAUAUCAAGGUAAAAACCAGUUUAAUAAGUUGGAGGAAUUAAUCUGGUGUCGUUUGAAUUUUCAAAAAGCUAUAAAACAUCAAGAAUCCUUUGCAUCCAAAAUCCUUUACCUGCUUCCAAACUCCUGUGUUAAGAUGAUUACAGUGGCACCGAGCACGCCACAGGUCUGGACUCUGAGCCCUUAACUCUGAUCUUCACUGGAAACAUUAUUCCUACCCAUGCAUGACAGCAUUCUCACAGAGAAGCAAUAGAUGAGCUGGUCGAGAAGGAAACUGGUGCAGCAUAUGGAUAUUAUGAAUAUAGUAUCAAUCUUUCAAGGAAUCCUAGCUUGGGAAUUGGUAGACCUAGUGAACAAAGACAUGACAAUGGAGAUGAAACAAAUGGGCAGAGAAGGAGCAAUCAACCGAAGAAGGUGUCAAACAGAGAGAGUCCUAACCAUGCAUGAGUAUACCAAGUUCAUCAACUGAAAGUCAUCUUCCAUAUUAUCCACGCCAAUCCUUCAUGCUACCCUCUUGUUUAUUAAGUUGCCUUCCAGAUGAGAAUCCCUCAAAAGACCCUAUUUUCCUCACGUCGUAACCGAGUCCUUCACUUUCUCUCUCUAAAACCCUCGUGCUAUCUCUAAGACUCUCUCGCUAAAACUCUCCAUUCCAUGAAAUUCUAGUUUUUCAACUCCCUAGCCAUAUACUGUCUCGUCACCAGUAUCGCUCCUAAGGUUCAGAUCACUUGGCACAGCACCCAUCAGAUCGGUAGUAGGCUGAACUGGGGCAAGAACCAUACUACUAAAGACAUCGAUUCGGGGUUGAAGUUCGAGCCUUAAUGCUACAGUCAAGAAUAUUUGUGCAAGCCUUGUGAAACAGGUUGCAAAUACCAUUAAUAAUGUGGCAAGAGAUGGUACCGCCUGUGCUACAGUCCUUACCCGAGCAAUGUUUACCAAAGGGUGCAAAUCGGUAGCUGCUGGAAUGAAUGCUAAGGGAUCUCGAACAAGGAUAUCAUGGAACGCCUCUGACCUCAUCUACCAGCUUUGACAGCCACUUCCACCAGUACCUGUGAAAUAUUCUGAAGCUCUGGGCUUUGACUAUAUUGUUCUAAACAGUAGUCAUCUGUAUCUAUUUGGGGAAGAGGAUCCAUUGGAGGAAUAUCUGAGAUGGAUCAGUUCGAAUGAAUAAAGGGUUUAAAGGCGAAUGCACAAGAAGGCAGAGGACUCUCCAUUCAGCUGAAAUCUAUGAUCCUAACAGGAAUGGAUGGAACAAGAAUUGAGAGAUCCUUUAACCUGUCGGGAUGCUGAUAUAGAAGGACCCUACUUUCAUGGAGCAUUUUCCUGAAGAAAAUUCUAGAGUUGACGUCAGCUUUAAUCAAGUAUCAAAAUUCUGGAAGAAGCAAAGAUUGGGAUCAAUCUCCUCCUGUGUUGACUUGUGCAUCACAUAAUUUGUUUGACGAUUUUGAUAGAAGCUUUAAACCUGUAGGGCCCAAGCAGUUCAAGAUGGUAUCGCAUAAAGAAGAUAUUUUCUCCUUGGCCAACCAUACUUAAAUGAGAAUGAUUUGACUGAAGAUGAGCUUGCUACCUUUUUAUGGUGCUAUGGGUUCAGCUGAGUACAAUAUGAUUGAUUUUCCUGAAGGCAAUUGGCAAUGGGCUGAUUCCACUUCCAAAGUUGAUGAAUGAGGCAGUGAUCCUGCAGAAGUAGAUUUAUAUGGCAGGGAUGAUGCAGAUUGAUAUGGUCAAGAUUCAAGUGGGAGCUAGGAAAUUGAGGUUUGAAAAUAAGGAAAUGCAUGUUGAAGCAAGAGAAAGGAAUACAUUAAGGAGUAGCAUGGAACCUUUUAGGCAUGGAUCUGGGCACUAUGGUUGGAUACCUUCAGAUGUCGCUUUAGUCAGUUCUGUGCUUAGCAAAGUGGCUUCAAAAAGCUCAUGGAAUGCUGCCAACACCUUCUCUGUCCCCAUCUCCAUGGUUGUCAUUCCUCAUCUCCUUCCACUUAUGCAUGGACUGGAAGGUCACCUCUAGCAUGGCCACUUUUUGAGCCAUGUCCCCCCCCCCUCCCCCCCCUCAAAUUCUUUCCCUUUGACUUUAAAAUAAUAAUUUCUUAACCCUGUUUUCAAAUGAUUUUCCAACUUCUAUUUUUUUUUAAUGAUUUCAGGUCAUCAAAUUUUCCAUCCUUAGAGUUUUUAGGUACCAACAUCCCAUUUUUAAUAAAAUUUGGUCGCCAUUUUCCUUCUGGCGAGCCAUUUUCGAAUUUUCUUUGAUUUUCAAAAUGUUUUAAAAUAAGUGUGAAUUUAUUUUUCAUAAUUCUUGGUGAUAGAAUUUACGAAAUUGAUUCACUCAAAAAUAAAUGGGCUUUGGUGGGAGCCCCACAUACGUGAUUUUAUGACUGAUUGAUUGAUCGAUUGGUUGUUUUGAUUGCUAUAUAUGAUUGAUUCAUUAUGUUCUAUGUUAUGCACAUGAUUACUCUGAAUUUGUUCACUAACCUUUGCUUCCCAUGAAAUAAAUGAGUUCAUCACUCAGGUACGUCCUUUGCCCCUCUUGUUCAUUCAGUUAUUUUUGUUUUGAGUGACAUUCACUUGGUAUCCAUUUACGGUUAAUCAAUUGCCAUGAUUGCUUCAUUUUAUUAGUAGAGACCUGACUUUAGGGACUUAGAGGGGUGUUACGGUCUUUAUCGUACCUUCCCGAUAAGUAACUUGACUCCCGAACUCGAUCCAGUUUUUCUCAAAUCACCUUUUCCAAAAUCAAGAGUCAUUCUUAGGGCUUUCUUUCUUAUUUUGUUUACCCUUUUAAAAAAUAAAACAAAAACAAGUGGCGACUCCAAGUCAUUUUCUAAUAAAUAAAAAUCAUUUUUCAAAAUAAAAAUCGAGCUCGCCAUCGAGUGGAAAACGCAUGAGCCGAAAUGAUAAUAGUUGAAAAUAUUUUUAUAUUUUGUUACUAAAAUUUUAUUUUAUAUAAUUGAGAUGAAAUUUAAUGGACAUUGUUAUUUCCCAAAAUCAACAUUAAAAAAAUAUUGAAAUUAAAAAAAAUUCUUCCAAGAAAUAUAUAUAUAUAUAUAUAUAUAUAUAUAUAUAUAUAUAAAGAAUUAGAUUUUAAAAAUGAUUUUUAAAAGCAAAAUGAAUUAUAAAAAUAAAUAAAUUUAAAAAGUGCAAAUUUUAAGUAGAAAAUUAGUAUUUUUUUAAUUUUAGAUUUAUAUUUUGAUUUUUUAGUUUUAAUUUAUUUUUUAUUUUCUUGAAUUGUUUUUAUUUGAGUUCAAAUGUGACUACUUUGUUAUGAGAUUCAUUAAAGAAAUAAUUGUUGAUUUUACAGUUAUUGCAUUAAAAGUUUUACUCAUUUAAUGAAUUGUACAUAAUUUCAUACUUCCAAUUAUUGUGAUAUUAAUGUUAUUCUCAUUUGAUUUCAGUUUGAUGACAAAAAGAAAACAUAUUCUCAAGUAGAAUUUGAUGAAAUUAGAGAAGAAUGGAUUACUUUUGUGUUUUAACUAAUCAUGAAUCAUAUUGAUGUAUCAUGAUCAUUCAUGGUGAGUCCCUUAGUUGUUAUAUGAUUGAAUUUUCCAUUGGUAUUGUAUAACAUUACUUAUUAUUUACGAACUAUUUUUAUAUCAAAAAGAGAGAAAGAAAAAAGAAAAAAGAAAAAAGAAAACAUUAGUACUUAGAUUUGUUUAUUGUUUAUAACAUCACAUUUUUAUUUUCAAUAAAAACUCUAAAACUCAUUAAACUAUGAAAUGCAGGUAUACACUCUUGGGAGGACAGUAUGCAGAAUAAAAAGAAAGGAGAAAAAGGCAACAAGAUUUAGGUUUUUAGAUAUGACUCUUAUGCCAUACAUUAUAGGACAUAAACGUUACUUUAUUUGGAAUUGAGAAUUUUGGGUUUUUGGAUGCAACUCUUGUGUCAUUUUAUGGUUAGCCGAUUUUAUGCAUAUGAAAUGUAGGUAUACAUGAAUGUUGGGAAGCUUAACAUUUCUAAAUCAUGUUUUAAUGUGUAUUCCCUUUUCUUUUUUAGUUUUGGUGGGUUUGAUGUACUAUCAUUUUGUGAACAUUUGAUUUACAAAUAUUAUUGGAUGAUGUAAUGUGUUACAAGUUCAUUCAUAAGCAUUAUGAAAAUAUAAGUUAAAUGUAAUAUGAUUAUUAUAUUUAUGGACAAUUUACACAGGUUGGUCUUAUUUAUUAAUAAACAUUACAAAAAUCUACAAACUAAUCAACAAAAAACAACCAUAUCUUCCAUAAUCAUUUACAAUGAUGUGGCACCAUAAAUUAAAGGUGAUACAUUUAACGUGACAGCAUAACUCAAAGAUGAUGCAUUUAAUAUGACACCUUAUAUAUCUCAUAAAACUCUAUAUCAAGUUAAGCAUCACUAAAAAUAUAUGAUGUCGCUUCUGAAUGUGUCACCAUUUAUCUGCUUUGGUGUCGCUUCCAAAUACGCCACCAAUUGAUACCCUCUAUGGUGUCAGUGGAUAAGGUGAUGCUAUGAUGUAGUGACACCCUAUGUUUAUAGUGACUUAUUAUAAAUGUCACCAUAUAUCUUUUUCCUUGUAGUGUGUUACUUGAUUCCUAUGUUGUCAUGUCAUUGCUUCUUGAUUUGAGUGAAACAAAUUAUAUAUAUUACAUGAUCAUUGCUUGUGAACUAACUCUCUUGUUUAUGGAAGCGCUUAACAUGCUAUUAAGGUACAUUCUUUCCUUUCUUUGUUUAUUGAUUCUUUGAGUGUGCAUGGUUUGUUUAAGUAUUCUUGAUUAUGAUUUUAUUAUUGCUUUGAUAUUUUUUUUUAUUCUUGGUAUCCACUGAUUUAUAUAUUAAUUGUCAUAUAUAAUUACCUCAAUUUAAUUAAUAGAGACUUGUUUUAAGGCUUAGAGGGGUGCUACCUUAUGGUACCUUCCCAAUAGGUAACUUGACCCCUAGACUUGGACUCGAUUUUCAAAGUCACAUUUUUCCAAAUAAGGAGUCAUUUGUAGGGUUUUAUUUCUUAUUUUGUUUUUCCUUUAAAAAAUAAACAAAAAUAAAUGGCAACUCCAAUUUUUACAAAAAUAAGUUUUGCACUAAAAGGCGAGUGUUGCCAUUAAGUGGGAAUGUGCGUGAAAAAUGAGGGUCCACACUAUGGUAUACCAUUAGAUUGUUUUUGGUUCUACCCACUAAUAUGUGAGGAACAUCGAAGGCUACCUGCUUCCAUAAGUUUCACUAUCUUGGGCAUUUUUAUUAACAAUGUACCAGAAAUUUGUUAAUAUAUGCACAUUUAUCGAAAAAUAUAUAUGAUUUAUGACUUUAUGAAAAAAUAACACAUGUAAUACAAGUUUAUUUCGUAUGCUCAUAUUACAAACAUUCUCUAUUUCAUUUUUUAAAUAUAAAUAUAUUUGAUCUCUAUCCUUUAUUUGCGUUCAAGUUCACUCCUUUUAUUAAAUAUUUUUAGGUAUACUUGAUUUUGGGAAAAAGUGACAUGGGUAUGAAGGGUUCAAAACCCCGUUUAUUUCUUUAGCUAAGAGACUAAUUUAAAUGGAUAUUUUUUGUAUUAAUGGUUCACUUUACUACUACUUUUUGGGAGAUUUGUCAUAAUUUAAUUUGUGGAUUUUAUUAUGAAAAGAUAAAUUUCUAGUUAAAACUUUUUUGUUAGCUUAAUAACUACUUCUCAUGUCAAACUUUCGGACUACACAUGUGAAAUGAUCGUGCUGUCCUAAACUCCGGGUUUGAGUCACAUCAUUAGCUUGCAUUUCCAUGAGAAGGGUUAUGAUAAAUUAGCAAUGAUGUUUCAUGCUAACGUGCCUUCAAAUUUUAAGGUUGGUGUUUUUCUAGUUGCACUAUAUCUCUUCAACAAGAUACCUUCCACAACUUUGAACUUUGACACUCUACAUAUAAAGUUAAUAUUUCUCAAAAGGUAUAACAAACACAAAUUCACCAAGAAGACCUGCCGUUUUGUCUUCCUAGCCUAUAGCUCUCUUCAAAAGAGAUAUAAAUGCUUGCAUGCAUCCCCAAACAAAUGGAGUUUAUCAAGACAUGUUUCUACUUGCAAACACUGGCUGAAAAUUUAACAGCACUCGAGCCUUCAAGCCAAAUACAGUGUCAUAGACUGAUACAUUGCCUACUAUUGAUAUAACACCUAUCUCUAGUAAUCUGCACCCUGCUACAUUUAAACUGCUUAAUUCUUAAAAUCCAUGUAGAUGCUCUUUAAUUUAGAGCUUGGAUGUAAUAAGUCUAACAGGCUCUUCCUCUUUUGUCAUUUUCUUUAUCUCCUGUUCAAACCUUUCCAUGACUGGCGGAGGCAGGCAUAUAGGUAUAACAUUCCCUUCUUCUCCUUUGCUGUUCCUGAACCGCGCACAGAAGCUAAUAAUAGAUAUAGCCCUAGCAAGCCCACUAUAGACGGGCUUCCCCCACCCGAAGUCGAUCUCUCCAGACCCGUCACGCGUGACAUCUGCAACCAUAUAGUUCCCCGGGUGCAUAAAUGAGGGCCGGCCCUUGAUGACCAUAAGAUCUGCCACUGAUUUAACGUACUCCUGACUCAUUUCCGCCUUGGCUUUCUUCACUAACCUUACCGCAUAUUCCAAUGGAUUUUUACAUAGCAUUCCAGCCUUAGUAAUUGAAGCUGGAGUCACAACAGCAUUUCCAUAGUAUCCUGGAGGCAGUUCGAAACCGCGCUUGCCUCGCAUACUGAUUGAGCAAAUAAUGCGAACAACCUCAUCAGGGUCUACUGCAAAUGCAAUUGUGCGGCAUCUCCAUACACAUGCUGUUAGAACCUCAAAUGUCGUGCUGGCACCGAGGCUUGCAGGAAGUCGGUUCCUAAGUGCUCUUAUCUCCUUGGGGCCAAAGAAGAAUGAUCGAUGAACCAAAUUAUUUUCGUCCAUGGCCAUUAGUGUGCCCUUGGUGUUGGUUACCUCCUCGUAUUCAUGAUGUAUACAGGUUAUUCGUGGUGGAUUUCGGGCAUUUAACAGCUCUCUUUGCCAUAUGGGUAGCAGAGAUGGCACAGACAGACCUUGAGCCAUCUCGCUUAUGGCGUUGAGGAAUUGGACCAAGCCAGGAAUACCACUCAUUGUGUGGUUUAGGCGCAAUGCAAAUAUAAAUCCUCCACACCUCAAUCGGGUCACCUGCAUUGUACCAAGAUUUCUUUAUCAAUAUAUACUUUAGCAACAUCCAAUGAUUUGUCUCAUUAAACUUAAUACUUAUUACUUAAUAACUUAAAUUUAUUAAGUUAAAUUAUUUUUAAAUUGUUAACUUAAAACUUAUUAUCUAAAUAUUAGGUUAUUUGAUAAAAUUUAUUUAAAAUCAUCAAAUUGAUAUAUUUAUCCUCAUUAAUUUUUAUUAGUAUUUAUUCUAAUUGACUUUAAUUUAUAUUUGUUUUCAUUAAUUUUAAAUAAUAAAUAUAUUUAAAAAACAUUCAUAUUUAUUUUAUUAUAGAUAUAUAAAAAUAAUCAUAAAAUAUUUAUUACAAAAAGUGGUUUCAAAAAGUUAUUUUUAGUAUUUUAGAAAACUAAAUGUUUUGACUUUUUCUAUUUAGUUAAAAAAUUAAAAAAUAAGUAAUAAGUAAAAAAAAUUAAAAGCAAAUCAUCUACAAUGUGAAAGUAAAUUACAUUCCACAUUAAGUUUAAUAAAAUAAAUAAAUAAAUCAAAUACCAUCUGAGUUAAGUAUUUUAAUUUAAUACUUAAAAUUAUUUAAAUAAAAAUAACUCUAAGUUGUAAGAUUAAGUUAUUUUACCAAAUAUCAUUGAUAAUGAAGAAUAUUUACCUGAAUUAAGACAACAGGGGAACCCAGAAUUCCCCCGGAGCCAGGGACAUCAUACAGAAGCUCCUCGAAGCAGGGACACAUUGGUUGAAUUGCAUCACCAAGAUUCUCAAGUGUGGUAUCGGCAUCGGCUUCAAUGAACAAGACCCCUUCACCGGUGCAGUCCACCAUGAGUUUUCUAUUAUCCCCUUCAAUCAGCCUGCCUGCAAAUGGGUAGUAGUAUACAAGCGCCUUACCUAGAGCUUCUCUAAUGACCUUUACAGGGUCUUUUCCUUUCAUUAAAGGAUUGUUCGGGUAAAACAUUAUCACAGGAAUUUGAAAGCGAAGGCCUUCUUGAUCAUCUAUAUCAGAAAGCUGCUUCAACUCUCGUGGGGUAGGGUUUGUAGGCCGAACAAACUCUGGAUCACACCGUUUAACCGAGAAUACUAGAGGAGAUGAUGACGACGCCAUGUCCUUCCAGGCAAGGAGUUUGUUGAUGGAAUAUAGAAACAAUGAUAAGAGAAAAUUGCAGGAUUUUAUGUGAUGGUCUGCUUUGAGAAGAAGGUAGCUGAUAUUUGUAGUGUACGACAAUAAUGUGUUUCACGUGUAUUUUUGCUCAACCUACGACACGGUUUAGAUAAGGGGUAGAAUUUUAAUCGUGUUUCACGUGUAUUUUUCUCUCCAGGCCCCUGGAAGCUACAACACCGUCUAGAUAAGAAAUAAUUGGUUAGAAGGGACGAAAUACUCCUCAUAUUUGAGAAUUUAUCCCCUCUUAUGUUUUUGUUCAAAGAGUAAUCUAUUUUUGACAUAAAUGCCCUUAACCAUUUCAAGUAUUUACAUUUAAAAGAAAGGGUUAUUUUCACAAGAAAAAAUAAGGAUAUUUUUAUGAAAAUGAGAUCAAAAAAUGAUAAAGGGUUAGAUUUUCAAAAUUGGGUUCCCAAUGACCCCUUUAAUCAAACAACUCUUUAGAUAAUAGGUAGAAUUUUGGGUGUAUGAUCUUUCGUUAAACGAAGUUCUGAUACCAUAUUAAAAUAUUAAUUUUCUAAAAAAUUUAAGCUUAUAGAGUUGAGUUCACAAUAUAUAUCAUGCUCUUUUGGUACCUUUUAAACAUGUUUUAAAUCUUUUGUUCAAAAUAAUCUUUUUCUCUUUUUUCUAUUCAAAAUUUACGGUCUCAAAUGUAGUUUAUGGCAUUUUCAAAAUUUAUGGUCUCUUUUGGUUAAUUUGAACAAGAUUAUGAAAUUAUGGUUUUUUUUUUUUCUGAUAAAAUGAAAAAAAAAAAAAAAAACUCAAAUGAGCUAUAAGAAAAUGACCAUUUUGACUCAAAAUUCCACGUGGAAAGUAUUUCAUUUACUUAUCUCGGACCACAGGAUAAGGUGGCUGCGUGUGAAACUAUGUGGUCUGUAUUCGAUGAUGUUUGAUAUCAUGGUGUAGGACUUGUCAGCGAUCCGCACCAAGAUAUCAACCAUACACCUGCCAUGCAUUAAUUGAUUAAGAAGGUUUCCCAUUCAAAAACCACAAAAAAUAGAGCGGUUGUUGAUGUUGAGUUAUCAUUUGACAAAACGUGUAUAGCCUGAAUCGCCUUACUUUCUUAAAAGAACAUGUGAAACAUUCACUUGCAGCACGACCAAACGUGUACUAGUUGUAUGCUGUGGCCUGAAUUACCUUACUUUCUUAAAAGAACAUGUGAAACAUUCACUUGCAGCAUAGUAGUGUAAAGCACGACCAAACGUGUACUAGUUGUAUGCUGUGGCCUGAAUUACCUUACUUUCUUAAAAGAACAUGUGAAACACAACAAAAAUUAUUAUUUUUUUUAUCAAUUUUUUUUCUUUUGUUUUUCUUUCCUCUACAUUCUUUUAAGAACCAAACGUAAAAUCAAUUAAUUAUACAUAUAUAUACACACACAAACAGACUCAUUGCAAGAGGAUAGAUCAUCUCAAGCCUCUUUAAUUAUUAUAGAAUAUAUGUAUCAUGCCAAAGACCCCUCUAAGGGCGUGACUAUCAUUUCAAACCUCAAGCUCGAAAACUCAAAGGGCAAAUGACUCAAACAAUUAUCUUGUAACUAGAAGAUCACUAAUUACUAAAUUCUUACUCAGAGUAGUAAAAUAUACUAUAAUUCUCAAAAUUUAAGUCCUAACAACUUCAAACUGAAAUGGUUCAAACAGCAAUUAAUUUCUAACAUUUAAACACUGUUCAAAAAUAAAGUUUAAACCAAAGCCCUAAUAGAGACAAAUUCCUGGCCUAACUAUCACUCCUUGCUUGAAUUGAAAGUAAUUGAAAAAAAUAAUCAGUGGAAGAGAAUGAGUUCAAACCCAAUAAGAAAUAUUAAUAUAGUUUCAUGGUUAAAACAUUUUCAACUAUGAUUACAAAUAGGAGGUAUAAUGUACAAUUUUUUAUUUUUUUAUUUUUAUAAAAACUUUGAAUUCAAACAUGCUAAAGCAUCCAAAACUUUUCAACCAAACAUUUUCAUAUUUAUGUAAAUAACAAUUUCAUAUUAAAUCUAAAUGAAAUGCAUUCAAAAUAUUUUUACUCUAAUUAUCAAAUAACAAAUGUUGCUUGAUUAGGUGAGACUUUGUUGCCCAAUUAGGUGAAACUUUACAAAUUGGAGGCUAUCCUUAAAUUUGUUCUUUUUAAGGUGGAUGGAACCAAAUAUUACUAAUGCUAAUAACCUCUAACCUAAUCCCUAGAGGAUGUGGUUUAAAACAAAUACAUUCCCUACCAAGAAAUAUAAAGGUCGAAUAAUUAUAACCUGUUGAUUAAGGCCAAAAAGGUCAAUAAUUAUAACCCAUUGAUUAUGGCAAAAAAUGUCAACAAUAUAACCCGUUGACUAGAACCAAAUAAACCAAAGUCAAACACCUUGUUUCAUUUAUUAAAACUUACAAAAACAUUAUAUCUUCAUUUUUUUAUUAUAAACAAAAGAAAAUGUUCUUACAUAUUUUUCAUGCAAAAUAUAAUUCAUCCAUGCGUAGAAACAAAAAAUAAUAUUUUACAUAAUUCAAAAUAAAAGAUAAAAAGAAAUUAUUUUCUCUUAGAAAAUCUAUAUUAAUUUCUCCUACCUCAAAAAGCACUCAAAACCCUUAAAAAAAAUUAUUAUUGAAGAAUCUAAUUUUCACCUAAAAAUAAUAUAAGAAAUAACAACUAUUACUACUACCUAUUUAUCUGAAAUUAUAAGUUUGACAAUCUAAAUAAUUUUCUAUGUUAAUAUUAUUACCACUAUUUUUAUUUUCAACUUCUGAAUCAAUAAUAAUUUAAUAAAUGAGUUUCCAAAAUUUCAUAAAAGUUGCUUCAUUUCCAAAAUCCAUUCCCAAGAGUACAUAUAUAAUAUAUAUGUAUAUAUAUCUUCUUUAUUUUUUUGUCCUUCUCAUAUUUUUUUUCUUUUCUUUUCCCAUCUCCUAGUUUCCACAUAGAACUCCCCAUCUCUUCAAUCUUUACACACAACACUACAGAUACCACACUUUCUCUACGUAUCAAAUGCACCAUUUUUUUUUUCUUUCCACUAAACAAAGGAUAUCCCUCUUUAGACCUAGAUUAUGUUUUGGAUUCUUAAUUAGAAAUAAUACAAUAUCUGCAGGGAAUUAUGGUAUCUUUAAGGUGACACAAAAUUUUCGGAAUGCAUAAACUAGGGCAUGCAUCCCAUUGGCGGAUGGUUGAAUUCAACUUCAUCUUGUUUCUGACAUCCUCGUUGGUAAUAUUUAACAGCUCUUCCGUCAUGGUUUUGGAGGUACAAGUACAAAGUUUUUGAAGAUGCAAAUUGGGAUUAGUGCCACACUUUGAGAUGUUUCCUAAGCAAUCCUUGAGAACACUUAUAGAACUCACUAUAUUUGAAGUUGUUAAAUCAACCUUCCUGAACCAAGUUAGCAAUGCUACAUGACACAAAAACUAAAAAUAAUUAAAGAAGGAACACUAGUCCCUUUCACAAUUGUUUCGUUUCUGUUAUUCGAAACAAAAAAAUAGGAAAACACGUUUGACAAUCAGAAAAUUGUUUUAUAUUUUUUGUUCUUAAUAAUAGAAAAUAGGGUGUUUUCAGAUAACAUAUUUUAAUUAUUUUAAGUUGUUUUUAUGUACUUUUUAAUUACUAUUUUAAAAAAUAAUUAUACAAAUUAUGAUUAAAAAUAAAACAUUAGAUUUAGAAAUUAUUUUUAAAACAUAUUUAAAAAAUAUUGAAAACAUGUUAAAAAUAUUUCAAGUUUCUAAAUAAAAUUUUGUUCUAUAAAAUAUUAGAGAACAAUUUUCAAAAACUGUUCUCAAAAAUUGCUUUUCAGAAUUGUCCUUGAUUUUAGCACUAAAUACACUCCCCAUGUUAGAAGAAUAUGCUUAACAUUUCACAAAUUACAACACCUAGGGCUAAAAAAAUUUAUAAUCUUAAAACUUUUUCAACAACAAUGCAAUAGAUUCCAUCUUUCCUAUUCUCUUGACAACCAAACAAAGCCUAAGACUCCUUUUUUUCUUCACUUUAAAAAAGCAAAAUAACUAAUAAAUAAAUAACAUUUUCAAUUGAAGAAAAAAAUAAAAUCACGUAAUAUUAGAGAGAACAGGAAUAAAUUGUGAGUACAAUCAACAACACAAAAUCUUGAAGGAAUUGGCCAAAUUGGAUGACAUAUUUCUCGAAAACAAUGCAUGAAACAAUUUUUAGGCCCAUACAGAAGAAAAUUUCAGCAACAUAGAACUUGAUCCUUCCUAGAAUGAAUAUUUACAAUAUUUGUCUGUUGUAAACUGUAGACAUAAUGCAAUUCACUCACAAUAUGAGAAUGAGCCUUAUUCAAUUCAAAAAAAGCUAUGGGCUUAUAUAAGCCUUAUAAAAGAGAUUAAAGAGGAAACAAACAGCCCAUGUAAGAACGUGGUAAAUGGCUAAGGAAAUAGUCAAAUCCUACCAACAUGUCCCAAGAAAUAGGAACUAUUAACAGAAUGAAAUUCUAACAACUUUGACUACUUUAACUGAACAUCCCAACAAUUCCUCCCCUAAACUGAUUGCAAUAAUGCAUUCAGUUGUUAAAGUUGACUACUUUAACAACUUUCACGUGUAUUUUUGCUCAACCUACGACACGGUUUAGAUAAGGGGUAGAAUUUUAAUCGUGUUUCACGUGUAUUUUUCUCUCCAGCCUCUGGAAGCUACAACAGCGUCUAGAUAAAAAAUAAUUGGUUAGAAGGAACGAAAUACUCCUCAUAUUUGUGAAUUUAUCACCUCCUAUGUUUUUUUCAAAGAGUAAUCUAUUUUUGACAUAAAUGCCUUUAACCAUUUCAAGUAUUUACAUUUAAAAGAAAGGGUUAUUUUUACAAGAAAAAAUAAGGAUAUUUUUACCAAAAUAAGAUCAAAAAAUGAUAAAGGGUUAGAUUUUCAAAAUUGGGUUCCCAAUGACCCCUUUAAUCAAACAACUCUUUAGAUAAUAGGUAGAAUUUUGGGUGUAUGAUCUUUCAUUAAACGAAGUUCUGAUACCAUGUUAAAAUAUUAAUUUUCUAAAAAAUUUAAGCUUAUAAAAUUGAGUUCACAAUAUAUAUCAUGCUCUUUUGGUACCUUUUAAACAUGUUUUAAAUCUUUUGUUCAAAAUAAUCUUUUUCUCUUUUUUCUAUUCAAAAUUUACAGUCUCAAAUGUAGUUUCAUUACAAUUCUAAAACCACAUCACAUUUUCAAAAUUUACGGUCUCUUUUGGUUAAUUUGAACAAGAUUAUGAAACUGAAAAGGAUUAGUUUGAACAACAAUUUGAAAAAAAAAAAAAAAAAAAACUCAAAUGAGCUAUGAGAAAAUGACCAUUUUGACUCAAAAUUCACGUGGAAAGUAUUUCAUUUACAUAUCUCGGACCACAGGAUAAGGUGGCUGCGUGUGAAAGUAUGUGGUCUGUAUUCGAUGAUGUUUGAUAUCAUGGUGUAGGACUUGUCAGCGAUCCGCACCAAGAUAUCAACCAUACACCUGCCAUGCAUUAAUUGAUUAAGAAGGGUUCUCAUUCAAAAACCACAAAAAAUAGAGCGGUUGUUGAUGUUGAGUUAUCAUUUGACUUAAGUUGGAUUAAACUAAUGGGGGGUAAAUAAAUAGAGAAGUGUAAACUUGAGAUCAAAGUUUGGAUUCUAAUUAACAAUUUAACUUAAAAAGUAAUGGACGUAUGAUUUGACUUUUUAAUCACAUAUCUCAAAAGUAUAAAGGUAGUGUUUAUUUUUGACUAAAUAAAAAAAAUCAAAAUAUUGACUUUUUUUUUUAUUAAACUAAAAGUAAUCUAUUGAUAUUAAUCAAUAUAACUAAACUAAACUUAUUGAUAACAAGUUCACUUUAAUUAUUUUGGCUAAUAUAAUUCACUUUAAUUAUGCGGAUUAAUAUGAACAUAUUACUUUUAACAAAAUAGAAAAAAUAAUAUAUUUUUACUUUUUUUAUUCAAUAAAAAAAUAAACACUAUCAAUUUCACAACCAAUAAUUGAAAAUAAACAACUUAUGCCUUAUUUGGUAACUAUUUUUUAAAACGGUUAUUAAAAAAUAGUUUUUAAGAAUAGUUUUUGAAAACUGUUCUCUAAUGUUUUGUAGAAGAACCUAAAAUUGUUUUAAACCUGUUUUUAAUAUUUUAAAUACGUUUUAAAAAUAAUUUUUAUGUCCAUAUCUUUAUUUUUAAUCAUUAUAUAUGUUUAUAUAAUUAUUCUUUAAAAUAACUCUCGAAAAACAACUGAAAAAACUAAAAGAUGUUAUCUAAAAACACCCUAUUUUUUGUUUUUUUGAUAAUAGAAAACAAAAAGAAAAUAGAAAAUAGUUUAUGAUUGUCAAACAUGUUUUUCGGUUUUUUUGUUCUAAAAAAGAAAAAACUGCUCUUGAAAACAGUUGUCAAAUAGAGCCUUAAAGUCUUAAAGCAAAUUGUUUUCAACAAAAAACUAAAAAAACAAACAUCCUCCAACCUUUUUUUUUUUUUUCACUAAUGAACCAAUAGAUUUUUAAAAAGGAAGAAAAAUAAAUGAUGAAUAAUUUUAUCAUUUUUCUCAAUUAUUUAUCACUUUUUAUGUAAUUGUUUGUUUGUUUUCGGUUCUAGUACUCCAAUAAACAAUAACAAGUGAAAAAAAAAAAAAGGCAAGGAAAGUUGAUAGAAUUUUUUUUUUUUUUUUUUUUUUAGGUUUCUAGGAAAAAGUUGAUAAAUAUAAAAAUUAAAUCUUUUAGAAUGCCCUUUCCCCAAACAUUCAUCACCUUUUUUAUAAGAAAAAUGGGAAAGGAAAUCGGUUAACAUUUUCUUCUUUUCUUACAUAUUUUCCAUCUUUGGUUCCUUAAAAGAAUAAAUAAUAUAUAAUAAAUGAAAAAGAUGAGAAAAAUUUAUAAAGUUUUUCAUUUUUUUUUUGUUAUUUAAGGAAAAGUUGAGAGAGAAACUAUUUACUCUCACGUUCAAUAGUUCUGCAAACUUUUCUCACUUUUUUUUAUUGGAAAAUGAGGAUAAUAUUUUAAAUCUGUUUGAUAACUGAUAUUUAUAGUCUAAUGGUGCACUCCAAUAAUGUGGCACAAUAUAUGUCAUGCUCAUUUGAUGGAAUAUAAUUUAUUUAUUUUUUUAAUAAUUUGAGAAAAGGGAUUCCUUUGAACAAUAAUUUGAAAAGAAGAGUAAAACGAGCUAUGAGAAAAUGACCGUUUUGACUCAAAAUUCCAUUCCACGUAGAAAGUAUUUGAUUCACAUAUCUCUGACCACAGGAUAAGGUGGUUGCGCGUGGAAGAUAUCAACCAUGCACCACCUGCCAUGCAUUAAUUGAUUAAGAGGGGUUCCACUUCAAAAACCACAUAGAGCGGUUGUGGAUGUUAAGUUGUCAUUUGACUUAAAUUAGAUUAAACUAAUGGAGGACAAAGAAAUAGAGAAGUGUAACUUGAGAUCAAAGUUUGGAUUCUAGUUAACAAUUUAUAUAAAACAUAUUAUAAUAAUGUUUGUUUUAUAUAAAUGUAUUUUAAGGGCUAUUAAUUAUUUAUAUAACUCUUAACAAAUAUUCAUUAUAAAAAUAGUUAGGGAAGAUUUAGGAAUUAUUUAGAAAAUAUUUUGAGGUGAUCACGUUUGAAAAAGUAAAAGAAAAAAAAAAGGUAAUGGGGUGUCCAGGCUUGAAAGUCUGAAUGCUUUUAAUGAUGUUCAAAACUAUAAAGUCGAAUGGAUAUUCGAAGGUAUAAUUUCAUAUAUUUUAAAAGCCAUCCAACCCUACAUAUAUUUUUAUUCAUUUUCCAUUUUCAAGUGCUAAAAAAUAAAUAUAAUAAUUGAUAAAAGUAUCUAUAAUUUUAUAAAUUUUACAUACUUUUAAAACAUGUGAUAUUAUACCUUUAGAUAUCCUUAAAAGUGUUCGACUUUGUAAUAUAUAUAUAUAUAUAUAUAUAUAUAAAUUCUUCCAUUUUCCAGUGCUAAAAAAUGAAAAAAAAAAUUAUAAAGAUGGUAAAUAUGCACUUUUAACAUCAUCAAAUAUUAUUUAUUACAAAUGUUUUAAAAUAUUUAUUAGGAUUACUAAGAGAUUGAAAAGAAAAAAUGGGAGAAGAAAAACAAGAAGAUGAGUAUGCAUUAAUUUGAAAUGGGGUGUUUAGUCUUUCACUAAUGGAUCCUUGUAUUUAAAAAAAAAAAAAAAAGUGAUACUUAAAGAAAUUAGUGGAUACAAAUAUAAAUCAAAAAGAAAAAAAAAAUCCCAAGAUUCUAAAAUGUCAAAAUCACCUUUAUGCUCAUUUUGUUCAAAAGUCUAUAAAGUCAUCUAAUUAUCUAAUUUCCCAAUACCCCCUCCAAGGGCGUGACUAUCAUUUCAAACCUCAAGUCCUAAGACUUAAAAGUGCAAAUGACUCAAACAAUUAUCUUGUAACUAGAAGAUCACUAAUUACCAAAUCUUAUUUAGAGUAGUAAAAUAUACUAUAAUCCUCAAAAUUUAACUUCAGAAAAGCUAACACAUCAACUACUUUGCUAUUGUCCUAACAACUUCAAACCCAAAUGAUUCAAACAUAAUUAAUUUUUAACAUUUAAACAAUGUCCAAAAAUAAAGUUUAAACCAAAGCCCUAAUAAAGACAAAUUCUUAGCCUAACUAUUAGUCUUCGCUUGAACUGAGAGUAUCUGAAAAAAAGAGAACGAGUCCAAAUCUAAUAAAAAAUAUUAAUAUUGUUUCAUGGAUCGAACAUUUUCAAUUAUGAUUAUAAAUAAGAGAUAUAAUGUACAAUUUUUUUUUUCAUAAAAACUUUGAAUUCAAACAUGUUAAAACAUCCAAAACUUUUCAACCAAAUAUUUUCAUAUGUAUAUCAAUAACAAUUUCAUAUCAAAUCUAAAUGAAAUGCAUUCAAAAUAUUUUUACUUUGAUUAUCAAAUAACAAAUAGUGUCUAAUUAGGUGGGAUUUUGUUGCCCAAAUAAGCAAAACUUUACAAAUGGGAGGUUACCCUCAAAUUUGUUCUUUUUAAAGUGGAUGGAACCCAAAUACUAUUAGUAUUAGUAACCUUUAACCAAACCCCUAGAGGCUGACAUUUAAAACAAUUACAUUUCCACUAAGAAAUGUAAAAGUCAAACAAUUAUAACCCAUUUAUUAGGGUAAAAAAAGUCAACAAUUAUAACCCAUUAAUUAGGACAUAAAAUGUCAACAAUAUAACCCAUUGACUAGGGCUAAAUAAACCAAAGUCAAACACUUUCUUUUAUUUAUUGAAACUUACAAAAACAUAAUGUUUUCAUUUUUUUUAUUAUAAACAAAAGAAAAUGUUCUUAUAUAUUUUUCAUGCAAAAUAUAUUUGACCCAUGCAUAGAAACAAAAAUAUCAUUUUAUAUAAUUCAAAAUAACAUAUAAAAAGAAAUUAUUUUCUUUUAAAAAAUUUGUAUUAAUUUCUCCUAUCUCAAAAAGCACUCAAAACUCUUAAGGAAUUUAUUGUUGAAGAAUCUAAUUCUCACCUAAAAAUAACAUAAGAAAUAACAACUAAGGUUUAUUACACUUUAUCCCCCAACCUAUAACGUGUUUUGCACAUUGCUCCUUUGAGUUCAAAAUUGAGUAAUAUACCCGUCAUCCUUUAUAAUUGCAUACAAUGUGCAUUUUUUAAGAGACGACGUUAUUAUUAUUAUUAUUAUUAUUGAUAGAAAGGCAUGUGCUCUCCACGUGAUUGAGUGCAAAAAUGUAGUUUUCUUUUUAAGUGAGGGUAAAAGGGUCAUUGUCAUUUUAAAACCCUAAACUCCAAUCCCUCUUCUUCCCUGUCGAUCAUUUUUCCCCGUUGCUGCUGUUGAAUCCCCAACCCAAAGCCCUAGAAUCCUAAGGAAGCUAAUGUAGGCUUUUCUUUCUCCAUUGUAUUCACCUCUCUCAUCUCUUUGCUUUAUUCGAUUUGUGGAAUUUUCUUGAUUGAAGGUCAUGACGGUGUGGAUUGAUGUUAUUUUAUUUUAUUUUAUUUUAUUGAAUUGCUUGUUUUGGAUGUGAGUGUGUUAAUUGAUUGGGGAAUUCACCAGCUUUCAAAAGAGUUGAGAUUGGAUUAUCUGCAUGUUGUUGGUUUGAAUUGUUUUUUGUUUUGGAUUGGGUUUUGAUAAUGUUAUGUUUGGUUGUGAAGACAAAAGUGAGGUUAUAAGAGGGAAAGAGAAUUUUGUGAAUUUAGGUUAGGUUUUGAAUUUUUUAUGCUCAACUUAGUUGAAUGAUUGUGCGAAUUUUUGUUUGAGUUUGUUGCUAUGUUUUUUCUCUGGAAAAUGGCAAGAGUAAAUCCUAUAGGAUUUCAAAAUUGAUUUUUUUUUCAUUUCUUUUGGUAAAUUUCAAUUCGGAUGAAUUGAUGUUGAAUUUAGAUAUAUAGGAUUAGAACUUGGGUGAGUUUUCAAAUUAUUUUUAUUGAAUUCAAAUUUUGUUGAAUUGAAGAAACAAAGUUCUCAUGGGGAUGACACUUUGCAUACAUCUCGAGUUGUUAUGACUUCAAAUGAAUUUCAUGCCUGAUUGAACAAGCUACUGAACUCUCAUUUGAAAAACCCUACUUUAACACCUAAGGAGACUGCAAAAGCAUCAAGAUCAACUGCCAAAGUGUAGUUAACGUGGUUGGGGUUGCUACUAAGGAGAAGACUACAAUUAUAUAAAGAAAAUGAUCCUUUUGCCCUCGAUCACGUGAAGAGCACAUGUGCCUUCCGUAAAAAAAUGUAACACCGUCAUUAAAAAAUGUACAUUGCAUGUAAUUAUAAAGCAUGAGGGGUACAUUACUCGAUUUUAAACUUAAGGGGGAAAUAUGCAAAACACUCUAUAGGUUGGGGGAGGGGGGGGGGGGGGAAAAGGUAAAAAAACCCAAAAACCAUUACUAUUAAUUAUUUUUUUAAAAAUUUCGGGUUUAAAAACCCAAAAAAUUUCCAUGUUAAAAUUAUUUUCCCCCAAAUUUUUUUUUCACCUCCUAUAAAAAAAAACUUUUUUAAUUUUGAUUUAAAAAAAAAAACCAAAAAUAGAAAAUUUUUUUUUAACAUAUUUUAAAAAAAAUUAAAAAAAUGUUAAAAAAAUUUUAAGGUUCCCAAAAAAAUUUUUUUUCUUUAAAAAAAAUUUAAAAAAAAUUUNNNNNNNNNNNNNNNNNNNNNNNNNNNNNNNNNNNNNNNNNNNNNNNNNNNNNNNNNNNNNNNNNNNNNNNNNNNNNNNNNNNNNNNNNNNNNNNNNNNNUAACAACUAUUACUAUUAGUUAUUUAUCUAAAAUUAUCGGUUUGACAAUCCUAAUAAUUUCCUAUGUUAAUAUUAUUAUCACCAAAUUUUAUUUUCGACUUCUAAUAAAAAAUAACUAUAUAAAUUAUGAUUAAAAAUAAAACACUAAAUAUAGAAAUUAUUUUUUAAACAUAUUUAAAAAAAUAUUAAAAAUAUGUUAAAAAUAUUUUAGGCUUCCAAACAAACUUUUAUUCUGUAAAAAAAAUUAUAGAACAAUUUUCAUAAACUAUUCUCAAAAAUUGUUUUUCAAAACUGUUCUUGAAAACAAUUAUCCUAUUAUAAGCUCUUAAAAGCUCUCAAGUUCUUUGAUUGAUAUCAUAUAUGGAUGAAAACAAAAAUCACAUCUUAUAUUCGAUUUUAACAUUAAAUGCACUCCCCAACUAGCUAACUAUAUGCUACAUCACAUAUGCCACAUAUGCCUAGCUUUCUUAGAUUUCCCCUUUAUUCCUUAAUGUUUCCAGCUAUUUCAAUGAGUAAGGAUGGUCAUGAAAACCAUUGAGACUUCCAAGAUGCACUUCAAAAAAAAUUUAACCAAAAGAAAAAACUUGUCAAUCAAGAAAAGAAAAAGAAAAUAGUCCAGUGAAAAUACAUAAAGUCAUUUUUUUUUUCCAAAUUCAAGGAACCAAACCUAAAAGAAACUACAAAAUAUCAAACCAAAAUUGAAGAAGUUGUAAAUCAAGAUAACCUUUUAAAAAUCAAUUAGUAUAUAUUGAUUAUAUUAUAGUACUUAAUGACUUUAUUAUUGUCAAAAAAUUAACUUAAAGCAUAUCCAACAAUCUCUCAAUUUAAAUUAACAAAAUCAAUCAAAACAAAUAGCAAAAGUAGGCAUCUGGGAAAGUCAUGCAUAUGAGUGAAGGUCUCUUCAAGAUUUAAACCUCCACUUAGUAUAAACAAAUCAAAUUUGUCAAGGAACUUAUUAGGUAAAUCAGAUAUGUCACACACAUGCCUUCUAGAGGUUAUCGGUCCUUUAAAGCUAACACCUUUGAAGUCUAUGAUUAAUCCCAUUUUAAUGAGUGAUCUAAAGAGGAUCUAUAGUCUCCUGCAACAUGACUAGUUUCAAUGCUCAAAACGGUAAAGCCAAUGAAGAGUGUAGCAUGUUUCACUCCUACCAUAAGUAUAUAGAUUGAUGAAAAUGUAAUAAUCCUCAUCUUCACAAAUAAUAUGACUUAUUUGCAAGAAGUCAACCAUUGGAUUAACACUAAUUUAUCAUAGGAAGGGAUAUUCAUAUAUAAUAUGAAUGCAUUACAUCACAACUAUUUCUUUGCCUCUUUUUUCAUUGAACAUGAGAAAUCUCAUCAAAUUGAGUUCCCAUUGACCAUAACUUAACUAUAGAUUUUCAAUCUCAUUCCCCUUGAUGAAAUUCUCUCUGGACUUGACAUAUUGUGUAGCCAUGAUCCCAUGAAGCCUUACAUGAUUAUGUCUCACAUAAACAAGUCUAAAAUUCCCAUUAUCGAUCUCAUUAUAUGACUUAAGCAUUGUAACAAGAUUAUCACUACAAAUAGUGAUUGAUUACAUUGGCUUAUUUCAUAUAGACGUGUCUACCAAUAUAUUCCUUAGCCGCUUACCUACCUUUCUCACAAAUGAGAGGGGAAUGAAUUCAUUUCAUUGUGUAAUGAGAUAAACAUGCUAAGGCUAAGGUUGGGUUAGGUUAAGAACAAGGUUAUUUUUCAUAUGUUUAUUUUUGCCUUGAUUUUAGAUAGAGAGGUCCUUAUGUUUUUUUGUGAGUUUGAUGUAAAUUUUUACGUUUGUUCUAUUUCACCAUAGUUUUAAAUAUCAAUUACCUUGUUAGAUUUCAAUUUUUUAUUUUAUUUAUUUAUUUUUGGCUUCUCUUUCAUAUGGGCCCCAUCUUUAUUGUUAUUUCCAUGAUUUUAAUUUCAUUCUUUGUUUCUAUUCCACUUGGUGUUGGCAUCUUGUUGUCUGAGGUUUCUAUAAGAAUUUUUAAAUUUCCAUAGUAGAGUACAACACUCAUCCUUUGCAUCGUUUUUAUCAUACUUCUAUAAGAUAAGAGGAGAAUGAUUGAUCAUUUUCAAGAAAAGGUUUUAUUUUAAGUCUUUGCACUACUUACGCUAUCUCUCCUUAUUCAUGCAUCUAGAAUUUAAUACAUUAAUGACACUUCAUUUUUAUUUCACAAAAUGUGUAUGGGAAAAAAUAGAAAAUAAGAAAACAUACUUAGCAAGCUUGAAGAACAAUCAAGGUAGAUUGCCUUAGUGAAACAAAACUCAUGUGAGAAGAAAAUAGAGUUCUCAAUAUAAUGCCCACUAGGAAGGUGGCCCAAUUCUCUACCAACUAGUGUUAAGGUUGAAUAUGUGAAAGUGGAACAAGUUGUGAUGUUUACUAAAGGUUAAAGAUAAGUGGGUUUUGUAUUAAGAUAGAUACUAUAAUAUCUAUUUAUAUUAAUUCAGUUUUCCUAUUUUAGUUAAUUAUAUUGUAAAAAUCUACAAACACAAAUACAUGUAGACUACUGGGAACAUAAAUAAUUAUGAUAAGUUAAAUUGAAUAAUAAUUAAGUUUCCAAAAUUCUCCAUUGUACAUACAAACACAACUAUUUAGUGAACCAUAUGUUAUUAUUUUCAUAGUUUAUGUAAUUGGACAUAGGUUGACCAUUGUUUAUCUUUCAUUGCAACCAUGAAAUCAUACCUUAACAUUCAGUACUACAAAUGAUAAUAUUUCAUAUACAAUUGCUAAUAAAACAUACAUAUAAUGGUGAUAAAUAAUUGUCACUAAAACCUUUCUUUUAGUUGCAAUAUAAACUUGCCACUAAAAGCAUAAUAUUAGUGAUAAAAUAUUAUUGCGGCUAAAAGUUCACAUUAAUGAUAAUAAAUAAUUGUCACUAAAUUUCAUUAUUUAGUGACAAAUUUGUGUUCUUUUUAUUGUAAUUAUAAUUUGAAAUAGUGGUAACAAGUAUUGCCACUAAAAACAAAAUUUUACAUACAAAAAAUCUAUUGUGGCUAAAGUUGUAAUAAUUAGUGGCAAUAUUUUAAACUUGUGGCUACAACAAUUAGUGACAAUACUUAUAGUGAUGGUCUUGUGGCAACCAAAAUAUUAUCACUAAAUCUUUUAGUGACAAUUUUUAAACUAUUAGCUACAAUUUUAUUCGCGGAUAAAAGUGUAAUUUUUUGUAGUGGCUUAUAUAUAUAUUUAUAUAAUUGUUUGGAUUGGAUAUUUAGAUAAUAUUGGGUGAUAUAUGAGUGUAUACAAAAUGAUUAUAUUUACAAAUGUACAUUAUUUUAUAUAUAUCACCCGAAUUUACCAUCUUACAUUGUUCAUGGCACCUCCUCAUAGGAUAGCUUUUGCACUUUAAUCCUUCUUAUUUCUUUGUGAACUACUAGAGGGAAUAUCAAUGAUAUGUCUAUAUUAUAGUUAUGUUUCACCAGUACUGAUAAUCAAUAACAAUAUAGAACAUUUUCUAUACUACUAGUUCACAUGUGGUAUGAAGAAAAUACUAUGAUCCAGUUUUUCAAAUAAUGUCAUUUUCCUUGCACCAUUUACUUCUAACAACUAUCAACAACUAUAGGCAUUUAAAAAAUUGAAUGUUUAAUUUUGGAUCAAAAGGCCGGGGUUUCAUAGAUAGACACUAGAUAAGAAAUUCUUUCAAUGAAAAAAUUAUUUGAAUCAUCAAUUUCUUCAAGAAAUCUUCAUAUGUUAAUUAGUACUUGAAGAGAUCUUCAAAUUUUCAUCUUUUCACGACAUCUUGAAUCUUGAUGGAAUUUCUUCAACAACUGUAAAAAUUUUGGUCGGUGUUUGAUGUGUGCUUUGAAAUGAGAGGAGACCUCCACUUAUUGGGUUGGAAAAUUUAUUUUAAUAUUAUCUCUUUCUUUCCUAGAGACAAUCAUCUUAUUUAUUGUGAUAAUUAUCAUUUAUUUUAAUGAUCAUAAUUAAUUAAUUAAGAUAAUUAUAAUAUUCUUUUUCUUUCUCACAAUUAAUUGAUUUCUUAUUAUUUUUAAUUUAUCAAUUUUUUUAGCAAGAUCCAUUUGAUAAGUGUCAACUAUUAGGACAUUGAGUCUUAUUUAUAUGUUGGUAAUUUUGUUCCAAUUUAUGUUUGAUCAUAGAAGUCUUUUUAGAUAGUGAAUUGCUCUCCAUUGAAGAUCAAGGGUUACUUUUCAUCCAAUUGGGAAGUCACAAGUACAUUUUAAAAGAUUUAGGUUGUGACAUAUGAGGCUUCGUUGAGGUAUAAAAAGGUUCAGUAUCAAUUUUGGACUUAUAAUUUUUUUUAAAUAAUUUUUCAAAAAAUAGAGGAUGCUCAAGUGGUUAAUCCCACUUAUAUGGUCAGCCUGCUCAAGUGGCAAUGAACCCUCAAGUGGUCCAAGUCCACUAAAGUGGUCAUGUUAGUCCUUCCAAGUUUAGAAAUGUAUUUUGGUUGAAUUUUACUCAAGCUCUAAUUUGGAAACUUAAGAUGUCGGGACUCUUUUGACUUGUGCAUAUAUAUAUAUAUAUAUAUAUAUAUAUAUCUCAAAUAAACCCUUGAGGGUUAGAGAUUCGGGCUAAGAGAUUGUAGAGAUCUAAGAGUUUAGAGAUCUCUUAUUCUUUAGGGGGACUUCUUGAGAGAAAGCCUUAUUGCCAUGCCACUUUUUAUCUCUCAUUCAAGGAUUGGAUCUUUGAAUUGUUGGUUGAUGACUUAAAUCCCUUCGGAGGGACUAAAUGAUCUACUAUGGAGCAAAAGGGAGUUGUUGCGUUGUAGAUGUGGAUCAAGUUAUAGGUACUAAAAAGUAAGCCUUUAGGGUAAAGCGGUUAGGUAAAUCUAUGUAACUUGAUUUCAAAUAGUGGAUUUAGAUUGGUACGUCUUAGACCUCAUGAUUUUUUAUCUCCACAAGUUUGUAAGGGUUUUCCACUUAAAAAAUCUCAUGCCUCAUUGUCUAUUUCUUUAUAUUUGUUAUUAUGUUUAAAGUGCCUAUAUUAAGCUAAUUUGAUUAAUCCUAAUAUAUUACAGGGCUUUCCUAAAAAGUGCAUAUCUAUUUAUUCCUACUCAUUUUCUAGUUGAUAACUUUGAUUGGUUAAUUGAUUAUUGAGUUAAUUGAUUUGUUAUCUUGGUGGUUGUGGUGGUUAUACCCAUAACUAAUUAUUGAUUAAUUUGUUGAUAUUAUUGUUGAGUUUGAUAGGUUGGUUAUUCUGGUAGUAAUUAUUAAUAUCCUUAACAUAUCUUAACAUACAUCCUUAAUCUUUGGAUAUCAAUUAACCAUAAAAAAUCAGUUGUUUAUUUGGGGCGAAUUAUUGAGAUAAAGUUUAGACAUAUUUUAUAAAUAAUUUAUUUAAAAUUUUUUAAAUCACCCAUUCACACCUCUCUGGGUGUUCCUUACUAGACUUUCAAUUAUUAUUUGAGUGGUAUUUGAGCAAUACCCAUUUUUCAUCAACAAAUUAUUAAUUAUUGACGCUUGACUUUUAAUAAGUGGACAAAAUUUGUCUUUGUACAUAUUUCUUUCAAUAUUAAUCAUUGUUAGUUAGUGGCAACCAUCUACUCAAACCGGUAGGGAGUUCUUCAUAUAUUUAAUGAUUUCUUGAAACAUCAGAAAAUUCUUUCAAUGCUUAGGUUUAUUUUUCACUAAUGGCCAGUGUUAAGGCUAUGGUUAGGUUAGAUUAAGAACAAAGUUAUGUUUCAUAAGUUUCUUUUUGCUUUGAUUUUAGAUAGAGAGGUCCAAAUGUUUCUCUAUGAGUUUGAUGUAAAUUUUUGCGCUUGUUCUAUUAUACCAUAGUUUUAAAUAUCAACUACCUUGUUAGAUUCAUUUUUUUUUCUUUUUUGGCUUCUGUUUCAUAUGGGCCCCAUCUUCUUUAUUGUUGUUUCCACGAUUUUAAUUUCAUUCUUUGUUUCCAUUCCACUUACUGUCGGCAUCUUAUUGUCUACGGUUUUGGUAAGAAUUUUUAAAUUUCCAUAGUAGAGUACGACACUCAUCAUUUGCAUCAUUUUUAUUAUACUUCUAUAAGAUAAGAGGAGAAUGAUUGGUCAUUUUCAAGGAAAGGUUUUAUUUUAAGUCUUUGUACUUAUGCUAUCUCUUGUUAUUCAUGCAUCUCGAAUUUAGUACAUUAAUGCCACUGAUUCGUCCCUAGCAGCGGCAGUGGCAAUGGCACCAUUUGAUUCGGGGUUCGAUCCCCAGCAACGGCGCCAUUUGAUUCGUCCCUAGUAGCGGCAGUGGCAAUGGCACCAUUUGAUUCGGGGUUUGAUCCCCGGCAACGGCGCCAUUUGAUUCGUCCCUAGCAGCGGCAGUGGCAAUGACACCAUUUGAUUCGGGGUUCGAUCCCCGGCAACGGCGCCAUUUGAUUCGUGCCCAAUUGGUGUCUCAGCUGAUUCGUGUCCAGCUGGUGCUCCUUGAUUGAGGGAGUAAUCAACAAAAUUUAUAACCUAUUACACCAUAUACUAGGGUAGCAAAGACAAAGCUACUAUAGAAUAGUGGCUCUAGGAUCGUUCACUGGGAUGGGUUUUCACUUUGCAAAUGAUAUUAAUUCAAAGCUGAAUUGGUGUCUUUUCAUUUUAAGGUUAGCUUUAAAAGAAAACAUAAAGAUGUUUGAAUGAAAAAGGUUUAGAUUUAAACUAACCAAAAAUAGUAACUGAUUUUACUUACAAAGAAAAAUGUUUCUUGGAGUUUAGAUCACUAGGCUCAGGUUCCUCAUACAAAAAGGAGAGUUCCGGUCACUUGUUUCUUUUCCUCGCAUUAGAGAAUUAACAUAUAGUUCAUUCUCCAACCGGUGUUGUACAGAUGCUUCCCAUUAAUGGGUUCAAACACUAAAUCCCUCUCACUGAUGCAUCUUGCAAUGACUCAUACCUCUCACCUAGCACUUGCCAUUCAAGGUGAUCUUUAACCUUGGAUUACCCAUCAAAAGCUCGCAAGAGAUAACUAAUGGAUGUCUCCUUGGAGUCCAAAAGCUUACCAAGUGUUGGCUAUUCUAGAAAAUCCUACCUUCAAGUCACCUCCCAUAAGCUCGCAAGAGAUAAACUAGUGAAUCUCCAUGGACGGAGAUCACUUUCCUUACCAAGUGUUGGCCCAAGUGACUUCAAGGCGUUUUAAGUUAACUAAAAAGAUAAAAACCAUUAACGGGUCACACUUUCUCUUCAUUAAAAACUAAAACAACAAAACUUCCAAUUUAUGCAUGUGGAAACUUACCCGGCUUUCCUCACUCCAAGAGACAAAGAGCCUAGCCUCUCAUCCUCUGAGGAAAAAUCCUCAGAGUUUGGUUGGCUAGAAAUAAAAAGAAAUGAAAAAUGAAAGAGAAGGAAAAACAGAGCAAGGCUCUGUAUAUUCUAUAUAUUGAUCGAUAUUACAUAUAUGAUUCUCUUACAGUGGAUGCAAGGGAAUAUAUAUAGAGACGUUUUUCCAACCUUCCUAACUAAGAAAUCUUAUGGUUGGUGGAUUACAAGGAGAAGAAUGGAAAUUCAUACAAAAAUAUCUGAAGAAAAAUAUCCCAAAGUGUCGGUCACAAAUAUCGGGGUACUUCAGGAACCAUUUCGCAAGAGAAAAUGGUGUCUGCGAGAUUUCGCAGGUACUCAAGAAGGGCUGCGAAAUCACUUCGCAGCAACAAGCUAUCCUCGCAGGGCUGCGAAGUUGGCUUCCACCUUGAGGUUCUCAGCUUCCAGCUUGCGGCAUAUAUAGGGUAACUUCAGGAGGAAAUCCACAACACUGUGCAAAAAGGCUGCGAAAUUCUCGCAACAAAAGGCUGAUUUCGCAACACUUUGCAAAUUUCUUCCUUCAACUUAGAGUGAUCGACUUGCAGUGGCUGUAACUUCUUCAUUUCAACUCCAAAUUGCGCACCGUUUAAAGCAUUGGAUUCUUGACUUCCUGAGAUUUGAAAUGGUAUAUAUUAUGUAGAAAUUGGACUUCAAGAAGUGCUCCAAAAGUGGCUGACAUGACUGUCAUCAAGAAUGCUUCAUGGCAGAUUUCUCUUUGCUUUCCCUCCUUGCAUUCCGGAUUUGCUUAUGGCAAAGGACUUCAAAGCUUUGGUUCUUCAUGAAUUUGAGCUUCCAAAAGCUUUGCCAUAACUUGUCCAAGUAGCUCCUCCAUCAUUUGGCAUGCUUGAAUUGAUUCAUAAGCUGAUAAAAACAUGUAAACUUGCCACAAAAUGGUUAAAACCAAUUACUAAGGAUCUUAAUGAAUUAAUUGGGUUAAAUGAAUAUGAUUACUACUCAAAGGUGCUUAAAACCAUUAUAAUUAGGUCUACAAAAUAGCACUUUUUGGUAGUAAUCAGCCACUUUAUUUUCAUUUCACAAAAUGUAUAUAGGAAAAAAAAAUAGAAAAUAAGAAAACAUACUUAGCAAGAUUGAAGGAACAGUCAAGGUAAAUUGCCUUAACGGAACAAAACUGAUAUGAGAAGAAAAUCGAGUCCUCAAUAUUAUGCCCACUAGGAAGGUGGCACAAUUCUCAACUAAUUAGUGUUAAGAAUGGAUGUGUAAAGUGGAACAAGAUGUGAUAUUUAUUAAAGGUUAAAGAUAAGUGGGUUUUGUAUUAAGAUAGAUAGUAUUUAUAAUAUCUAAAAUUAUUCUCAAUCAUUAAGAUAUAUUAAUUUAAUUUAUAUUUAUUUUCCUGCUUUGGUUAAUUAUAUGGUUAAAAUCUAUAAAAACAAAUACAUUUAGACUAUUGAGAACGUAAAUAAUUUUGAUGAGUUAAAUUGAAAAAUAAUUAAGUUGCCAAAAUUCUCCAUUGUACAUACAAAUAUAACUAUUUUGUGAACCAUAUGUUGUUAUUUUCAUAGUCUAUUUAAUUGGACAUAGGUUCACCAUUGCUUGGCUAUCAUUGCAACCAUGAAAUCAUACCUCAACAUUCAAUACUACAAAUGAGAAUAUUUUCAUUUUCAAGGAAUCAUACCUCAACAUAGGAGAAUGAUUGCUCAUUUUCAAGGAACGAUUUUAUUUUUAGUCUUUAUACUUAUGUUGUCUCUCUUUAUUCAUGCGUCUUGAAUUUAAUACAUUAAUGCCACUUUAUUUUCAAUUUACAAAAUGCGUAUAGGAAAAAAAAAAUAGAAAAUAAGAAAACAUACUUAGCAAGCUUGAAGGAACAGUCAAGGUAGAUUGCCUUAACAGAACGAAAUCAUAUGAGAAGAAAAUUGAGUUCUUAAUAUUAUGCCUAGUAGGAAGGUGGCACAAUUUUCAACUAAUUAGUGUCAAUGUUGAAUAUGUAAAGUGGAACAAGAUGUGAUGCUUACUAAAGGUUAAAGAUAAGUGGGUUUUGUAUUAAGAUAGAUACUAUAAUAUCUAAAAUCAUUCUCAAUCAUUAAGAUAUAUUAAUUUAAUUUAUAUUUAUUUUCCUACUUCGGUUAAUUAUAUGGUAAAAAUCUAUAAAAGCAAGUACAUUUAGACUAUUGGGAACAUAAAUAAUUUUGAUGAGUUAAAUUGAAUAAUAAUUAAGUUGCCAAAAUUCUCCGUUGUACAUACAAACACAACUAUUUAGUGAACCAUAUGUUGUUAUUUUCAUAGUCUAUGUAAAUGGACAUAGGUUCACCAUUGCUUAGCUCUCAUUACAACCAUGAAAUCAUACCUCAACAUUCAAUACUACAAAUGAGCAUUUUCUCAGCCUCGAAUUCAAGCAACACCAAGCCAUGGAUUGGGCCUUAAUCUAACCAUAGAGUAAACCCUUCUUGUGUUGUUUCAUUGCCUAUGGUGGUGUGCACUGAAGGCCCCUCCCAUAGGUGCUUAGAAGCACAUUAUCUUAAUUUCUUUUUCAUAUCUUUGAUCAUACAUUAGGCUAGUUUCUUAAGUUGGAGUGUGAGACUGUUUGGUGCUAAAAUACUUUAUUUUGAUGUUAAAAAAAAAAAAAAAGGUAGAGCUAUUGAUAGCUUCAAUAAACAUAAAACAUCUUGUUUUUAGUUAUGUAAAAAAAAAUUAAAUUAUUCCAAUUUUAUUAAACAUGAAUCAUCUUACACACAAUACUAAAAUAAGGUAUUUUUCUGGAAAAAAAAAAAAAGGAUUCCUUGUGUGUGAAAACUCUUUCCAAAGAGAGAAACCCUUUAGAAAAAAAUAUUAAAAUUCAAGUAAAAUCUCUUAAUGAGUGGAUGCAAUUUGGCGUUACGUUGUAAAAAACCAAUCACACAUAUUACUUGAGAAUAGUAGUCCCAUUCUAUAUAAUGGUAGCUAGGGUGGAACCCACUCUUUUUAAAAACCUAAUACACAUUGAUUCAUUGAACCUUAGCCUUCAAAUAUAUAAACAACGAUAAGGCUCAAGUUGGCAUAGGUGUUCGAGGAUUACUAUAAAAAAUGACUCUAUUCUUGUAUUAAACAUAAAUAUAUGAUUAUGCUUGUAACAUUGUGUUGACAAUAUUAACACAUAGAAAGUGCUUAUAUAUAUGCAAUAUCGUUUGGAUCCAAUAUUUGGAUAAUAUUGGGUAACAUAUGAGUGUGUAAAAAGUCAUUAUAUAUACAAAUUUACAUUAUUUUAUAAAAAUCACCUGAAUUUGUCAUCUUAGAUUGUUCAUGGCACCUUCUCAUGGGACAUCUUUCGUACUCAAAUGCUUUAUACUCCUUUGUGAACUGCUAGAGGGAGUAUGAAUGAUAUGUCUAUAUUAUAAUUAUGUUUGACUAGAAUUGAUAAUCAAUAGCAAUAUAGCAUCUUUGCUCUACUAUUGGUUCACUUGUUUUAUGAAGGAAAAUACUAUAUGAUCCAGUUUUUCAAACAAUGUCAUUUACAUCUAACAACUGUCAACAAUUAUAAACAUUUAGCAACCGUUGGUGACAUCAUCAUUGGUAAUCUGGUUCUUUAGUAGGCUAGGGUUAAUGAUUUUUUACAUGUAAAUUUUCUAAAAUAAGAAAAUUGUUGGCAAAAUUUUAUGUUGAUUUAUUUAUACUCUAUUGUCUUUAAUAUGCCCUUUGAUUCUUCAUAUCAAGACACAAACACCCUUUUAAACAAUUUAAUGUUUGAUUUUGGAUCAAAAAAUUGGGGUUUCAUAAAAACCAUUAGAUAAUAAAUUCUUCCAAUGAAAAAAAUCUUAAAACCAUUAAUUUCUUCAAGAAAUCUUCUUAUAUUCUUUAAUUGUUCAAGAGAUCCAAGUAUUCAUCUUUUCAUGAAAUCUUGAAUCUUUAAGGAAUUUCAUUAAUAACUGUAAAAAUUUUCAUUAGUGUUCAAUGUUUGCUUUGAAAUGAGAGAGAACCCUCUACUUGUUGGGUUGGAUUUUUUUUUUUUUUUUUUGGCUUCUUUUGAAGAACAUAAACUAUUUUUUAAAAGGUUGAAUUUCACCACACUUUACUGAUUGUUUUCUAAAGAAUAAAUAAACAAUACAUACUUUCUUUACACAGAAAAUGGAAUAUUACACAGAAUAGGUAAGUAAGAUUUCCUUCCAGCCUUGAUUUUCCACAUUACAAAUAUGGAGAGGCAGAUUGCGUUAUCAGCUGGCUGAUUUUCCACAGUACAAAUAUGGAGAGGAAGAUUGCGUUAUCAGUUGGCUAUGGAGAGACAGAUUGCGUUAUCAGCAGCAGCUGGCUGAGUUGGAGUUUCCUUUAUCAGCCCCCCGCAAGCUAGUGAGUGGUAACUUGUGCACUCCUAGCUUGAAUCGAAAUAAUUGGAAUGAAGUCUUAGGGAGUGCCUUUGUGAAUUUAUCAGCUACUUGUAAGGACGAUGGAAGGAAACGAGUAAUCAAAACUCCUCUUGCAACUUUUUCCCGAACAAAAUGAUAGUCCAACUCAAUAUGCUUGGAACGUGCAUGGAAAAUAGGAUUUACUGUCAUGUGAAGGGCACUGAGAUUAUCGCAUAGCAAUUGAGGAGGUUCACGUAGUUGAAUGCCAAUAUCACGGAGAAGGAAAGUAAGCCAAGUUAUUUCUGCGGCACUGGAUGCAAGGGAUCGAUAUUCGGCCUCAGCGCUUGAUCUAGAAACUGUAGGUUGUCGCUUUGAGGACCAUGAGAUACAAUUGGCUCCCAGAAAAAUACAAUACCCAGAUGUGCUUCUUCUUGUGUUUGUGCAUCCCGCCCAAUCAGCAUCACAAAAACCAGUGAGACGAAGAGAACUUUGCUUGAAAAACCUAAUUCCAUGCUCCAUUGUUCCUUUCAAAUAUCUAAGAAUGCGUUUGACAGCUCGCAAGUCAGCUUUAGUGGGUGCUUGGAAAUGUUGGCAAGCCUUGUUUACUGCAUGCACAAUAUCAGGCCUUGUGAAAGUUAAAUAUUGAAAGGAUCCAACAAGUUGCCUAUAUUGUGUAGGAUCAAUAGGUUGUUCAUCAAAAGAUGUGAUGAUGGACUUAAGAGCCAUGGGUGUGUUGAUAGGAGUACACUCCAUCAUUUUUGUGUGCUCUAGGAGAUCUCUAAUGUACUUUAUUUGAGAAACUAACAACCCAUUAGGAAGAUAUUUAACCUCCAAUCCCAAAAAAUAAUGCAAAGAUCCUAAGUCCUUGAGAGAAAAUUCACUACUCAGGGUGCUGAUGAGGUCACUAAUGAUGUUGUUAUCAUUGCCUGUGACUAUAAUAUCAUCAACAUAGAUAAGUAGCAAAACAAUAGACUGACCUUUGCGAAGAAUAAAUAGAGACGAGUCUGCUUUACCACAACAAAACCCCAGAUGAAGAAGACAUUGGGAUAGUCUAUCAAACCAGGCCCUUGGAGCUUGCUUAAGGCCAUAAAGAGAGCGAUUCAAUUUGCAGACAUGAUUCGGAAGGUCCUCAUUUAUAAAUCCUGGAGGUUGUUCCAUGAAUACUUCUUCCUUUAGAAACCCAUGUAGAAAGGCAUUCUUAACAUCCAAUUGCCUCAUUUUCCACCCCAAGGUUACUGCUAGUGAAAAGAUCAUUCUGAUUGUAGUAUGCUUUAUAACUGGACUGAAGGUCUCUCCAAAGUCCAAACCCGGUAUUUGAGAAAAACCUCGAGCAACUAAUCGUGCUUUGUAUCUAUCUAUGGUUCCAUCUUCCUUCAGCUUUGUUUUAAACACCCAUUUAGAACCCACAAUAUUUGUAGUUGGAGGCCUAGGAACCAAAUCCCAUGUUCGAUUUUGGAUUAAAGCCUUGAUUUCCUCUUGCAUUGCUUUGAGCCAAUGGGGAAUUUUCAAUGCUGUACGAUAUUUUUUUGGCUCACUAAUAUCACUUCUUGUGGCAGCAAAAGUAACCAUUUGAGAUUUUAAACUGGGAUCAUUCUUGAGUUUACUUCUGGUGAUCAUAUGAGUUCCUUUGUUAUCUGUGUGUUGGCCUUGAGGAGGAGAGAUGUCAACAACAAUUUGCUUGCUACUAUCAGGAACUUCAUCAUCAGCACUAUAACUAGUUGAUUUGUUUUGCAGAGAUGGAUCUACAUGCUCAUUUUUCUGCCAUUUUUGAGGAAAAGAUAGAUCAACUACUAGGUGCUUACUGAUAUCAGGAAAAUUACUAACCUUGGCAGGCUUGUAGCUAUUAGUAGACUCAAUCUGGGAGAGUGUUCCAGUAGUAGUAGCAGUGUGGGAAUUGUGGUCACUGGCACCAAGAGCAACAUCAGUGGGAGUUUCAGUAGUAACGACAGUAUUAUGGUCAUUUUUACUAGCAGCAACAGUGGAAAUUUCGGUAGCAACAGCAGUGGGAGUUCCAGUCGAAUUAACACAUGAUGCUUCUGUAUUUUGGUUAGUAUUGCAACGAGCAGAAAUUCUUCCUUCAACACUGAACUGGUUUCUUUGCUCAGUAGUGCAUGGGCAAUGGCUGCACUUCUUAGAGUUGCUUGAUUGGUUAGCAGUGUUCUCCUUCCAAGACUUAGUUUGGUGAUCUAUUUUUGAAGUCUCACAAGAAGCAUCUGAAGUUGAGAAUGAUACCAUUUCUAUAGGAAUCUAUAAAUGAUUUUCCUUAACAAGAGAGUUAUCAUAAGGAAAACAAUUUUCAUUGAAAAUGACAUGACGAGAUAUGUAAACUCUUUUAGUUGAAGGAUGCAAGCAUCUAUAACCCUUGUGUAGAGAGCUAUAUCCAAUAAAAACACAUGGAUAUGUCUUAGGUGAGAAUUUAUUCUUCCCGUAGUCUCUAAGGUAUGGAAAACAUUGACAGCCAAAAAUUCUUAAGCUCCUAUACUCUGGAUAUUGUUUGAAAAGCAUAAAGAAUGGACUUUCCAUUUUCAACACCGUGGAAGGCAGCCGAUUAAUGAGAUAUACGGCAGUAAGGAAUGCAUCUACCCAUAGACUCAAUGGUAGUUUGGCAUUGAAAAGCAUUGUUAGACCCAUUUCAACAAUGUGUCUAUGCUUUCUCUCUGCAACCCCAUUUUGUUCUGGAGUUCGUGGACAUGAGACUUGUUGCAAAAUUCCACACUUGCUCAAGUGAUUUUGAAAUUUAAUUGAUUGAAACUCACCUCCACCAUCACUUUGGAAGAUUUUUAUCCGUCUUUCAAGUUGAUUCUCAACCAGAAUUUGAAACUUCAAAAAACAUUCAAAGAAAUCUGAUUUUCUUCUCAAGGGAUAAAGCCAUGUAUAGCGAGUAUGAUCAUCAAUAAAGACAGCAUAAUACUUGUAUCCUUGAGUUGAAUUAUUUGGUGCAGGUCCCCAUAAGUCACAAUGAAUUUUGUCAAGAGGAUUGCUAGAAAUUUUAUUUCUUAAGCCAAAAGGAAGUUUACAGCUUUUUCCUAACUGACAACUAACACAUACCGUUGCUGAUUUCAUCCAACUGGAUACCUCAAUGAAUUUCUUAUCUUGCAGAAGCUUUAUAGAUUUUGUUUGCGGAUGCCCCAUGCAUUGAUGCCACACUUCUGAUGAUGCCUUGCUAGACCUAGUAACAGUCAUGGCUUGAAUCACAUUUUCCUCCAAUGCAUAGAGACCUUCCUUCUUAGUUCCUCUGGCUAGCACUUGCUGAAGUUGAUCCUUAAUGACAAAACCAGUUGAUGAGAAUUCUAUGGAGCAUGCGUUAUCAGAGGUAAGUUGUCCAAUGGAUAACAAAUUUUUCUUAAUUUCUGGAACAACCAAUAAUUUUUUAAGCUUUAGAUCUCUAUGUUUAGUUUUUAGUCUGGCUUCACCAAUAUGUGAGAUUCUUAAAGCUUCUCCAUUUCCAACAAAAAUUGCAUCAUGCCCUUUAUAUGGAAUUACUUGGGACAUCUUACCUGGGUCAUUUGUUAUAUGGGCUGUUGCUCCAGAGUCCACAUAAAAAUUAGGAUCCUUUUCUUCUUCAUGUAGAGCCAUAGCAGCCAAAGCUUGAGGAAUCUCUUCUGAUUGAUACGAAUAGUCAAAUCUGUUCCAGCAAUCCAAAGCUGAAUGGUUAGUUUUACUACAAAUUUGACAAAUAAGAGUACCUUCAGAUUUUUGAAGUUUCUGUUGUGGUGGAAACUGGUUGUUGAAGCUAUUUCUUGGAUUUCUGGUGCUGAUCUAUUGUGGUGGAAACUGGUUGUUGAAGCUAUUUCUUGGAUUUCUGGUGCUGGAAUGAACAUUCUGCCUUUGGUCACUGGUAGCAUUGUUAUUGAAUCGUCCUGCUGGAGUGAAGCCACGACCUUUAGAAAGAAAUCUUCCUCCUCGAUUUCUUCCUCUUCCUCGUUGGGUAAAAUAGGCUUGUUCAUGGUUUAUUGACUCCUUGUUCUCUUCAUUUUCUAUCAUAAUCAUUUGUUCAUGCCCUUGUAGAGCCAGAACAAAUUGAUUGUAAGAAGGAUACGGUGGCUUUGAUAACAUGGCCACUCGAAAAUCCAUGUAUUUAGUUCCGAGACCUUGAGCUAGUUGAAAAACUUUGUCUAGGUCACUUACUGGUUUUCUAACUGCAGCUAAUGCAUCACAAAUGCCUUUAAACUCCCUUAGAUAUUCAUCAAGGGACCUUGUGCCUUUCUUUACCCCUCGGAGUCUGUUGGUCAAUUGUACUUCCUUCUCUUUCGUCAUUGGAAGGAGCUUUUCUCCUAGAGAGUUCCAGACAUCAUAGGCAGUCUCUGUUCCAUCCAACAAAAGCAUCACUUCUUUUGUCAUGAGUCCAAGAAGCCAGGAGGUAAGUAGACCAUCAUUGUGAGACCAUGUCUCGAUUGACUGAUCAUGGGUCUCCUUUGUUUCAGUACCCAUUGUCUCCUCUGAUGCGUGUCUAUUUUCAGAGAGAUGAUGGAUUAAUCCAAGGCUUCGCACAAGAGGAAGAACUUGUGAGCGCCACAAAAGGAGAUUGGACAUAUUCAGUUUGAUGGAGACGAGGCUUGAGCAUUGAUGAAAAGCUUGAAUGCUAAGAACAUUUUCUGGGUUUGCCAUGGAAGCUUUGGAUUGUUUUAGGUUAACCCGCUCUGAUACCAUGAAGAACAGAAACUAUUUUUUGAAAGGUUGAAUUUCACCACACUUUACUGAUUGUUUUCUAAAGAAUAAAUAAACAAUACAUACUUUCUUUACACAGAAAAUGGAAUAUUACACAGAAUAGGUAAGUAAGAUUUCCUUCCAGCCUUGAUUUUCCACAUUACAAAUAUGGAGAGGCAGAUUGCGUUAUUAGCUGGCUGAUUUUCCAUAGUACAAAUAUGGAGAGGAAGAUUGCGUUAUCAGCUGGCUAUGGAGAGGCAGAUUGCGUUAUCAGCUGCAGCUGGCUGAGUUGGAGUUUCCUUUAUCAGAGUUUCCUUUAUCAUCUUUCUCAUAUGGGCUCCAUCUUCUUUAUAGUUGUUUCCAUGAUUUUAGUUUCAUUCUUUGUUUCCAUUUCAUUUGGUGUAAUAAGGAAAGAGGGUAAUUCUUCUACAGUUUGGCAUCAACGACUUGGACAUCCUUAUUCAAAAAUAUUGUCUUUGUUAAAAGAGCAGAAUAUUAUUGAUUUGUCUCAUUGGAUAUCUAAGCCUAAUAUUUGCAUUAGUUGUCAAAUGGGAAAAAGUUGCAAACUUCUUUUCAAAAGCAAUAAUAAAAUCUCCAAGUUUCCCUUUCAAAAAAUUCAUUGUGAUAUUUGGGGACCAACUCCUAUAGCUUCAAACCAAGGUUUUCGAUAUUAUGCCAUUUUUAUUGAUGAUUUUAGCAGAUUCACUUGGUUAUACCCUCUCAAGUGAAAGUCUGAUUUCUUUAGUUGUUUCAUCUAGUUUCAAAAACUUGUUGAAAAAAAAUUGGAUUCAAAAAUUAAGAUUUUCCAAUGUGAUGGAGGAGAAGAGUUCAGUUCAAUUGAAUUUAUUAACCAUGUUCAAUGUUGUGGCAUUGAACUCCAUGCGUCUUGUCCAGGAACUACUCAACAAAACGGUGUAGCAGAACGAAAACAUCAACAUAUAGGUGAAAUUGGGCUUACAAUGUCAUUUCAUGCUAAUAUGCCCUAUCUUUAUGGGUAGAAGGCUUUUUCCACGGCUGUGUUUGAUUAAUCAUUUACCAUCUUUAGUCUUGCAGAAUGAAAGCUCAUAUAAAAAACUUUACAAAAGACAUCUAGACUAUAGUGGUUUGCAGGUAUUAGGAUGCCUAUGUUUUCCUUCUCUUCGAAAUCAAGGGGGUUCAAAAUUGGGUUCAAAAUUUGUCAUAAAAACAUAUCCGAAUUUCCAAGUUUGGACGAAUGGAUUGGCAAAAUUGAUGACUCAUACAAAAUCCUUUCAAACAAGGAGAUUUCUAGAAAGGAAAAAUCAACAGCCUUGCCUAUUUCUGACUUUACAAAUUGUUGCGACUUUAAUGCUGAUUCUCCACAAAAUAAUGUUUCAGUCCCGAAUGCUCUAAUCUUUGAAAGUCAAGCAAAUCAAGAUGCAAUAUUUCCAUCAUCUACUCCAGUAGAUUCUCUCCCAAACAUGGAAGGCAUCUCCACACACCUUGACAUCCAUGACGUGAAAUGCUCAGAUUCAAGCUCUCACAUUUCCCUUCAGGAAGCCUUGAAAGAUCCUUGCUGGAUAGCUGCUAUGGAAGAGGAACUUUCUGCCCUCAACACUAAUGAUACUUGAACUUAGUUCCAAGGCCGCCUAGUAUUAAUAUUGUCGGCUCCAACUGGAUUUAUCACAUUAAAACAAAGGAAGAUGGAACCAUAGAUCGCUUCAAGGCUCGUUUGGUUGCAAGGGGAUUCACUCAAAUUUCUAGAGUUGAUUAUGAUGAAACCUUCAGUCCAGUAGUUUGACCAACAACCAUUAGGUUAGUGAUUGCUCUCUCCCUAUCCUUCAAAUGGAAGAUAAGGCAACUUGAUGUUAAAAAUGCAUUCUUGCAUUGUAACCUCAAAGAAAUUGUCUACAUGGAGCAGCCACCAGGGUAUAUUCAUCCAACUAAGAAAGAUCAUGUUUGCUUACUUAAAAAAUCACUCCAUGGAUUGAAAUAGGCACCUCGUGCCUGGUUUGAUAGACUCUCUAAAUAUCUUCUGCACCUUGGAGCACGUGUGAUGCCUCUUUUUUUAUAUAUUACAUCCAUUACUCUCAUUUAUGUAGAUGAUAUUCUCCUUACAAGGAAUAACGAUGAGUUUCUCCAACAUCUAAUCUUCAGGUUGAGUCAUGAGUUUAUAAUCAAGGAUCUCAGAUCAUUGCACUAUUUUCUUGGAAUAGAAAUGAAGCCAUUUCCUAGUGGAGUGUUCUUGUCUCAACACAAAUACACACAAGACAUUCUUCACAAAACAAAAAUGUUGGAGAGUGCUCCCCUUGCUACACCAAUGGCUGUAAAAGACAACUCUUCGAACUCAGAACCCGUUGAUGCUACCCUUUUCCGCAGCAUAGUAGGGGCUCUCCAAUAUCUCACUUUCACAAGACCCAACAUCACCUUUGUAGUAAAUAAAGUGUCUCAAUUCCUUAGCAGCCCCACUUUUAGCUAUUUGAAGGUUGUAAAAUGGAUAUUGCGAUACUUAAAUGGGACACAACAUUUUGGUCUUCGUUAUAUUGCCCAAAGCCCUACCAACCUUUAUGCGUUGAGUGAUGCAGAUUGGGCUAGUUGCACCACAACAAGGAAGUGCAUCACUAGUUUCUGCACAUUCCUUGGUACCAAUUGUAUUUCUUGGUGUGCUAAGAAACAACCCACUAUGUUUCACUCCAGCAUUGAAGCCGAAUAUCGUUCUAUGGCCUCCACCAUAACUGAGAUAACAGGGCUCGCAUUUCUUCUUCAAGAUAUUGGUGUUCCCUUGGCACAACCCCCAUAAUUAUUUUGUGAUAAUAUCAGUGCCCUUUACAUGUCACUUAACCCUUUGUUUCAUUCAAGAUGAAAGCACAUUGAGCUUGACUACCACUUUGUCCGAGAAAAGGUUGCAGUGAUUCAUCUUAUCACACGACACAUCCCUUCAUCAUCUUAGCUCUCUGAUAUCUUCACCAUGCCAUUACCCAAGGCUACCUUUCAGGUGUUCAGGAACAAACUGGGUGUUCAACCUCAACCACACACUAGUUUGAGGGGGCAUGUUAAGAAUCUAGUCAAGAAGAUUCUAAUACAGCUCAAGAGAAUAAAAUCUCCAAGCUCUAGGCUGUAACUCUAGAGAAUAAAGUCACAGAGAAUAAAAUUUCCAAGUUGCAGGCUGCAAAGGAAGGAAAAUAAACAGUGUGUAUAUUAAAACCUGCUAGUCAAUGAAAAUAGCAUCAACUUCAUCCAUUCCUUUCUAAACUUUCUUUAGAAAGCAUAGGUUGUAUCAUUUUUCUUUUCAAGAAAACAACCUUUAACUCCCCAUUGGAUCACUUUGAAAUGAAUUUGAAGGUGAUAUCAAAAUAUUCUACUCAUCUUAAGCUUUUUUAUGUAAUAUUUUGUCAACGUUUUAGGUAAAAUUAAUGAAGAAAAUAUGAUUUUUUUUUUCUCUUGCAAAUAUAAGGAUCCAUCUUAGAAAAGAGUGUUUUUUUACCAUGAACUUCAAGACACCAAAAUUAGAAAACAGGUAGACUAAUGAAAUCCCAAGUCCAAAUGGAGAAGAUUGAUUGCAAUUGGGAGGCCUACAACAAUCAGGAAAGGAUCGCAUGGAACCCACAUACCAAGAAGGCAUAAUAACAAAGUGGAUUGUUAUAGGGCAUGUGUUAGCCAUGCUCAUGUGUACAACCAAUGCGUGAUAGUGCUAUCCUAUGUCCUUUCUUGACACUGACUGCAUGUGAUAUAUCCCCUCAUUUUUCUUUGUAUUUGUUUGAUUUUUUAAAAGUAAAAAGUACACUUCUUUUUUAGUAAGUAGGAAAGCGCUUGGGGUUCAUUGACCAUGGUUUUUAGGACAAAAAAGUUCCAAGAUAUAUAUAUUUUUUUUAUGUGAUGACCUCUCAUAUUUUUCCAUGAUUAUUUAGAUUUUUUUUUAUUUUAUUAAUUUUUAAUUAUUAAAUUUGUGUUUCAAGAAAACAAAAACCACAAGAAAAUUCUUGUCUAAGUUUUUUAGAAUAUUUUUGAGAUUAUUAGAGAACAUUCUAUUCUACAAGAAAUUUUUUAUUAUUUUAUUGUUUUUAGAUUUUUUUUCUCAUGCAUUUUAUUUAAGUGGAUUAUUAUUGUAAUAAUUAUUUUUGAGGCAUGAAAAAUAGAAAAUAAUUUUCUGUGGCAGAUUUUUUUUUCUUUUUUUUUGCAAAUUUUAAUUGCUUAGUAGCUAAGACAUGUCUAGAUCUUGUUUACAAUCCUCGUAACAAGUCUAUAACCAUCAACAUCAAUAUCAAGUUGAGAGUUUCAUCUUUAAAACUGACCACUCUAACCAAAUAUAACUAGUUUAUGCAAAUGAAACUCAAUUUCUCUUAUACCCUACCUUUACCCACUUUUAUAGCCAACAUCAAAAUGAGGUGAUAGAUUUGCCAAAUCUCUCUCCCACUAAUUUUUUCAUAAUUGAAAGCUUCUUUGAUUUUAUUUCCAAGACCUCUUUAAUUAUGAAAACCUUUCUUGUAUGGUCCUCGAUUAGUGGGAGUUUAAAAAAUAAUUCCAUCAUCCCACCAUCCUAACGCCAACACCCCCAUCCCCAAAUCCAACUUGCCUUUUUAAGAACCUUUGAAGAAUCUAAGUCUUAUCCAUGCAAGGAAAGUGCAAUUUUACUUUCAUAGUCAACCAGUUAGUCUUACAAUCCUAGCUUCAUAUGAAAACAACUUGUACAAUUAUUUCCAAAAGAAAAUACAAGUUAGAAGAGAUAUCCUCAUCCCAAAAGGAAGUUCAUCACUUUUAAACUAAAAAUUUCAAAUUUCAAAUAAUUAUGAAAGGAUGACCUCUAAAUAUUCCAGCCCACAAGUCUACCAAAUCUUAAAAAUAAAUGGAAGAUGUUCAUAAUUAUGUCGAGUAAAAUAAAAUCCUUCCUUUAUGUUAUAAAACUUUCUAACCAAUUGCUUAUUUAAAUAAAAAUUUGCUGGAAAAAUUCCAGCCCCCAAGUCUAUCAAAUUGGACAUGGGUUAGCCAUCGAUUAGCUCACAUUGCAACCUUGAAAUCUCCAUUCAUCAGCUCUCAUUGCAACCUUGAAAUCAUACCUCAACUUUCAAUUCCACAAAUUAGCAAAUUCUCAGCCUCAAAUUUAAGCAACUCCCAGCCAUGGAUUUUGCCUUAAACCAGCCACUCAUUAGACUCCUUCUUGGGUUGUUUUGCUGCCCAUGGUGGUGUGCACCCAAGGCCCCUACCAUAGGUGCUUUGAAGCACAUUAUGCUUACUUCUUUUCCAUAUUACAAAUUUCAUUAAACAUGAAACAUCUUGCAUAGCAAACUAAAAUAAGGCUUUUCUAAAAACAAUUUUAUAAUUCCUUGUGUGUGAAAACUCUUUCCAAAAAGAAAGGCCUUAAAAAAAAAUAAAUAAAAUUCAAGUAAAAUCUCUUAAUGAGUCCAAAAAAUGUGGUUUUAAAUUAUAAAAGUCUAAUAUAAAAAUAUAAUUGAAUAUAGUAGUCCCAUUAAUUAUAAUUGUAGCUAGGAUGGGCUUCACACUCUUCUUAAAAAUCUAAUACACAUUGAUUCAUUGAACCCAAGCCUUCAAAUACUUAAAGGCCUAAUACAUAUUGGUUCGUUGAACCCUAGCAGUUAAAUAAUGAUCUAUGAAAUUCCUUCAACAGUCAAAUAAUCAUUUAAGAAAUUCUCAAUUCUCUCAUAUGAAGAAGAAGAAGAUUCCAAACAUGAGUCUAUUUUUUAUUAAUAGCAUGCAAAAUUGGAUCAAAGAUUUAGCAUAUGGUAAGCUAAUUCAUGUUUGAUUUGUAUUACUUUGGGAUUUCUUUAACUUUCAAUCAUUUGAAAGUAGAUGAAGUCAUAUUUUUAAAUUUUUAUGGUUCCUCUAUUUUCUUCUUGUUUUUAUUUUGAUAUUUGAUGUUAUUCUAAAUCUAAGACAUUCUUCCUCAUUUUCUUACAUAUUCUUUUAGGUUUCCAUGGUUGAAUACUAGUUAGUAUGCUCUUUGAUGCAUAACAUCUACGGGAUGUAAGUCAAGUGUGAGUUUUGUAUUGAUCCUAAACUUACAUAUACUUUCCAUAAUCUUAUUUCAUAAUUAAUUCUAAAAUGUGAAUUAUAUUGACUCUAAUUUUACACUUACUUCUCCUACUAUUUAUAUUUGAUUGUGAAUUCUAAAAUUCUUUAUUAUUACAACUCUAAAAGAAUUCAUUAAACAAAUAUACCUCACUAUUAUCUUUGGGCUAUUAUUGCUCAUAAGAUAUUGAUCACUAUGUCCUUUUACUAUUGCCAUUUUAAAUGUAAGAUAGAUACUAGUACCAUCUUCAAGUUUUAAAAAGUUGUGCUUAUUUAGAGCAUGACCAUAGUAGGGAGAGUUCCAUCGAUGUAAUCCUCAACCCGAUUGACAAUGAUUACAUUCAGAAACUAAUUUUUCUAGAUGAGGUAAUUGCUUUAAUCCAAUUUGAUUGUGAGUGGUUGGCUAAGAGUUGGAAGAGAUUGAUGAAUGAACUGAGUAGGGUAAGAUGUUUUGAAUCAAAAACUGGUUUCUGGAAAAUUUUGUUACAUGUUUGGAAUCUGUGGAGGAAUUUCAAUAUUAGAUGAGGGAUUUGUAGCAUAAGAGGUUCCAAGAGGGGUUGAUGAAGAUGAAUCCAUUUUGGAUUGAAGCAACUUUGAUACCAAAUUGGAUCUGGAAAAGAUAGCACAAAGGAAAAGAAUUCAAAGAGAAGAAAGGAAAAUAGUGUAAAGAGGCUCAAUUCAUUACUGAGCAGAGCAAGAAACAUUCUUUAUAUAAGCAGUUAUGUACACAUAGAGGGAAAUCUCACCCUACAUAGUAAUUAUUUACAAUUACUUACAGUGGUUAAAAAAAUUGAAUAUAUCUCCCCCCACACUUGCAAUGAGAAUAUCAACGACGACAACGAUCAGAGCGGUAUGGUUUCUAUAGCCACAGAUUUGGCAAGGACCACGGGGUCGAUUUCCAUUCCAAUUCGAAGAUUUCUUGUGAUUAUUAUUCUGAGAUGAAGUGGGAAGCAAUGGAACAGAAUUAGACUGACUAGCCCCCAUGUUUGCUUAAGGAAAAUCAGUAGAGCUCUUAAGUAAAAUUNNNNNNNNNNNNNNNNNNNNNNNNNNNNNNNNNNNNNNNNNNNNNNNNNNNNNNNNNNNNNNNNNNNCCCUAUGGGGGAAAUUCCCCCCCCCAAAUAUUAUUUUUUAAAAAUUUUUCCACGGGUUAAAAAAAAAAAAAAUUUGGUUAAAAAAAAAGAAAAUAUUUUCCCCCCCCCCCCCCCCCCCCCCCCCCCCCCCCCCAAAAAAAAAAAGAAUAUAAAAACUUAUGUCAUUCAUCAUCAUUUAAGAAAAAAGCUUAUCAAAUAACCUAUUAGAUAUUUAAACAUAUUGAGGGUUAACAUUGUUCAACUUUAUAUUGACAUAAUUAUUAUUUAUUAAAAAAACAUGAUCAUUUUAAAUACAAAUCAACUUAAAUUAGCUCGGUAUAUUGUUAAACUUAUUACCUAUCAGUUUUAGCUUUUAGGUUAAAUUUGUAGCUUAAUAUGGUAUUAACAAUAACAUUGAGAAUCACCAUUUCCUUCAUUUGAUAUCUCAUAUCUCGUUCACAUGUGAAGGAGAAAUAUUAACUUAAUAUAUAUUAUUGGGAUCCCAUGAGUAGCUUAACAGUUCUUUUAAUCUAUGCUGCAAACUACUAUCCACCACAAGUUGUACAAGCAAUAUAAUAUACUCUUGAUACUUUUAUUACAAUUAAGACUCUACAUUGAUGAAUUUCCUGAUUAAUCUUUGGAUAUCAAUUAACCAUUAAAAUUAUUAUUUGGGAGAAAAUCUUAAGAUAAAGUUUAGACAUAUUUUAUAAAUCCCCCCCCCCCCCCGCUAGGUGUUCCCUAUCAAACUUUCGGUUAUUAUUCGAGUGGUAUUGGAGCAAUACCUAUUUUUCAAUUGGUAUCAGAGCAAGAUAACAAACUGAUUCUUUAUCCUAUUGAUUAAAAAUUCAAUUUAUUAUUUUUUACAUUGUUUAAAAAUCAAAUUUUUAUUAAUCAUAUUAGAUAAAAAUCAAAUUUUUAUUAAUCUUAUUAAAUAAAAAUCAAACUUUUAUUGAUCUUGUAAGUCUGAUAUGGAAUAGUCAAAAAGUGGUGCUCCUUUGAAUAGUCUACUCUAUUAUGAUGGGCGUAAUUACUCCCAUUGGAAAGCAUGAAUGAUGUUUUUCCUCAAAAUGCAAGAUGAAAGAGUAUGAGACACAAUUGAAUAUGGUUAGGGACCAUCAUUAAUUCUUAAUGCUCAAGGAAGAUCAACAGGAGAACUUAAACCUAAACAUGAAAGGACAAAGCCGACACUGAAGGUAGUGAAGCCAAUGCUAGAACUUUAUUUAGUAUUCUUAAUUGAGUUUGUUUAGAUGAGUUUCACAUGAUAGCUGUUAGAGCAACAAUCAGAUAUAGUUUGUUUUAUUUGUAUCUAUCUUAUUGUUGUAACUAUCAUCCUUUAAUCAUGUAAGUAGUUAGCUGAUUUUAUGUUAUUUCAAACUCUGUAAUUUAGCUAAAGCUGCUCUUGUAUUCAUUAUUAACACAACAAUAUAAUACAAACAUUCAUUCUCAUAUUAUCUUUACAUGGUAUCAAAGCCCUCAUUCUAAUUUUUUGAUCAAUCAUGACUUCUUCUCAAAUGAUCCCUUCAAAUUCAAUCUCUUCUUCUACUCAUCAUACCUUCUUUGUCAAGCUUACUUCAAGAAAUUAUCUUGCUUGGAAAACUCAAUUUAAUCCUCUUCUUAAUUACCAAAAUCUGACUGGGUUUGUUGAUGGUUCAACUGUUGCUCCAUCGAAAACAAUUAAAGAUUCUUCUACUCUUCCUACUAAGAUUCCAAAUCCAGAAUAUGAAACAUGGUAUAAAAAGGAUCAUAUGUUUCAUUCCUGGAUCCUUUCUUAUCUUUCAGAAGAGAUAUUUCCUUAUGUUAUUGGGUUAUCUUCAUCUUAUGAAGUAUGGCAGGCUCUCUCUCAAGCUUUUGGUUCAAUUUCUCAAAACCGACAACUACAAUUGCACAUUGAACUCCAAGAAUUGAAGAAAAAUGAUCUCUUUGUCUUAGCAUAUUUGCAACGUGCUAAAGCUCUAGCUGAUGAGCUAAAUGUGGCAUGUCGUCCUCUUGCCCUAGCAGAAUUUAAUGCAAUAAUUUAUCGCAAUAUUGGCAGUGACUAUCAUGCCAUUAUCACUGCCUUAAAUCUUCGUUCUGAACCAGUGUCAUUUCAUGAACUCCAUGUUCAACUUAUUGCUCAUGAAAUUUUACUUAAGAGCUCUACUGAUCUUCCUUAAGCAAACAUGGUGGCUAGUCAGUCUAAUUCUGCUCCAUUGCUUCCCACUUCAUCUCAGAAUAAUAAUCACAAGAAAUCUUCGAAUUGGAAUGGAAAUCGACCCCGUGGUCCUUGCCAAAUCUGUGGCUAUAGAAACCAUACCGCUCUGAUCGUUGUCGUCGUUGAUAUUCUCAUUACAACUCUCACAACCAAAAUGCAACUUCUCAUGCUAAUUACUCUUCAGCUGGUCAUUCUCAAAAUAAUUGUGCAAGUUCUCAAGUUCCUGUUGCCAACUACACUCAUGGAGGUUCCACUAUGCCAUGGUAUCCUAACACAACAGUGAACUAUCACAUCACCCCUGAUUUAGCCAAUCUCAGCAUUGCUUAUGAAUAUAACGGACAUGACCAACUCCAUGUUGGUAAUGGACAAUGUUUGCAAAUAACUCAUAUUGGUAUCACAUCCCUUCCUUCAUAUUCUGGUUCUCUCUCUUUAAAAAAUGUUCUUUGUGUUCCUCAAAUUGUCAAAAACUUACUUUCAGUUCAAAAAUUUACCAUUGAUAAUUCCUGCUUCUUUGAAUUUUGGUCCUCUUAUUUUCUUGUCAAGGAUCAAGUGUUCAUGAAAAUCCUCCUGCAGGGCCUAAGUGAAGAUGGAGUGUACACUUUUCGCCCUAAUGUCAAGCAAGCAUUUACACCUGAAGCACCAACCAUGGAUGAAUGGCAUGCUACUUUGGGACAUCCUCAACGGCGUAUCUUGUCUAGUUUAAUCAAGCAAUUUCAUUUACCUUGUUCCAGUAAUUCUAGUUCUCUUUGUUCUUCUUGCAUUUUGGGCAAACAUGCUAGACUAUCUUUAGGAUCAGUUCAACAUAAAAGUACUGCUCCCUUUCAACUUAUUUACUCUGAUGUUUGGGGCCCCGCUCCUUUGUUGUCCAGUCUUGGCCAUCGCUAUGCUCUUAUUUUCAUUGAUGAUUAUUCCCGUUACACAUGGGUUUAUUUGAUUAAAAAUGAAACUGAUGUUUAUUAUGUCUUUCUUCAAUUUGAGCAAUUCAUUCAUCGUCAAUUUAAUCAGAAAAUUUUGGCAUUCCAUUAGGACGGGGGAGGGGAAUACCGAAAACUAAACACCUAUUUUAAACAAGUUGGCAUUGUUCACAGACUUGCAUGUCCUCAUACUCAUGAACAAAAUGGUGUUGUAGAACGGAAAAUUCGCCAUCUUGUUGAUACUAGUCUUGCACUUCUUGCUCAUGCUAAUUUACCACUACGGUAUUGGAAUUAUGCAUUUGAAAUGAGCUGUUCUUCUAUUAAUAAUUUGCCCACUCCAGUUCUUAAUAAUUCUUCCCCAUACUUUGUUUUAUUUCACAAACACUACUCAAAAGCCUUUUGGGUGCACUAUUUUUCCUCUAUUACGUCCAUAUAAUAACCAUAAGUUUGCAUUUCGGAGCACUCCUUGUGUCUAUCUUGGUCCAAGUCCCUCUCACUUGGGUAGUCGUUGUCUUAAUUUAUCAAAUGAUAGGGUCUAUAUUGCUAGGCAUGUUGUUUUUAAUCCUAGCCUCUUUUUGUAUCGUUCUCAUAUUGCAGCAUCUCAAGCUCCAAAGGACUAUUCAAAUUUCCCAUGGCUUCAUAUUAAAAGUGUACCUCCAUCAUCCACGAGUUCUGUUAGAAAUUCAGGUCAGACCUCUACUCCCUCUAAUAUUCCUUUAUUUUCUACCACUGAUCAAUCUUCAAAUAAUUCCUUAUUGUCAACUUAGUCCCCACCUUUGACCACGCCACCCUCCUCUCACUCUUCUAUCCCACAACAAUCACCUUCAUCAGAUUCAACCACUAAUCCUCCACUAUCUCUUAUUGUUGAUCUCACCCAUUAACUAGCUCAACUAAAUGUUGCGUCUUCUACCUCAACCUCUCCUCCUCAAAUUCACCCCACGCAGCUUCGUUCUUCCACCAUGCAAAAACGACAUGCUUGUCUUUCCACCAAAGCUAAAAAUUACCUUAUCACAGAACCACAAACCUUCACUCAAGCCAAACCAUACGCUGAAUGGUGUGAUUCAAUGCAAAGUGAAAUUAAUGCCUUGCUUCAGAAUCACACAUGGGUUCUUGUUCCUUGACCUCCAAUUGCCAAUAUCAUUGGUAGUAAAUGGGUUUAUUGAAUUAAAAGGAAAACUAAUGGGAAGAUAGAUCGAUUUAAGGCUCGGCUCGUUGCGAAGGGUUACUUGCAGCAGCCUGGUAUUGACUACACUGAGACCUUUAGUCCUAUGGUUAAAGCUACUACAAUUUGGACUAUUUUAUCAAUUGCUACUUCUUCACAUUGGUCAAUCCGCCAACUUGAUAUCUCAAAUGCGUUUUUACAUGGUUUUAUUGAUUCAGAUAUUUAUAUGGAGUAGCUCAUUGGCUUUCAAGACUCUUCACAUCCAAACUAUGUGUGUAAGUUCUCUAAGUCGUUGUAUGGUCUCAAACAGGCCCCUAGGGACUGGUUUCACAGACUCACUUCCUUUCUGUAGGACCUUGGUUUUCAAGCUUCAAAGGCUAAUUCUUCUUUUUUUAUUCUUCAUCAAGGUGCUCUUAAAUUCUAUGUUCUAAUUUAUGUGGAUGAUAUCGUCCUUACUUGCUCUGAUUCUACAAAACUGGAUUGGUUUUUAAGUAAGAUCAAAUCAACCUUUCCAGUUCGAGACCUUGGAUCCCUUCAUUUCUUCUUGGGUAUUGAGGCACAAUUUUCGGCUGAUGGUCUUCUCAUCACCCAACAAAAGUACAUUACUGAUUUGGUGGCCAAUUCUAACAUGUCUGACUGCAAGCCUUGUUAUACACCUAUGUCGACCAGCCCUCCACUUUCCAAACUCUUUAGUGAUCCUUCAUAAAAUGCAGAGCAAUAUCGCCAAGUGGUUGGAUCCUUGCAAUACAUUACUCUGACUAGACCUGAUAUCUCAUUCUCGGUCAAUACAUUAUCUCAAUUUAUGCAUCAGCCCACUCAAGAGCAUUGGACAAUAGCUAAGAGGCUGUUGCGUUAUCUUAAGGCUACUGUUGGUUUCGGUUUGUUUUUCUCCAAGCAUUCCACUCUUGAUUUGCAAUGCUUCACUGACAGUGAUUGGGGUGGUUGCCCUAAUGAUCGUUGAUCAACAAAUGGUUAUGCAGUCUAUCUAGGCAAAAAUCUCAUUUCAUGGACUUCGAAGAAAUAACCAACCAUUGCCCGGUCUUCCACCGAGAGUGAAUAUCGUGCUCUUGCUAACUCUACUGCUGAAAUUAUGUGGCUUCGAUCACUUCUCUCUUAACUUGGCUUCUCUUCCUCAAAUCCAACUACAUUGUGGUGUGAUAAUGUGGGAGCUAUUUAUCUAUGUUCGAAUCCUAUCUUUCAUGCCCGAACAAAACAUAUCAAACUUGGCUAUCAUUUCAUUUAAGAACAAGUCCAACAACAAAUCAUUCAGGUUCGUUUUAUUUCUUCAGAUGACUAGAUUGCUGAUAUUCUUACCAAACCACUUGGUCAGCGUCUAUUUGUUAAGCAUCGAGACAAGCUUCAACUUUGUUCUUCUCCACCUUCAGCUUGACGGGGGGUGUUAGAGCAACAACCAGAUAUAGUUUGUUUUAUUUGUAUCUAUCUUAUUGUUGUAACUAUCAUCCUUUAAUCAUGUAAGUAGUUAGCUGAUUUUAUGCUAUUUCAAACUCUAUAAUUCAGCUAUAUAAGCUGCUCUUGUAUUCAUUAUUAACACAACAAUAUAUUACAAACAUUCAUUCUCAUAUUAUCAUUAAAAUAGCAAAUUGUAAACAUGCAAAGGAAUCAUGGGAUAUUCUUCAAGUCACUCAUGAAGGUACAUCUACUGUAAGGAUUUUAAAAUUGCAAAUGCUUACUACUAAGUUUGAGAAUAUUAAGGUGCAUGAAAAUCAAACUUUUUCUUCCUUUUAUUGUAAAUUAAGUGAUAUUGUAAAUUCUUCAUUCAACCUUGGAGAACCUAUUCCUAAUUCUAAGGUAGAAAAUAUUGAGAUCCCUUCUAAAGAGAUUUAGACCUAAAGUAGCUGCCAUAGAGGAGAGUAAGGACAUCGAUUCCAUGAGAGUUGAUGAACUUGUAAGCUCUAUUCAAACAUACGAGAUGACCUUACCUAGUUCCGAAAAGCCUAAAGACUCUACUUUUAAGGCUUUUGAGGAUGAGGUAAACGAUAAUGAAAUGUCAUAUGAUAUAACGAGUGAUGAAUUGACUCAUAUGGCUAGAAGGAUUAAAAGGGUCAUCAAAUUCAAUAAAAGGUUCUAAAAGAACCAAGAAUCUGGAAAAGGAAAAAAACCUAAUGAACAAUCAUCCAAUGGGAAAAGAAAAGGUUCCUCCAAAGGUAAGAAUGUUGAAUGCAUUAACUAUGGAGGUUUGGGACAUUAUGCUCAAGAUUGUCCUAGCCCCAAAGACGCCAAAAAGUCUAUGCAAGGAAAAUGGAGUGAUACUAAUUUUGAAGAGAGUGGUUCCACAACUUUUAAAAUGUAAGGUACGAUCCCAAUGAUUUGUUAGCUUUUAUUGCAUCUGUUGAAUCUAUGCAUGAUAGUGAUUGUAAUAGUGAUAAUGAUGAUGAUGAGUUUACUAAUGAACAAAGGGUUGAAUUCUUGAGUAAUCUUGUUGUUGAGCAUGAAAGACUAAUAAAGAGUUGUAUGAAAAAUAAUGUUGUUUUGAAGCUCAUAAAAAUAAGAUUGAUGUGCUUAAUGCUAAAAAGACUAAUCUACUUGAGAAAGUUAGAUUAAAUAAUAUAAAAGCGUAUAAGUUUCCAACUAAUUUAAUUUUUUUCCUUAUUUCAAUGGAAAAAUCAAACACUAGAAGUUUUUUUUUUUUAUCAUUUUUUCUUUCUUCAAUUUUUUUUUUUUCUAAGAACCAAACAUAAAAUUAUAUAUAUAUAUAUAUAUAUAUAUAUAUAUAUAUAAACACAAACAGACCCAUUUCAAGAGGAUAGAUCGUCUCAAGCCUCUUGAUUACAGAAUAUAUGUGUCAUGCCAAAGACCCCCUCCAAGGACGUGACUAUCAUUUCAAACCUCAAGUUUGAAGAUUCAAAGUGCAAAUGACUCAAAACAAUUAUCUUGUAACUGUAAGAUCACUAAUUACCAAUUCUUAUUUAGAGUAGUAAAAUAUAUUGUAAUCCUCAAAAUUUAACUUAAAAAAACUAACACAUCAAUCACUUUGCUAUUGUCCUAACAACUUCAAACCGAAAUGGUUCAAACAGUAAUUAAUUUCUAACAUUUAAACAUUGUCCAAAGAUAAAGUUUAAACCAAUGGCCUAAUAAUGACAAAUUUCUAGCCUAAUUAUCACUCCUCGCUUGAAUUGAGAGUAUUUGAAAAAAAAUUAUCAAUGGAUGAGAGUGAAAUUAACUCAUAAAAUUAUUGUUCCCAUAAAUAUUUUUAUAUGUUUAACUACAACUCAGUUGCAAUUAGUAUAGAAGGUUUUUCUAAGUUGAGUGGUUAUGCCUCAUGCAAGGUUCUAUUUAUCUAAAUUAUAAAAUUUGAGUCCUAAAAGUUGGUCAAGAUAGACAAACUCCUAUGACACCAAGCCCUUUGUAUAUUUUCUCCCUUGUUCUAAUUUUUUUUAUCUAGUCAAGUGUUUUGAUUGACUAUAGAUGAGAGGAGUUCAAGUUUAAUAUUCUACUAGGUUUGCUUCGUCAGUGUUUAUACAAGAGAGAGCUCUUCUUUUCUCUACACUCACUACAUAAAAAUGCGUACCUUUCUAUAGAGGUGUAUAGGUACAGACACAAACAACUCUCUUUCUUUGUCUCUCUCUCCACGUCUUGAGUAAGACUUUGGAUUUUGGAUGUUAGGUGUAUGCUCAUGUAACAUUCACUACCAUGGGAUUCUUUUUUCACUACGUCAUAAGGGUAUCAUGAGAGUACUAAGAUAUGCCUAGAUCUAGGUCUUUCACUAUUUGUUAAUAUGUUUUUGAGGUUCUACUAUUAUUAUUACUAUUGAGUGUAUUAUGUUUAUAUUUCAACAUUAGCUUUAAAGCACAGGUUGUAUCAUUUUUUUUUCAAGAAAACAACUUUAACUCCCCAUUGGAUCAUUUUUUAAAUGAAUUUGAAGGUGAUAUCAAAAUACUCUACUCAUCUUAAGCUCUUUUUAUGUAAUAUUUUAUCAACAUUUUAGGUAAAAUUAAUAAAUAAAAAAAUAUGGUUUUUUUUUUCUCUUGCUUUAUAAGUAUCCAUCUUAGGAAAUAGUGUUUUUCUAACAUGAACUUCAAGACACCAAAACUAGAAAAUAAGUAGACUAAUGGAAUCCCCGGACCAAAAAGAGGAGAUUGAUUGCAAUUGGGAGGCCUACAACAAUCAGGAAAGCAUCGCAUGGAACCCACAUACCAAGAAGGCAUAACAACGUGGAUUGCUAUAUAUAGGGCAUGCGUUAGCCAUGCUUGUGUGCACAACCAAUGUGUGAUAGUGCUGUAGUAUGUCCUUUCUUGACACCAACUGCAAGUGAUAUAUCCCCAGUUUUUCUUUGUAUUCGAAGAUUUUUUUUUCAAUUUUUGUGUAGCCCACCUUGUAUUUUAAAAGUAAAAAAGUACACUUUUUAUUUUUAUAGUAAGUGGGAAAGCAUUUAGGGUUUAUUGACCAUGUUGUUUGGACAAAAAUGUUUCAAAAUAUUUUUUUUUAUGUGAUGACCUCUCAUAUCUUUCCGUGAUUACUUAGAUUUUUUUUUUUUAUUAAUUUAUUAAUUAUUAAAUUUGUGUUUCAACAAAAAAAAAAAAAAAAAAAAAAUCACAAGAAAAUUGUUGUCUAAGGUGGUGUUUGGUUUUCGUCUGAAUAGAAAAAACCAAAAUAUUUGAUUUUUUUUAUUCAGUUAAAAGUAACCUAUUGAUAUCAACUAAUAUGAUUAAAGUGGACUUAUUACUAAUAAGUUACACAAUUCUCCAUUGGUUGCCUGCUUCCACAAGUUUCACCAUGUUGGGCACUUCUGUUAACAAUGUACUAAUUUUUUUUAAUAUAUUCACAUUUAUCGGAAAACAUAUAUGAUUUGAGACUUUAUGAAAAUAACACAUGUAAUACAAGUUUAUUUAAUAUAAUUGGGCUCAUAUUACAAACAUUCCCUAUAUCAUUUUUUGAAAAUAAAUAUAUUUAGUCUCUAUCCUUUAUUUACAUUCAAGUUCACUCCUUUUGUUAAAUAUUUUUAGGUAUACUUGAUUUUGGGGAUAAGCAUGGGUAUGAAGGGUUCAAAAGCCCCUUUAUUUCUUUAACUAAGAGACUAAUUAAUUAGAUAAUUUUUUGUAUUAAUGGUUCACUUUACUACUACUUUUCAGGACAUUUGUCAUAAUUUAAUAUAUGGAUUUUUGUAUGAAAAGGUAAAUUUCUAGUUAAAACUUGUUUGUUAGCUUAAUUACUACUUCUUGUGUCUAGCCUUCGUACUGCACAUGUCAAAUGAUCGCGGUGCCCUAACCUUUGGCUUUGGGUCAUCACAUCAUUAGCUCACAUUUCCAUGAGAAGGGUUAUGAUAAAUUGACAAUGAUGUUUCAUUUUAACAUUCCUUCAAAUUUUUAGGUUGAUGUUUUUCUUGUUGCACUAAAUCUCAUCAACAAGAUAUAAAGUAAAUAUUUCUCAAAAGGUAUAGCAAACACAAAUUCACGAAGAAGACCUACCCUUUUGUCUUCAAAAGAGAUAUAAAUGCUUGCAUACAUGUUUUUACUUGCAAACACUAAUGCUAUGCAUGGAAAUCCAUAGCUCAGUUCCUUUCCUAAGAAGAUGAAUGGCUCACACCACUGGCCGAAAUAAGCAUUCAACAGCACUCGAGCCUUCAAGCCAAAUACAGUGUCAUAGACUGAUACAUUGCCUACUAUUGAUAUAACACCUAUCACUAGUAAUCUCCACCCUGCUACAUUUAAAUUGUGAACUUUUUUAAAGAGAUCCUAACUUAAAAUCCAUGUAGAUUCUCUUUAAUUUAGAGCAUGGAUUUAAUAAGUCUAACAGGCUCUGCCUCUUUUGUCAUUCUCUUUAGCUCCUGUUCAAACCUUUCCGUGACUGGCGGAGGCAGGCAUAUAGGUAUAACAUUCCCUUCUUCUCCUUUGCUGUUCCUGAACCGCAUACAGAAGCUAAUAUUAGAUAAAGCCCUAGCAAUCCCACCAUAGACUGGCUUUCCCCACCCGAAGUCGAUCUCUCCAAACCCGGCACGUGUGAGAUCUGAAAUAAGAUAGUUCCCCGGCUGCGUAAAUGAGGGACGGCCCUUGAUGACCAUAAGAUCUGCCACUGAUUUCACAUACUCUUGGCUCAUUUCCGCCUUGGCUUUCUUCAGUAACCUUAUCGCAUAUUCCAAUGGGUUUUUACAUAGCAUUCCAGCCUUAGUAAUUGAAGCUGGAUAAACAAAAGCAUUUCCAUAGUAUCCUGGAGGCAGAUCGAAACCGCGCUUGCCUCGCAUAUUGAUUAAGCAUGAAAUGCGAACAACCUCAUCAGGGUCUACUGCAAAUGCAAUUGUGCGGCAUCUCCAUACAUACGCUAUUAGAACCUCAAACGUCGAGCAGGCACCGAGGCUUGCAGGAAGUCGGUUCCUAAGUGCUCUUAUCUCCUUGGGGCCAAAGAAGAAUGAUCGAUGAACCAAAUUAUUUUCGUCCAUGGUCAUUAGUGUGCCCUUGGCGUUGGUUACCUCCUGAUAUUCAUGAUGUAUACGGGUAAUUCGUGGCGGAUUUCGGGCAUUUAACAGCUCUCUUUGCCAUAUGGGCAGCAGAGAUGGCACAGACAGACCUUGAGCCAUCUCGCUUAUGGCGUCGAGGAAUUGGACCAAGCCAGGACCAUCACUCAUUGUGUGGUUUAGGCGCAAUGCAAAUAUAAAUCCUCCACACCUCAAUCGGGUCACCUGCAUUGUACCAAGAUUUCUUUAUCAAUAUAUGUUUUAGCAACAUCCAAUGAUUUGUAAACUUAACAUUUAUUACUUAAUAACUUAAGUUUAUUAAUUUAAAUUGUUAACUUAAAACUUAUUAUCUAAAUAUUAGGUUAUUUGAUAAAAUUUAUUUCAAAUCAUCAAAUUGACAUAUUUACCCUCCUUAAUUUUGAUUAAUAUUUAUUCUAAUUGACUUUAAUUUAUAUUUAUUUUCAUUAAUUUUAAGUAAUAAAUAUAUUUAUAAAACAUUGAUAUUUAUGUUAUUGUAGAUAUCUAAAAAUAACAAUAAAAUAUUUAUUAUAAAAAGUGGUUUCAAAAAGUUAUUUUUAGUAUUCCAAAAAACUAAAUGUUUUGACUUUUUCUAUUCCAUUAAAAAAUUAAAAGAUAAGUAAUAAGUAAAAAAAAAAUUAAAAACAAAUCAUCUAAAAUGCGAAAGUAAAUUACAUUUAACAUUAAGUUAAAUAAAUAAAUAAAACAAAUACCACUUGAGUUAAAUAAGUUAAAUAAGUUCAUUGAUGAUGGAGAAUAUUUACCUGAAUUAAGAUAAGAGGAGAACCAAGAAUUCCCCCGGAGCCAGGGACAUCAUACAGAAGCUCCUCGAAGCAGGGACACAUUGGUUGAAUUGCAUCACCAAGAUUCUCAAGUGUGGAAUCGGCAUCGGCUUCAAUGAACAAGACCCCUUCACCGGUGCAGUCCACCAUGAGUUUUCUAUUAUGCCCUUCAAUCAGCCUGCCUGCAAAUGGGUAGUAGUAUACAAGCGCCUUACCUAGAGCUUCUCUAAUGACCUUUACAGGGUCUUUUCCUUUCAUUAAAGGAUUGUUUGGGUAAAACAUUAUCACAGGAACUUGAAAGCGAAGGCCUUCUUGAUCAUCUAUAUCAGAAAGCUGCUUCACCUCUCGUGGGGUAGGGUUUGUAGGCCGAACAAAUUCUGGAUCAUGCCGUUUAACCGAGAAUACUAGAGGAGACGAUGACGAUGCCAUGUCCUUCCAGGCAAGGAGUUUGUUGAUGGAAUAUAGAAACAAUGAUAAGAGAAAAUUGCAGGAGUUUAUGUGAUGGUUUGCUUUGAGAAGAAGGUAGCUGAUAUUUGUAGUCUAAUGCUGCACUCCAAUAAUGUGGCCGACCAUUUUGCUCAGCCUACGACACGGUUUAGAUAAGGGGUAGAAUUUUAAUCGUGUUUCACGUGUAUUUUUCUCUCCGGGCCCUGGAAGCUCUUAGUGCAUAUUUGUGAAUUUAUCCCCUCAUAUGUUUUUAUUCAAAGAGUAAUCCAUUUUUGGUAUAAAUGUCCUUAACUAUUUCAAGUAUUUACAUUUAAAAGAAAGGAUUAUUUUUAGAAGAAAAAAUAAGGAUAUUUUUAUCAAAAUGAGAUCAAAAAAGGAUAAAUGGUUAGAUUUUCAAAAUUGGGUUCCCAAUGACCCUUUCAAUCAAAUAACUCUCUAGAUAAUACUUAGAAUUUUGGGUGUAUGAUUUUUCGUUAAACAAAGUUCUGAUAUCAUGUUAAAAUAUUAAUUUUCCUAAAAAAUUAAGCUUAUAGAGUUGGGUUCACAAUAUAUAUCAUGCUCUUUUGGUACCUUUUAAACAUGUUUUAAAACUUUUGUUCAAAAUAAUCUCUUUCUCCUUUUUCUAUUCAAAAUUUACGUUCUCAAAUGUAAUUUCAUUACAAUUCUAAAACCACAUCGCAUUUUUAGUGUAAAUUUGAAUAAGAUUAUGAAAUUAUGGUUUUCUUUUUUAUUUUUUUCUUUUUUUUUUUCUUUUUUUUUUUUUUUGUUUUGAGGAAAAGGAUUAGUUUGAACAACAAUUUGAAAAAAAGACUCAAAUGAGCUAUGAGAAAAUGACCAUUUUGACUCAAAAUUCCACGUAGAAAGUAUUUCAUUUACAUAUCUUGGACCACAGAUAUGUGGUCUGUAUUCGAUGAUGUUUGAUACCAUGGACUUUUCAGCAAUCCGUACUAAGAUAUCAACCAUACACCUGCCAUGCAUUAAUUGAUUAAGAAGGGUUCCCAUUCAAAAACCACAAAAAAAUAGAGCGGUUGUUGAUGUUGAGUUAUCAUUUGACUUAAGUUCGAUUAAACUAAUUAACAAUUUCACUUAAAAAGUAAUGGAUGUAUAAUUUACCUUUUUAAUUACAUAGCUCAAAAGUAUUAAAAUAAAUCAAAAUAUUUAACUUUUUUUAUUCAACUAAAAACAAUCAUACUAAUCAUAUUAACAAGUUUGACCUUUUUAAUCAAAUAACUCUUUAGAUAAUACGUAAAAUUUUGGGUGUAUGAUCUUUCGUUAGACCUUUUUAAUCAAAUAACUCAAAUGAGCUAUGAGAAAAUGACCAUUUUGACUCAAAAUUCCACGUGGAAAGUAUUUCAUUUACAUAUCUCGGACCACAGGAUAAGUGGCUGCCUGUGGUCUGUAUUCGAUGAUGUUUGAUAUCAUGGUGUAGGACUUGUCAGCGAUCCGCACCAAGAUAUCAACCAUACACCUGCCAUGCAUUAAUUGAUUAAGAAGGGUUCCCAUUCAAAAACCACAAAAAAUAUAAUCAAGAAAGGUUCCCAUUCAAAAACCACAAAAAAAUAGAGUGGUUGUUGAUGUUGAGUUAUCAUUUGACUUAAGUUAAAAUAGUUUUAAAAUAUUUUUUAAUAUUAGUUACAAAGUUAUUAAUAUUUUAGGUCAUUUUUUAUAUUCAUUUUAUCUUCUUUCUUAUUUUCAUCCAAAAAGUAUUUUUUAAAAUUUAAAUAUUUUUUCUUCAACUUUUCCAUUCUAUUUUUGAAAAAACAAACAUACAUUUUCCAUUGUAUCCAAAUAUAAAAAAUAAAAAAUAAAAAAUCAUUUUCCUUAAAGAAAAAAUCAUUGCAUCCAAACAUACAAACGUACACCUGCCAUGCAUUAAUUGAGUAAGAAGGUUCCCAUUCAAAAACCACAAAAAAUAGAGCGUUUGUUGAUGUUGAGUUAUCAUUUGACAAAACAUGUAUAAGUUGUAUGCCGUGGCCUGAAUCACCUUACUUUCUUAAAAGAACAUGUGAAACAUUCACUUGCAGCACGACCAAACCUGUACUAGUUGUAUGCUGUGGCCUGAAUUACCUUACUUUCUUGAAAGAACAUGUGAAACAUUCACUUGCAGCAUAGUAGUGUAAAGCACGUAAAUUGUCCCCAAUCUAAAAGUAGUAUUAUUCACUGGGAACGUGUUGUUCAUUCGUACAUGUAUAUUUGAAUGGAUCUUCAUAAGAUUUAGUAUGCAAAUUGUCUCUCGUUUUGCACAAGAUUCAAGGAGUUUCUACCAUUCAAUUCCUUUUUUUUCAAAUAUUUUUGUUUUAUGAAUCAACCCAUUAUGAAUAGUAUGAAAAACUUCAAACCAAAUGUUACAACCAAUCCUUAAGUAGUAUUAUUCACGUGGAAUGUGUUGUCUAUGCUAACAUGUGCAAGUGCAUGCAUCUUCAAAAGAUUUAGCAAUUAAAGAAGAAAUAGUCUUUCAUUUUGCACAAAUUUGAGAGAGUUUCUACCAUUUAGUUCAUUUUUAACCAAAUAUUUAAAUCUUUUUGUGAGGAAAAAUGUGAAGAGAAAACAAAAAUAGGGAGAAAAAUUAGAAAAAAAAUAAAUCGAAGUUAAUAAAUUAUUGUUUAUUUUUGUAUAUGCGGCUUUUAUUUUUUAUUUUUGUAUACGCGGCUUCACAUUUUGUAAAGAUUAAAUAAUUUAAAAGCGUAUAAGUUUCCAACUAAUUUAAUUAUAUUUUAUUUUUUCUAUAUUUCAAUGGAAAAAUCAAACACUAGAAGAUUAUUUUUUUUUUUAUCAUUUUUUUUCUUUUUUUUUUCUUUCCUCAACAUUCUUUUAAGAACCAAACAUAAAAUCAAUUAAUUAUACAUAUAUACACACACAAACAAACCCAUUACAAGAGGAUAGAUGAUCUCAAGCCUCUUUAUUAUAGAAUAUGUAUCAUGCCAAAGACCCCUCCAAGGGCAUGACUAUCAUUUCAAACCUCAAGCUCGAAAACUCAAAGGGCAAAUGACUCAAACAAUUAUCUUGUAACUAGAAGAUCACUAAUUACCAAAUUCUUACUCAGAGUAGUAAAAUAUACUAUAAUCCUCAAAAUUUAACUUAAAAAAACUAACACAUCAACCACUUUGCUAUUGUCCUAACAACUUCAAACCGAAAUGAUUCAAACAGUAAUUAAUUUCUAACAUAUAAACACUGUCCAAAAAUAAAGUUUAAACCAAAGCUCUAAUAAAGACAAAUUUGUAGCCUAACUAUCACUCGUCGCUUGAAUUGAAAGUAUUUGAAAAAAAUUAUCAGUGGAAGAGAAUGAGUUCAAACCCAAUAAGAAAUAUUAAUAUAGUUUCAUGGAUAAAACAUUUUCAACUAUGAUUACAAAUAGGAGGCAUAAUGUACAAUUUAUUUAUUUUUUAAAAAACUUUGAAUUCAAACAUGCUAAAACAUCCAAAACUUUUCAACCAAACAUUUUCAUAUUUGUGUAAAUAACAAUUUCAUAUUAAAUCUAAAUGAAAUGCAUUCAAAAUAUUUUUACUCUAAUUAUCAAAUAACAAAUGUUGUUUGAUUAGGUGAGACUUUGUUACCCAAUUAGGCGAAACUUUACAAAUGGGAGGCUACCCUUAAAUUUGUUCUUUUUAAGGUGGAUGAAACCAAACAUUACUAAUACUAAUAACCUCUAACCAAAUCCCUAGAGGAUGGGGUUUAAAACAAUUACAUUUCCCUCCAAGAAAUAUAAAGGUCUAAUAAUUAUAACAUGUUGAUUAAGGCCAAAAAGGUCAAUAAUUAUAACCCAUUUAUUAUGGCAAAAAAUGUCAAUAAUAUAACCCAUUGACUAGAGCCAAAUAAACCAAAGUCAAACACUUUGUUUCAUUUAUUAAAACUUACAAAAACAUUAUAUCUUCAUUUUUUUUAUUAUAAACAAAAGAAAAUGUUCUUACAUAUUUUUCAUGGAAAAUAUCAUUCAUCCAUGCAUAGAAACAAAAAUAAUAUUUUACAUAAUUCAAAAUAACAGAUAAAAAUAAAUUAUUUUCUCUUAGGUUAUGACACCAUGAUCAUUUCACAUGUGAAGUCUGAAGGCUUGACAUGAGAAGUAGUAAUUAAGCUAACAAAAAAGUUUUAGUAGAAAUUUAUCUUUUCAUACAAAAAUCCAUAAAUUAAAUUAUGACAAAUCUCCCAAAAAUUAGUAGUAAAGUAAACCAUUAAUUCAAAAAUAUAUAAUUAUAUUAGUAUCAUAGCUUAAGAAAUAAAGGGGCUUUUGAACCCUUCAUACCCAUGUCACUUAUUCCCAUAGUCAAGUAUACCCAAAAAAAUUUAAUAAAAGUAGUGAACUUGAAAGUUGAAUAAAGGAUAGAGAUCAAAUACAUUUAUUUUUCAAAAAUGAAAUGGGUAAUGUUUGUAAUAUGAGUUCAAUCAUACGAAAUAAACUUGUAUUAUAUGUAUUAUUUUUAUAAAUUCUCAAAUCAUAUAUAUUUUUCGUUAAACAUGUGUAUAUUUAAAAUAAAAAAUAAAAAAAUUGGUCCAUUGUUAACAGAAGUGCCCAACAUAGUGAGACUUAUGAAAGCUAGUAGCCUUAGUUGUUCCUUACAUAUUAGUGGGUGGAACCAACUUAAACCAUUAAGGGAGUUUAUGUCGACUCCUUUGUGGGCUUAAGUGACUUAAGCUCAUCUUGGGCUUGACUCACUUAAUCCAGUCCUCUAGGUAAUAAUUAAUUAAUUAACUUUAUUGGGCUCCAAUUAAUUAAUUAGCACAGUCCAAAAAGACCAUUCAUAAGCUCUUGUACAACCUAAAAUAUUUGCCAAAAUGCUCUUUUGCACACAUAUGAUAAAUAACCCAAUUAUCCUUUAAAUAAUGUGCCAUCAUGGAAUAUGAGAUAGAAUCAACAUUGGGACCAUAGGAAAAUAUUGGAUGCUUUAGAAUCAAAUUUUGAAAUUGACUCAACAUCCCACUAUGAGGAGUCAACUAUAUUCUAGUACUUGAUGAUAUUAAAUCAAGAUACUAAACUCGGGUCUAUGUCCUACUAAUCAUUGUAUGUAAGCUCCCCAUUAACUAGUGUCUAUAAUUUAACAAUGUGAAUAAUAUCAGUCUCUCAAGAUUACCUCUAUAAUCCUUGAGUCUCAAAUCCUCCUAUUAUGUGAUCAACUCGUUAGGAUAGAGCCCCUAAAAGCAUGACAUGAUGUAACAUGGACUUUAUUAAUAUUUAUAUUAUGAUUAUGGUUUUCCUUUCUAUAUUUCAUUUAUGCAUUAUAUAUGUUGAACAUUUAUACCUAACAUCUUUUGCAUUGUACAUAACGGGUGCAUUAGGAGUUGCAUAAAAAUCUAAGUCAUGGAUUCCUUGCAAGUAGAUGAUUUUAUCACAACUGGUUUAUAGACUUAGGUAAUCCAUUUGAGGUGUUAGUAUACCAACUCCUGAUUGGAGGAAUGAUUGUUCUUGAUCAUUAGGAUAAUUUUCCCAUGGGAAGUGCACUAGUGUGUAUGGUUAUACAUUGAAUAUGACCUAUGGCGAAUCAUGACAUUAGCUAUCGGUUAUUCAUAAUUCACUAAGUUACUAUUCUAUAUAGACUCUCAACCUUGAGAGGAUAUUGAUCUUAUGUUGAGGUCAUCAGGAAACUUUGACCUAUAGAUGAUAAGGUGGUUGUAUAUUCCCUAUGAACUGGGUUGUUGUUGAUAGAGGUUGGUAGCAAUAGGUAUUCUCAAUAAAGACUUCAUGAUAUCUCAUAGGGUUGAGAUAGUGUGUCUCCUCGGGUGAUCAUAAGGACACAUGAUCAUGAAAUUUGUGGCUAUAGUAAUUGCUUAAGUAGAAUUUGACAUAUACUCUUGUGAGCUAGAGUAUGUCAAUUGAUUAUAUAAAAUGAGGAUUUGACCUAUAGGUGAGACCCUAAGAUGGUUAUAUAUUCCUUAUGAAUUAGGUUGCUAUUGACAGAGGUUGAUGGCAAUAGGUAUUCUCAAUAAAGAUACCAUGAUAUCUCAUAGGAUUGAGAUAGCAUGUCGCCUUGGGUGAUCAUAAAGACAUGUGAUCAUGAAAUUUAUGGCUAUAGUAAUUCCUUAAGUGGAAUUUGACAUAUAAUCUUGUGAGCUAGAGUACAUUAAUUGAUUACAUAAAAAGAGGAUCUGUAACUCAAGGAUUGGAGAGGUAAUCUUUAGAGGUUGAUAACAUAUAGCUUGUUAGAUUAUGAACACCAAUUCAUGGGGAGACUACAUGCCGUGGAUAGUAGAACACGGACCUGAUUUAUAUCUUAUUGUAAUUUCAUAGGAUACUAGAGUGUAAUGGACUCUUUGUAAUGGGAAGUCAAGUCAAUUUUAGAAUUGGAUUAUAAGGGAGUUAGUAUUUUCCUAUGGGCCCUAGUGGUCCCCAUUCAAAAUAUUGGUUCAUGAACGACACGAUUUUAAGGGUAUGUUUGGGUUUUUUAUUCAUAUAUGCAUAAGGGUGUUUUAAUAAAAAUGCAAGCUUGCUUUGGUAAAUGUAAGGUCUUUUUUGUAAUCCAUAUUUUCUAACUUGAUGUAGUGAUAAACUAUGAUUUCCUAACAUUAGUAAUCUUUUCAUUAGAUAUUUUGUUUGAGUGAGAUUGGGAUUUUAAGUGCUUUCAAAGUAUUAACAUUUUCAUAUUAUUUACAAUGUGAUCAAAAUUGAAUAUGUAAUUAAUAAAAUUUAAAAAUGACUAAGAAAUUUAAAGAAAUAUGUCAAAUUUUCCAUAUGAAUUUUAAUUUAUUAAUUGGCUUGUUAUGACUAUUUUUCUUGCUUAAAAUUAAGUUUAGGAGCUUUAAAUUACUGACUUAUUAUUUUUAUUUUAUUUUUUUGUAUUUUUUCUUUUUCAAUUGUAGGUGAAGAUGCUAAAGCUCCAACACCAACCAAUAGUAGAGGACGUUAUGGCAUAAUUGAAGCAAAAUUUUGUGAGAAAGUGUUGAGGAAAAGAGUAGGAUAUGUCAAGACUCUUGGUUUUGACCCUUAACUAGUUUCAUUAUCUAGAUUCAAACCAUCAUCUUCUCAUCUUGAAGUAGAGUUGCAACAUAGACUAGCUGAGACUUAGCUACUUAUGGAGACUCAGCAAUAACUGCAUGUACUCGGUAGGAGGGAAUUGACUAUCUGGAGGUCCUACUGUAUUUGUAAGAUUAACAACAUCAACAAUAAUUUUUGAAGAGAUCUUAUGUCAUCUAUGAUUAGGCUAAGGGUGCUGAUGAUCCUUUAUGAUAUUCAUAUAAUGGAUCUUUCUUAUCCAUUUGUCCAUGUUGAUGUGGUUAUUCUUUUACUGACACUUUUUCAGACUAAUAUUUUAUUUUUUUAAUUUAGUGUUAUGAUUACUUGUUGGGGUUUUACAUAUAUUGUCAAUGAAGUUAUGUGAUAUUUAUUUUGAAUUUUAUAAGUAGGUUUGAGAGUAAAAUUUUUCUUUACAAUUUUCUAAUCGGAUUUAAAUAGUAUGAAAAAUUGUAUAAUUAUAAUAUAAAAAAUGAAAAUUGUAAAUACAUUUCCUGAUGAAAACAUUUCAUUACUAAAGAUAUAUCCCAAUGAAACUUUUUUGUUGUUGAAGGUUUUCAUACCAUUUACAACAAAUUUAUAAUUUAUUGACAAUAUUUUGGGAGACGAAAUUAUUUUGUUACUAAAAGGUUUUGGAAAUGAAAUAAAUUUGUCACUAUUAAUUAUUGACGAUUUUUGGGACAAAUUUUGGUUGUUUUCAAUGACAACUUCUUAGUUUUACCGAUGAAAUAUUUCAUUGGGAAAAACCUUUAGGGACGCAAAAUUUAUUUUGUUAGGGAAAAUUUUGGGUGAUGAAAUGAUACUUUCGUUGGGAUACUUUUAGCGACGAGUUUAGGGCAAUGAACAUGGCACGAAAUAAUUUUCAUCGGUAAAUGUCUUUACAGACGAAAUUCGAACUUCUAGUGACAAAAUAUUUUAUCAGUAAAAGUCUAUUUUCUUGUAGUGAAGGUUGCACUAGAUUAUAUGAAUGGUCUUUCUAAACUAGGCUAAUUAAUUAAUUAGAGCCCAAUAAGGCUAAUUAAUUAAUUAGGACCUAAGUGGGCUAGAUUAAGUGAUCCAAGCCAAAGUUGGGCUGAAGUCACUUAAACCCAUAGGAAAACAUAUAGAAAUCCCCUUAGGGGUUUAGGGCUUUAGUUUUAUGCUCUUCGCUUUGAGAUUCCAUAGAGAAAUCUUAGCCUCCCUUUCUAAAGAGAAUACUACCUUUCUCUAGUGCUUAGAUCUAUGAGAGAGAGUGAUUAAGCAAAAGGUUGCUUGGUUGGUGAGGCCUGUGAUUCAUUUUAUAGGACUUCAUCAAAUGGAAUUAACCCGAGAAUAUCCAAAUUGAAGGUAUGAUCUCUAUUAUUUCUAUAUCUAUGUUAUCUAUGGUUUUUAUUGCCACGUUUUUCCAUUGCGAUUAAUUCUAAAGAGCCCUGAAAUAGUAGCAUGCACCCUAAAUGAUCUAAGGCUAGGAAUGGAUGUUAGGAUAAAGCCUUUAAAAGCAUGACAUGAUGUAACAGAUUUAGAAUUCAUUAUUUAUUUGAUGAUAUUUCAAGUUCACUUUUAUCUAUCCUAAUUUCAUGCCUUAUACUCUAUGAGCAUUCUACCUUAACAUCUCUUGCAUUGUACAUGACUUGGGUGCAUUAAGAGUUGCAUGGAAAAUCCAAGUCAUGGGGCUCAUUGCAAGUAGAUGAUUUGUUCACAAUCGGUUUGUAAACUUAGGCAAUCUAUUUAAGGUUGUAGUGCAUUGCCAAUUGAAGGGAUGAUUGGUGUUGGCCAUCGGGAUAGGAUUCUCAUGGAGAGUGUACUGGUGUAUACAAUUACACAUUAUACUGGACCUACAGUGAGUCAUGACAUAAGGCUAUUGGAUAGUUCAUAUGUGGACCUCCAUUUUUCACGUGCAUUCUUACUCGAUGACGAGACUCACUUUUUAUUUGUGAAAAUUUGAUUUUUCGAAAAAAAUAUUGGAGUCACCACUUAUUUUAUUUUUUUUAGAAGGAAAACAAAAUAAGAAAUAAAACCUUAAAAAUGACUUUUGAUUUGAAAAAGCAUGUCUUUGAAAACCCAAGUCUAAGCCUAAAGAUCAAGUUACCUAUGGAAAACGUAUGGUGAUAAAUCGUAGCACCCAUCUAAGCCCUAAGGCAUGAAGAUUGAUUGGUUAAUCUAUGAAUACCGAAGAAUAAGAAUCAUGCAUGAUAAUAAAGAAUGUAGGAAAGAUAGAUUCGAAGUGUAACCUCAGCUGCAAGCUGAGUGCUAUUGUGAUGGACAAGGUUAGUGCACAAUGAGAAACAUAAAAUAUCUCAUGUAUAUCUAGGAAUAAAGCUAAAUCAAUCAUUUAUUUCAAUAAACAAGAUGACCAAAAUCAAUUAACAAAGAAGUACAUCAUGUAUAUAGGACCCUACCACUACCCAUUUUAUAUCAGCAUGGAUUAAUUAUAUGAGUUUCAUUAAUUUAGUAGUUAGAAAAUUUAUUUAUUUUAUUAAAAUUGAAAAUUUAUUAAAAAUUAGGGAAAUUAAAAAAAAAAUACUUGCCAAAAUAAAAAUAAAUGGCAGCAAGAAGUUUAUCAAAAUUUGGAUUUUAUCAAAAUAAAUGGCAGCACUCGAGCCUUCAAGUUAAAUACAGUGUCAUAAACUGAUACAUUGCCUACUAUUGAUAUAACACCUAUCACUAGUAAUCUCGACUCUGCUACAUUUAAAUUGCGAACUUUUUUAAAGAGAUCCUAAGCUACAUUUAAAUUCUUAAAAUCCAUGUAGAUUCUCUUAAAUUUAGAGCUUGGAUGUAAUAAGUCUAACAGGCUUUGACUCUUCUGUCAUUCUCUUUAGCUCCUGUUCAAAUCUUUCCAUGAUUGGCGGAGGCAGGCAUAUAGGUAUAACAUUCCCUUCUUCUCCUUUGCUGUUCGUGAACCGCAUACAGAAGCUAAAAAUAGAUAAAACCCUAGCACCCCCACCAUAAACUGGCUUCCCCCACCCGAAGUCAACCUCUCCAAACCCGACACGUGUGAUAUCUGAAACAAGAUAGUUCCCCGGCUGCGUAAAUGAGGGUCGGCCCUUGAUGACCAUAAGAUCUGCCACUGAUUUCAUGUACUCUUGGCUCAUUUCUGCCUUGGCUUUCUUUAAUAACCUUAUCGCAUAUUCCAAUGGGUUUUUACAUAGUAUUCCAGCCUUAGUAAUUGAAGUUGGACACGCAAAAGCAUUUCCAUUGUAUCCUGGAGGCAGAUCAAAACCACGCUUGCCUCGUAUAUUGAUAAAGCAUGAAAUGCGAACAACAUCAGGGUCUACUGCAAAUGUAAUUGUGUGGCAUCUCCAUACAUAUGCUAUUAGAACCUCAAACGUCGAGCAAGCAUCGAGGCUUGUAGGAAGUCGGUUCCUAAGUGCUCUUAUCUCCUUGGGGCCUAAGAAGAAUGAUCGAUGAACCAAAUUAUUUUCGUCCAUGGCCAUUAGUGUUAGAAAUUGAAUAGGAGUAUAAAUGAAACUGGAGAAAAUCAACUUUACUGAAUUGAAUAACAAACUUGGCUAAUAUAUAGCCUUACAGAAAAUAGCCCAUAUCUAGAUAACUCCUAAACGUGCUGAGAAGAUAACCCUCAGCAAAUAACAGAACCCAAAAUAAUAGAUAACUCCUAAACGUGGUGGUAACUAACCACUAAAGAUAAACAUAAAAAACUAACAUUAACCAAUAAGAUAAACAUAACAAAACUAACAUUUCCUCCCUUAAACUGAACACUACAAGUUUCAGUUUACAUUAGUUUUAGAGCAAACUCCCAAUUGUCCUCGCAGCUUGACAAAGGUAUUCAACUUGAGUGGUUUAGUCAUUAUAUCAGCUAACUGCUCUUGUGUAUCGCAAUAUACUAAUUCCACAGAACCAUCCUUUGUAAGGUCUCGAAGAAAAUGAAAACGGACAUCUAUGUGCUUACUUCGACCAUGCAUUACUGGAUUCUUUGAAAGUUUGAUUGCAGAGCUACUGUCACAUUGGAUAACACAUGACCUGCUUUGAUUUUGAUCUAGCUUUCCCAACACCCUUUUUAACCAUAGUGCCUGACAAGCACAUGAAGUUGCUGCAAUGAAUUCUGCUUCUGUGGUAGAUAAACUCACUACUGGUUGCUUUUUUGAUGACCAAGAGAUUGCCCCUGAACUUAAUAAAAAAACAUAACCUGAGGUGCUCUUUCGAUCUUCCAAAUCUCCAGCAUAAUCACUAUCAGUAUAAACAACAAGUUCAUCAUCUCCUCCCUUCCUAUAGAAAAUCCCAAAAUCAAUUGUUCCUCUCAGAUAUCGUAGCACCCUUUUUGCUGCCUGUAAAUGUAGCUUAGUAGGAUUUUCCAUAUACCUACUAAUAAUACUCACUACAAACAUUAGAUCUGGUCGAGUAGCUGUGAGGUACAUGAGACUUCCUACUACUUGUUUGUAGUAAGUCUUAUCUACCUUAACUCCCCCUUCAUCUUUCACAAGCUUACAACCAGGAACAAUAGGAUUAAAAACAGAGUUACUUUUAUCCAUUCCAAAUCUAUUGAGUACCUUUAAAGCAUACUUUUUUUUACUUAUGAAGAUACCAUCAGAUUUUUGCAAGACUUCAAGUCCAAGAAAAUAUCUCAUCUUACCAAGAUCAGUCAUAUCAAACUCAUGCUUCAUGGAAUGUUUAAACUCAGCAAACAUUAAUUCAUCAUUUCUAGUAAAGAUUAGAUCAUCAACAUAUAAACUAACGAUAAGAACUUUACCUUCCUUGUUAGUUUUGAUGAACAAGGUAUGCUCAUAGUCACAUUUUUCAAAAACUUCCUUCAUGAAAUAUGCUUCUAUACGACUGUACCAAGCACGGGGUGCUUGCUUGAGCCCAUAGAGUGCCUUCUUUAACUUAUAAACCUUUUGCUCAUUUCCUUUUUGCACAUAACCACAAGGCUGCUCAACAAAGACUUCUUCAUUCAACUCACCAUGUAAGAAUGCAUAUUUCACAUCUAACUGAUAAAUGGACCACCCUCUUUGAGCUGCAAGUGCAACUACCAACCGAAUCAUUUCCAUACGUGCCACAGGUGCAAAAAUCUCAGUAUAAUCUACCCUAAAACGCUGUGUGUAACCCUUCGCCACAAGUCGAGCUUUGUGCUUUUCUACUUCUCCAUUUUCAUUAAAUUUAGUCUUGUAAACCCACUUUAGUCCAAUUGUUUUUCCUCCCUUAGGUAAAUCUGUCAAUUCCCAUGUGCCAUUUUUCUUGAUCGUUUCCAUUUCUACAUCCAUAGUUGUUCUCCAUUUCUCACUUUUAACAGCUUCUUCAAAAUAAAUUGGAUCGGCAGCUGCAAACAUAGCAAGUUGGACUUCAUGCUCUUCCUCAGAAAGUCCUUCUCCUGUCUCAUAAUCGCUUGUCCAAACAGGUGGUCUUCUAUUUCUUGCGACAUUUGAAUUGGAAGGGUUGUCUCUAUUUUGAAUUAAUAAAUCAGAUGCAGUAACUGCAGCAUCAAAUUCAGCGGCUGUGGCAAUAGCAUUAUUUUCUUCUGUGUCUUCUUCUAUAUCAGCAUCAAGAUUAGAGUCACUUUCUUCUUCAUUCACAGUUGCUUCUUCCCCAUCAUAACCCCAUUCCAGAUCACACACGAUGGCUUCUUCAUACUUCUUAUCCCAAUCCCAAUUCUUGUCUUCUUCAAAUACAACAUCCCUACUGAUUAUGAUCUUUUGUGAAAUUGGGUCAUAGAGUCUGUAAGCCUAUGAUUCUUCACUAACUCCCAGCAAUACACAACUGAAACUUUUAUCAUCAAGCUUUGUUCUUUUAUUGUCAGGCACAUGAACAUGUGAAAUGCAUCCAAAAACUCUAAAAUAGUUAACUGAAGGUUUAAGUUUACCCCAAGCUUCUUCUGGAGUUUUGUUUUGUACUGCAAAGGUUGGACUUCGAUUCAAAACAUACACGGUCCAAUUUACAGCUUCAGGCCAAAAGGUUUUGGGAAGUUUUUUCGCCGAUAACAUACUACGAACCAUAUUCAUAAUGGUUCUAUUUUUAUGUUCCGCAACUCCAUUCUGUUGUGGCGUAUAUGCAGCUGUUAAUUUUCGUCAUAUGCCAUGAACAUCACAAAAAAUUGCAAAUUCCUGGGAUGUGAACUCGCCUCCUCGAUCAGUACGCAAACAUCUAAGAAAUGAACUUGUUUUCUUCUCAACAUAAGUCUUAAAACUUUUGAAAACAGCAAAGGCUUCUGAUUUCUCUACCAAAAAAUAAACCCAUGUUUUUCUACUAAAAUCAUCAGUGAAAGUGAGCAAGUACCUUUUCUUGCUGUUUGAGAUUGGAUUAAUCGGUCCACAAAUGUCUGCAUGCACUAACUGUAGAAUUUCAGCAGCUAGCUAGUUGCUUUUCUUUGGAAUUGAAGACCUGUGUUGUUUUCCCACCAAACAAUCUUUGCAUAGUUUAGAGGGAGGCUGAAAUUGUGGUAAUCCAUUCACCAUCUUCCUUUGUUGAAGAGUCUUUAAACCUUGAAAACUCAAGUGGCCAUAUCGACAAUGCCAAAGCUACAAAAUGUCUUCUGUGACUGUGUUAAAACAAGUAGAUGAGAUAGGCUGGGAUAGAGCAUGUAACAUAAACAUCCGAUUUGAAGACAUUUUGGUAUCCAUAAUCAAACCUUUCUGUGAAUGAAACACCUUACACUUGCCAUGUUGAAACAGAAUGGUAAGCCCUUUUUCUUGUAAUUGUCCAAUACUCAGCAAAUUAUUCUUCAACUCAGGGACAUAAAAGACUCCUGUGAUGAUCUGUGUCAUUUCAUUCACUUUCAGCCUUACAUUUGAUUACUACUCAAAAAGUGCUAUUUCAUAGCUUGUAAUUAAUCCUUUUAAACACUUUUGAGUAGUAUUUAUUGCCUUUUAACUCAAUUAACAUGUUAAGGACCCUUGUAAUCAUUUCUAAUCAAAUUGUGUAAGUUUUGGUGUUUUUGUUAGUAAUUUGAUCACCAAAACAAUCCAAGAUUGAGGAGAGUUAUUUGGAAUCCAUGGCAAAGCAAUGAAAAGCUCAAAUUCAUGAAGAAACCAAGCUUUGGAGCCUCAUAGUCCUUUGCCUUAGUCGUUCAAAGUAUGCAAGGAAAGAGCAAGGAGAAAGGAAAAACAGAGUGAAGAAAACAGAGAAAAGCCAUCUACAGUCUUCUUUUGCACUUUUGGAGCACUUCCCGAAGUCCAUUUUCUACAUUCUAUAUACCAUUUCAAAGCUCAGGAAGUUAAGAAUCCAAUGCUUCAAACGGUGCGCGAUUCGGAGUUCAAACGAAGGAGUUACAGCCAUUGCAAGAAGAUCAAUCCAAAGUGUUGCGAAAUCAGCCUUUUGUUGCGAGAAUUUCGCAGCCUUUUUGUACAGUGCUAUGGAAUUCCUCCUGAAGCUACCCGAUACAUGCCGCAAGCUGGAACGCUGAGAACCUCAAGGUGGAAGCCAAUUUCGCAGCCCUGCGAGUUUAACUUGUUGUUGCGAAAAUAUUUCGCAGCCCUCUUGAGUGUCUGCGAAAUCUCGCAGACACCAUUUUCACCUGCGAAAUGUCCUUAGCGCUUCCCGAUAUUUUUUGCACCGACUCUUUUGGAUAUUUUUCUUCAGAUAUUUUUGUAUAAUUUCCAUUUUCUCCUUGUAUUCAACCACUCAUGUAAUUCCUUAGCUAGAAAAUAUCCAAGGAAGGGUAAAUUACUUUCCUAUAUAAACUCCCUUGCAUCCACUGUAAAAUCAUGAGAUGUGAGAUAUAUGUAAUAUCGAUCAAUAUAUAGAAUAUACAGAGCCUUGCUCUGUUCUUCCUUCUCUUUCAUUUUUCAUUUUCAUUUUCUUUCUAGCCAACCAAACUUUGAGGAUUUUUCCACAGAGGAUGAGAGGCUAGGCUUUUUGUCUCUUAGAGUGAGGAAAGCCGGGUAAGUUUCCACAUGCAUAAUUUGGAAGUUUUGUUGUUUUAGUUUUUAAUGAAGAGUAAGUGUAACCCGUUAAUGGUUUUUAUCUUUUUAGUUAACUUAAAACGCCUUUAAAUCACCUGGGCCAACACUUGGUAAGGCAAGUGAUCUCCGUCCAUGGAGAUGCACUAGUUUACCCCUUGCGAGCCUUUGGGAGGUGACUUGAAGGUAGGAUUUUCUGGAAUUGCCAACACUUGGUAAGCUUUUGGACUCCAAGGAGACAUCCAUUAGUUAUCUCUUGCGAGCUUUUGACGGGUAAUCCAAGGUUAAAGAUCACCUUGAAUGGCAAGUGCUAGGUGAGAGGUAUGAGCCAUUGCAAGUUGCAUCAGUGAGAGGAAUUUAGUGUUUGAACCCAUUAAUGGGAAGCAUCUGUACAACACCGGUUGGAGAAGGAACUAUAUGUUAAUUCUCUAAUGCGAGGAAAAGAAACAAGUGACCGGAACUCCCUUUUUGUAUGAGGAACGAGCCUAGUGAUCUGAACUCCAAGAAACACUUUUCUUUGUAGUUAAAAUCAGUUACUAUUUGUGGUUAGUUUAAAACCAAACCUUUUUUCAAUUAAAGCAUCUUUAUGUUUUCUUUUAAAGCUAACCUUGAAAUGAAAAGGCACCAAUUCAGCUUUGAAUUAAUAUCAUUUGUGAAGUGAAAACCCAUCCCAGUGAACGAUCCUAGAGCCACUAUGCUAUAGUAGCUUUGUCUUUGCUACCCUAGUAUAUGGUGUAAUAGGUUAUAAAUUUUGUUGAUUAAUCCCUCAAUCAAGGAGCACCAGCUGGACACAAAUCAGCUGAGACACCAAUUGGGCACUAAUCAAAUGGCGCCGUUGCCGGGGACCGAACCUCGAAUCAAAUGGUGCCGUUACCACUGCCGCUGCUAGGGACGAAUCAACAUUCCCCUUUCCUAAUACAGACAUGCUCGUGUUAUUCCCAAGUUCACUGAAUCUCGAAAGGUUCCAUUAAAAUAUGAAAAAUAAUCUUUUUUUCCACACAUGAUUGCUGCAUCCAGAAUCAAGAAACCACAUAUCUUCUCGACUGGUUUUGUUUAGAUCCACAUACGCCAUCAACAACAUCUCCUCUUGAUUCUCUGCGUAGUAAGCCCCUGUCUCUCGGUGUGGACAUUCUCAUGCAAAAUGUCCUAGCUUGUGACAAUUAUAGCACUCCACAGUAGCCUUAUCAAAAGAUCUUCUGUUCCGUCCUCUUCCUUUUCCUCUAUAAUUUCCAUGACCACGACCUCUACUUCCGGAGUGAUCUCCAUGAGUAACUUUCAAAGCCUGUUCUUCUUCUAACACAUGAGAGGUCAUGCGUUGUUCAUGGACAAGAAGACUACUCUGCAACUCAUCUAUGGUUAAAGUGUCUAAAUCUUUAGACUCUUCAAUGUAACAAACAACAUAAUCAAAUUUGGAAGUCAUAGAUCGUAAAAUCUUCUCAACAACAGCAGUAUUUCCUUUAUCCUCACCAUUGACUUUCAUUUUGUUGGCAAUGGCAAGAGUGCGAGAGAAAUAUUCAUUCACAGUUUCUCCCGACUUCAUGUGAAGAAUUUCAAAUUCCUUCCUCAAAGCUUGCAAAUUUUCACGCUUCACUCGUGUGGUGCCUUGAAAUUUCUGCUUCAUAGAAUCCCAAAUAUCCUUCGUAGUCUUUUUGUUUAGAAUUGUCUUUAGGAUAGAACGAUCUAAUGCCUGAAAUAGAUAGUUUUUUGCCUUCAAAUCCUUUAACUGCUGAUCUUCAAUGUGCUUCCUCUGUGCAUCUCUGAGAAUAGCAUCUUCAGCCACUGCAGGAACUCCAUUCUCCACAAGUCCCCAAUACUCCUUGGAACGCAAGAAGUUUUCCAUGAGCAUUGCCCAGUGAUCAUAGUAGCCAUCAAAUUUCGUAAUAGCUGGCUGGACAAAUGAACUCUCUGUCGUCAUUGUUCAAAUAGAACACACGUAGAAGACUGCUGCUUCUAAAUAAUCAGGCCCCUAUGAUGGGGCUCUGAUACCAAAUGUUAGAAAUUGAAUAGGAGUAUAGAUGAAACUGGAGAAAAUCCACUUUACUGAAUUGAAUAACAAACUUGGCCAAUAUAUAGCCUUACAGAAAAUAGCCCAUAUCUAGAUAACUCCUAAACGUGCUGAGAAAAUAACCCUCAACAAAUAAUAGAACCCAAAAUAAUAGAUAACUCCUAAACGUGGUGGUAACUAACCACUAAAGGUAAACAUAAAAAACUAACAUUAACCAAUAAGAUAAACAUAACAAAACUAACAAUUAGUGUGCCCUUGGUGUUGUUUACCUCCUCGUAUUCCUGAUGUAUACGGGUUAUUCGUGGCGGACUUCGGGCAUUUAACAGCUCUCUUUGCCAUAUGGGCAGCAAAGAUGGCACAGCCAGACCUUGAGCCAUCUCGCUUAUGGCGUUGAGGAACUGGAUCAAGCCAGGAGCAUCACACAUUGUGUGGUUUAGGCGCAGUGCAAAUAUAAAUCCUCCACACCUCAAUCGGGUCACUUGCAUUGUACCAAGAUCAUCUUUACCAAUAUAUGCAUCACCUCCUCGUUUAUUUUGAUUAAUAUUUAUGCUCAUUAAUUUAACUCGCAUUUAUUUUUAUUAAUUUUAAGUACUAAUAAAUUUAUUUAUAAAACCAUAAAAUAUUUAUUAUAAAAAGUGGGUUAUGGAUGUAGAAUCAUAAUUCUAAAAUAUACUCUCACUAAAAUAAUUAAAAAAAAAAAGCUUUUUAGUAUUCCAAAAUACUAAAUCUUUUGAUUUUUUUUUAUUCGUUAAAAACAAAUCAUCUAAAAUAUGAAAGUAAAUUAUAUUUAGCAUAAAGUUAAAAAUAAAUAAAAAUACUACUUGAAUUAAUACGUAUAAUUAAAAAUAACUUUAAAUUGUAAUAUUAAAUUAUUUCAUCAAAUAUCAUUAAUUCUUAUAAUGAACACAUUGGUUGAAUUGCAUCACCAAGAUUCUCAAGUGUGGUAUCGGCAUCGGCUUCAACGAACGAUCAUGAGUUUUCUAUUAUCGGCAUCGGCUUCUCUAAUGACCUUUACAGUGUCUUUUCCUUUCAUUAAAGGAUUGUUUGGGUAAAACAUUAUCACAGGAACUUGAAAGCGAAGGCCUUUUUGAUCAUCUAUAUCAGAAAGCUGCUUCACCUCUCGUGGGGUAGGGUUUGUAGGCCGAACAAACUCUGGAGCACACCGUUUAACCGAGAAUACUAGAGGAGACGAUGACGAUGCCAUGUCCCUCCAUGCAAGGAGUUUGUUGAUGGAAUAUAGAAACAAUGAUAAGAGAAAAUUGAAGGAGUUUAUGUGAUGGUUUGCUUUGAGAAGAAGGUAACUGAUAUUUAUAGUCUAAUGCUGCACUCCAAUUUGAGAAAAGGGAUUCCUUUGAACAAUAAUUUGAAAAGAAGAGUAAAACGAGCUAUGAGAAGAUGACUCAAAAUUCCAUUCCACGAUAGAAAGUAAUUGAUUCACAUAUCUCUGACCACAGGAUGAGGUGGUUCCGCGUGGAACUCUGUGGUCUGUAUUCGAUGAUGUUUGAUGUCAUGUGUUGUACUUUUCAGCAAUCCGUAACAAGAUAUCAACCAUACACCACCUGCCAUGCAUUAAUUGAUUCAGAAGGGCUCCAAUUCAAAAACUACAUAGAGCGGUUGUGGAUGUUAAGUUGUCAUUUGACUUAAAUUAGAUUAAACUAAUGGAGGAUAAAGAAAUAGGGAACUGUAAACUUGAGAUCAAAGUUUGGAUUCUAGUUAACAAUUUAACUUAUGAAGUAACAAUAUCGGAGAGUUAUCAAUAAAUUCAACUUAAUUAUAUUGUUUGAUAAAUUCAUUUUAAUUAUAAUAAUUGAUAUCAAUAAUUAUUAAUUUAAUAAAAAAAUUAAAUAUUUUAAUUUUUUCUAUUCAGUAAAAAAAACAAACACCACUUAUUUCACAAUUAAUAAUUGAAAUAAGAAAACAUAGAAAAACGAAAAAAAAAAAUGUGAGAGAAAUAAGAUGGUUAAAUGGAUUGACUAAGCUAUUAAAAAAAUAAAACCAUGAAAAAUAGGGUUGUUUAUUAUGAGCUAUUAAUUUGACUAGAAAUUUAAUGAAUGGAUAAUGUCACACUAGCAUAAACUAAUGGACCAAUAAAUAAAUAAAUAAAAGUUUAACUUGUCACCUCUAAUUAAAUUAAGCUUCAAAUCCACCCACUAUGUUAAUGCACCUAAAAUAUCAUCACUAUCCUUUUCUUCUGCACCACACCUUUUUUUUAUCUUCUUUUCUCAUUUUUUUUUCAUAUCUUCAACAAAAGUCUAAAGUCAAAGCUUAUUCUCCCGAGUUUGUUUGUGAUCUAAAAAGUGUUUAAAUUAAGUUCAAAGUACAUUUCAACCUCUUUUUGUAGAUUUUAGUUUAUGUUCAUAACAUUAUAAUAAUGUUUGUUUUAUAUAACUGUAUUUUAAGGGCUAUUAAUUAUUUAUAUAACUAUUAACAAAUAUUUAUUAUAAAAAUAGUAAGGGAAGAUUUAGGAAUUAUUUAGAAAAUAUUUUGAGGUGAUCACGUUUCAAAAAGUAAAAGAAAAAAAAGGUAAGUGUCCAGACUCGAAAGUCCGAACGCUUUUAAUGAUGUUCAAAAUUAUAAAGUCGAACACCUUUAAGGAUAUUUGGAGGUAUAAUUUCAUAUAUUUUAAAAACCAUCCAAUCCUGAAAUUACAUAUAUUUUUAUCGAUUCCUCCAUUUUCAAGUGAUAAAAAAAAUGAAUAUAAUAAUCGAUAAAAAUAGCUGUAAUUUUAUCAAUUUUACAUGCUUUUAAAACAUGUGAUAUUAUACCUUUAGAUAUCCUUAAAAGUGUUCGACUUUGUAAUAUAUAUAUAUACACGCACUUCUAUAUUCCUCCAUUUUCCAGUGCUAAAAAAUGAAAAAAAAAAUUAUAAAGAUGGUAAAUAUGCACUUUUAACAUUAUUAUAGAUUAUUUAUAACAAAUGUUUUAAAAUAUUUAUUAGGAUUACUAAGAGAAUGGAAAGAAAAAAUGGGAGAAGAAAAACAAGAAGAUGAGUAUGCAUUAAUUUGAAAUGGGGUGUUUAGUCUUUCACUAAUGGAUACUUGUAUUAAAAAAAACGAUACGUAAGAAAUUAAAUUAGGUGGAUACAAAUAUAAAUUAAAAAAAGGAAAAAAAGAAAAAAAGAAUCCCGAGAUAUAUGCUGAAAUUAUAACUUGUAAUAAAUGUCAAAAUCACCCUUAUGCUCAUUUUGUUCAAAAGUUUAUAAAGUCAUCUAAUUAUCUAUUUUCCCUAAAUGCAUGUUUGGUACAUAGAAAUGAGAAGAGAAUGAGCAUCUCAUUCUUUUUCUCCUUGGUUCUCAAGUCUGGAUAACUUAAAUUAUGAUAGAAAUGGAAUAAAAAAUAAUUUGGAUGGAAUUGAAAUCCCACAUAGGAUUUCAACUCUAUGCAAUUAUGAGGUAUUUUGAUUCUCUUGCAAGUUAUUUUUAAAAUAUUUUCAAUUUAAAAAAAAAAAAAAAAAACUAAAAACAUUUUUAGAUAAGUUAAUUUUAAUUUUUUUUAAAAAAAAAUUUGUAAAAAAGAAAAUUUUUAAAUUCAAUUUAUACAAUGUAAACUAAAUUUAACUAAUAUCUUAUUAAAAAUAAAAACAAAAUUUUAAUUACAAAUAAAUGAAAAAUUAAUAUUUUUUUAGUAAAAUAUGAAUAUUAAUAAUAUAAUAAAAUCAUAAAUUAUAUAUUUUUAUAAAUGUUAUAAAAAUAUAGAUAUUAAGAUUAAUUGAUUUAUUUUGUUAACAAUAAAUAAUAAUAAUUUAAAAUUAAUAAUUUCUAACACUUUUUAUAUGAUUUUAUAAAUACUAUAAAAUAAAAAUAUUAACAUCUUAUAAAAGCAUAAUUAAUUUAUUUUAUUAGAAAUAAAGAAUAAUUAUUAAAAAUUAAUAAUUGCUAGUACUAUUCUAUUUUAAAUGAAUAUAAAAACAAAUAAAAUUUAAUUUUUUUUAACAUAUUAAUAAGCCAAAUUUUUUUAAUAUAUGCAUACAUUUAUUACUUACUUACCAAGAUAACAUUCUAAAUUAUUUUUAUUUAAUUUAUAAUUAAUUAAUCAAUUUUUUAAUUUCAAAUUAAUAUUAAAAAUUACAAAAUUUAUUAGAGAAUUUAAAGCAGUAGAAAAAAUUGGAAGAACAAAUAUUUAUUUUAUUUUAUUUUUUUAAUUAUCUUUAAAAAACAAAAAUCAAUUAGUAGUAUAAAUUUUUAAAAUAAAUAUGCAAAUAUUAUUGACAAUUUAUUUAUUUCUUCAUUUUUAUUCUCAUUUUAACUUUAUAUUAAAAUACAAUGAAAUUAUCAUUUCAACCUUAUGCUGUCCAUUGGCUUCUGUGUUUGUUUAACGGCCCCCUUAAAAGCCAUGGUCCUUUCCUCCAAGUUGUCUCUUUCAAUGUCACAUAUGUCAAAUACCGAAACUUUUCUCACUUUCUCUAUUUGGUAAAUGAGAAAAACCUUGUCAACUUACUACAAUUCAAAUGUACACAUAUAAAAUUUUAGUUAAUUAAAUUAUUAUUAAAUUCCUCUUUAAAAUUAUGAUUUCUUAAUUCAACAAAAUUCAGGUUUAAUAAGUGAUGAUUCAUAUAUAUUGAACAUAUGACAUACAAUUCAAAAAAGGAUACUUAGUGAAAUAUGAAAAACUGCAAAAUUAAGUCUUACAAAAUAGAAACAAAUAUGUCAAUUGAAGUUUAAAAGAUAAUUAUAAAUAAAUAUUUUCUUAUUGAUAAAUUUCUUGAACAAAUUAAGAGAAACAAAUCUUCUAAUUAAAAUAAAAAGAAUUAAAAAUAAAAAAAUAUUCUCUUGUUAGCAAAUCUCUUUAACAUAGAAGACAAGUUUCUAAAAUCAAAAAGUCAAAUUCUUUGAAUUAAACAAAUUAAAUUUUGAGUCCAAAUUUAAUUCUCUAACUUCACCAAUAAAUAGUAAUGACUUCCUUCAAUGGAGGGGAUCAACAAAACAAUUUCAUACGGGAAAAAAGUAUUCACAAAAAAGAAAAAGAUUUCAUAAAAUUUCUCUAUACAUUCGAGAAAUUAUAAAAGCACUAUACAUGCGAUUUUCGCCUUUCGACAAAAUCAUUUGGGAAUAAGUCACUCAAGCCCUUAAUUGAUUUUCAAAACAAAGAAAACACUUCAUCGUAUUCUAUUAGAUUGUGAUCAAAGUAAAGGAAUGAGAGGAAAAAUAUUCUUUUGUAAAGAAUAUUAUCAAAGAGUUUGAACCCCACAAUUAUUUUAAUAAAAACAAUUGUUAGCAUAUUUUUUCUAUUAUUUUACUUGUUUCUCAAGACUUCACAUAAUUUGUACUUAUAAAUUUAUGCCACACCCGGUGGGACAUCUUUGUCUCUCAUCUCUUUUGCUAAAAAAAUUGAUCAUUAUUAACACUAUGACAUCCAAAAAGAUUCAAAUUGUGCAUGUCAAUAAAGAGUAAUGACAAGAUUGUCAUUACUUAAUCAACACACAGCACUACUACGAGCCUUAUGACUCAUAACAAAUCAAAAUCAACUAUUGUAGUUUCAGCAAAGCAAGCAAGUGAAAAUAUUUGUUUGUUAAGUACAAACGCCAUUAAAUAUGUUAUACAAGUGCCCAAGCAUUGGUCUCACUACCUUUAUCAUCAAUUUGUCCCACUCAAGAUUGGGUUUGCGUUCCUUAGUAGAUCUUCCAUAAACAACUAAAGGAUUGAAAUAGAAUUAUUGAUUAAAAAUAAAUCAUGAAUUUCCAACAAGAAACACCACUAAAGCAUGGCAAAAUGGAAACGACCGCUCAAGCGGACUUAACAAUCGCUCAAGCACUUUGAGCAUUCAAGCGCUUAUUUAAACGUUUAAGCGGUGGCUACAACACUCGAGCACUUUGGCUAGUGCUUAAGCAUUCUUGUUUUAUCAAAAGUAAAAAAUAAAAAUUUUUAAACCAAUUUUGAGAAACUAAUCCAAUUCAUGCCUUAACCUAACUUGUCUCUAACAAACAUCUAAAAGGAUUCCUAUGCCAUAAUGAAAAGGAAUAAAUUUGUCAAUAUUUAAAAAUGUCAUAACAUACACAUUAAGAACUUGAUUUUUAAAGUAUAAAAUAUACAAGGGUGAAAUUCUAGUGGACUUGGAUUAUUUCCAAAAUAUCGAAUUUUAGGUACACUAGAGUGCUUCCAACACUAUUGAUGACAAAAUAUAAGUGUCAUGCCCCAAGACCCCUUAUAAGGAUGUGAUGGUCAUUUCAAAUCCUAAGUCGAAGACUCAUAGUGCAAAUGACUCAAACAAUCAUCUUAUAACUAAAAAAUAACUCAUUACCAAGUUCUUAUUCAAAGUAGUAAAAUAUAUUAUAAUCCUCAAAAUUUAACUUCAGAAAAACUUACACAUCAACCACUUUGUUAUUGCCUGAACAACUUCAAACCCAAAUGGUUCAAACAAUAAUUAAUUUCUAAUAUUUAAACAAUGCCCAAAAAUAAAUCUUAAACCAAAAUCCUAAUAAAAACAAAUUCCCAAUCUAACUCACUCCUCGCCCAAAUUGAAAGUACCUAAAAAAAAUUAUUAGUGGAAGAGCAUGAGUUCAAGCCCAAUAAGAAAUAUUAAUACAGUUUCACGAAUCAAACAUUUUCACUUAUGAUUACAAAUAGGAAAUAUAGUGUAAAAUAUUUUUUACAAAAACUUUGAAUUCAAACAUGCUAAAGUAUCCAAAACUUUUCAACCAAACAUUUUCAUAUUUAUAUUAAUAGCAAUUUCAUAUCAAAUCCAAAUGAAAUGCAUUCAAAAUAUUUUUACUCUAGUCAUCAAAUAACAAAUGGUAUCUGAUUAGGUGGGACUUUAUUGCUCAAUUAGGUGAAACUUUACAAAUAAGAUAUUACCCUCAAAUUUGUUCUUUUUAAGGUGGAUGGAACCAAACACUACUAGUACUAAUACUAGUAACCUCUAACCAAACCCCUAGAGACUAGAGUUUAAAACAAUUACAUUCCCUACCAAGAAAUGUAAAGGUUAAUUACCAAUUAUAAUUCAUUGACUAAGGUAAAAAAAGGUCAACAAUUAUAACUCAUUGACUAGGACAGAUAAAGUCAACACAAUAUAACCCUUAGACUAAGGCCAAAUAAACCAAAGUCAAGCACUUUGUGUCAUUUAUUCAAACUUACAAAAACAUAAUACCUUCAUUUUUUUUUAUUAUAAACAAAAGAAAAUGUUCUUACAUAUUUUUCAUGCAAAAUAUAAUUGAGCCAUGCAUAGAAAUAAAAAUAACAUUUUACAUAAUUCAAAAUAACAUACAAAAAGAAAUUAUUAUCUUUUAGAAAAUCUAUAUUAAUUUCUCCUACCUCAAAAAGCACUCAAAACCCUUAAAGAAUUUAUUGUUGAAGCAUCUAAUUUUCACCUAAAUAUAACUUAAGAAAUAACAACUAUUACUACUAGCUAUUUAUCUAAAAUUAUAGGUUUGGCAAUCCCAAUAAUUUCCUAUGUUAAUAUUAUUAUCACCAAUAUUAUUUUCAACUUCUGAUAAAAAAUAAUUAUACAAAGUAUGAUUAAAAAAUAAAGCACAAGAUAUAAAAUUAUUUUUUAAAAAUAUUAAAAACAUGUUAAAAACAUUUUAAGUUUCCAAACAGACUUUUUUUUUACAAAAAAUUAUAGAACAAUUUUUAAAAGUUGUUCUCAAAAAUUGUUUUUCAAAACUGUUCUCGAAAACAAUUAUCAUAUUACAAGGUUUUAAAAGCUCUCAAGUGCUUUGAUUGAUACCAUAUAUUGAUGAAAACAAAAAUCACAUCUUAUAUUCGAUUUUAACAUCAAUGCACUCCCCAACUAGCUAACUAUAUGCUACAUCAUAUAUGGCUAGCUUUCUUAGAUUUUCCCAUUAUUCCUUGAUGUUUCCUGCUAUUUCAAUGAAUAAGGAUGGUCAUGAAAACUUUUGAGACAUCCAAGAUGCACUUCAAAAAAUUUUAAACAAAAUAAAAAACUUGUAAAUCAAGACAAGGAAAUGAAUAUAGGCAAACGAAAAUACUUGGAGUCAUUUUUUUUUCCAAAUUCAAGGAAACAACCUAAAAGAAAUCACAAAAUAUCCAAUCCAAAAUUGAAGAACUUGUAAAUCAAGAAAACCUUUUAAAAAAUCAAUUAAGUAUACAUUGAUUAGAUUAUAGUACUUAAAGACUUUAUUAUUAUAAAAAAAUUAAUUUAAAUCAUAUCCAACAAUCCCUCACUUGAUUUAAAUUAACAAAAUUAAUAAAAGAGAUAACAAAAUUAGGCUUCUAGGAAAGUCAUGCAUAUAAAUGGUCUCUUCAAGAUUUCAACCUUCACUUAGUAUAAAGUAUAAACAAAUCAAAAUUUGUCACAAAACUAAUUAUUAGAUAAAUCAAAUUUGCCAUACAUAUAUUCAUUUUAGGGCAUAUUUAAUAUGCAGGAAUGAGGAGUAGGAAUGAGCAUCUCAUUCAUUCUUAUAUUUGAAUAACUUAAAUGAUGAUGGGAAUAAAAUUAAGAAUGAUUCCAAAGGAAAUGAAUUUCACUUAUAAAUGAGAUUUCAAUUUAUCUCUGGAAGGAGGUAUUUUUAUUUUUAAGUGCAAGUUAUUUUAAAAAUACUUUUCAAAAAUUUAAAAACCAAAAGGCUUUUCUGGAUAAUUUUUUUUUAAAAAUAAUUUUUUAUUUUAUAAAAAAAAUAUUGUAAAUUCAAUUUAAAUAAUAUAAAAUAAAAUUAAUUCAAGUGUUAUUAAAAAUGAAAAUAAUUUUAUAAUUAAAAAUAAAUAAAAUUAAUAAAAUAUGAAUAGUAAUAUUAUGAUAAAAUUCUAAAUUAUAUUUUUUAUAAAUAUUAUUAAAAUAUGUAUAUUAAUAUUUUGUAAAAGCAUAAACUAUGUAUGGUAUAUAUGAGAGUUUUUUUUUAAAUGAAAAUGAAAUAUUAUUUAAAACUAUAUGUAUGAAAUUUAUUACCAAUUUAUUUCUUUUUUCAUUAUUAUUUUUAUUGUUACUUAACAUUGAAAUAAAAACAAAUAAUCAUUCUAUUCUUACAUUCCUAUAUGCAUUCAAACACAAGAAUUGAAAUCACCAAAUUCAUUUCUAUUUAAAAAGUAGGAACGGAAAGAAAAAUUUUUAGGAACAGAAAGAAUAUUUUCGUUCUUAUUCCUCAUUUCCAUAUACCAAACCUGACCUUAGGUUAUUGUUCUUUUAAAGCUAACACCUUUGAAAUCUAUUUAAUCCCAUUUUACUAGAUCGGAUAUGCCAUACCACACAUGUCUUUUAGAGGUUAGCGUUCCUUUAAAGCUACCACCUUUGAAGUCUAUGUCUAAUCCCAUUUUAAUGAGUGAUCCAGAGAAGAUAUAUAUAUAGUCUCUUGCAACAAUGACUAGUUUCAAUGCUCAAAACGGUGAAGUCUGUCAAGAGUGUAACCCGUUUCACUCCCACCAUAAGCGUAUAAACUGAUGAAAAUGUAAUAAUCCUCAUCUUCACAAAUAAUAUGACUCAUUUGCAAAGAAGUCAGCUACAGGAUUAACACUAAUUUAUCAUAGGAAGGGAUUUUCAUAUAUAAUAUGAAUGCAUUACAUCACAACUGUUUCUUUGCCUCUUUUUUCAUUGAACACGAGAAAUCUGAUCAAAUUGGGUUCUCACUGACCAUAACUUCAGUACAGAUUUUCAAUCUCAUUCCCCUUGAUGAAAUUCCCUCUGGACUUGACAUAUUAUGUAGCCACGAUCCCAUCAAAGAUGAGUCCCCUUACAUGAUUAUGUCUCACAUAAACAAGUCUAAAAUUCCCAUUACAGAUCUAUAUGACUUAAGCAUUGUGACAUGAUUAUCACUACAAAUAGUGAUUGUUUACAUUGGUUUAUUUCAUAUAGACGUGUCUACCAAUAUAUUCCUUAGCCGCUCACCUUCAUUUCUCACUAAUGAGAGGGAAAUGAACUCAUUUCAAUGUGUAAUGAGAUAUACAUGUCAGCCUUUUGGAUUUCUAAGUAAUUGCACCUUCUACCAAAGUGAAGAUCCAUCCUAUGACAGAUGUCCCAUCCUCCAAAGAAGAAUUCCAUGAGGCAUCACUGUAACCUUCCAAGUGCAAUAGGAAACCUCCUAUAGUGUAAAAUGUAGGGAAUUAAACCGAAUUCCCAACCUAUGAGAAACAAAAAUAGAGAAAACACACGGCAAGGAAAAACAAUCACACGCACAAGACAAUAUUUACGUGGUUCGGCAAUUUGCCUACGUCCACGGAGUUGCAGGGAUAUCACUAUUAUCAGGGGAGAAUACAAAGUACAACCACAGCGGCUACAAUAUUUUCUCUCUAUAUAUAACACAGUGAUUACUACUCAAAAAGUGCUAUUUGAUAGCCUAUAAUUAAUCCUUUUAAACACUUUUGAGUAGUAGUUUAGGCCUUUUAACUCAAUUGGCAUGUUAAGGACCCUUGAAAGCAAUUUUAAUUACUUUGUGUAAGUUUUGGUGUUUUUGUUAGUAUUUUGAUCAUCAAAGCAAGUCAAGACUGAGGAAAGUUAUGAGGAAUCUUGGGCAAAGCUUAGAAGUCAUUUGCCAAGAGUGAAUCCAGAAUGCAAGGAGAAAAAGUAAAGAGAAUCUUCCAUGAAGCAUAUUCUUGAUGACAGUCGUGGCAGCCACUUUUGGAGUACUUUCUGAAGUCCAAUUGAUGCAUGCUAUAUACCAUUUCAAAGCUCAGGAAGUCAACAAUCCAAUGCUUCAAACGGUGCGCAAUUUGGAGUUGAAAUGAAGAAGUUGCAGCCAUUGCAAGCCAAUUACUCCAAGCUGAAGGAAGCAUUUUGCAAAGUGUUGCGAAAUCACCCUUUUGUUGCGAAGUGAUUCCGCAGCCUUUUUGUACAGUAGGGUGUAUUUCCUUCUGAAGUUGCCCGAUAUAUGCCGCAAGCUGGGAGCUGAGAACCUCAAGGUGGAAACCAACUUCGCAGCCCUGCGAAGAUAGCAUGUUGUUGCAAAAUGAUUUCGCAGCCCUCUUGAGUGUCUGCGAAAUCUCGCAGACACCAUUUUCUCUUGCGAAAUGGUUCCUGGAGCAUCCCGAUAUCUGCUACCGACAUUGGGAGAUAUUUUACAUUAGAUUUUUGUUGUCUAAAUACCAAAAUACUCCUUGUAAGCCACCAAUUACAAGAUUCCUUAGCUUUUAAGUUAGUAAAAAAAGAGAAACUAUCUAUGUAAUAAUUAGUUUUAUAUUAUGUUCAUAUAUACCUCUCGGGAGCCUGUUCUCAGAGAGGAUCAUUUUGUAAAGUUUUGGGUAAGCAAGUAAAGUUCAGUUCUUUGUUUUGCCUUACCUUCUCACUUUGUAUUUUCAUAUUUUACUAAGUUAUGAACUCUCUGAGGAGUUUCUCCCAGAGAAUGAGUAACUAAACCUUUAGUUCCUUGGAGCUAAGGUUGCCGGGGAAGGUUCCAAGUGCAAGAAUGCAAAGCUUUGUGGUUUUAGCUAGUAAUGAAGAGGAAGAGAAAUCCUUUAGUGAUUUCUAUGUUUUUAGUUAACUUAAAACACCUUAGAGUCACCUGGGCCAACACUUGGUAAGGCAAGUGAUCUCCGUCCAUGGAGAUGCACUAGUUUACCCCUUGCGAGCCUCUGGGAAGUGACUUGAAGGUAGGAUUUUCUAGAAUUGCCAACACUUGGUAAGCUUUUGGACUCCAAGGAGACAUCCAUUAGUUAUCUCUUGCGAGCUUUUGAAGGGAAGUCCAAGGUUAAAGAUCAUCUUGAAUGGUAAGUGCUCGUGAGAGGCAUGAACCAUUGCAAGUUGCAUCAGUGAGAGAAUUAAAGUGAAAUCUAAUUAAAGGAUGUAUCUGUACAACACCGGUUAGAGAAUUGACUAUAUGUUGAAUCUCUAAUGCGAGGAAAGGAACCAUCUGACCGGAGCUAUGUCUUUUGCAUGAGGAACCACCCCAGUGAACCUAACUUUCCAAGGAAUGCUUUUCUUCCUAAGUUAUUCCGAUUACUUGUUGUGUUAGUUAGUUUAAGUCUAAAUCUUUACCAAUCAAAGUUUGUGUUUUAUUUCUUAAGCUAACCUUGAAAUGAAACAAGACCAAUUCACUUGGAAUUGGUAUCAUUGAUAGCUUGCUAAUCCUUCCCAGUGAACGAUCCUAGAGCCGCUAUACUAUAGUAGCUUUUUCUUUGCUACCCUAGUAUAUGGUGUUAUAGGUUAUAAAUUUUGUUGAUUACUCCCUCAAUCAAGGAGCACCAGCUGGACACGAAUCAGCUGAGACACCAAUUGGGCAUGAAUCACAUAGCAACCACACCACACUAAAAAACCCUAAUUACAAAAGGUGGUUCCACAAUGGGCUAAACGGGCCCAACAGGCCUCAGUAAAUCUCCCAUUAAAAAGUCAUGCAAUAUUAUUCAGGUCAGGUCGCCAAACCGGAUCAAACAAAACUAGGCUCCACAAAGCCUAACAAAUCUCCCACUUGGAGACUAGUUCAAUCAUCAACAUCAAACCGCUAUCCUCCAAGAAACAAUCCCUCAUCCCUGCAACUCAUCCUCCUAUCCUCAAGCUAGAAGACCAAUUGAAGCUGCGCACAACUUCAACUUCUCAAUAGUGACACCCUUAGUCAACAUGUCUGCCGGGUUCUUAGAUCCACAAAUCUUCUCAAGUAUUACCAGUUUAUCUUCAAUAAGGUAAUGGAUAAAGUGGUAUUUUGUUUGUAUAUGCUUCGACUUUGAAUGAAAAGCCAAAUUUUUGGCAAGAAAAAUAGCACUCUGACUGUCACUGUGUAGAAUGCCCAUCUUCUGCUUCUUACCCAAUUCAUCUAAGAAACCAUUUAGCCAAAUCAUCUCCUUUCCAGUUUCAGUUGCUGCAACAUACUCAACUUUUGUAGUAGACAAAGUAACAAUCUUCUGUAGAUUUGAAGCCCAUGAUAUAGCUGUACCACCUAGAGUAAAAACAAACCCAGUAGUACUCUUUCUACUAUCAAUAUCACCAGCAAAAUCAGCAUCUACAUAACCCUGUAGUUUCAAACUUGCACCUGUGAAACAAAUACAUGUAUCUAAUGAACCCUUUAGAUAUCUUAGAAUCCACUUGACUGCCUCCUAAUGUUGCUUUCCAGGCCUACUCAUGAAUCUGCUCACAACUCCCAUUACAUGUGCAAUGUUUGGCCUUGUGCACACCAUAGCAUACAUCAAGCUGCCAAUAACUGAGGCAUAGGGCACCUUGCUCAUUUGGUCAUUUUCUUCUUCUGUCUUCGGUGACUGUUCUUUGCUUAGUUUGAAAUGACUCCCCAAGGGUGUGCUCACUGGUUUAGCUUUAUUCAUGUUGAACCUGCUGAGAACUUUCUUCACAUACUCUGACCAUGAAAGCUUCAAUGUACCAUUAGCCUUGUCUCUAAUGAUUCUUAUACCAAGGAUUUGCUUUGCAGCUCCCAAAUCCUUCAUUGCAAACUGUUUGGACAAUUGUUUCUUCAGAUUAUUAAUCUUCUCAAUGUUAGACCCUGUAAUAAGCAUAUCAUCCACAUACAAUAGUAAUAUGAUGUAAGAAUUGUCAAAAGGCUUAACAUAACAACAGUGAUCAGCUUCACAUCUCUUGAACCCAAUUCUAUGCAUAAAACUGUCAAAAUUCUUGUACCACUGUCUAGGAGCUUGUUUAAGGCCAUACAAGCUCUUUCUUAGUUUGCAGACUAGAUUCUCUUGUCCCUGAACAAUUAACCCUUCUGGUUGAAUCAUGUAAAGGUCUUCCUCCAAGUCACCAUGAAGGAAUGCUGUCUUCACAUCUAACUGCUCAAGAUGUAAGUUUUCUACAACCACCCUUCCUAGUACAAGUCUGAUUGUUGACAUCUUCACAACUAGAGAAAAUAUCUCUGUGUAAUCAAUGCCCUCCUUCUGCUGGAACCCUUUAACAACUAAUCUGGCCUUGUAACGUUUGCUACCAUCAUGCUCAUUCUUUAUUCUGUAUACCCACUUGUUGUGCAAAGUCUUCUUUCCUACUGGCAAUUCAGUCAGUUCCCAUGUCUAAUUCCCCAACAGGGAAUCCAUCUCAUCCUUCAUGGCUAACUCCCACUUGCUUGAAGUCUCAUCUUGCAAGGCUUCAUCAUAACACUCUGGCUCACCACCAUUAGUCAACAGGAGAUAAUUUAAAACAGCUGAAUAAAGCUGCGGAGGUCUAAUGUUCCUGGAAGAUCUGCGAACUUCAGCUAUAGGUGUACUCAGAUCUACCUGUGAAUUUACAUUCUCCUUAUCUUCUUCACCCCCUUUUUGGACAGUACUUUUAGUCAAUUCAUCUAAGUUGACAAACUCAGAUUUCUUUUGAUCUAUCUCUGUAACAUCUGACACUAUAGUUGACCUGUCCUUGUACAUAACCUGUUCAUUGAAUAUCACAUUUCUAUUUCUGAUGAUUUUCCUAUUUUGUUCAUCCCAAAACCUAUAGCCAAAUUUCUUAUCACCAUAGCCAAUGAAAAAACAUAUUUUUGACUUUGCAUCAAGUUUACUACGAGCAUGAGAAUCAAUAUGAACAUAAGAAACACAACCAAAAACUUUUAAAUGUGAAAACUUCACCUCUUUACCGCUCCAAAUCUCCUCAAGAAGUCUGAACUCCAUGGGAACUGAUGGUCCUCAGUUUAUCAGGUAAGCUGCAGUGCUAACAGCAUCAGCCCAAAAAGUUUUUGGUAGUCUAACAUGCAACCUCAUACUUCUAGCAUGCUCAUUGAGAGUUCUAUUCAUGCGCUCAGCCACACCAUUCUGCUGUGGUGUCCCAGGAAUAGUCUUCUCCAUCCUAAUUCCCUGUGCAGCACAAUACUCACUGAACCCUCCAUCUAUGUACUCUCCUCCAUUAUCUGACCUCAAACAUUUUACUUUCAAACCUAUUUUUGUCUCAACUAUGGCCUUCCACUUCUUAAAAGUUUCAAAUACAUCAGAUUUAUUUUUCAGAAAAUAAACCCAUACCUUUUUGCUUGAGUCAUCAAUAAAAGUGAUGUAGUACCUUGAACCUCCCAGGGAUGCAAUCGGAGAAGGCCCCCACAAAUCAGUGUGUACUAGUUCCAAUCUUUUAGCCUUCGGUGUCCUGCCAGUUUUAAAAAAAACUCACCUUUUUUUGCUUUCCUAAGAUGCAACUUUCACACAUGUCAAAAUCAAUGGACUUCAAUUCUGGUAGUUUUCCUUUUGACAACAGCAUCUUCAUCCCUUUCUCACUCAUGUGACCAAGUCUACGGUGCCAUAGACUUGUAUCAGUACUUGCAUUAGCAACUGCAAUUGUGUCUCUUGGACUUGAGGUCAUAUAUAGAGUACCAGUCUUCUUUCCACGAGCCAAUACCCUAGCUCCCUUUGUAACCUUCCAAGUACCACCAACAAAUAGUAUUGCAUGUCUUUCAUCAUCAAGUUGUCCAACAGAAAUCAGAUUCCUCCUCAGGUCAGGAAUAUGUCGAACCUUCUCCAGUAACCAAAUAGACCCAUUGGGCAAUGAUAUCCGGACGUCUCUCAAACCCACAACAUCCAAGGUUGAACCAUCAGCCAAAUACACCUUACCAAAAUCACCUGCAACAUAAUUCUGUAUGAUUUCUCGGUGUGGAGUGGUAUGAAACGAAGCUCCUGAAUCCAAAACCCAAUCAUCAAGUGGACUGUCUACUGCAAGAAGUAAUGCAUCCUGUACCUCUUCUGUUACAACAUUAGCAGAAUCAUCUUCAUUCUUCUUCUUAGGACUUUUGCAUUGCCUUUUAAAGUGACCUGUUUUCCCACAGUUCCAGCAUUGUACUUGUUGGCCUGAUCUAGAUUUACUUCUGUUCCUAUUAGAAUUUCUGGAUUUUGAUCUACCUUGGUUUGAAUUUCUAUCAUUACCUCUGCCUCUUGUCUCAAGGUUUAGGGUAGAACCAGAUCCUGAGGUUUCGCCUGAAUCUCUUCGGCGAAUCUCCUCAGCUAGAAGUAAAUCUCGUAUAUCAUUGUACUUGAGCUUUUCCUUUCCUGUAGAAUUGCUUACUGCCAUCCUCAUUGCCUCCCAACUGUUUGGCAAAGAAGCCAAGACGAUCAGAGCAUGAAUCUCUUCAUCAAAAUCAAUUUCUACAGAUGACAAUUGAUUUGUGAUUGUAUUAAAUUCAUUUAGAUGUUGUGCUACUGAUGCAUUCUCUGCCAUCUUCAAAUUGAACAAUUUCUUCAUCAGAUGCACCUUAUUGUUUGCGGACGGCUUUUUAUACAUACUGGACAAAGCCUUCAUCAGAUCUGUUGUGGUCUUCUCCUUUACAACAUUAUGUGCAACAGACCUAGACAGAGUUAACCUAAUAACUCCUAGAACCUAUCUGUCAAGAAGCGCCCAUUCCUCAGCCUUCAUACUCUCAAGUUUUGUCCCCAAAAGAGGCAGAUGCAAUUUCCUCCCAUAGAGAUAAUCUUCAAUCUGCAUCCUUCAAUACGCAAAGUCUGUGCCAUCAAACUUUUCUAUUCCAGACGCCUUUCCUGCUUCCUCUGCUAUUGCUCCCACUCAAACCUAACCCUAGGCUUUGAUACCAGUUGUAGGGAAUUAAACCGAAUUCCCAACCUGUGAGAAACAAAAAUAGAGAAAACACACGCCAAAGAAAAACAAUCACACGCACAAGACAAUAUUUACGUGGUUUAGCAAUUUGCCUACGUCCACGGAGUUGCAGGGAUAUCACUAUUAUCAGGGGAGAAUACAGAGUACAACCACAACGACUACAAUAUUUUCUCUCUAUAUAUAACACGACAACCACACCACACUAAAAAACCCUAAUUACAAAAGGUGGUUCCACAAUGGGCUAAACGGGCCCAACAGGCCUCAGUAAAUCUCCCAUUAAAAAGUCAUGCAAUAUUAUUCGGGUCGGGUCGCCAAACCGAAUCAAACAAAACUAGGCUCCACAAAUCCCAACAUAAACCAUAAAAGAUUGUCCCUUUUAAGUACUAGAGUAAAGUAGUCCAAUGCACUUCACCUAGGUUACUUGUCUAUAGACACAAUCUUCCAACUUCAAAAGUUAUAUCAGGCCUGGUGCAAUUCAUGACAUACAUAAGACUGCUAAUAAUAUGUUAGUACUUUGUGGAGAAAUAAUCCUACCUUUAUUCUUCUCCAACUCGAUGCUCAAAUCUUAUGGAGUUAGAACUAGAGAACACUCAAGACAAUCAUAUCUUUUGAGGAUCUUUUCAAUAUAAUAUGACUAUGACAAGACAAUCCCACCAUAAGGUCUAAGUACUUUGAUCUGAAGAAUAACAUCAACUUCCAACAAGUCCCACAUAUAAACUUAGAUGACAAACACUCUUUAGUUUUAGUAAGACAACUUUCUACAUCUAUUAUAGAUAUCAGCAUGUUAUCCACAUGAAGGCAUAUGAAGACUCUAAAAUCUCUUACAAAAGUAGAUGCAAACAUUGAUCUCAUUUAUAUAAUCACCACUAUUAAGAAGCACAUUUUUGUAUUUUUCAUGCCACAUCUUUAGUGCUUGCUUCAGUCCAUAUAAAGACUUCUAAUUAACAAACUUUCUUCUCAUGCUAAUACAAAUUAAUACCUUGUGGUUGAUCCAUGUAUAUUGCCUCAAGUAAAGAUCUCCAUUCAAGAUUGCUGUUUUCAUACCCAUUUGAUGAAUGAUCAAACCAUUCAAAGUAAUAAUGCUAUUAUCGACUUGAUAUCUAUGAUUCAGGCAAAGAUGUCAACAUAAUCAAAUCCUUAACACUUGAAUCAAGGUUUUGAGCAUAAAGAUUCCACUGACCUAUAAAAAAUGGGCCCCCCCUCCGAAAAAGUUAUAUAUAUAUAUAUAUAUAUUAAAAAAUGAAUAAAAAUAAAAAAACCACAUUUUACACAACAGAGGCUUCCUCGUGAAUGGUAGAUGACGUUUCAACUUUCAUGAUCAUGGUAUGGUAUAUAAUUUUUCUUCAUUUUUCUUUCUUUGGCUUUUUUUGCGCAAACAUCAAUGAUUUUAUCAUAUCUAUUUUUUUUUUUUUUUUAUGCCCAAAUGCUCUAAAGAUACCUGAAAAUACUUAAAAAGCAAAUCAAAUCAGCUUUCACACAAAAAAUAAGUCCUAUAAAAUUAGAAUUAGAUAUAUAAAUUUGAAGAAUAAAAUAUUAUUAUGUAGGACAUAUGUUACAUAAAAUGUAAAUGAAAUGAAUAUGAUGAAUUUUUUUUUUCAUUUAUCUUAGAUAUUUUACAUGUAACUUAAAAUUUUAAUUUAAUAUUAAUAAAUAAAAUUAUAUAUAUAUAGUGGCCACGGUGAUAGUGGAAUUGAAAUUUGAACUUGCAUCUUAUUUUAUUAUAUAAUUUCAUAAAAUUAGGAUCAAAUAUGUAAAUUCUAAGAAUAAAAAUACUAUUAUGCAAGAAAUGUAUUACAUGAUGUGAAUGGAUAUGCAUAUAGAGAGAAGAAAUAAAAGAGAUAAGAGAAAAUAUAGCAUUGCAUUGUCAUUGAUGAUUGAUGAAUGUUUAAGGGAUAAACAAUGACUUCUGCUCUCAUUCAAAUUUUAUCUCCUACUCUAAUUCAAACUAAUAAUAGACUUUUAUUCUAAUUCAAACUUUAUAUCCUAUUAUAAUUCAAACUAACAAUAAAUAGAUAAAUAAUAAAUAUUAAUUUUCUCUAAUAUGACCCUUCAAAAUGGAGCUACAAUCGAAGAUUCCAAUCUUAGUCUUGAUAGAAAGAAAGUGACUACAAUAUAGUUCGAUCAAAAGAGAGCACACUAGUAGUAGUGGCAACAAAUCUGUAUUCAGAUUUUGUGGAGGGCAACCUUCACAAGGUCCAAGUGUUGAGUGGAUUUGACUUGGUGAUGGAGAGGUUAGGCAAAAGUAAUAAAAAUGGACAAACUUUGAGCAAAAACCCAAAGACAAAGGAAAUCAUCUCACAUUACUUUUGGUUAAGAAUAGAGCUUUGAAGCAAAAAAUUGGACAAUAGAAGAGAGACCAGAAGAUUUAAAUAGGGAGAAAAAUAGAAUUUAAUCAUGCAUGGAAUAUGUUUGUUUUCAUGAAACAAGAAAAACAAGCAAUCGAAUCUAAAGAAGACGAAGAAUCAAGGGAAAAAUAAACAAGAGCAGUUGUUUGGCUAUCGAGAAAACACAUGAAAAGACCAAAAAAGGAAAAUCUUGAAAAAGAGAAAAAUGUAUAUGAAAAAAAAAAUUGUUUAGAAAAUAACCAAUAAAAAAGUUUUCAAGAACUCAUAAUGAGUGUGGAGAAAAUAGGUUACAAUAAAAGUGAGUAAAAAUCAAGAGAACUAAGGUUUUCAACUUAACUUUGAGAAAGCUUUUAGAGAGAGAGGAAGGGGGUAGAGUUGAAGGUGAUAAAGAAGUAGAGAUUAAAUUAAGGGAACCAAUACUAGUAGGACGUAAAGGAGAAGAAUAAUGGAUAUGAAGAAUUAACAAACAAUAGAGUUUAACAUACAAUCAACCAACUUAGUAAAAAGAACAUCAACAAAAUGAAUGAGUAAAAGAAUGAUAUCGUGUAUCAAAAUUAGAAUUUAUACAAAUCUAGAGUGAAUUUGAACCGACAACUCACAUAAUGCAGAUGGAAUUUGGGACAAAAAUAAUUUCUAUUGAAGAAAAUCAAUUGAAUUUGAUAUGGAAAAAAAUUAUCCAAACCAUAGAACUUGCAAAUAUAAACCCCAAAACCGAAAAAUGAAAAAGAGCCAACGAAAAUAGGAAAGAAUAGUGAUUGAAAGGAUUGACUUUAAAAGGAGAAGUAGUAAGUUUGAACCAAGAAAAUUUGGAGCUCCUGAUUUGUAAAUGGGCAUUGAACCAAGAUAUUGCAUUGGAAGUUGGAAGGAAUGAGGCAUUGAUAGGCCAGGUCGAAGCAAAGAUUGUUGGUGUAAAUGAGGAAGCUCAUUUAGGGAGUCAUAGUAUCCUUGCCAUUACAUAGGCACAACAAGGCACUACUAUUUGCAAUAGGAGAAGGUAGUGUAGGGCCUAGGCGUUGCACCCUAUAUUUGCUCUAGGUUGAUAUAAACACAGGCUUUAGUGCCAUAGGAAGCAACAGGAAGUUGUUGCGUCACAGACGUGAAUCAAGUUAUAGGUGUUGAAGAGUAACUCUUUAGAGUAAAUGAGUCAAGUAAAUCUGUGUAACUUGAUUAGUGGAUCUAGAUUGGUAGGUGAUAACCCGACUCUUGGUAGCUUGGCAUGUAAGGGUAUCAACAAAAUUUAUACCUAAGGUCCUUACACUAAAGUAGCAAAGCUACUAUAGCAUAGUGGCUCUAGGAUCGAACACUGGGAAGGGUUUUUACUUUAACUGGUGAAGUUCGGAGGAUGGAGUGAACUUUUCUUAAUAAAAAUUAGGUUAAGAUGAAAACAUAAAAAGAUGAAGGUUUUGUAAACUAAACUAACAUGAAAAUAGGUUAAAAGAUGGAAAAAAGAAGUUUCUCAAAGCUUUGGAUAGCCAUGCUUAACUCACUGUGUAAAAAUGGAGAUUUUGGAACUUUUCACCUCGAGUUGGGGAAGCAACUAAGGUGAUGCUUACUUCCCGAACCGGUAUGUGUUUAACAACUGAGUUUUAGUCCUUCAAAACUUACAAAAAAGGGUAGCUGAACCUCAUAAAUGCUCUUUUAAUGAUAUAGGUCAUCUCCUCGACUUGCAAUACAAUGGCUCGUAGGAAAUAACUAAUGAACGUCAGUGGAUCUAACAAUAAGAAUCCACUGAGACCAAAAGGUUAUCAAGUAUUGGCCAUUCAAAGCAAGUCAGAGGGAUUAAAAGCUUUACUUUGAAUGAAAACAUUUAUAACGCUCAGCUACUUACAUUCAUGGCUUGGAAAUCUCCAUCCUGACACGGGAGCUUCACAUGGCAUCCAUUACUUCAAGAAACUAAAAGGUUUUAGCCUUUCAUCCUUGGGGAUUUCAUCCUCCAAGGAUGUUUGGCUACUAAGAAAAUAGAAAAUAGUAGAGAGAAAAAGAAAGCAAAAGAUACUCUGUAUUUAGCUAAGUGUGUAAUUUACAUAAGUUGGUCUCCUGGGGAAAGUUCCCCGACCGUCAAAAAAUGAAAAUUACAAAACAAUAUAUAACAGGGUUGUUUACCCCUGUAUUCUUGCUUAACAACUAAGGAAUCAUCUAAUUGGUGGAUUACAAGGAGAGAAUUGGGAUUUAGACAACAAAUAUCUGAAGUAAAAUAUCAAAAAACGUCGGUCGCAAAUAUCUGGAAGCACUCAGGAGAAUUUCGCAGGCGCACAAAAUGGCUGCGAAAUUUCGCAGACGAACAAGAUGGCUGCGAAAUCAUUUCGCAGCCGAAGGCUGAUUUCGCAGCCCUGCGAAAUUGGCCUUCAGCUUGGAGUGAUCUGCUUCCAUUGGCUCUAACUUCUUCAUUUCAACUCUGAUUUGCGAACCGUUUGAAGCAUUGGAUUGUUGACUUCCUGAUCUUCGAAACGACAUAAAGCAUGCAUAAAUUGGACUUCAGGAAGUACUCCAAAAGUGGCUGAAAUUACUGUCAUCAAGGAUGCUUCAAGGUAGAUUCUCUCUUUACUUCUCCUCCUUGCAUUCCGGAUUGGUUAUGGCAAAGGACUUUAAGGCUUCAAAGCUCUGAUUCUUCAUGUUUCUGAGCUUUCCAUUGCUUUGCCAUGGAUUCCAAAUAACUCUCCUCCAUCUUGGAUUGCUUUGGUGAUCAAAUUACUAACAAAAACACCAAAACUUACACAAAGUGAUUAGAAGUGAUUGCAAAGGUCCUUAAUAUGUUAAUUGGGUUAAAAGGCAAUAACUACUACUCAAAAGUGUUUAAAAGAGUUAAUUACAAGCUAUCAAAUAGCACUUUUUGAGUAGUAAUCAGUAGGUCUUAGACCUCAUGGUUUUUUAUCUUCACAAUUUGUGAAGGAUUUAAAUGUAAAAAUCUUGUGUCUCAUUGCAUAUCUUUUUAUUCCUACUUAUAUUCAUUCUAUUUGAUGAUAUUGAUAUCCUUUGGAUUGAUUGAUUAGUUUGAUAUUGACGUUGUUGGGUUGGUUAUCUUGAAGAUUAUGGUAGAUAUACCUAUAACGAGUUAUUGUUUUCCUUAACUUCUUUCACAUUAUAAUUCAUACAUUAAUAAUUAUAUUAUUUUAUCCCUAACUAUUCACGAGAUCUUUCUAAAAGGUAAAAAUCAGUUUUUUAUCAAAUGAUUUUAGGUAUAACCCAUUUAUUUAUUUGGGAUAGCCCUGAUAUUUAUUGGGUUAAAAGAAUUGAGUAUAAUAUAUAAAUAUUUAUUUAAAAUUUUUAAUCACCUAUUCACUACCCCUCUAGGUGUUCCUUAUUGGACUUUCGGCGGUUUUUCACAUGUGUUAUUAGAGCAAAGUUUAAUCAAGAGUUAAUGACUUGACUUCAAGUAAACUUGUAAAUAAUUUCCUCAAGUGUUUUGGAGAAUCUGAUUUUGUCUUAUGGAGCUUUGAAGGUGGACGAAUGACACUUUUGUAUCAUGUUUGAUAUUCUUCCAUGGGCUUAUUGAAAAAUAUUUGGAGUUUGAUCCUAUCUUUCGAAGCUUGAUUUUUUUAUUUGAUUUUGAUCCAAGGGUGGUAAACACAUAUUCUUGGAGCAAAGUUUAAUCAAUAAUGAAUGAUGACUUGAUCCCAAGUAAACUUGUAAAUAAUUUCCUCGAGUGUUUGGGAGAAUCUGAUUUUAUAUUCUUUGGCUUUGAAAGUGGAUGAAUGACACUUUUGUAUUAUGUUUGAUAUUCUUCCACAGGCUUGUUGACAAAUGUUUGGAGUUUGAUCCUAUCUUUUGAAGUUUGAUUUUUGGAUUUUAUUUCAAUCAAAGGGUGGUAAACAUGUGUUCUUGGAGCAAAGUUUAAUCAAUAGUCAAUGAUGACUUAAUCUCAAGUAAACUUGUAAAUAAAUUCCUUCAAUGUUUUAGAGAAUCUGAUUUUGUCUUCUUUGGCUUUAAAAGUGUAGGGUCAUAUCCCUUGAAAGAUGUAUAAAAGACCCCAAUGCAUUCCCUGUAUGCACAUCUCCACAUCUAACACCUCAAAGAAUCUAUCCUUGUAGUUAAGGCUUAAGGAAUGCCAAUUAUUGAUGUAGUCAAUGAGUGGCUUGUCUUUCCAUUACUUGGUAUUGUAGAGUUUCAUCAUUAUUACAUUUCAUCGGGAACUAUAAAAGUGAUUGAGGAAUUCGUGCUCCAUUUGGUCCCAACUAUCAAUGUACUCAAGUGCAAGGUUUAUGUACCAAUAAAAUUUGUUCCCUUGGAGGGUACAGACAACUUGUUCAACUAAGAGGUCACUCUAUAUACCUACAUUGUUGUAGGUUUUAACAAAGUGGGUAACAUGUUGCUUCAGAUUUCCCUUUCCAUUAAAAAACUGAAACUUUAGAGGUUGAUGACCCACAUGCAUAUGUAGGUUAUCAAUCCUCUUAGUGUAAGACUUAGAGUAGAUGAGUGUACUCUAUGAUGGUCCGCCAUACUGCACUCUAAUGGAUAAAUAGUGAUGCCACCAAAGUAGAUUCAAUGGUUUGUUUCCUAAUCUACAUAGAUACAAUAUUCGAAGGGUGAGUGAGUCCUUGGCUUGACUUAGUUGUAUUUUGUGCAUGCGCCUUAACCUUGUUCAUAAGAGAGACUAUUUGCAAAUCUUUCUCCUCAACAAAUCUUGGUAAGUUUAGCGAUGGCACAAUCCAUUUCAGGUAAUUGUUCUUCAAUGGAUGUAGUGCUCAUUGUCAUUAUUGGCAUAGUCACCAAGAAGGAAAAAGUAAAAGAGUCAAAAUGGUUUGGAGGAGUUAUCCUCCUUUGACAUCCCAGUUAGUGAUCUAGAAUGUGAGUUGGUGUCAGAGUUUGCAUUGACAACAAAGUGGGAGACUUAUCCUCAAAUUCCUUUGUUGUUGAAGGGUGUUUUUCCCUACUAUGAAAAUCAAUGAGAUUCAAAAAUUAAGAUUUUCCAAUGUGAUGGAGGAGAAGAGUUCAGUUCAAUUGAAUUUAUUAACCAUGUUCAAAGUUGUGGCAUUGAACUCCAUGUGUCUUGUCCAGGAACUACUCAACAAAAUGGUGUAGCAGAACGAAAACAUCAACAUAUAGUUGAAACUGGGCUUACAAUGUCAUUUCAUGCUAAUAUGCCCUAUCUUUAUGGGUAGAAGUUUUUUUCCACGACUCUGUAUUUGAUUAAUCAUUUACCACAAUGUCAUUUCAUGUGUCUUGCAGAAUGAAAGCUCAUAUCAAAAACGUCACAAAAGACAUCCAGACUAUAGUGGCUUGCAGGUAUUGGGAUGUCUAUGUUUUCCUUCUCUUCAAAAACAAGGGGGUUCAAAAUUUGUCACAAAAACAUAUCCUUGUGUUUUCAUUGGAUACAGUCCAAUACACAAAGGAUAUCGUUGUUAGGAACCAAAAACAAAAAUAGUAUAUAUUUAAGGCAUGUUGUAUUUGAUGAAGAAGCAGCAUUUCCUUUUAAGCCCACUCAACUGCCGAAAAUUCUCAAAAAUUGAGUUUAUCCGAAUUUCCAAGUUUGGACAAAUGGAUUGGCAAAAUUGAUGACUCACACAAAAUCCUUUCAAAUAAGGAGAUUUCUAGAAAGGAAAAACCAAUAGCUUGAUUUCUGACUUUACAAAUUGUUGACUUUAAUGUAGGUACCUCAUUGUUCAAGGAAGAUGCUGCUCUUAACCCUUUGGAGCAGCUAGAUGAAACCAUGGGAGUCCAUAAGCUGUAAAUUCAACCUCUCCUUUAAGAGAGACUGCUGAUUCUCCACAAAAUAAUGUUUCAGUCCCGAAUCCUCUAAUCUCUGAAAGUCAAGCAAAUCAGGAUGUAAUAUUUCCAUCAUCCACUCCAGCAGAUUCUCUCCCAAACAUGGAAGGCAUCUCCACACACCUUGACAUCCAUGACGUGAAAUGCUCAGAUUCAAGCUCUCACAAUUCCCUUCGGCCAGUUCGACUUCGUACGACUCCUUACUAUUUGAAAGAUUAUGCUACAGUUGCCACCAAGGGUCCCCACCCACAUUUCCCCUCCGAACCGAAGACCCUUAGGGAAGCCUUGAAAGAUCCUUGCUGGAUAGCUGCUAUGGAAGAGGAACUUGCUGCCCUCAACACUAAUGAUACUUGAGACUUAGUUCCAAGGCCGCUUAGUAUUAAUAUUGUCGGCUCCAAGUGGAUUUAUCCCAUUAAAACAAAGGAAGAUGGAACCAUAGAUCCUUCAAGGCUCGUUUGGUUGCAAGGGGAUUCACUCAAAUUUCUAGAGUUGAUUAUGAUGAAACCUUCAGUCCAGUAGUUUGACCAACAACCACUAGGUUAGUGAUUGCUCUCUCCCUAUCCUUCAAAUGGAAGAUAAGGCAACUUGAUGUUAAAAAUGCAUUCUUGCAUUGUAACCUCAAAGAAAUUGUCUACAUGGAGCAGCCACCAGGGUUUAUUCAUCCAACUAAGAAAGAUCAUGUUUGCUUACUUAAAAAAUCACUCUAUGGAUUGAAAUAGGCACCUCGUGCCUGGUUUGGUAGACUCUCUAAAUAUCUUCUGCACCUUGGUUUCCAUUGCAUCACAUGUGAUGCCUCUUUUUUUAUAUAUUACAUCCAUUACUCUCAUUUAUGUAGAUGAUAUUCUCCUUACAAGGAAUAACGAUGAGUUUCUCCAACAUCUAAUCUUGAGGCUGAGUCAUGAGGUUAUAAUCAAGGAUCUCAGAUCAUUGCACUAUUUUCUUGGAAUAGAAAUGAAGCCAUUUCCUAGUGGAGUGUACUUGUCUCAACACAAAUACACACGACAUUCUUCACAAAACAAAAAUGUUGGAGAGUGCUCCCCUUGCUACACCAAUGGCUGUAAAAGACAUCUCUUCAAACUCAGAACCCGUUGAUGCUACCAAUCUUUAUGCGUUGAGUGAUGCAGAUUGGGCUAGUUGCACCACAACAAGGAAGAGCAUCACUAGUUUCUGCACAUUCCUUGGUACCAAUUGUAUUUCUUGGUGUGCUAAGAAACAACCCACUAUGUUCCACUCCAGCACUGAAGCCGAAUAUCGAUCUAUGGCCUCCACCAUAACUGAGAUAACAGGGCUCACAUUUCUUCUUCAAGAUAUUGGUGUUCCCUUGGCACAACCCCCACAUUCAUUUUGUGAUAAUAUCAGUGCCCUUUACAUAUCAGUUAACCCUUUGUUUCAUUCAAGAUCAAAGCACAUUGAGCUCGACUACCACUUUGUCCGAGAAAAGGUUGCAGUGGGUCAUCUUAUCACAUGACACAUCCCUUCAUCAUCUUAGCUUGCUGAUAUCUUCACCAAGCCAUUACCCAAGGCUACCUUUCAGAUGUUCAGGGACAAACUGGGUGUUCAACCUCAACCACACACUAGUUUGAGGGGGCAUGUUAAGAAUCCAGCUCAAGAAGAUUCUAAUACAUCUCAGGAGAAUAAAAUCUCCUAGCUAUAGGCUGUAACUCUAGAGAAUAAAAUCACAGAGAAUAAAAUUUCCAAGUUGCAGGCUGCAAAGGAAGGAAAAUAAAUAAAUAUUGAUUUCCUAUUCUGUAAAUACACACUUCCAUAUGUAAAAUAUACACCUUCUAUAUGUAAAAUAUAUACUGUGUAUAUUAAGACCUGCUAGUCAAUGAAAAUAGCAUCGACUUCAUUUAUUCUUUUCUAAACUUUCUUCAGAAAGCACAGGUUGUGUCAUUUUUCUUUUCAAGAAAACAACCUUAACUCCCCAUUGGAUCAUUUUUUAAAUGACUUUGAAGGUGAUAUCAAAAUAUUCUACUCUUUUUUUUUCUCUCUCUCUUGCAACGUUUCAAGAGUGUUUUUCUAACAUGAACUUCAAGACACCAAAAUUAGAGAACAAGUAGACUAAUGGAAUCCCAAGUCCAAAUGGAGGAGAUUGGUAGCAAUUGGGAGGCCUACUGCAAUCAGGAAAGCAUCGCAUGGAACCCACAUACCAAGAAGGCAUAACAAAGUGGAUUGUUAUAGGGCAUGCGUUAGCCAUGCUCAUGCGUACAACCAAUGCGUGAUAGUGCUAUCCUAUGUCCUUUCUUGACACUGACUGCAUGUGAUAUAUCCCCUCAUUUUUCUUUGUAUUUGUUUGAUUUUUUAUUUAUUUAUUUUUUUUUUGUAACCCACCUUGUUUUUUAAAAGUAAAAAGUACACUUUUUGUUUUAGUAAGUGGGAAAGCGCUUGGGGUCUAAGUUUUUUAGAAUAUUUUUGAGAUUAUUAGAGAACAUUCUAUACUACAAGAAAUUUUUUAUUAUUUUAUUGCUUUUAGAUUUUUUUUUUCUCAUGCAUUUUAUUUAAGUGGAUUAUUAUUAUAAUAAUUAUUUUUGAGGCAUGAAAAAUAGAAAAUAAUUUUCUGUGACAGUUUUUUUUUUUUUUUUUUGCAAAUUUUAAUUGCUUAGUAGCUAAGACAUGUCUAGAUUUUGUUUACAAUCCACGUAACUUGGUCUUGUUAAUAUAUUUUGAGUGAGAAUUAUAUUUUAGGUAGUAUCUUAUCAUAUUUAAGACAAGUCUAUAACCAUCAACAUCAAUAUCAAGUUGAGAGUUUCAUCUUUAAAACUAACCACUAACCAAAUAUAACUAGUUUAUCAAGAUGAAGCUCAAUUUCUCUCCCACUCUAACUACUUUUAUAGCCAACAUCAAAAUAAAUUUAAUAAUAGAGGAUCAAAGAUUUAGCAUAUAGUAAGCUAAUUCAUGUUUGAUUUGUAUUACUUUGGGAUUUCUUUAACUUUCAAUCAUUUGAAAGUAGAUGAAGUCAUAUCUUUAAAUUUUUAUGGUUCCUCUAUUUUCUUCUUGUUUUUAUUUUGAUAUUUGAUGUUAUUCUAAAUCCAAGACAUUCUUUAUCAUUUUCUUACAUAUUCUUUUAGGUUUCCAUGGUUUAAUACUAGUUAGUAUGCUCUCUGAUACAUAACAUCUACGGGAUGUAAGUCAAGUGUGAGUUUUUAUAUUGAUCCUAAACUUACAUAUACUUUCCAUAAUCUUAUUUCAUAAUUAAUUCUAAAAUGUGAAUUAUAUUGACUCUAAUCUUACACUUACUUCUCCUACUAUUUAUAUUUGAUUGUGAAUUCUAAAAUUCUUUAUUAUUACAACUCUAAAAGAAUUCAUUAAACAAAUAUACCUCAGUAUUAUCUUUGGGCUAUUAUUCCUCAUAAGAUAUUGCUCACUAUGUCCUUUUACUAUUGCCAUUUUAAAUGUAAUUAGUUAUUUCUUUUUUUUUUCCUUGUCUUUUGAUAUUCUAUGUAGAUACUAGUACCAUCUUCAAGUUUUAAAAAGUUGUGCUUAUUUAGAGCAUGACCAUAGUAGGGAGAGUUCCAUCGAUGUAAUCCUCAACCCGAUUGACAAUGGUUACAUUCAGAAACUAAUUUUUCUAGAUGAGGUAAUUGCCUUAAUCCAAUUUGAUUGUGAGUGGUUGGCUAAGAGUUGGAAGAGAUUGAUGAAUGAACUGAGCAGGGUAAGAUGAUUUGAAUCAAAAACUGGUUUCUGGAAAAUUUUGUUACAUGUUUGGAAUCUGUGGAGGAAUUUCAAUAUUAGAUGAGGGAUUUGUAGCAUAAGAGGCUCCAAGAGGGGUUGAUGAAGAUGAAUCCAUUUUGGAUUGAAGCAACUCUGAUACCAAAUUGGAUCUGGAAAAGAUAGCACAAAGGAAAAGAAUUCAAAAAAUAAGAUUGAUGUGCUUAAUGCUAAAAAGACUAAUCUACUUGAGAAAGAUUAAAUAAUUUAAAAGCGUAUAAGUUUCCAACUAAUUUAAAUUUUUUCCUUAUUUCAAUGGAAAAAUCAAACACUAGAAGUUUUUUUUUUUUUUUUAUCAUUUUUUUUAAGAACCAAACAUAAAAUUAUACAUAUAUAUAUAUAUACAAACAGGCCCAUUACAAUAGGAUAGAUCGUCUCAAGCCUCUUGAUUAUAGAAUAUAUGUGUCAUGCCAAAGACCCCCUCCAAGGACGUGACUAUCAUUUCAAACCUCAAGUUUGAAGACUCAAAGUGCAAAUGACUCAAACAAUUAUCUUGUAACCGUAAGAUCACUAAUUACCAAAUUCUUAUUCAGAGUAGUAAAAUGUACUAUAAUCCUCAAAAUUUAACUUAAAAAAACUAACACAUCAACCACUUUGCUAUUGUCCUAACAACUUCAAACCGAAAUGGUUCAAACAGUAACUAAUUUCUAACAUUUAAACACUGUCCAAAAAUAAAGUUUAAACCAAUGGCCUAAUAAUGACAAAUUCCUAGCCUAACUAUCACUCGCUUGAAUUGAGAGUACUUGAAAAAAAUUAUCAAUGGAUGAGAGUGAAAUUAACUCAUAAAGUUAUUGUUCCCAUAAAUAUUUUUAUAUGUUUAACUACAACUCAAUUGCAAUUAGUAUAGAAGGUUUUUCUAAGUUGAGUGGUUAUGCCUCAUGCAAGGUUCUAUUUAUCUAAAUUAUAGAAUUUGAGUCCUAAAAGUUGGUCAAGAUAGACAAACUCCUAUGACACCAAGCCCUUUGUAUAUUUUCUCCCUUGUUCUAAUUUUUUUAUCUAGUCAAGUGUUUUGAUUGACUAUAGAUGAGAGAAGGGAGUUCAAGUUUAAUAUUCUACUAGGCUUGCUUCGUUGGUGUUUAUACAAGAGAGAGCUCUUCUUUUCUCUACACUCACAACAUAAAAAUGCGUACCUUUCUGUAGAGGUGUACAGGUACAAACACAAACAACUCUCUUUCUUUGUCUCUCUCUCCACGUCUUGAGUAAGACUUUGGAUUUUGGAUGUUAGGUGUAUGCUCAUGUAACAUUCACUACCAUGGGAUUCUUUUUUCACUACAUCAUAAGGGUAUCAUGAGAGUACUAAGAUAUGCCUAGAUCUAGGUCUUUCACUAUUUCAACAUUAGCUUUAAAGCACAGGUUGUAUCAUUUUUUUUUUCAAGAAAACAACCUUAACUCCCCAUUGGAUCAUAUUUUAAAUGAAUUUGAAGGUGAUAUCAAAAUACUCUACUCAUCUUAAGCUUUUUUUUAUGUAAUAUUUUAUCAACAUUUUAGGUAAAAUUAAUGAAAAAAAAUGAUUUUUUUUUUCUCUUGCUUUAUCAGUAUCCAUCUUAGGAAAGAGUGUUUUUCUAACAUGAACUUCAAGACACCAAAAUUAGAAAACAAGUAGGUAGACUAAUGGAAUCCCCAGAACAAAAAGAGGAGAUUGGUUGCAAUUGGGAGGCCUACAACAAUCAGUAGAGCAUCGCAUGGAACCCACAUACCAAGAAGGCAUAACAACGUGGAUUGCUAUAGGGCAUGCGUUAGCCUUGCUUGUGUGCACAACCAAUGCGUGAUAGUGCUAUAGUAUGUCCUUUCUUGACACCAACUGCAAGUGAUAUAUCCCCUAGUUUUUCUUUGUAUUGGAAGAUUUUUUUUUCAAUUUUUGUGUAGCCCACCUUGUAUUUUAAAAGUAAAAAAGUACACUUUUUUAUAGUAAGUGGGAAAGCACUUGGGGUUUAUUGACCAUGUUUUUUGGACAAAAAUGUUUCAAAAUAUUUUUUUUUUAUGUGAUGACCUCUCAUAUCUUUCCGUGAUUACUUAGAUUUUUUUUAAUUAAUUUCUUAAUUAUAUAAAUUUGUGUUUCAACAAAAAAAAAAAAAAAAAAAAAAAAAUCACAAGAAAAUUAUUGUCUAAGGUGGUGUUUGAUUUUUGGCUUAAUAGAAAAAUCAAAAUAUUUGAUUUUUUUUUAUUCAGUUAAAAGUAACCUAUUGAUAUCAACUAAUAUGAUUAAAGUGAACUUAUUAGUAAUAAAUUACCAAAAUUCUCCAUUGGUUGCCUGCUUUCAUAAGUUUCACCAUGUUGAGCACUUCUGUUAACAAUGUAUUAGAAAUUUUUUAAUAUAUUCACAUUUAUCGAAAAACAUAUAUGAUUUGAGACUUUAUGAAAAUAACACAUGUAAUACAAGUUUAUUUAAUAUAAUUGGGCUCAUAUUACAAACAUUCCCUAUAUCAUUUUUUGAAAAUAAAUAUAUUUAAUCUCUAUCCUUUAUUUACAUUCAAGUUCAUUCCUUUUAUUAAAUAUUUUUAGGUAUACUUGAUUUUGGGAAUAAGCAUGGGUAUGAAGGGUUCAAAAGCCCCCUUAUUUCUUUAGCUAAGAGACUAAUUAAUUAUAUAAUUUUUUGUAUUAGUGGUUCACUUUAUUACUACUUUUCGGGACAUUUGUCAUAAUUUAAUAUAUGGAUUUUUGUAUGAAAAGGCAAAUUUCUAGUUAAAACUUUUUUGUUAGCUUAAUUACUACUUCUUGUGUCAAGCCUUCGUACUGCACAUGUCAAAUGAUCGUGGUGUCCUAACCUUUGGGUUUGGGUCAUCACAUCAUUAGCUCGCAUUUCCAUGAGAAGGGAUAUGAUAAAUUAGCAAUGAUGUUUCAUUUUAACGUGCCUUCAAAUUUUUAGGUUGAUGUUUUUCUUGUUGUACUAAAUCUCAUCAACAAGAUAUAAAGUUAAUAUUUCUCAAAAGGUAUAGCAAACACAAAUUCACCAAGAAGACCUACCCUUUUGUCUUCAAAAGAGAUAAAUGCUUGCAUACAUCCCCAAACAAAUAGAGUUUAUCAAGACAUGUUUUCACUUGCAAACACUAAUGCUAUGCAUGGAAAUCCAUAGCUCAGUUCCUUUCCUAAGAAGAUGAAUGGCUCACACCACUGGCCGAAAUAAGCAUUCAACAGCACUCGAGCCUUCAAGCCAAAUACAGUGUCAUAGACUGAUACAUUGCCUACUAUUGAUAUAACACCUAGCACUAGUAAUCUCCACCCUGCUACAUUUAAAUUGUGAACUUUUUUAAAGAGAUCCUAAGCUAAAUUAAACUGCUUGAUUCUUAAAAUCCGUGUAGAUUCUCUUUAAUUUAGAGCAUGGAUGUAAUAAGUCUAACAGGCUCUGCCUCUUUUGUCAUUCUCUUUAGCUCCUGUUCAAACCUUUCCAUGACUGGCGGAGGCAGGCAAAUAGGUAUAACAUUUCCUUCUUCUCCUUUGCUGUUCCUGAACCUCGUACAGAAGCUAAUAAUAGAUAAAGCCCUAGCAAG